rnacentral:lncRNA from 1 species
UGUCGUCAUGGGGGCAAUGUCCUACUCCAUCCAAUACAAUUAGCUUCACAUUUGAGAGUUUAGAAGGCAGAGAUGAGAAGUAUUUACCAACAGGUCCAUCGAGGGGUGUGAAUGGAUCCUCAUCACCCCAUAAAACUAGUACAGGUAUAGAGAUUGAUGGCAUCAAUUGAACUGGGUUCGUCCCUGGUGGGCCUGUUACAAUCGAAACAAAUGCAUCAAGUGCCCCUUCCUCAUUGGCAGGCUCUCGUAUGAUCUGCAGUUUUGGGGUUGAUUCAUGAAUUCUGAGUAGCCAUUUUUGUAACAGGUUAAAAUGACAAGUGGAGAAUAUUAAUACCUCAACCAGUGUUUCAUCCACAGAUUCCUUAUUUGCAUAGAUCGACAGUAAAAUAUUCCUCAGUGUUUCCCUGAAGCACCAAUGUAUACACAUCAUAGAUUUUUUUAAUUUUGACUCUAGUGUUUUAGGAUAAUGAACAAUGGACUGAAUAAAGAGAAGAGAAAAUACCUUUGUUUCACACGCUCAAAUAUAGCAGAAGCAAUUGGCCUUUGCUUCAACAAAAAACCAAUGAACCAAAGCAAUGGUAACAAUAGCUUGAUUCUCCAAUCAUCAACAAUUGCCUUGUUGUUCAUGCCACCAGCACAAUUCAACAGAACAAGCCCUCGAACAAGGGUCUGACUAGAUUCUUAUGGUAGAAAAUAUAGCACGUUUAUCGUAAACCAUAGAUACCAAAAAGGAUAAUCAGGGACAAGUGUUUCUUUGCAAGCAAGUUGAAGAAUAUCUGAUGUCCAAGGGGAAGUUAAAAUAAAUAUACCUGAGGCAGCGAUAACACAAGCUAGGCUUCCAACAGAAUUACCUAUAAGCACAGUUGGCUUCUGAACAACUUCAUCCAAGAAAUCCAAUAUUAGCUGUAUCAGUGAAUCUCACUCAAGUUAGCAAGGAAAAUAACUAAAGGUCAAGUGAUUGAUGACAUAAGUACAGAGAAAGAUCCAACUUCCGGCUAGGGAACAUUGCACACCUGAGCCCAUGCCUCCAUGGUAUAUGAAUAACCAGCUGGCUUAUCUGAAGCACCAAAUCCAAGAAGGUCAAUUGCAUAAACCAUGUAGCUCUUCGCCAGGGUGCCGAUAUUCCUGAAAUUACCUCAGAGAUGACAAGAAAAAUAUCAAUUCCUCACAUUAUUUAAUAGGAUAAAGGAGUAGUGAACACACAAAUUUUCAUUCCUCUCUUCUACGGAGCGGUAAAAUGAAUACUUUUUCACUAGAUUAAGAAUUGGAAAAUGGAAGAAGCCUAUACCCAUAAAAGGGUAAUAUGAAAUGGAACCCUGAAAUUCAGAUCACUGGUUUGUCAUCAUCUAGGUGCAAGGAAUAGAACUAAGUGUUAAUGCCAAUGCACCAUGAAAUAAUGAAUAGAUUUUACUUUCAUUAUUCUUUUGCUUCAUUGAUCUUAAUUAAUUAUUAGAAGUAUAACACAUAUAAAUCCAUCCCUGGAGUUCAUAAUACAUAACAGAGUCAGAGAUAUUACAUACAUAAGGUAAAGACAUGCUCCACACAAAAAAAAAAAAAAAAAUUACAGUCGAAAAUACCCAGAACAUAAUUUGAAUUGAAUUCACAAUAAAGGAGCUACAUUUUUGUGCACCCAAUAAUCAACCCGCUAGACAAUUCACAACAAGAAAGAGCAAUCUUAUCUCGCUAACCUGCGCCAGUGAGGAAUGGAGGCACCAAAGCCAUGGACAAGGAGUAGAGGAGGAGAAUCGGGAUGUGAAUUUGGAGUUGAAGAAACCAAGUAAUUGAUGGAGUACUGACCCUUCCAUUUCCACAUUUUGCAACUCUCCCUUAUCUCAUUAACCUCCAGUUCCAGUGCAGCAGAAGCAGAAUCCCCUCCACUGCUACUGUUAGUAUAACUGAUGGUAACAUUUUGUCUCUUCUUCUUCUCCUCAUUCCUCUGCUGCAACUCCAACUGCAACUGAAACUGCCAACUCUUAUUGCUCAAUAGGGGCAAGCGCAGGCCUUUUACAUCUCCAUUUCCAUUUCCAAUCCUGAGCUUUGUUAUUGGAAUAAUGAAAGAGGGAGCCCGAGCCCUUACCAUCCACACGCUCAUUCUUCUCUUGCUUUUUCAAUUGAAUAUUUUCUGUGGCCUGGCUUGGCCUGCUCCUCCCCUGCUUCCACCUCUAUGCGACUGUGGCUAUGACAAAAACUUUUUAUAUACUUAUUUAUUUAUUGGGCUUAUUCCACUAUAAUAUGAAAAUUUUACUGAUAUUCCUCAAAAAUCAAAAUGAUAAUACUUCGUCUAAAAAAUAAUUAUAAAACAUACAUGCUAUGUUUUAAAAUUUUCAAACAAAGAAGAACUUUGUAGAGUUAAUUAACUAGAUUUAUUUUAGUUUGCUUUCUUGUGAUUUAGAUUAUUUUAUUAUAAUUAGCUACAAAGAUUGCUUUGUCAUAAGUUUAAAUUGAUUAUUUUACCCUUAUAAGGUAAAAAUAUUAAGAAUUUGCUUUAAUUUCAAUAUUUUUCUAAUUUUAUACCAAACUCAUUGUUUCUAAUACUAUUUUACUAAUUACUAGUAUGAGUUUUAAUCUUUAAUUAAACUAAAAUAGUAUCUUUAGGGCAUGAUACUCAUGUAACUUAUUGGGAUGUCAAUUUUAUGUUAUUUACACAUAAAAGUAGAGAAAAUAACAAUUAGAUUUUAUUUAAAAAUAUUAUAUUAUAAGCCACAAAAUUAGAUACAUAAAUUAUUAGAUACAAUAACUCAUGUUUAUUAUGGUAAUUUAGUCACUAUAUAUCAUAAUAAUAAAAUACUAAAAUAAAUCUUGUAUUAAACUUUAUGAUUAAAGAUGGUCAAAUAACCUAAGAAGAAAAUCAAUAGAAGGAUUUUACUGAUUAACUAUACAAAAUUUUUAUUAAUUUUUAUUUUUAAAAAAAUAUUGUGAAUUCAUUACAAUUAAUUUCUAGAAGUAGGGUGGAUUUAUAAAAUAGUGGGGUGCAAAUACCCUUACCCAAAUAUUCCAUAAAAAGUGAAAACUAUUACCUUUUUUGAUGUACUUCUCUUGAAUUUUUUAUUCCUACGGAUAAACUUUAAUUCAUCCCCAAAUAAAAUGAUAAUCUCUAAUUUGCUCUCAAUGUAAACCUCAAUUUAUUCUUCAUUUCUGUCCAAAAGAUGAGGGGCAAAUAAGGAAUGUGUUGAUGGGUUUUUUUUUUUUUUAAUCUUCUUAACAAUAAAUGGGGUAAAUUGAUAUUUUUAUACUUUUAGGUGAUAAAUUAAAGAUUUUCAUUCUGAAUUGGGGGCAAAUUAAAAUCUAUCUUAUUUCUAAAGGCACCACGUGAUUUGGCAAAAUAACUAGAAAGAUAUUUUGUUUUUAGAAAAGGUCACACAUGUCUCUUUUGAGAUACACAAAUUCUCUUUCAGAUAAAACAUUAGGAUUUGUGUGAUUAUUUCUUGACCAAAAGGGUUUGUGUUUCAAAAAAAUGAUUAUGUGAUUAUUUUGCCUGACCGAGAGAGUCAUUAUUCAAACACCAAUCACAUUUUUGUUUUAACAAACACCCUUUCAUUUAUUCUUUAAGCUUUUUUUUUGUUUUUUUCCCAAAAAAUGAUGAAUAGAUAUUGAAAAUUUUGUUUUCAUUUUUUUAUUGAAAAAAAUGAAAAACACCAAAUAUUACUGCUUCCUUGUCCAUACUUUUUCGUCCUAUAUUACCUUAAUUUUAUAUCGUUUUCUCUAUUUCUAUUUUUAUAGUCCAAUUCUGAAAAUACAGUAUUAGACACAUUUUUAAAUUGAAAAACACCAAACAUAGUGCAUCAUUUUCAUUAUAAGCAUUAACACCUGACGUACACAUUCUCCAAAUGGGAUUAAUGGGAAAAAAAAAUGGUGACUCCUUCAGAAAUGAAGUUGUACAAUUAGUUUGAAUUGAGUAGAUACAGAGACGUCUCCAUUGUGCUAUAGUGCCAUUCCUCGUAGAAGAAUCUGAUGGCGGAACAAUACCUACAGCAUCCAAUUUUUCUGGCACAAGGGGUUUUGUGAACAACAAAACUGGCUCAAGAGGAUCCUGAAACCCCACAGUUACAUUUUCAAAAUGAUGCACUGCUGAUAUUCAGAAAUAAAACAAGGAUAAAACAUUUUCGAAAGCUUACUUAAAUCAUUUUUCCUUCCAACCACAGAUAGGUCAAUAAGUCAAAUACUGGAGCUGACAGAGCGCUGGCAGAAUUAACUACAAACCACCAGAUUUAUCGUGUUAAUUGAUUGUUUUCAAUUACCACGGUAACCCGGCUCGGGUGUUACCUCUGUUUCUGUCAGUGCUCUGUUGAAUAUUUCCGUUUAAAAAUCAGCAUUCAUAUAUGUAAGUAGUAUGGCAGCAGCGAAAUAUCAUGCGUAAUAAUUAGGCUAUUAGUUCUGGGUCCAGGAAUUGAGAUAAUCAGAUUAGGUGCAAAAGCUAUAUGUACCAAUUUAUGUAGCCAUGCAUAAUAUAUUCAUUUUUGACUUGCAAAUUCUUCCUUUUCACAACUUUAGGUACAACUUUUCCUUUCCUUUUGAAGGCCCACUCCAGUAGGGGUGGGCAUUUGGUUCGGUUCAGUCUGAACCGAACCGAACCGAACCGUAUUAUGAUAAUUUAGUUCGGUUUGGUUCGCAGCAAAAAAUUAAAUGGUUCAGAAGCAUACAGAGUAGGGGUGGGCAUUUGGUUCGGUUCAGUCUGAACCGAACCGAGCCGAAUCGUAUUAUGACAAUUUGGUUCGGAGCAAAAAACCAAAUGGUUCAGAAAGCAUACAGAGUAGGGGUGGGCAUUUGGUUCGGUUCAGUCUGAACCGAACCGAGCCGAAUCGUAUUAUGACAAUUUGGUUCGGAGCAAAAAACUAAAUGGUUCAGAAAUUCUGAACCAUUUGGUUUUUUAUUUGGUUCGGUUUUACCGAACCAAAUGGUUCAAGAAAAAAUUAAAAUUAAAAAAUAGUUCAGAAUUUAUCUUUUUUUUUAAUUUCUGUUUGUUAGUUAAUACAUGAUAUUAUAUAUGUCAUAGCAUACACUUUAUUUUAUUGUUGAACUUUAUUAUUUUAAUUUAUUAUUGUUAAAUUUUAUUACAUUGGUUAUUAUUUAUGGAUUUCUAGAUUAUUUUUGGAAUUUAUUAUGUUAAUUUACAAUUGUUAGAUUUUAUUAUGUUGUUUAUUGUUUGCUAAUUUAUAGACUCAAGAUUAUUGUUGUAUUAAUAGCGUAUUAUUAUAUUAUAUUUUUUUUAUUAAAUAAUGAAUAUAUAGGAUAAAAUCAAAUCAAACCGAACCGAACCGAACUGAACCAAAUUAAUUUGGUUCGGUUCUAUAAUUUGGUUCAUAAAUUCAUGAACCAUUUGGUUUUAGGAGGAUGGUUCUGCCACGACAGGUAAUACCAUAAACAAAUGAUUUCACCACAUUUCAAGAAAGCAUUUAACUUAUGCCUCAUUUUCAUUCUAGCAAUUUGCUUGCCAUUGGCUGAUUGGAAAAAGUGCAUUUUAGUGAUAGAAUACUGUCAACCUAUAGCACGAAUAGGGGUUAAACAAAGUAAAUCCCUACCUUUACAUGUCAAAUAAAAGACUUUCGUAAUAUCAAAUAUCAAAACUCAUGUCUAGUAAAGGAUUCCCCAAUGCUGGCUCUCAAAAUUGCUUUUGUUUCAUGGAUGAGAUGAUGGUUUUUGUGGAUAUUCUGCUCAACUUGGAUCAUGCCUUGGGUCAGAUCCCAACUUGCUGCAAAGCUCACCUGACUAAAUCUUAGUUGAUUUGCUUUUCCAAACUAAAUCCAAGCAAGUAAGUACAAGAGAUAAAAGCAAAAGUUCAAGCAUCUCUUUUGAGCCUGUCACUAACAAAUGGUCAAUGAGCAAUGUCUACCUAUGACUGAGCAACAGAAUCAAUAAACAGACAGACAAAAAAUAAUAAUCAAGUCAUCUGUCAAAUGCUAGUCCAUGAAAAUCAUAUAUAGAUAUAUAUAUAUAUAUAUAUGUAUGUAUGUAUGUAUGUAUAUGUAUAUGUAUAUGUAUGAUCAUUCAUUUCUCAAUCAACCACCAAAUUGAUGUCAACAAAGCCAUGAGGAUUGUCUCACAAGUCUUUCAUUUUCCCUCUCUUUAGGCCAGAGACCAGUAAACCAUUUGAAAUAUGGAUGUGCAAACCAGUAAAUAAAUCAUGAACUUACAUACUAGUCUGCUUUCGCACUCAUUCGGAACUAUCUAUGAUACUUACUGCAGGUACGGUGUAUACAUUAUACUAAAGUGAAGGCUGGAUCAAUAAGAAAUUCAAAAUGUUUCAUCGCAUUUGGGGCUUGAUGAUGCCAAAGAAAGACCAUACCAAUUACGAUGAACAGUAAAAUGUGAACAAGAACAAGCAUACAUUUAAGAAAGCAGAGAAGCAUCAUUAAAAUAAAGUAUUCUUCUUACUAUUCUAUGUUGUUGGAAAAUGGACCAAAAUAAAAAAGAAACCAUAUAUGGUUAACGUCACAACAAGAGUAUUCGUGCAUUUGUACAUCAUAGGAUAUUGGGAAGACAUCAGCAGAGAAGUGCAAAUUUUUUUUUGGGGAAAGGAACAGAGAAGUGCAAGUCAAAAAGGAGAAAAAGUGAAAAGAGAGAGAUCAAAAGGAAUGCAAUCUAAUUAACCGUCUAAGGAGACUACUAUGCUACAUUUAGCCAUUGGUUGAAUAGGCAGCUUGUUUUCUAGUACAACUUUAAAUUUUCCAAGAUUAAAAUUUUCCUACUGAAGAAAACUAAUUUCUAAAGCAGCUAUUACCAUCUUCAUCCCAACGGUAAGCAGCUCCAUACUAAGGAAAGAGUGAAAUAAGUGUGCUUUACUUAUAGAAGCCCAUUCCUGUCCAGAGUGAUUAGUAAGUUGUUUCACCAUGACCCCCAUUAUGGUGACUGAAAAAAGAAAAAUAAAAGAAGAAAAUAUUUGCCGAACACAAUAGUAGCACCUAAGAAGUCCUACUUAAGAGACUUCAUACCCUGCACAAAUCGGAAAGUUUUUUAAAAUUUUCAUGUUUCAAAUGAAGAUUGUCCAUUAAAAAAUUACACACAUAAUGUAUGUAAAGCAAUUAAAACAAUAAAAAAAAAAAAAAGCAAGACAAGAACAAUGGCUGAUAACAGUCAAAUAAGGAGAGACCAGACCAUAGUUUUCUUUCAGUUAAUUUCUUCUAGUUGUUAGACUCUAACGCACUGUUGGGAGUAUCGGUAAACUUUUAUAAUUAGAAAUUUAGGUACUUAGGAUAAAUUAUACAGUUGCCUCGACCAUGAGCAGCCCCAAUCUUCAAUAUAAUUUCACUUUUUUACUGCAUUAGUGUCUCUUUUUGUUAGGUGCUUACUUUUGGUCUAAAAUUUUAAAAUUUCUCCGGCCGACUUGCAUUAGCAUUUGUAAUAAUAUAUAAUUUUUUUUUUUUCAAACGGAUGUGACAAUAUAUAGUUGAUGGGGUAAUAACUACUUUUAAUAUCUUGGUAUGUAUGAGUUUCAUUAAAUUUUCAGUCAGCUAGCUCCUCAUUAUCUAUUAUAAAUAACUGCAGUCCCUAAUACAAUGUCAUGAUAUUUAUAAAUGAAAGAAUUGGAGAACAAGAAAAUUUGAAACUGCUCUUUUAUCUACCAGCAACAACUAUUAGAAUAUGACAAUUAUCAUUAAUUGACUUUCAUUAGAGUUUAGCACAGAUUGAAUUCUUAAUAAGGCAGCUGACAAAAUAUUUGUUUAUUAAACGAUUGACUGGCCUCCCUCAAUUGGGGACGCGGGCAUUUAUUUAAUUUCUUUUAAUCAAGAUUGGAUGUACCUGUACAUAACCAAUAAUAUUAUGCAAAUAUCCAGAGAAGAGGCACCGAUGACUUUAUUUAUUUAUUUAUUUUGUCGAUAAGCUUCUUUGGAUGGUUGAGAAAAUAAUUUGUUAUUUUUUUAAUCAUAAUCCCCUGCGUAAUGAAAGCCUCCAUUUACUCGUUAUAUGGUAAAACUAAUAAUUUCUCUCAAUUUUUAACGAUAAUUUAUAUAUAAUUCUAGAGAGUCACGCACAUUUGGUUCAAUAAUUGGUUUCAUCCGAAUCAAAAUCUCUCUCUAAUCAAUUCAACUGUUUCUGUUGAUUAUGGCUUCUUCUUCUCGAAACAACAAGCAGUAUGAUGUUUUUGUUAGUUUCAGAGGAGAGGACACCCGCGACAACUUUACUAGCCAUCUCUAUUCUGCUCUGUGUCGACAAAAUAUCCAAACUUUCAUUGAUGACCAACUUAACAGAGGAGGCGAAAUUUCGGAGUCACUGGUGAAUGCAAUUGAAGCAUCAGCCAUUUCUGUUAUCGUCUUCUCAGAAGGGUAUGCAUCUUCCAGAUGGUGUCUCGAUGAACUUGUAAAGAUCCUCGAGUGCAAGAAGGAGUAUGCACAGAUUGUGAUUCCGGUUUUCUAUCGGGUUGAUCCAUCAGACGUGAGAAACCAAACUGGGAGUUUUGGGGAUUCAUUUUCGAAGCUUGAAGAAAGAUUUAAGGAAAAUUCAAAGAAGCUGCUGACUUGGAGGAAUGCUUUGAAGGAGGCAGCCACUUUGUCUGGCUUUAAUUCUCUUAACAUCAGGUGAAAAGUUACUUUUAAUUUCGCAUACUAAUAUUCAACACUGUAAAUAAAAUUCACGCAGCACUCUUAGUUAAAUUUUCCAGAUGAUAAACUACACUUUUAAAUUUUUUCAUGCAUUAAAUUCUAGACUUCUUGAACUUCCCCACUUUUGAACUCCUAUAAAAGAAUUUUUGCAGAAUUAAUAAUAAAAGCUCCAGAGGUUUACAAUAUAUUUUAACAAAAUUAAUGGUUUUCUGUCGUUUUUUAAUCAAUUUCAAUCUCUUACUCAUAUACCAUUAGGAAAAAAAAAUCUCUUCCACAUAUAACAUAUUCCUGUAAUUAAAGAGUUAUUAAUUUAUAGGGAGAUUGUAAAUUCCCUUACUCAAAUCAAUAUAUACUACUUAUUCUGACUCUUUUUACAAUAUUUAAUAACUCUUCUGGUACCAUCACUUUACAAUAUUAUCCUUAUAAAAAAAAAUAAGUGGUAUAUAUUAUUUUCAAUUGGAAAACUAGCAAUCUCCCUUAUUUGAAGUUACUGCUGCUAAUUUUAUGUAUUUGGUAGGCCUGAAUCGGAACUUAUAAACGAAGCUGUUAAUCACAUUUCAAAGAGACUGCUGGAUCAAGUUUUUCGGCCGAAUGAUAACAAAAACCAGCUGGUUGGAGUAGAAUCAAGAAUUGAGGAAAUUGAAUCCUUAUUAGGUGUUCAGUCGAAAGAUGUUUAUGCUUUAGGGAUUUGGGGCAUUGGUGGUAUAGGCAAAACAACAGUCGCUAGAGCUACUUUCGACAAAAUCUCUAGAUAUUUUGAAGGUUCUUGCUUCCUUGAAAAUGUUAGAGGAGAGUCACAAAGACCGGGAGGAUUAGCUUGCCUGCGACAAAAACUUGUUGCAAAUUUAUUGAAGGAUAAAAAUAUGAUUCCUGAUAUUGAGCUCAAUUUUAGAAGGCUCAGCCGCAUGAAGGUUCUGAUUGUUUUUGAUGAUGUGAGUUGCUUUAGCCAGUUAGAAUCCUUAAUCGGAAGUCUUGAUUGGUUGACGCCUGUGAGUCGAAUCAUAAUAACCAGCAGAAAUAAACAAGUGCUUAGAAAUUGGGGGGUGAGGAAAAUAUAUGAGAUGGAGGCAUUAGAAUAUCAUCACGCUCUUGAGCUUUUCAGUCGACAUGCCUUCAAACAAAACCAUCCUGAUGUUGGUUAUGAGGAACUUUCAAGCAAAGUAAUGAAAUAUGCUCAAGGUGUUCCUUUAGCUCUUAAAGUUUUGGGUUGCUUUCUGCAUAAAAGGGAAAAAGAAGUCUGGGAAAGUGCAAUAGAUAAAUUGCAAAGAAUCCUCCAUCCAAGUAUUCUUGAGGUAUUAAAAAUAAGUUAUGAUAGUUUGGACGAUAAGGAGAAAAAUAUUUUCCUUGAUGUUGCUUGUUUCUUUCAAGGUGAGGAUGCAGAUCUAGUAAUGAAAUUUUUUAAUGCAAGUGGCUUCUACCCAUAAAUAGGAAUGAGUGUUCUUGUUGAUAAAUCUCUCAUUGCUAUUGAUUCACACAAAAAGAUAACAAUGCAUGAUUUACUACAAGAAUUGGGUAGGGAAAUUGUUCGACAAGAAUCAAUUGAUCCUGGAAACCGCAGUCAGCUGUGGCAUCAUGAGGAUAUCUAUGAAGUUCUUACAUAUAAUACGGUAAGCAGUUUGUUGUGGAUUAUUAAUUUGGAAUAAUGUAGUGUUUAAAAACUUGAUGUGCAUAUAUUUACAUACGCUCGAACUGAUGAGUCUUAGAAUUAAUAGAAGAGUGGCAAUGAUUAGAAAAAACAAUAGUGGUUAGAUGAUGUAGCAAUGAAUUAUAUAUGCGAUGACAGGUUGCAUAACCGUUUGUAAGCAUAAUUGAUAUGUAAAUUUGUGUAGUACACAUAUAUAAUUUUUAUGUUAAGUAUUACCUGUGUUAUUAUGUCUCUUUGUGCAUUUGCAAUUAAGUGUUUAACUGCCUAGCAAUAACUAUAAACAUGAAUUAUUGAAAUUUGAUACGAGUAAUGAAAGAGAGCCCCACUCCAUUCCCACAUAUAAAUUGAAUUAAUAACUAAGCUACCUCUAAUUGUGAAUUAGUGACAAAAUUGCCCCAGAAAUUUGUCUUGGUGAGAUUGAAGUGCGAUUCAUUAGUGGAAUAUACGUAUCUUUCAUUUGAUUUUAACUUUAUUGUUUUUUAUUUAUUUUUAGGGGACAGAAAAAAUUGAGGGCAUCUGUUUGGAUAUGUCAACAGUAAAAGAGAUCUAUCUAAAUCUCAGUACUUUCACAAAGAUGCCUAAACUGAGAUUUUUAAAGUUCUAUAGUUCAUCAUUCAAUGGAGAGAACAAAUGUAAGGUGUCUUAUUUGCAAGACCCUAGAUUUGCUGAAGUGAAAUAUUUUCACUGGCAUGGAUACCCGUUGAAGUCAUUGCCUUCAAACCUUGGUGCAGAGAAGCUUGUGUUUCUUGAAGUGCCUAAUAGCGACAUUGAACAACUUUGGAAUGGUGAGAAGGUAUGUUUAUCUUACUAUAUAUGUGCAAUCUUUCAAUAAGAACAUUAAAUUAUCAUACAUAGUAAUGAUUUAACAUUGAACAACUUUGGGAUUGUGUGAAGGUAUGCAUAUCUUAUUAUAUAUGUGCAAUCUUUCAAUAACAUUAAAUUAUUACACGUGGUAACGAUUUUGUCUUGGGCUCUUUUUUGACCGAGCAGCAUUAUAGUAAGUUAAACCAGAUAAUCAAUGCUGCUUGCAAUAAGCUAAUUGCCAAAACUCCAAAUCCCACGUUGAUGCCACAUCUGAACAAGCUAGUUAUCUUGAAUCUAAGAGGUAGCAAAAGCCUGAAAAGUCUUCCAUCUGGAAUAUUUAACUUGGAAUUUCUUACCAAACUUGAUCUUUCGGGCUGCUCAAAACUGAAAAGGCUGCCAGAGAUCUCAUCAGGUAAUAUAAACUGGUUAUUUUUAAGGGAGACUGCAAUUGAAGAACUGCCUUCAUCAAUUGAGAGUCUACUUAGGCUCGGGCACUUGGACCUUUCAGAUUGUAAAAGGCUUAAGAGUCUCCCAAGCAGCCUAUUUAAAUUGAAAUCUCUUGGAGUUCUUAAUCUCGAUGGUUGCACAAAUCUUCAGAGAUUGCCCGAAUGUCUUGGCCAAUUAUCCUCGCCAAUAAUAUUGAAUCUAGCGAAAACCAAUGUUGAGAGAAUACCAGAAAGCAUUAUUCAACUUUUCGUGUUGCGAUACCUCCUCUUAAGUUAUAGUGAGAGGAUUCAAUCCGCAUCAUUGCCUCUUGCACGAGGUUGCCUGGCACUGCAACCAUUCUUAGGUUUGUUCUCUAAGUUAUGAAUCUUAUAGGUAGUGUUUUUUGACCGGAGCAAUAAUUUUAAAUUGGAAGGUAAUUUUACUGCAGGAAUUCUUGAAGAUACCCAGAGAAGUCCGCAUAUGGACCAUAAGCUAGCUGUCCGUUGGCAAGAAGUACAGGAAAAUGUGUGUCUUUAACUCUCUCUGCUUACAAUUUCUACAAUUUUUUUUUUUGGGUUUAAAAUUAUGAUUUUUUGGUACAGAGAGGGUUUUCUAUGGGCAAAGUUCAUAUGGUACGGCCUGGGAAUGAAAUUCCAAAGUGGUUUAAGUUUCAAAGUGCGAGAUCUUUUGUAACCUUGGAGAUGCCACCAGAUUUCUUCCGUAAUAGCAGAGUGCUGGGCAUUGCAUUUAGUGCUAUUUUAGCAUUUUCAAACCGUCAUGUAGAUUGUGGCAGAUGGUUUUCAUUUUCUUUUGAGCUCAAAGUGAAAACCACCAAAGAUUGUGGUCCCCAUGACACACAGUUAUUUCAGAGCAGAGUUAAUUAUAUAGAAUCAGAUCACUUACAUUUGGGGUACUAUCUGUUCUGUGAAGAGGAUUUUAAAGGUUUUUGGAAUUGCAAUUGCAUUCCUGAGGCAGUCCAAUUUAAUGUUUUUCCAUCUUUGGAGUGUGAGUGCUGUGGGGUGAAAAAAUGUGGGAUCGAUUUAUUUCGCUUCCCAAAUUCUGCGAGUCCAAUGGAAGAUCCGAGCACAUGUUUCAACUAUAACGAAGAAGGCUGAGAUUUUCAUGAAUGUAUUUUUAUUUCUUUCCUUUUUCUAAUCACUAUUAAUAGUAGGAGAAGAUGUCAAAAUCAGUUAUUGGAACAAAACAUUCAUGUAAUAACUUUUGAGGGAUCUGGUGCAUGUAACACACAUUCACACUAGAGUAUUGAACUUUACCUCAUUAGAUGAAGAGUAUAAUGUAUGAAAAGCACAUGAUGUGUAUUGUAAAAGUAAAAUUAUUGGCCUUGUUUCCUGCAUUGCGCACACAACAAUCCAAAACACAUCUAUCUAAUUAGGAGAGCACGUGACUUAUAAAGCAGUAAAAAAACUCACUCACUAGUGAUAUGGGAUAUUGUAAGAUGCGCAGCAAGUUGUUAUUGGGGGAGUAAUGUUGUGGGCCCAUAUAAGGCCUGACAAGAUAUUGUCCGCUUUGGACCUUAAUGAGGCUCUCAUAGUUUUGUUUCUAGAGCGUCCAUACACCCCAAAACGCGUUUUGUCAAUUAAGGUGUGGAUUACUCCUUAUAAACCCAGAAUCUCUCCCUUACUUGUUGAUGUGAGAUUUGCUUAGGGUGUUACACUCAUCCUGUUGCGCACUAUAUCAAGUCUCAUGUAUAUAAUACAAUCACAUUUGAAAAUUUUCUACUUUCUUAAAUCUAAAUUGUUGUACAUGGGAAAGUUUCAUCAUGUGCAAGCAAAAGCCAUUAAGAGGGAACAGUUAAAACACCAUCAAAUCUAUAUAUUUUAAAAAAUAUAUUUGUAUGUUGAUUAAAAAAAAAAAAGAACAAGAUAGGUGUCAUUUUCACUCAACUCAUUUGUGUUGUGAAUCCAUUUGCUUAAACAUGUAUGCACUUUUUCAAGUAUCUAUACUAAUUUCAUAUUCGGAAUGGUACAUUUGAUUCCAUAGUUGAUGUGGGAGUCUAUGGCUAGAAUUUACCUUUAAAAUAUCAGCUUGGAAGGAAAGGAUUAAAGAUGCCCAUGAACUUAUAUUUCUAUUUAGAAUACUGUAUCUUUUUCAUGCAAAAAAUGGAAUCUUAUCAUUCACAUAUCAUUAACAUAAGCAAUAUAGAUCGCAUAUCUUUAUGAUUGUGCUAAAUUUGACUUUUUAUAGAAUAAUUUGAUACAUUUCUUGAAUCCAUUUGGAGCUUCUACAACUUGUUAGGGAUCAGUUUCUCCUACAUUCAUUUCGGCGCCAAAAGAUAUUCAAGCGGUUGAAUAAGAAUUGAUAUAUACAACAUAAAUAUAAGAGUUGUUUGCCUUUUUACAAUCGCAAUAAUAUAUAAUGCACAUAUAAAUGCAUUCAUGUAAUUCACAGAGUCAGAGAUAUUACAUACAAAAGUUAAAUACAUGCUUUGAACCUAUACAAAAAAAAUUAUAGUCGAAAUUACGUAGAAGAUGAAUUGAAUUCACAAUAAGGAGCUAAAUUUUUAUUUACCCAACAAUCAUCUCGCUACACAAUUCACAACAAGAAAGAGCAAUCUUGUUUAGCUAACCUGCGCCCGUGAGGAAUGGAGGCACUAAAGCCAUGGAUAUGGAGCAGAGGUGGAGAAUUGGGAUGUGAAUUUGGAAUUGAAGAAACCAAGUAAUUGAUGGAGUAUUGGCCCUUCCAUUUCCACAUUUUGCAACUCUUCCUUACCUCAUUAACCUCCAAUUCCAGCGCAGCUGAAGCAGAAUCCCUCCACUGCUACUGUUAGUAUAACUGAUGGUAACAUUUUGUCUCUUCUUUUUGUCCUUAUUCCUCUGCUGCAACUGCAACUUAAACUGCCAACUCUUAUUGCUCAAUACGGGCAUGAGCAGGCCCUUUCGAUUUCCAUCCCCAAUUCCGAGUGUUUUUAACUUGUUAUUGGAAUAAUGGGAGAGGGAGCCCGAGCACAUACUCAUUCUUUUCUUGCUUUUUCAAUUGAAUAUUUUCCGUGGCCUAGACGGGCCUGCCCUUUCCCUGCUUCUACCUCUAUGAGACUGACUACAACAGAACUUUUUAUUUAUUUAUUUAUGAGGCUUAUUCCACUNNNNNNNNNNNNNNNNNNNNNNNNNNNNNNNNNNNNNNNNNNNNNNNNNNNNNNNNNNNNNNNNNNNNNNNNNNNNNNNNNNNNNNNNNNNNNNNNNNNNNNNNNNNNNNNNNNNNNNNNNNNNNNNNNNNNNNNNNNNNNNNNNNNNNNNNNNNNNNNNNNNNNNNNNNNNNNNNNNNNNNNNNNNNNNNNNNNNNNNNNNNNNNNNNNNNNNNNNNNNNNNNNNNNNNNNNNNNNNNNNNNNNNNNNNNNNNNNNNNNNNNNNNNNNNNNNNNNNNNNNNNNNNNNNNNNNNNNNNNNNNNNNNNNNNNNNNNNNNNNNNNNNNNNNNNNNNNNNNNNNNNNNNNNNNNNNNNNNNNNNNNNNNNNNNNNNNNNNNNNNNNNNNNNNNNNNNNNNNNNNNNNNNNNNNNNNNNNNNNNNNNNNNNNNNNNNNNNNNNNNNNNNNNNNNNNNNNNNNNNNNNNNNNNNNNNNNNNNNNNNNNNNNNNNNNNNNNNNNNNNNNNNNNNNNNNNNNNNNNNNNNNNNNNNNNNNNNNNNNNNNNNNNNNNNNNNNNNNNNNNNNNNNNNNNNNNNNNNNNNNNNNNNNNNNNNNNNNNNNNNNNNNNNNNNNNNNNNNNNNNNNNNNNNNNNNNNNNNNNNNNNNNNNNNNNNNNNNNNNNNNNNNNNNNNNNNNNNNNNNNNNNNNNNNNNNNNNNNNNNNNNNNNNNNNNNNNNNNNNNNNNNNNNNNNNNNNNNNNNNNNNNNNNNNNNNNNNNNNNNNNNNNNNNNNNNNNNNNNNNNNNNNNNNNNNNNNNNNNNNNNNNNNNNNNNNNNNNNNNNNNNNNNNNNNNNNNNNNNNNNNNNNNNNNNNNNNNNNNNNNNNNNNNNNNNNNNNNNNNNNNNNNNNNNNNNNNNNNNNNNNNNNNNNNNNNNNNNNNNNNNNNNNNNNNNNNNNNNNNNNNNNNNNNNNNNNNNNNNNNNNNNNNNNNNNNNNNNNNNNNNNNNNNNNNNNNNNNNNNNNNNNNNNNNNNNNNNNNNNNNNNNNNNNNNNNNNNNNNNNNNNNNNNNNNNNNNNNNNNNNNNNNNNNNNNNNNNNNNNNNNNNNNNNNNNNNNNNNNNNNNNNNNNNNNNNNNNNNNNNNNNNNNNNNNNNNNNNNNNNNNNNNNNNNNNNNNNNNNNNNNNNNNNNNNNNNNNNNNNNNNNNNNNNNNNNNNNNNNNNNNNNNNNNNNNNNNNNNNNNNNNNNNNNNNNNNNNNNNNNNNNNNNNNNNNNNNNNNNNNNNNNNNNNNNNNNNNNNNNNNNNNNNNNNNNNNNNNNNNNNNNNNNNNNNNNNNNNNNNNNNNNNNNNNNNNNNNNNNNNNNNNNNNNNNNNNNNNNNNNNNNNNNNNNNNNNNNNNNNNNNNNNNNNNNNNNNNNNNNNNNNNNNNNNNNNNNNNNNNNNNNNNNNNNNNNNNNNNNNNNNNNNNNNNNNNNNNNNNNNNNNNNNNNNNNNNNNNNNNNNNNNNNNNNNNNNNNNNNNNNNNNNNNNNNNNNNNNNNNNNNNNNNNNNNNNNNNNNNNNNNNNNNNNNNNNNNNNNNNNNNNNNNNNNNNNNNNNNNNNNNNNNNNNNNNNNNNNNNNNNNNNNNNNNNNNNNNNNNNNNNNNNNNNNNNNNNNNNNNNNNNNNNNNNNNNNNNNNNNNNNNNNNNNNNNNNNNNNNNNNNNNNNNNNNNNNNNNNNNNNNNNNNNNNNNNNNNNNNNNNNNNNNNNNNNNNNNNNNNNNNNNNNNNNNNNNNNNNNNNNNNNNNNNNNNNNNNNNNNNNNNNNNNNNNNNNNNNNNNNNNNNNNNNNNNNNNNNNNNNNNNNNNNNUUAAGCGCUUACUAAAAUACUCUAUGUGAUGGAACCUCCACCCAAUAAUUGUUGCAUACCCAUCUCAUUUUAAAAAAAUAAUUAUAAAAAGUAUAGACUAUUUUUAAAAAUCUUCAAAUAAAAGAAGAACUUUAGAGGAUUAAUUAAUUUAAUUUAUUUUUUUGUGACUCAAUUUUUUUAUUAUAUUUGACUACAAAGAUUACUUUGGCAUAAGUUUAAAUUGACAAUUUUACUCUUACAAGGUAAAACUAACAAGAAUUUACUUUAAUAUUUUUCUAAUUUUAUACCAGGCUCAAGGUUUCUAAUACUACUUUAUUAGUAUGAGUAUUAAUCCUUAAUUAAACUAACAUAGUGUCUUUAUGGCAUAUACUAAUGUAAAUUGUUGAGAUGUCAAAUUUAUGCCAUUUACACGUAAGGGUAGUAAAAGUAAUAAUUAGAUUUCAUUUAAAAAUAUUAGAUUAUAAAUCACAAAAUUGAAUACGUAAAUUAUUGGAUACAAUAACACAUGUUUAUUGAGGCAAUUUAGUCGUUAUAUAUCAUAAUAAUAAUGAAGUAAAAUAAAACUUAUAUUAAAGAUUAUGAUCAAAGAUGGUCAAAGAACUUAAGAUCGAGCAAAUCCCUUGACUGCAAAAAUUAGAUCAAGCAAAGCUUGCAUUCCCUAUAGUUAAAAAAGGAAAAAAAAAUCAUUACUAUUACCCUUAAAUUUUAAUUAAACAAACUUAAAUUUUAAUUAAACAAAAAACGAAGCAAGAGUGAAUAGAGUAAUACCAAAGCAAAUUUAGGAUUGUUAGGUCCAAUUGUGGACAAACUUCUGAACUUCUAAUAGUAGACUUAGGAGGAAGGAUUUGAAGAGGCUGCAGUGGCGGCGAAUACGCAUCAAGAUUCACAUUGCUCCUCACUUUGAGGGCCAAAAGAGUGCGGAGGCGAGACAAAGCUGACGUGCGAUUCUUGUGCUACGAUCGGUCUUCGGCGGCCUGCGCUAUGAAGCCGGUCGGUAUGUGCUUGAGACGUACGGCGGAUUCGUGCUUGUUGUGGUGCUGACCGCCUGGUCCCAACGAUUUGUACGUGUCCAUUUCGCAUUCGCGAAACAGCUCAUCGUCCGUCAAUUCUAAGUAAUUCUUCUUCUUUGAAGAAGAAGAUGAAGAACAAUUGUCAUUGGUGUUCUAAUUGCAAGACAAGAACAAUGGCUGAUAAUUCCAGCAACACAUUCUUAUAGUAGGCCCAGCCUAAUCCAGCCCAGUUGCGCUAGUGAGCGACUUCUCGCCUAUCUUAUAUGCAAUGAUUAUGUGUUGGUUGGAUGUAGUUUAUCUAAUAAGUCUUUAUUUAGGGCCAAUUUGGGAUUGCGAAGUUGAUGAAAUAAACUACUUGUACUGCAUAGAUAAAUAAGCCGCUAAUUAAAAAGGUAGCUAAGUAUUUGGUAAAUUGCAUUGUUGCAGUUGUUGUAAGUUUGAAAAGUAGAGUACAUGCGUUUGGUAAAUUUUAUUACGAAAGUGAUGUUUUAUUAUAUGAUGACCAAAAUAGAAAUAAGUUUAAAUUAUCUUUUACUUUUAGAGUAUAUUUAAUAAAUCAUUUAGACAUACCUUUUCUUCUUAAACGUGUAAAAUUACAUUAAAAAACUCAAUUAACAACAUGGAUAUAAAAUAAAACAUGGAUAAAGAAAAAAAUAUAGGAAAAAGGACAUUUACACCCCCAAGGUUUGGGGAUCACCAACACCCCCAAUUGUUUAAAGAGGGACAUCCACACCCCCUUUUGACCAUUAUACACUUUACCUCUAUUAUUCUAGAAAAAUUGACUCUAAUAUUUUACAAUAAAUAUAAAUUUAAUAUUAAAAUAAAUUUAAUAAUAUAUACAUUUUAAAAUAAUUUUAAUAUUUAAAAAAUAUUUUAAUAUUAUAUAAUCUAUUAGAUAUAUUUUAUUAUAUUAAAGUAAAUUUUAUGAUAAAUAGAAUCAAAAUAUUAAAAUAAAGGUAUUAAAAAUUUAAAUUAUUUUGAAUAUUAUGUAAAAUAAUUAUUUUAGCAAUAUUAGUAUGUAAGAAUGUUUUUAAUUGUAGAAUGUAUUUAAUGCAAAUAUUUAUUUAAAAUCUCUACAAUAAAUAAAAAUAUAUUAUUAAAAUAAAUAUAAUAAUUUAAAUAUUAAAAUUUAUUAAAAUAUUAAAAUAUUUUAAUAUUGUUAGCUACUACAUAGAUUGCAUUAUUUAUAUGGUAUUUGUAUUUAAUAAAAAUUUUAAAGUCAAUUUUUUAGAAUAAUAGAGGUAAAUGGUAUGAUGGUCAAAAGACGAUCUUGGUGUCCCUCUUUGAAAACUUGGGGGUGUUGGUGAUCAUUUCCCCAAACUUGAGGGUGUAGUUGUCCUUUUUCCAAAACUAUUUAGAAAAAAACAUGAACCUACUGGAUAAAAAUUAGAUAUAAAAAAAUAUAAAUAUAUAUAGAUUAAAUUUUAAAAGCCAUAGUUAUGGAAUUACAAUAUGAACUUAUUAGAUAAAAAAUGGAGAAAACGUACAUGGUUAUAGCGGUUAGGGAUGGCAAAACCUCGGGCCAGGUCCUGGUAUUGCAAUGACCGGACCCUGCCCGGAUGCAACCGGUCUGGGUCCGGGCCGGGUUUUAAUCCAGGUACGCAAAUUUUAUAUUUUUUUAAUAUUAUAUGUGUAUAUAUUUUUUAUUUUUUGGUAAUUUUAUAAGUUUUAAAUUUAUUUCAAUAAAAUUUGACAUGAAAAUAUAAACUUUAAGUGUUUAAAACUUUAUAUAUGUAUAAUAAAUGAGUCAAAUAAAUAUAAAUAUUUAAAAUAAUAUAUAUUUUAUAAUAUUUUUUUAAUAAAAUUCGGAUUCCGGGUUUAUCAAGUGAUGCCCAAUACUGACCCGGCUUCAUACCUAGACCGGGUAAUACCCGACCCACAAUGCCCGGGUAUGGUCCGAGUCCGGACCGGGCUGGUAUUUUUGCCACCUCUAAUAGCGGUAACUAAAUUAUAGUGGUAAUAUGAUAUCUAAUUAUUUAUAUAUUAGGGUUUAUAAAUAAGUAAGAUAUAAUUGUCUUUUUAUUAAAAUACUAGGGUUAUAAUAGGAAUUUUUAAAAAGUGUUGUAGCUUAUUGAAUAAGUUGCUUAUGAUAUCUAAUGAUUUAUAUAUUAGGGUUUAUAAAUAAGCAAUGAGAAAUUCUAGAAUACAUCUGAGGUACCAUGUCAUCCAUACAACAAGCAAUAAUAUCAUGACAUGUGUGCAUUUAUUUUGAACUAUUAUCAUGCAAGUGGUGGUUGUAUUAAAUUCAAUUACACUGGUCAUGCAUGCAUCAAUUGGUUGUAGUACCUCAGAUGUAUUCUAGAAUUUCUAAAUAAGCAAGAUAUAAUUGUCUUUUUAUUAAAAUAUCAGGGUUGUAAUAGGAAUUUUCAAAAAGUUAUGUAGCUUAUUGAAUAAGCUGCUUAUGAAAAGCAAACACCUACCUGCUUUUAAAAGCUGCUGAUAAAAUGGAAAAAAUUAUGAAAUAAGUUACUUUUACAAAAUUUAGCAAACACUAUUUUUGUCAAAAAUUAUGAAAUAAACAGUUUAUUGAAUUUCAACCUCAAUACCAAAUAGGGCCUUAAUCUUAUAAGUUCUUUUCAAAUUUUUUAUUGUUAUUUAGUUAUUUUUUUAGUAGCACUUUUAAAGACUAAAUAAGAUAUUUUGCAUCUACUAAUAAAACUCAAAUUUUAGGCUUUUGUGAGUACAUGUUGAAAAGCUUAUUUAAAAUGUUAAAAUGCCUAAAAUAUUCUUUAUUUAUUUGACAAUCUUAUUUUAUUUUUUUAUAACAUAACUUUAAAAAACUUGUCUAUUAAAUUAAUUUUAUAAUUUGUAAUAAAAGUUUUCAUUGACAACCAAACAAUUAAAUUUCUUUUUAGUAACUCUAUUUAUAAAAGUUCUACUGACAAAAGGUCUAUUUAAAUAAGCUCUAUUUAAAAGUUACACCAAACAGAUCCAACAGUAUCAUUGACGCAAGCAAUGUAAUUAUUCUAUUAUUUUUUAACUUAUGUGGCUCUGUAUCAUUUGAAAAAUCCUAUUAUAAGAGAGAGGGAUAUAAUUUAUGCUGGAAUAUUCUCAAAAUAAAUGGCGUGCCUUAAAAGGUGUCUUAUAGUAAAAUACAUCUAACUAAAUAUUGUCAUAUACAAGAAAAAUGUAUCCUUUUUUUUUUAAAAAAAGAUGUAUCUAUUCAUGGUGCCAUAUUUUUAUUUGAAAUGAUGGUGGUUUAUCUUGGACCAGUGAUGAUUUAAUUCAAAUUUUAAUCCAAUAACCAUGGAUAGAAGGUGUCAUAAAAGGUAACAGCCCAAAUGAAGGGGCACAUGAUUAUCUAUAAAUAGAAGUCACAACAUUUUCUAUAAAUAGAAGUUACGCCAUUUUGUGAUCCAUAUAAUCUUCUUGCACCUCUCUUUUUUUCUUUUUUUAUUUAACCCCUCUUUCCUAAAUCGAAUUUAUGCAUAAUACAUCUAUAUUUUAUGCAUCAAAUCUCUAAAAUAUUAUUUUUUACAGGAACAAUAUAUUGAUUUUUCGUAGGCUUGCAACACACAAGGGUAUUUAGGUUUGCUUUUAUUAGUGCAUAAUACAAGCAAAUAAAACAAACACUUCAUUAUAUCAUGGAGACAUAUUUGCUUAACUCAUAUAUAUCACGCAAAUGCAGGAGGGAGUAACUAACUUCUUGAGGAAUGCAACAUUGUGUCUUGCAGCACUGUCAAUUAUUACAGUGUACUAUUCUUAUUAUUAUUAUGAUUAUUAUUCUUUGUACCUAUAAAAUUUCAUCUAUUUUUCUCCAAUUUUCCACAGUUAUUACUCCCCACGAAUAUAUUUCCAAUAAAACAAACACUUCAUUAUAUCAUGGAGACAUAUUUGCUUAACUCAUAUAUCACGCAAAUGCAGGAGGGAGUAACUAACUUCUUGAGGAAUGCAACAUUGUGUCUUGCAGCACUGUCAAUUAUUACAGUGUACUAUUCUUAUUAUUAUUAUGAUUAUUAUUCUUUGUACCUAUAAAAUUUCAUCUAUUUUUCUCCAAAUUUCCACAAUUAUUACUCCCCACGAAUAUAUUUCCAAUAUUUUAUUUCAUAUAUUUACUUCUGCUACUAGUACGAUAACAAAAUAUGCCUUUUUGAACCACAUCAAUUUCUAGAUCCAUUUUAUUGAUAAAUUAACCGAACGCACCAUCCAUUAUUUAAUUUAUGGGUCAAAUAAGUCAUAAGUAGUUGAAAUAAAAUGUUUGUUUGGUAGAUAACAUCGGUUUUUAAAAUACUUUAAAAGAUUUUAUUUCUAUGAAGCCUAGUCCAACAUAGAAAAUCAAAUAAAAUUAAUUUUCAUCACUACUCAAGAGACUCAAAGAGUACUAAUGUAGCGUUUAUUUUUUUAUAUAAAAUUUGAAUAGGCCUGAAUUUGGGUGAAGUCUGAAUAUAAAUGUCUAAAUAAUAUGUUUAUUUUUUUAAUAUCUGAAAAUUGAGUGACGUCUUAUUUAUUUUUAUAAUUUAAAAAAAUCGAACAUAGUUAUUUGACAUUUUUGUCCUUAUAAGUCAAAAUGAAUAAAAGAAUUAUGUUUUAUAGUUUAGGAAAUAACUAUAUUUAAUAGAAAUAUCUUUAGGGUAUAGUAUUUACUUUCCAUUUCGAUAAAAAUAACAAAAAUUCACUUUUUGUAUUCAAAUGUAAAUAUGUAAAACUCACACAUAAGUUCCUAAAAAGUAAACAAGCAACUUUAAGAAAAAAAAAAGUUACGUAGCUUUUGUUUUAAACAAAAAUAAUAAAUAAGAAUAAUUUUCAAAAUUAAAUACAGUAUCACCCUGCUCAUUGCUGAUAGUUAUGACUUAUGAGUAUGAAAGCACAAAAGCCGUGUGUUGAAAGUAUGGUGUUCAUGUGGAAAUUUCAGCUAAAAGUCCACAAAGUAAUUUCAGUCAUCUUACAGUCUCCAAGGUGCUUGGACAAUGAGAUGACAUUGAAAAAUUAUCACGGAACUUCGAGGGAGGUUCAUAGCAUCGAUUUAUUCUACAGAGUCACGCUCAUUUUGGCUUAGUAAUUGUUUUCAUCUGAUCAAAAUCUCUCCCAAAUCAAUCCAACUGUUUCUGUUAAUUAUGGCAACACGAAAUAUGAUGUUUUUUUUUCAGUUUUUUGGGUAGAUAAUCUCAAUUUUAAAAUACUUUAAUAGAUUUUGAAAGAUAAGAUACAAUGGUAUACAACUAAAGCCUAAUCCAACAUAGAAAAAUUAAAUAAAAUUAAUUUUCAUCACUACUCAGAGAGAAUUGAAAGGACAUUAAAGUAGUGUUUUUUUUUUAUCUAAAAUUUGAAUAGCCUGAAUUUGACUGAAAUCUAAAUGGGUUUGAAUAUAAAUGUCUCAAUAACAUUUUUCUUAAUACCUAAAAAUUAAGUGGCAUCUUAUUCGUUUCUAUAAUAAAAAAAAUACAUCAAACGCUGUUAUUUGACAUUUAUGCCCUUAUAAGUCAAAUUGAGUAAAAGGGAUUAGGCUUCGUAGUUUAGGAAGUAACUUUAUUGAAUAGAAAUAUUUUUCGGAUAUAGUAUUUAUUUUGCAUUCAAACAUUUUCUCAUUUUGUCAAAGGUCACAAAAAUUUACUUUUUUAAUUUAAAUGUAAAUGUCUAAAAAUCAGACAUAAGUUAAAAAAAAAAUAAUUAUUAUUUUUUUAAAGUUAGACUUCAUAUGUUUAACAAUCAACUGUAAGGAACAUGAAAAAGAGCUAUUAAAACAAAAAAAAAAUUUUGAAACUAAAUACAAUUAGUUGAGAGAUGAGGACCGAUAAGAUAAAUUGAGAGAUAAAAACUAAAAUAUCAGCCCCUCAUUGCUGAUAGUUAUGAGUAUGAAAGCACAAAAGCCAUGUGUUGAAAACUAUGGUGUUCAUGUGGAAUUUUCAGCUAAAAGUCUACAAAGUAGUGGAAUUAAUCAAUCAUCGUGGAGUGCACGGUGGUUGGACAAUGAGAUGAAAUUGAAAAAUUAUCACGGAACGUGAAGGAAGGUUCAUGGCAUCGAUUUAUUGUACAGAGUCGCGCACAUUUGGUUCAAUAAUUGUUUUCAUCCGAAUCAAAAUCUCUUUCUAAUCAAUUCAAUUGUUUAUGUUGCUUAUGGCUUCUUCUUCUCGAAACAACAAGAAGUAUGAUGUUUUUGUUAGUUUCAGACGAGAGGACACCCGCGACAACUUUACUAGCCAUCUCUGUUCUGCUCUGUGUCAACAAAAUAUCCAAACUUUCAUUGAUGACCAACUUAACAGAGGAGAUGAAAUUUUGGAGUCACUUGCGAAUGCAAUUGAAGUAUUAGCCAUUUCAGUUAUUGUCUUCUCAGAAGGGUAUGCAUCUUCCAGAUAGUGUCUCGAUGAACUUGUAAAGAUCCUUAAGUGCAAGAAAGAGUAUUCACAAAUUGUGAUUGUUGGGAAAUUAAUGGGUGAAGUAGGGCCACAGAUAAAAUGAAAUUGGAAGAAAAUAAAGAACAACCUCAAAAGAGGACACUAGAAAUUACGUGGUUCGGCUUUUAACCUACGUCCACGGGUGAAGACAGAAAGAAAAUAUUUUACUAGUGAAAAGGAAUUACAAGUAUUGUGGUAUUUUAACUCACUACCCAAAAUCUCAAUACACCCAAACUCUCAAAUCACAAAUCAUUCAAGAGUUUGUUAAAACUUUUAAAAUACUCUCACUUUCUCUCUAAAGAAGAAGAAAUAAAACUGAAAAAAUUGGAUGCUCUAAGCCGAUGGGAAACUCCUCUUUUUAUAGCCAAAAUUGGCUAUUAAAAUAAUAAUUUUUUUUCUUGGGCGGCACCCUUUCUUCUUCUUUCAUUUUCUUCUUUCUUCUUUUUCUUCAUUCCAAAUUUGAUGCUGCCAAAUUCUUCUUUUUUUCUUGAACAAUUUCAGCAUUCAAAAUGGGCUGCAUCUAGAACGGUUGGCUUCUAGAUUUGCAGCAUCCAUUUUUUACAGUGAUUACGGUUUUCUAUCGAGUUGAUUCAUCAGACGUGAGAAACCAAACAGGGUGUUUUGGCAUUUCAUUUUCGAAGCUUGAAGAAAGAUUUAAGGAGAAUUCAGAGAAGCUGUAGACUUAGAGGAAUGCUUUGAAGGAAGCAGCAAGUCUGUCUGGCUUUCAUUCUCAGAACAUCAGGCGAAAAGUUACUUUUAAUUUCGCAUACUAAUAUUUAACACUGUAAAUAAAAUUCACGCAGCACUUUUAGUUAAAAUUUCCAGAUACUAAACGACACUUUUAAAUUUUUUUAGGCAUCAAAUUCUAGGCUUCCCGACUUCCCGACUUUUGUGCUCUCAUAAUUAUAAAAUAAUUUUGACAAAAUUAAUAAUAAAAGUUGGAGAAUUUUAUAAUAUAUAUCUAACAAAAUUAGUGGUGGGCUGUCGUUUUGUAGGCAAUUUCAACCGCUCACUCAUAUACCAACACUAGGAAAUAGAACCGCACUUCGUGCGGCUUUAAAAAAGAAAUUAGUAUUAUUUUUUUAUUACUUUACACUUGAUAAAACUGAUAAAAAAUAUGAAUUGAUUUUUUUUUAAAGAUGACGCAGCCUUAUAAAACUAAUGUUAUUUAUGAAAGUUAUUUUUUUUUUUAACUUUAAAAAUAUAUAUUAAUGUGUAUAGUUAAGUGUACACAACCUUUUCAUCAAUAAAAAUUAUGUUCACACUAAUCAACUCUCCAUUCUUCUUAGUAUUAACAAACUCCCACAUUUUACAAAGCCUAACCCUUAUCAUCCAACUAUCUUUAUUAUUGUUUAACUCAUGAAGAAAAGAAUACUACAUGAAGCACACAAUGCAAAAAAUUUAAAUAAGUCAAAAAAUAAAAACACAAGAACAUUUCUAAAGAGGAUGUUGGUUAAAUAAUAAAAAAAAACCCAAACAUAACAAAUCUUAAAUACUUAAUAUUUAUAUAGUUUGAAGAAGCCAAAAGACGCUAAAUAAAAGGUUGCAUGAUUAAAUAUGAAAUUAUGACAUUAAAAUUCGGUCCUAGUGGUAUUGGUGAGGGAAGAUGAAAGAACCUUCCUUCCUAUAUUAAUUAAUUGAUGUAUUUUAAACCACUAAAGUUUAGUUGUUGGCUUAAUAAAAUAAAUGAAUGUUUCAAAACUAUAAUUAAUUUAUUAUUAAUAGUUACAUAUUGUUGAAUUUAAAUAGAAAGAAGAAGAGACAUGUAAUCUUUUAUAAUCUACUAAUUAUUUUCUAUUUUUAAUAUUUUGUAAUGUAAUUAUUUUUUAAUCUCAACCAAUAUAUUAGAUUAUAGAGAAUAUAAAAAGAUGAGAAAUAAUAAUGCCACAAAUCUUAACUACUUAAUAUUUAUAGAGUUUGAAGAAGUCAAAAGGCACUAAACAAAAGGUUGCAUAAUUAAAUAUGAGAUUAUAUCAUUAAAAUUAGACCCUAAUGGCAUUAUUGUGGGAAGAUGAAGGAACAUUCCUUCCUAUAUUAAUUAAUUGAUAUAUUUAAGCCACUAAAGUUUAAUUGUUGGCAUAAUAAAAUAAAUUAAUGUUUGAAGACUUAUAAUUAAUUAUUAUUAAUGGUUACAUAUUAUUGAAUUUAAAUAGAAAGAGGAAGAGACAUAUAAUCUAAUAAUUAUUUUUUAUUUUUAAUAUUUUGUAAUGUAAUUAUUUUUUUAAUAUCAACCAAUUUAUUAGAUAAUAGAGAAUACAAGAAGAUGAAAAAUAGUGAUGCCACAUCACCUCAUCUAGUCCCAACUUUAUAUAUAUAUAUAUAUAUAUAUAUAUAUAUAUAUAUAUAUAGAUUGUUAAUAUUUUGUAAUGUAAUUAUUUUUUAAUCUCAACCAAUAUAUUAGAUAAUAGAGAAUAUAAAAAGAUGAGAAAUAAUGAUGCCACAAAUCUUAAAUAUUUAAUGUUUAUGGAGUUUGAAGAAGCCAAAAUGCACUAAACAAAAGAUUGAAUAAUUAAAUAUGAGAUCAUGACAUUAAAAUUAGGCUCUAAUGGCAUUAUUGAGGGAAGAUGAAGGAACCUUCCUUCAUAUAUUAAUAUUAAUUAAUUGAUGUAUUUUAAGCCACUAAAAUUUAAUUGUUGGUAUAAUAAAAUAAAUGAAUGUUUCAAGACUUAUAAUUAAUUAUUAUUAAUGGUUAUAUAUUGUUGAAUUUAAAUAGAAAGAGGAAAAGACAUGUAAUCAUUUAUAAUCUAAUAAUUAUUUUCUAUUUUAAUAUUUUGUAAUGUAAUUAUUUUUUAAUUUCAACCAAUUUAUUAGAUAGUAGAGAAUAUGAGAUGAUGAGAAAUGGUGAUGCCACAUCACCUCCUCAAGUCCCAACUUUAUAUAUAUAUAUAGAAGAUUAGGGAAAAAAAACAUAAAAAAAAACUCACACAUAUUCCUGUAAUUUAAGAGUUAUUAAUUUACUGGGAGAUUGUAGAUUAGUAGUGGUGUAUAUUGUAGACUAGUAGUGGUAUAUAUUAAUCUCCCUUAUUUCAUAUUCAAUGCAAAUUCCUCCUAUUAAUUUGAAGUUAUUGCGGCUAAUUUUAAGCAUUUACUAGGCGUGAGUCAGAACUUAUAAAUGAAGUUGUCAUUUUGAAGAGAUUGGAUGAAGUGUUUCGGCCGCGUGAUAACAAAAACCAGCUGGUUGGAGUGGAAUCAACAGUUGAGGAAAUUAAAUCUCUAUUAGGUGUUGAGUCGAAAGAUAUUUACGCUUUAGGGAUUUGGGACAUUGGUGGUAUAGGCAAAACAACAAUUGCUAGAGCUAUUUUCAACAAAAUCUUGAAUGAUUUUGAAGGUACUUGUUUCCUUGAAAAUGUUAGAAAAGAGUCACAAAGAAUGGGAGGAUUAGCUUGCUUGCGACAAAAACUUCUUUUAAAUUUGUUGAAGGAUGAAAAUAUGAUUCCUCAUAUUGACCUUAAUUUUAGAAGGCUCAGCUGCAUGAAGGUUUUGAUUAUUUUUGAUGAUGUGACUUGCUUCACCCAAUUAGAAUCCUUAAUAGGAAGUCUUGAUUGGUUGACGCCCGUGAGUCGAAUCAUAAUAACCACCAGAAAUAAACAAGUGCUUAGAAACUGGGAGGUGAGGAAAAUAUAUGAGAUAGAGGCUUUAGAAUAUCAUCAUGCUCUUGAUCUUUUCAGUCGACAUGCCUUCAAACGAAACCAUCUUGAUGUUGGUUACGAGAAACUUUCAAGCAACGUAAUGAAAUGUGCUCAAGGAGUCCUUUUAGCUCUUAAAGUUUAGGGUUGGUUUCUAUGUAAAAGGGAAAAAAAGUCUGGGAAAGUGCAAUAAAUAAAUUCCAAAGAAUCCUCCAUCCAAGUAUUUGAGAGGUAUUAAAAAUAAGUUAUGAUGGUUUAGAUGAUAAAGAGAAAAAUAUUUUCCUUGAUGUUGCUUGUUUCUUUCAAGGUGAGGAUGUAAAUCUAGUAAUGAACUUCCUUAAUGCAAGUGGCUUCUACCCAGAAAUAGGAAUAAGUGUUCUUGUUGAUAAGUCUCUUAUUCUCAUAUCAAAUAACAACAAGAUAACUAUGCAUGAUUUGAAACAAGAAUUUGGUCAGGAAAUUAUUCGAGAAGAAUCAAUUAAUCCUGAAAACCGCAGUAGGCUGUGGCAUCAUAAAGAUACCUAUGAAGUUCUUACAUAUAAUACAGUAAGCAUUUUGUUGUGGAUUAUAUUUUGGAAUAUUAUAGCAUUUACAAACUUGAUAUGAAUAUACUUAUAUACACUCGAACUGAUGAGUCUUAGAAUUAAUAGAAGUGUGACAAUGAUUAGAAAAAAAAAUAGUGGUUAAAUGAUGUAACAAUAAAUUAUAUAUGCCAUGACAAAUUGUGUGAUCGUUUGUAUGUUAGUAAUAUGCCCUAAAGGCCAAUCAAAUGGUGUUUGUUUGUUUAGGGAAUUAUUGUAUUUGAAUAGCAUUUUGACAUUUAUAAAAUGGCAAAGUUAUCAACAUUCAUAAAUUAAUUUAAUGAAUAUAGUCCAAGAAGUAAAAUAGUUAAGGAACACAUUCUCGAGUUUGUCGAGAAUAUGAAACGUGCAUUCUUUGUACUAUACUUCCAAAAUAGUUCCUAGUGGUGGAUUUAUGAUUGGACAUUAUAAAUUCCUAUAAACACUGGUAUGUGUUAUGACUCCUUAUGGUAUGUGAUACUAAAAUGGAUGGUGAGUUUCAUAUCAUUGACAUGAGAUGUCAAGUCAAACACAUAGGUACUUGUUGAGAGAACGAGUUUACUGAACUUGACCAAAUAUAGUAAGCCAUAUGGUUUUGAGUGUUAAUGGCUUAUUAUACAUUGUGAUAGACACUAUGUUUAGUAAUGGUCUUUAGACCUGAGGCACAACAGAUGUCUUAUACAUAGACAUCUCUGAUAUGUGAAAGCAUAAUGAUUGAUUCCUAAUCAAGGAAGAGAUCUAGCAAUAACUGUCAUGGUUGGCUAUGUAUGGAGACAAGUGUAUGGCCAAUAUGGAAUUCAUCACUUUGUAAUAUACAAAAAGGAUGUCCCUGUGAGAUAAUAUGAAUUGGCAUGAGAAAUCCUUGGCCAAGGUGAAAUGUGUUUGAAGGAGUUCAUAUUAUAUUUUCAUGCCAAGUUCAUUUAGAUUUAUUUUGAGAUAAAGCAUAAUUGCUUAACAUAAUAAACCAUAAGCCGUGUUUUUCUCUGGACAUGGAUGAUGAAGAGACCAAGACAUAGAGAUACAAUGGAAUAGGUUUUAUAGAUCCAACAAUUCUUGUUAUUUGGAUGGUUGUGAAAUACUGCUAGGUGUCACUCAUAACUUGUAGAAACCUUAAGAUUAAUAUUGGUAAAGCGUAUUAGCAAUGCAUCUUAAGGUCAUUAGAAAAGUUCUACUUGAUGACUAAAGAGUUUAGCAUCAUUUAAUGAAUAAAGAGUUAUCAUUAAAAUAGUUCUACUACCUUAUAACAAAGAACCUAAAAGGUCACACACCAAAUAGAAAUGAAAAAGGAGUUACUAGAAAAUGAGAAGUUAAAUUUCUUAAUUUUAGAAAAAUCGAUAUUUAUAUUAUAAUUAAUUAAGAAUGAAUAUAUAUAUAUAAAUAUAUCUUAAAUAUGAUUUAAGAUAGAAAUUUAGAUGUUCCAUAAAUAGUUUAAGGAACAAAAUAAAUUUCAUAAAUCCUUAAUUAAACAUUAUGUAUAAUAUCAAACACGUAAAAUGACCAUUUUAGACAUGUUCCGAUUCAUAUAUGAUUAUGGACUUCUAGACCAAUUUUGGGUUUAGAAUUUUGGGCUUUUAUUGGACCUAAUAUGGAUUAAGAGAAAGCAUUAGAACAUGUCACAAAAGAAGCCCACAUUGAACCAUUUGAUUUGAUCAAAAUGGGAUUAAUUAAUUAAAGACAAAAUUAAUUAAUUUAGCUAUUUAUUUAUUUGAUUAAAUAAAUUAUUGAAGUGAUAAGAUCACAUUCAAUAAAUAAUGGCUUAGUGGGUGGGUCUAGACAUGAUAAUGUUUGGUGCCAUUAUUGAAGAUAAUGGUGGCUUUAUUUGGUGGAAUGAAUUAUCAUGAACUAGCAUUCAUGUUUCUUCAUUAUCUCUCUCAUUUCUAAACGAAAUUUCGUGAUUCCAAAUCCUAUGAACUCCUAGAAAAUUUCUAAGUGUGUACUAACUAGAGGCAUCACAAUUGGGGUGCCUUAAGGAUCUCAAAUCGUGGAAAAACAGAAGCUGUUCGUGCAGAGGUUUAUUUUCUGGACAGUGUUCAUAGCUUGCUGUUUUCAGUCAUUUUCUCCUACUUCACGAAGUCUUUUUUGAAACUAAAAGUGAGGUAAUUAAACUUCAAUCUUUCCUCUUGAUUUUCGUUUUUGAAUGAAGCCGAUCCGAGGUUUCUAGAGCUUCCGCCAUGCGUUUUAAUUUUACUGCACAAAAGUUGCGUUUUUAAGAACCUCAUGGACAAAUGUUGUCUUUCAUUGUAAGCAUAAUUUAUAUGUCAACUUGUAGACUAUACAUACAGAAUUUUUAUGUUAAAUAUUACGUGUAUUAUUAUGUUUCUUUGUGCAUUUGCAAUUAAGAGUUUAGCUGCCUAGCAAUAACCAUAAACAUGAAUUAUUGAAAUUUGAUUGGUGUAAUGUCAGAGAGCCGCACUCCAACCCACCUCAACUCUGCACAAGAAUAAUUAAAACUUGAAUUAAUAACUAAGCUACCUCUAAUUGUGAAUUAAUGACAUGCUUGCCCCAAAAAAUUGUCUUGGUUGGGUUAUCAUUUUUCUUUGAUUUUAACUUUAUUUUUUUAAUUGAAUUUUAGGGGACAGAAAAAAUUGAGGGCAUUUGUUUGGAUAUGUCAAAAGUAAAAGACAUCUAUCCAAAUCCUAGUACUUUCACAAAGAUGCGUAAGUUGAGAUUUUUAAAAUUCUAUAGCUCAUCAUUCAAUGGAGAGAACAAAUGUAAGGUGUCUUAUUUGCAAGACCCUGGAUUUGCUGAAGAGAAGUAUUUUCACUGGCAUGGAUAUCCGUUGAAGUCAUUGCCUUCAAAGCUUAGUGCAGAGAAGCUUAUAUUUCUUGAAAUGCCUGGUAGCGACAUUGAACAACUUUGGGAUGGUGUGAAGGUAUGUAUAUCUUGAUAUAUAUGUGCAAUCAUGGUAAGUUAAACCGGAUAAUCCAUGAUUCCUGCAGGAAGCUAAUUGCCAAAAUUCCAAACCCCACGUUGAUUCCACAUCCGAACAAGCUAGUUAUCUUGAAUCGAAGAGAUAGCAAAAGCCUGAAAAGUCUUCCAGCUAGAAUAUUUAAUUUGGAAUUUCUUACCAAACUUGAUCUUUCUGGUUGUUCAAAACUGAAGAAGCUUCCAGAGAUCUCAUCUAGUAACAUAAGCCGGCUAUAUUUAAGUGGAACUGCAAUUAAAGAACUUCCCUCAUCAUUUGAGCUUCUACUUAGGCUUUGGUGGCUGGACCUUUCAGAUUGUAAAAUGCUUAAGAGUCUCCCAAGCAUCCUAUGCAAGCUGAAAUCUCUUGGAGUUCUUAAUCUCCGUGGUUGCUCAAAUCUUCAGUGAUUGCCCGAACGUCUUGGCCAAUUAUCGUCGCCAAUAAUAUUGAAUCUAGUGAAAACCAAUAUUGAGAAGAUACCAAAAAGCAUUAUUCAACUUUUUGUGUUGCGAUACCUCCUCUUAAAUUGUUGUGAGGGGCAUGAAUCCUUACCAAAGCAUCCAUUCCUUGUACGAUGGUUAGAUGGCGAUCGUUGCCCGGCAGGGCAACCAUUGAUAGGUUUAUUCUCUAAGUUCUGAAUCUUAUAGGUAGUCUUUUUUUUACCAGAGCAAUAAUUUGAAAUCGCAAGGUAAUUCUACUGCAGGAAUUAUUGAAGAUGCCAUGAGAAUUGAGCAUAUGGGCCAUGUGGUAGCUGCCCGUUGGAAACAAGUACGGGAAAAGGUGUGUCUUAACUCUCUCUCCUUACAAUUUAUAGUUUUUUUUUUUUGGUUUAAAAUUAUGAUUUUUUGGUACAGAGAGGUUUUCCCAUGGAAAAAAGUCAUGUCGUACUAGCUAGGAAUGAAAUUCCAAGGUGGUUUAAUUUUCAAAGUGAGGGAUCUUUUAUAACCUUGGAGAUGCCCCCAGAUUUCUUCAAUAACAACAGAGUACUGGGCUUUGCAUUUAGUGCUAUUUUAGCAUUUUCAGACCGUCAUGUAGAUUGUGGCAGAUGGUUUUCAUUUUCUUGUGAGCUAAAAGUGAAGACCACCAAAGAUUGUGAUCUGCAUGACACACGGUUAUUUCAGAGCAGCGUUAAUUAUGUAGAAUCAGAUCACUUACAUUUUGGGUACUAUUUGUUUUGUGAAGAGGAUUUUAAUGGUUUUUGGAAAUGCAAUUCCAUUCCUGAGGCAGUCCACUUUAAUGUUUUUCCGCCUUUGAAGUGUGAGUGCUGCGGGGUGAAAAAAUGUGGGAUCCAUUUAGUUUGCUUCCCCGACUCUACGAAUUCAAUGAAAGAUCCAAGCACAUGUUUCAACUAUAACGAAGAAGACUGAGAUUUUCAUGAAUGUAUUUUUUUUGCUUUCCUUUUUCUAAUCACUAUUAAUAAUAGGAGAAAAUGUCAAAAUUAGUUCUUGGAACAAAACAUUCAUGUAAUAACUUUCGAGGGAUCUGGUGCAUGUAACACAAAUUCACACUAGAGCAUUGAACUUUACCUUAUUAGAUGAAGAGUAUGUUGUAUGAAAAGCACAUGGUGUAUAUUGUAAAAUUAAAAUUAUUGGCCUAUUUCCUGCUUUGCACACGCAACCCAUGAUGAUUUUGUUAUUAAGUUUUGUAACCCAAAACACAUCUACUUAGUUAGAAGAGUACGUGACUUAUAAACUAGUAAAAAAAUUCACUUGCUAGUGAUGUGAGAUAUUUCAUGACGUGCAGCAAGUUCUUAUUUGCAGAGCUAUGUUGUGGGCCCAUAUCUCUAUCAAUGAAAACAUGUCACUCACCCCGUUGGCGCACUAUAUCAACUCUCAUGUAUAUAACACAAUCACAUUUGAAAAUUUUCUACUUUCAUCAUUGGGAAGCAAAAGCCAUAAAGAGGGAACAGUUAAAACACCAUCAAAUCUUAUAUAUUUUAAAAAAUAUAUUUGUAUACUGAUUAAAAAAAGAAGAAAGAACAGGAUAGGUGUCAUUUUGACUCAACUCAUUUGUGUUGUGAAUCCAUUUGCUUAAACAUGUAUACUUUUUCAAGUAUCUAUGCCAAUUCCAUAAUCGGAAUGGUGCAUUUGAUUCCAUAGUUGACAUUGUAUCGUCUAUGGCUAGAAUUUACCUUUACAAAACUGACCUGCAAGGAAAGGAUUAAAGAUACCCGUGAACUUAUAUUUUUAUUUAGAUUAUUUUAUUUUUUCCAGGUGAAAAAUUGAUUCCGAUUAACAAGAGCAAUAUAAAUUACUAAAUCAACGUUCUCUAUUCUUUAGAUUGCUGUAUCUUUUUCAUGUAAAAAAUUGAAUCCAUUCAUUCACAUAUCAUUAACAUGAGCAAUAUAGAUCACUAAAUCAUUGUUCAUUACUAUUUUGCUGAAUUUGACUUUUUGAAACGAGUUAGACUUUUUAUUGAAUAAUUUGGUAUAUUUCUUGAAUCAAUUUGGAGCUUCUGCAACACGUCAGGGAUUAGUAUCUCCUACAUUCCUUUCAGUGCCAAAAGAUAUUCAAGCAGUUGAAUAAGAAUUGAUAUGUACAAUGUAAAUACUAGUUUGUCAUUUUACAAUAGGAAUGAUAUAUAAUGCUUAUCAAAACUUGUUGAUAAGAAAGUAAAUUCCUCAGCAAUGAGAUGUUUCAGCCAACCAAUUAAGGAAGCAGCUUUCCAUGGACCAAGUCAGGUCUGUCGUCAUCAGGACAAUGUCCUACUUCUUCCAAUACAAUUAACUUCACAUUUGAGAGUUGAGAAGGCAGAGAUGAGAAGUAUUUACCAACAGGUCCAUCGACGGGUGUGAAUGGAUCCUCAUCACCCCAUAAAACUAGCACAGGUAUAGAGAUUGAUGGCAUCAAUUGCACUGGGUUCAGCCCCGAUGGGCCUGUCACGAUCAAAACAAAUGCAUCAAGUGCCCCUUCAUUAGUGGCGGCUUCUCGUAUGAUCUGUAGUUUUGAUGUCAAUUCAUGAAUUAUGAGUGGCCAUUUUUGUAAGAAAUUUAAAUGGCACAUAAGUGCAGAAUAUUAAUGCCUACUAGCCUUUCAUCCACAGAUUCAUUAUUUGCAUAGACAGUAAAUUGCUCCUCAGUCUUUACCAGCAGCACCAAUAUAUACACAUCAUAGUGUUUUUUAGUUUUGACUCUAAGUGUUUUAGGAUAAUGAACAACGGACUGAAUAGAAACAAGAGAAAGUACCUUUGCCUUGCACGCUCAAAGAACGUAAAGGUAACUGGCCUUUGCUUCAACCAAAAAUCAAUGAACCAAAGCAAUGGUAACAGUAGCUUGAUUCUCCAAUCAUCAACAAUUGCCUUGUUGUUCGUGCAGCCACCAGCACAAUUCAACAAAACAAGCCCUCGAACAAGUGUUUGACUGGAUUCUUAUGGUAGAAAAUAUAGCAGGUUUGUCGCAAACCAUAGUUACCGAAAAGGCUAAUUAAGUGCGAGUGUUUCUUUGCAAGCAAGAUGACUAAUAUCUGAUGCCCAAGAGGAAGUUAAAUUAAUAUACCUGAGGCAGCAAUAACACAAGUAGAGAUGGCCAAUACAAGGCUCAUGCGUGCUUGUGCCCGUGCCCGUGCCGUGCCGUGCCCAGUAUGUGUUUCGUGUCAUGCCGUGCCGUGCUUAAAUUUUUUUUGCUUAGGGCCGGUCUGGCAAAUGUGUCGUGCUUAUUUGUGCGGUGCCGUGCUUAAGAAAAAAAACCAAAUAAGCUUUUUUCUUUUUUAAAUUUUUAAGAGCGCAUGCUAAGCUGUUGGCGUACUUUUUUCAAGUAUAUGUACGUUUCUUGGGUCUAUGCCUUUAUUCAAAUCUAAUAGAAUUGAAAAUUCAAAAUUCAAGUCCAUAUUUAAUAAUAAUAAACUAAUAAUAGUAAGAAAAUAUAAUAUUAAUUACUAAGUUUGACCUUAUAGUAUUAGAAUUUUUUUAAUACUUAACAACAAUAAUAAUAAGAAAAAAAAUUUCUUAAAGGUUAACUUAAUUGUUAACUUGAACUUACAUAGAGUUAUAAAUUAUAGUUCACAAUAAUAUUAAUGCAUAUUUAUAAAAUCAUGAUAUUUAUAAUUUUAUUCAUUAAAAUCAUGAUAUCAAUUAUUUAUUUAAUAAAUUAUAAAUAUAAAUCAAUUAUAGUAUUUUUUAAAACUAAGAAUUAAAUGAAUUUAAAAAAUUCAAUUUCAAGUUAUUUGUAAAAUCAUAAAAUUUUAAGUUUACCUUCAUUAAAAAAUAAAACGUGUUUAUUGCAGGUUUUUUUAUUUUGCCGUGCUUAGCCCAUCUCUAAUCGUGCUGUACUUUUUAGGCUCGUGUGCCUAAAAUUCUAAACUCGGCCCAGCCCACAUGUGUGUCGUGCCCGUGCCCUACCGAAACGUGCUUGUGUCGUGCCGUGCCCGUGCCGUGCCACGUGCCGUUCGGCCCAUUGGCCAUCUCUAAACACAAGCUACGCUUCGAACCGAAUUACGUAUAAGCACAACUGGCUUCUGAGCAACUUCAUCCAAGAAAUCCAACAUUAGCUGUAUCGAUGAGUCUCACUCAAGUUAGCAAGGAAAAUAACCUAAGGUUGAGCGAUUGAUGAUAUAAGUAUAGGAGUUGUCAUAUUUGACCCUCAUUAUAUCUUAUCAGCCCCAUUAAUCACUUUUAUAUGAAUGCUUUUUACUCUUUAUCUUUAUAUGAAAUAACUUAAAAGGAAAAUAAGUAAUGAUCCUUAACGUUUGUGGAUGCCAACUAUAUGUACACAAAAGUAAAUACUAUAAAAAAAAUAGUACAUUAUAAAAAACAAUUCACUACAAAAUAAAAAUUACUUUUUGUCAUUUGUGCCUGUGUUAUUUUUACUACAUGUAAUAUUAUUGCACGGAUGCGGGAAGAAAAAAUUUGGGGUCGAUUUGUUGUAAGCCCCAAAUGCAACCGAAGAUCCAAGCACAAGUUUCAAACCAAACCAACCCAAAGUUUGCGCGGCAAUCCAACUCAACCCAACUAAAAUCAUUUUAAUUUGAUUAUAGUUUGGGUUGACUUAGGCUUUGAUAAAUUCGCAUGUUAUAUAACACAAUUAAAAUAAAAUAUCAUUUGUCAUACAUUUUAUUCAUUAAAAACAUAGUAAAAAAAAUUCAAAAAUUCAGUGGCGGCAAACGUCCUCUCUGGAAUCUUUGUGGGCAACACGUACGUGGUGUCUUCACUAAGUGUUGAAUCUUUAGCUUCAAAGGAAAGAAACAAAAAAAGGGUAGGGAUAUUUCCACCCCAUUAUUUUUGUAAAUUCACACCACUUUUACAAAAUAAUUAUAAUGAAUUCACAAUAUUUUUAAAAAAUACAAAUUAAUAAAAAAUUUGUAUAGUUAAUCAAUUAAAUCCUUCUAUUACCUUUCUUCUUAGAUUUCUUUGACUCUAUUUGAUCAUAAACUCUUAUAGAAAUGUUAUUUUUCUAUUUUAUUAUUAUGAUAUAAAACGAACAAAUUGCCUAACAAACAUGAGUUAUUGUAUCUAAUAAUUUAUGUAUUUAAUUAUGUGAACUAAGAUUUUUAAAUGAAAUCUAAUUAUUAUUUUCACUACCUUACAAAUAAAUUAUAUAAAUUUGACAAGCUAAUAAUUUACAUGAGUAUUGUGCCAUACAGACAUUAUGUUUGUUUAAUUAAUGUUUUAUAAUCAUACUAAUAAAGUAGUAUUAGAAAUAAUGAAUUGCUAUAAAAUUAGAAAAUAUUGAAGUUAAAGAAUUAGUUUUACCUUAUAAGGAUAAAAUAAUCAAUUUAGACUUAUGUCAAAGCAAUCUUUAUGAUCAAACAUAAAAAAAAAAAAAAAUUAAGUCACAAAAAGUAAAUUAAGAUAGAUUUGUUAAUUUGUUCUCCAAAGUUCUUUUUUAUUUAUUUUUUUAAAAUAAUGUGUACUUUUUGUAAUUAUUUUUUAAAAAUGGGGUGGAUUUGGAGAUAUCAUUAGCCAACAAAAAAUUUAGUCAGGAUUAAUUUGAUAAUUGCCCAUAAAAAGAAGGCAUAUGUGCAGGUGGUGAUAGGGAAGCCUUUUUCCAUUCUAAAAUUACAUGUAAGAAUCUAUUAUAAAAAAGAUAAAUGUGUAACAGGAUGUGGAUAGAAAAAUUGAUCUUCAUUUGGGGAUUCUUGAUCUUCAGUUCUUCACUCCACUAAAAUUUCCACUAAAAUUUACCAGAGAAUGAGGUGAAAAACAUGGGCCAAAUAAAAUUAUUAAAAUAUAAAAAAAUUUAAAUUAUUAAAAAUAAUAACUAAAAAAAUACAUAUUUGUUAAGAAUUUUGGAAUUAUUUUUCUUUGAGUAAUGACACUAUAAUUCAAAAGACGCUUUUUGAAUUAAAUCAGAUUUUUUAUUCAAAACGAACAAAGGGAUUAUAUUUUACAAUUGGGUAAUUUUUAGGGACCUCCCCUGAGGUUUACCGUAUUGACACAUAGAGAGAAUGUAUCCACAUAAUUACAACCACCUCCCCUCCCGUUAGUAUCCGGUUACGUAUGGCACAUAUAGGCAAAUUUUAAGCUGAAAUUUCUAGGAAUCUUGCUUAGAAAGGAAUUUUGGGCAGCAUGUAGAAGUGGAAACCAAGUAGAGUUCAACAACCAUAUGGCUGAAAUUAAUAGCAUCAGCCCUGCUGCUCAUAAGUGGCUGUUACAAAUUCCUGUGACAUGUUGGGCCAAACAUUGCUUCCCCACUCAAACCAAGUGCUCACAUGUCACAAACAAUAUGACUGAGUCCUUCAAUAAUUGGAUAGGUAGUGUCAGAGGCAUGCCGAUAGUAAGAAUGUUGGAGGAGAUUAGGACGAAGAUUAUGAUUCUUAUACACAAAAGACAUGAGCUAGGCAAAACUUGGCAUGAUGAACUGCCGCCACUUGUUAGGAGGAGGUUAAUGGAUGCAAGGGCUGAAUCUAGAUCAUUAUCUAUUAUAUUUGGGCACAAUAAUUCAUUUGAAGUCAUGGAAGAUGUCUCUAGGAGGUGUGUUGUGAAUCUAGGCAGCAAGCAUUGUGAUUGUGGGGAGUGGGCUGUUUCAGGCUAGCCUUGCAAGCAUGCUAUAUGCUGUAUUGAUGCAAUGAGAUAUAAUGUGAAUGAAUAUGUCCAUCAUCUCUUGAAAAAAAAAGCAUUCAUGAAGACCUAUCAGCACAAGUUACAUCCAGUGCCAGAUGAAAGCAGAUGGCCAUUACUCUUGCAUGAUAACUUGCUGCCACCGACUGUGACAAGAGCUGCUGGCAGGCCCCAAACUAAAAGAAAAAGAGAGGAUGGUGAAAGACAACCAUUUAAGAGGAGUUCAAGUGUAAGAUGUUCUAAUUGUGAUGAGUGGGGCCAUAAUGUAAGGAGUUGCAAAUCUGUUAUCAAAGGUGGAAAACACAAAAAAAUUAUGAAGAAGAAAUUCCAUCAGGUCUUAAUUACUUGCUUCUAUUAUAAUUUUUUCAUUGUUGUCUUCAAUCUUAGUAUGUUUUGAUUAAAAAUUAUUGUAUAAUCUAAUUAUUUAUGUGUAGGAUCAAAGAGAGACAGGAGCUUGUGCUGGAGAUGCUGCAGUAGCUAAUGAUGUUGUGAGUACUCAGAACAGUGUCCAUGAAAAUGGCAAACAUUUCAUGUAUCAUUUUUUUUAAAGUUAAUAUGUACGCAAAAAUUUAAAUGCACCAACAGUUUGUUUCUCUCAUGCCGUAAUUUCAAAUAAUAGAUAACAUUAAUUUUUUUUUAGAUUAUUAAGGACAACUUACUCAAGAAUGAGCACUGCCAAGUUAAAGCAUCCAGCAGCAUUUUGUAAUUAUCAAGUGAAGAUAUCAGGAGCCAAGUUAAUCCCUUCUAACAAAAUUUUUUGAGGGAUUAGAUGAUACAUCACCUUCAACUGUAAGCAUUGAUAUGAAGAAGUUGUCGUAUCAUCUUUUUGUCACUCAGCCGUAGAUAGAGGUUUGAGUUUUUGUACAUUUUGUUGUUGUGUGGUACAUAACGCAGCUGUUGAUGACGCCAUGUAUGCUUUCUUUGUUUUGGUCCUGUCAAGUUAAUACUGUAAUAACUGACUUGCCACUACAAGUUUAAAUACUGGCUGCUGGUAUUUGUAUUGGCUGAUAGGAAUUCAGUCGUUAAUGACAUGUGACACUUUAUUAUUGUUGGAAUGCAUAUGAAUUUAUAAUUUAUAGUCACAAGUAAUGUUUAUGUAGUUUUAUUACAUAGUUCUUUAUUGAUUUUAGUUUAUGUAGUUUCAUUACUUAGUUACUGCCGUGGUUUUUUACUUUGUGUGUUUGUUGUGCUUGCGACUGUCACUUGAAACAAUAGAAUUUACUUUGUUUGUGCUUGAUAUUACAAAGUGAGACCUGCUGUAUGUGUUUAUUGUGGCUGAUACUGUCAGUUUGAGAAUGAAUUUGUAUUGUAUUUCUACUUUUGCUCAGGGAUUUACUGGUUGUCCUAUGUGAUGGGAGUUGUUGUGUGUGCUUCAUAGUGUUAGUUUUAACAAAAGCUUGUUAUGUGCUUGAAAUUGUUAUUAUACUUUUGCUCAGGGAUUUAUUGGUUGUAAUUCUAUUUAAGGACUGAAUUAUGGACAGUAGCUUGUGUUGUGUCAUUGUGUGUGCUUGCUGAAUUAUGGACAGGAGCUUGUAAUUAUGAAUUAUUGUUAUUGUGUGUGCUUGCUGAAUUAUGGAUAGGAGCUUGUGCUGUGUUAUUGUGUGUGCUUGUUGAAUUAUGGACAGGAGCUUGUAACUAUGAAUUAUUGUUAUUGUGUGUGCUUGCUGAAUUAUGGAUAGGAGUUUGUGAUGUGUUAUUCGCUUACUAUGCUAAAUACUAUCAGUUUGUAAAACAAAUUAUUGUCACAUGCAUUAUCUUUUUUAUCCAUUAAUACAUUACACAGAAAAAUCACUAUAUUUUACACUUCACUGCAUUCUGCAAACAUAGGAUAGCUUAGGCAUAUUAGUUCUUAAGCAUAAUUAAAUUCAGCACAAACAUAACUAGGUUCAAGUACAUCAUCAUCUUCACAACACCUUCACCAAAUCCUGACCUUUGAAGCUUCUUCAUAAUAGUCUUCACUUCUUUCAGAUUUGAUUCAAUAGCAUUUAGGGUAUCAUGAUCCACAAUAGCACUUAAAUUCCCCUCAAACACAGCUCCAUUGUUGAAAUCAUCCCUUGCUGGAACCCACCAUUUGAAGUAUCCGCAUGUUGUUCUGUUCGGCAUCUAUAAUAAAGCUUGUGAGGAUUCUCAUCCGAUUCAGAUAUCAUCACCUCGACUCUCAUACGACAUCUACAGAUUCAAUUUGAAAACUUAAUCAGCCUCCCAUUAACAAAGUUCCUCCAAGCUGGCUCAUAAAUUGGUUGUGUAUUUGAUCGGCUGGAUGUGUUUGAGCUUUCAAAAUCCAUGUGGUUGAGAUAAUGUUUGAUCUUGAUUAUGUUGAAUGCUUCUGUUGGUGAGUUGGAUGAAUACUUAUAUUGAUGAGUAAAUGCUUUUGUCAAUGAGCUGAAUGAAUGAUUCUGAUGAUGCUGAUGAUGAAUGCUUAUGUUGUCGUGAACUGAAUGCUUCCCUUGAUGAGUUGAUGAAUGCUUUUGAUGAUGAUGAUGAGUGCUUCUGUUCAAGAGUUGAAUGGAUGAUGACUUAAAAUCGUAAGAAGAAGAUGAAGAUGAAAUUCUGCCAUGAUCAUUUGCUAACUUGCCUAGGCCUUUUUAUAGUUGCUGCUGCUACUCAAAAUAUUACCGUUUACUUACAACGGUAAUAAUGGCAGCUUUAAUUUAUUUUUUCUUUUUUUUUAAUAACAAAUAAUGUAAAUGAAAUCACAUCACAUAGAUGGGUAAUUUGGUCUUUUUUUAGCUUUUGUGAUUCUAGCAAGUUUAUUACCUAUCGGUUCUCAAAGUCUUGUUUUAUAACUUAUAAUUUUGGCGGGAAGGGUAAUUUAGUAAUUUCAACAGUCAACUAACAGUCAAACUAACCGGAUACUAACGGGAGGGGAGGUGGUUGUAAUUACGUGGAUAUAUUCUCUCUAUGUGUCAAUACGGUAAACCUCAGGGGAGGUCCCUAAAAAUUACCCUUUUACAAUUUAAGAAAUAACUAUAUUUAAUAGAGAUAAUUUUGGGAUAUAGUAUUUACUUUCUAUUGAGACAUUUUCAUAUAUUAGACAAAAGUUACAAAAGUUUACUUUAAAAAAAAAUUAGACUUCACACGUUUAACAAAUAACCCGAAGAAUAUGAAUAAGAAUUAUUAAAACAAAAAUGAUAAAUAAGGAUAAUUUUAAAAUUAAAUGCAAUUAAUGGAGAGAUGAUGACUGAUAAGAAAAAUUGGGGGGCAAAAAUUAAAAUAUCAACCUACUACUAAUGGUAUAGUCAUGACCCACUCAAUUUGAGAAUUAAAAGGACAAAAGCCAAGUGUUGAAAACUAUGGUGUUCAUGGGGAAAUUAAAAAGCAGUGAAAUUAUCGUGCAGUGCACGGUGCUCGGACAAUGAGAUGAAAUUGAAAAAUUAUAACGAAAACUUCAAGGAAGAGUGCCAAUAGUCCUACUCAUAACGUCGUGUCUAACUCAUAACAUAGAGUAGGAGUUCUACGAAAGUAACGGAAGAGUGCCAAUAGUCUUAACUCAUAACGCCGUGUCUAUAAUUUUAGCUGAAAAAAUCUGCCAAGUCGAAAAAUUAGGUGGGCAUUUCAAUAACCCUUGAAUAUUCCAUGAAUCAUUGUCCAGAAAGCUUGGAAAAUGAGAUAUCAGGUCAAUAUAUGCUGCAGAGUCACGCUCAUUUUGGCUUAGCAAUGGUUUUCAUCUGAUCACAAUCUCUCUCUAAUCAAUUCAACUGCUUCUGUUGAUUAUGGCUUCUUUUUCUCGAAACAAGAAGAAGUAUGAUGUUUUUGUUAGUUUCAGAGGAGAAGACACCCGCGACAACUUUACUAGCCAUCUCUAUUCAGCCCCGUCUCGACAAAAUAUCCAAACUUUCAUUGAUGACCAACUUAACAGAGGAGAUGAAAUUUCAGAGUCACUUGUGAAUGCAAUUAACGCAUCAGCCAUUUCAGUUAUCAUUUUCACUGAAGACUACGCUUCUUCCAGAUGGUGUCUUGAUGAACUUGCGGAGAUCCUCGAGUGCAAGAAAGAGUAUGCACAGAUUGUGUUACCGGUUUUCUAUCGCGUUGAUCCAUCAGACGUGAGAAACCAAACAGGGAGUUUUGGGGAUUCAUUUUCAAAGCUUGAAGAAAGAUUCGAGCAAAAUUCGGAGAAGCUGCAUACAUGGAGGAAGGGAUUGAGAGAAGCGGCUGGUUUGUCUGGAUUUCAUUAUCGUAGCAUCAGGUGAAAAGUUACUUUUAAUUUCUCAUGCUAAUAUUUAACACUGUAAAUAAAACUCAUGCAGCACUCUUUGAUAAAUUUCCGGAUGCUAAACUACAAUUUUAAAUUUUUUUAGGUAUCAAAUUCUAGGCUUCUUGACUUCCCAACUUUUGAACCCCGAUAAUUAUAUAUGAAAGAAUUUUGACAGAAUUAAUAAUAAAAGCCCGAUAACUUUACAAUAUAUUUAACAAAAUUAAUGGUGGUAUGUCGUUUUUAAGCAAUUUCAACCUCACAUACCUCCAUCAGAAAAACAAAAGUCACACAUAUUCCUAUAAUUUAAGAGUUAUUAAUUUAUAGGGAGAUUGUAGUGGUAUAUAUUAAUUUCAAUUGGAAAACUAGCAAUCUCCCUUAUUUCAUAUUUGAUGCAAAUCCCUCCUAUUUGAAGUUACUGCUGCUAAUUUUAUGUAUUUGGCAGGCCUGAAUCAGAACUUGUAAACGAAGUUGUUAAUCACAUUUUGAAGAGACUGAUGGAAGAAGUGUUUCGGCCGCGUGAUAACAAAAGCCAGCUGGUUGGAGUAGAAUCAAGAGUUGAGGAAAUUGAAUCUCUACUAAGUGUUGAGUCGAAAGAUGUUUACGCUUUAGGAAUUUGGGGCAUUGGUGGUAUAGGCAAAACAACAAUCGCUAGAGCUACUUUCGAAAAAAUCUCUAGAUAUUUUGAAGGUUCUUGCUUCCUUGUAAAUGUUAGAGGAGAGUCACAAAGAACGGGAGGAUUAGCUUGCUUGCGACAAAAACUUCUUUCAAAUUUAUUGAAGGAUGAAAAUGCAAUUCCUGGUAUUGACCUCAAUUUUAGAAGGCUCAACCGCAUGAAGGUUCUUAUUGUUUUUUAUCAUGUGACUUGCUUCAGCCAAUUAGAAUCUAUAAUUGGAAGUCUUGAUUGGUUGAUGCCUGUGAGUCGAAUCAUAAUAACCACCAGAAAUAAACAAGUGCUUAGAAAUUGGGGGGUGAGGAAAAUAUAUGAGAUGGAGGCAUUAGAAUAUCAUCACGCUCUUGAGCUUUUUAGUCGACAUGCCUUCAAACAAAACCAUCCUGAGGUUGGUUAUGAGGAACUUUCAAGUAAGCCAAUGAAAUAUGCUCAAGGUGUUCCUUUAGCUCUUAAAGUUUUUGGUUGCUUUCUAUAUGAAAGGGAAAAAGAAGUCUGGGAAAGUGCAAUAAAUAAAUUGCAAAGAAUUCUCCAUCCAAGUAUUCUAGAGGUAUUAAAAAUAAGUUAUGAUGGUUUGGACAAUAAAGAGAAAAAUAUUUUCCUUGAUGUUGCUUGUUUCUUUCAAGGUGAGGAUGUAAAUCUACUAAUGAAAUUCCUUAAUGCAAGCGGCUUCUACCCAGAAAUAGGAAAAAGUGUUCUCGUUGAUAAGUCUCUUAUUGUCAUAUCAAAUAACAACAAGAUAACUAUGCAUGAUUUGCUACAAGAAUUGGGUAGGGAUAUUGUCAGUAAAGAAUCAAAUGAUCCUGGAAACUGCAGUCGGUUGUGGCAUCACGAGGAUAUCUACGAAGUUCUUACAUAUAAUACGGUAAGCAAUUUGCUGUGGAUUAUUACUUUGGAAUAUUCUAGCAUUUACUGCCACAUAAUGANNNNNNNNNNNNNNNNNNNNNNNNNNNNNNNNNNNNNNNNNNNNNNNNNNNNNNNNNNNNNNNNNNNNNNNNNNNNNNNNNNNNNNNNNNNNNNNNNNNNUAUUUAUAUACUCUCGAAUUGAUGAAUCUAGAAUUAAUCGAAGAGUGACAAUGAUUAGAAAAAAACAAUAAUGUUUAUAUUGUCAAUUUGUAUUGUAUCCCACAUGCGUAAAUUUCAUGUUUAGUAUUACUUGUAUUAUUAUGUUCCUUUGUGCGUUUGCAAUUAAGAGUUUCACUGCCUAGCAAUAACUAUAUAAACAUGAAUUACUGAAAUUUGAUUCGAGCAAUGAUAAAAAAUUCCACUCCAAUCCCACCUCAAUUCCACACAAGAGUGAAAAAAAAGGUUGAAUUAAUAACUAAGUUACCCCUUGUUGUGAAUCAAUGCCAAACAUGCCCCAAAAAUUUGUCUUGGUGGGGUUGAGGUGCAAUUCAUUGGUGGGAUAUAAAUAUCAUUUUUCAUUUUUUUAUUGAUUUUUAGGGGACUGAAAAAGUUGAGGGCAUCUAUUUGAAUAUGUCCAAAGUGAAAGAGAUCCGUCUAAAUCCCAAUACAUUCACAAAGAUGCGGAAAUUCAGAUUUUUAAAAUUCUAUAGCUCGUCAUUCAAUGCAGAGAACAAAUGUAAGGUGUCUUAUUUGCAAGACCCUAGAUUUACUGAAGUGAAGUAUCUCCACUGGCAUGGAUAUCCAUUGAAGUCAUUGCCUUCAAACAUUGGUGCAGAGAAGCUUGUGUUUCUUGAAAUGCCAAAUAGCAGCAUUGAACAACUUUGGGAUGAUAUGAAGGUAUGUAUAACUUAAUACAUUAUGUGUGCAAUCUUUCAAUAAUAACGUUAAAUUAUCAUACAUGGCAAUGAUUCCUCUUGGCCUCUUUUUUGACCAAACAGCAUCGUGGUAAGUUAAACCAGACAAUCCAUGCUGCCUGCAAGAUGCUAAUUGCCAAAACUCCAAACCCCACGUUGAUUCCACAUCUAAACAAGCUAGUUAUCUUGAAUCUAAGAGGUAGCAAAAGCCUGAAAAGUCUUCCAGCUGGAAUAUUUAAUUUGGAAUUUCUUACAACACUUGAUCUUUCGGGGUGCUCAAAACUUAAGAGGCUUCCAGAGAUCUCAUCUAGUAAUACAAGCUGCCUUUUUUUUAGUGGAACUGCAAUUGAAGAACUGCCUUCAUCAAUUGAGCUUCUAAUUAGGCUGGGGUACUUGGACCUUUCGGACUGUAAAAGGCUUAAGAGUCUCCCAAGCAGCCUAUGUAAGUUGAAAUCUCUUGAAAUUCUUGAUCUCAGUGGUUGCUCAAAUCUUCAGAGAUUGUCCGAAUGUCUUGGCCAGUUGUCCUCUCUAGGAACAUUGCUUCUAGAGAAAACCAAUAUUGAGAGAAUACCAGAAAGCAUCAUCCAAAUUUCUGUGUUGACUUACCCCCGCUUAAGCUAUUGUGAGAGGCUUCAAUCCGUACCAAAGCUUCCAUCCCUUAUACGAUGGUUAGAUGCCGAUAAUUGCACAUCGCUGCAAUCAUUAUCAGGUUUAUUCCCAAGUUCUGAAUUUUAUAUAUAAGCAGUGUUUUCUGACUAGAGCAAUAAUUUUAAAUCGGAUGGUAAUUCUACUGCAGGAAUUGUUGAAGAUAUAAUUUUUUUUUGAGUUAUGAUUUUAUUUUUUUACCAGAUUGAUUUUCACAUGAACGGAGGUCAUAUCUUACUACUCGGGAAUGAAAUUCCAAAGUGGUUUGAGUUUCAAAGUGUGGGAUCUUUUAUAACCUUGGAGAUGCCACCAGAUUCCUUCAACAAUAACUGAGUACUACUGGGCUUUGCAUUUAGUGCUAUUGUAGCAUUUUCAGACUGUCAUGUAGAUAAUGACAGAUGGUUUUCAUUUUCUUGUGAAUUCAAAGUGAAAACUGAAGAUUGUGAUCCGCAAGUCACACGGCGUUACGAUAAUUUCACUGCUUACGUAGAAUCAGAUCACUUACUUUUGGGGUGCUAUUUUUUCACUGUGGCAGUCCGCUUCUCUUUUGAUGAUUUUGAUCGUUUUCCACCUUUGAAGUGCGAGUGCUGCGGGUGAAAAAAUGUGGAGUCCAUUUACUUUACAUCCCAGAUUCUACGGAUUCAAUGGAAGUUCCAAGCAGAUGUUUCAACUGUUACUAAGAAGACUAAGAUUUUCAAGAAUGUAAUUUUAUUUUUUUCUCUUUUGCUAAUCACUAUUAAUAAUAAGAGAAAAAGCCAAGAUCAGUCUUGGAACAAAACAUGCAUGCAAUAAUUUUCGAGGGACGUGGUGCAUGUAACACAAAUUCACACUAGACUAUUGAACCAUACCUUAUUAGAUGAAGGGUAUAAUGUACCGAAAGCACGUAUUUAGCAUUGUAAAAUUACUGGCCUUCUUUUCCUGCAGAUUUAAUCUACUUGGCGUGUUAUUUUUUUUCCUUUUUUUUUUUUUUUGAAUGCUAGUGUUUCAUUCAUGAUAUUUCUGAAUUUUUAUCCAUGAUAUAUUUUAACCUUAUUUUUAUUGAUUCAUGAUAUAUUUUAAAAAAUAUAUUUGUAUAUUGAUUUGUCAACUAAAAUAUUUGUUCUGACUAGCCUUGUCAUUUGUGUUGUGAAUCCAUUCGCUUAAACAUGUAUGCACUUGUAAGGAAAACUGACUUGUAAGGAAACUAAUAUUAGUUUAUGAAGUGAAUAUUGCGCCGAAAUAUAUGGAAAAUACAAACAGAUAGUAAUCAAUUAAUUUUGCGCGAGAGAGGCAGAUAGUUAAUUACCGUGUGCAAAUGGUGGAUAUUGGUUUGAAUAUUAUCAUUAUCAGCGUGAAUGAGGAGGGAUCGAACUUUAUGCCAAUUGAGGCAACAAGUGAGGACGCCACUCAUGCAAAACAACAUCAUCAAAAGCAGAGCUAAACCAAGAGGGAAACCUAUGGAUGGCCGAUUUGAUGAUGACGCUUCUUCAUCAUUCCCCAUUAUUUUACUUCUCGCUACGUACGUAGUACUCUAUGCUACCUUUCUUGCUUCCUUCAAGUGUACAUUUAAUUGAACACAAUCGUAUUAGUAGUAAUUUAUAUUUACAAAACUGACUUGUAAGGAAAGGAUUGAAGAUGCCUGUGAACUUACGUUUCUAUUUAGAUUAUUGUAUCUUUUUCAUGUAUAAAAUUGGAUCUUAUCAUUCUCAUAUCAUUUACAUAAGUGGAGAAUGUUAAUACCUCUACCAGUGUUUCAUCCACAGAUUUCUUAUUUGCAUAGAUGGAUAGUAAAAUGUUCCUCAGUGUUCCCCUGCAGCACCAAUAUAGACACAUCAUAGAGUUUUUUAAUUUUGACUCUAGUGUUUUAGGAUAAUGAACGAAGGACUGAAUAGAGAGAAGAGAAAAUACCUUUGUUUCACAUCCUCAAAGAUUGCAUCUGCAAUUGGCCUUUGCUUCAACAAAGGAUCAAUCAACCAAAGCAAUGGAAACAAUAGCUUGACUCUCCAAUCAUCAACAAUGCCUUGUAGUUUAUGCCGCCAGCAUAAUUCAACAGAACAAGCCCUCUAACAAGUAUUUGUAUGUAUGUAUGAUCAUCCAUUCUCAAUCAACCACCAAACUGAUGUCAACAAAGCCAUGAGGAUUGUCUCACAAGUCUUUCAUUUUCCCUCUCUUUUGGCCGGAGACCAGUAAACCAUUUGAAUAUGGAUGUGCAAACCAGUAAAUAAAUCAUGAAGUUACACACUAGUCUGCUUUCGCACUCAUUCGGAACUAUAAUUGAUACUUACUGCAGGUAUGGUGUAUAAAUUUUACUAAAGUGAAGGCUGGAUCAAUAAGAAAUUCAAAAUGUUUCAUCACAUUUUGGGCUUGAUGAUGCCAAAGAAAGACCAUACCAAUUAUCACGAACGGUAAAAUGUGAACAAGAACAAGCAUACAUUCAAGAAAGCAGAGAAGCAUCAUUAAAAUAAAGCAUUCUUCUCACUAUUCUAUAUUGUUGGAAAAUGGACCAAAAUAAAAAAGAAACCAUAUAUGGAACGUCACAACAAGAAUAUUUGUGCAUUUGGAGAUCAUAGGAUAUUGGGAAGCCAUCGGCAGAAAAGUACAAUUUUUUUUUUUUUUGGGGGGAAAGGAACAGAGAAGUGCAAGUCAAAAAGGAGAAAAAAUGAAAACAGAGAGAUGAAAAGGAAUGCAAUCUAAUUAAUCAUCUAAGGAGGCUACUAUGCUACAUUUAGCCAUUGGUUGAAUAGGCAGCUUGUCUUCUAGUACAACUUUAAAUUUACCAAGAUUGAGAAUUUUCCUUCUGAAGAAAAGUAAUUUCUAUAGCAGCUAUUACCAUCUUCAUCCCAACGGUAAGCAGCUCCAUACUAAGGAAAGAGUGAAAUAGGUGUGCUUUACUUAUAGAAGCCCGUUCCUGUCCAGAGUGAUUAGUAAGUUGUUUCACCAUGACCCCCAUUAUGGUGACUGGAAAAAGAAAAAAAAAAUAUUUGCCCAACACAGAAGUAGCACCCAAAAAGUCCUACUUAAGAGGCUUCAUACCCUGCACAAACUGGAAAGUUUUUUAAAAUUUUCAUGUUCCAAAUGAAGAUUGCCCAUUAAAAAAUUACACACAUAAUGUAUGUAAAGCAAUUAAAACAGAAAAACAAGGAUAACCCAGAAACAAUCCAACCAUCAAUAACAUAAAACUUUUCUAAUUCUGGUAAAGUGAAUGAGAAGCAGAACAUACAUUUCACGUAAUAAUGAAGAUACAUCUUUUAAUCAGUUUUUGCUCUUGCUUUACUCAUAAUGCAGAUACGUAUCUUCAAAAAUUAUAUCAUACAUUUCUCUUAUCAAUGAAGCAGGUUGCUAUUGAACAUUAUUCAUAAACAAAGAGCCAAAUAUGCUUUAAAGCUACUUGCAAAUAUGCCAUCAGGCAUUGAGACAGAGUGACAGACACUCGACAACAAAAACAGACUUAUCAGCACUUAACAACACAAAAGUAAAAAAGCAAAUACUCUUACUCAAGUAUUAUAUUUGUUGCACAAAUAGGAAAGAAGAUAACAAUUUUAAAUUAACCAACAGGUUGAGUCUUAUCGUAAUACACACUAUCAGCUAUGAAUUAGCAUACCUUAGAAGUCCUCAACUCAUUCACCGCUAUUCGAAGAGAAUCAUCCGAUAGAAUCAACCGUGACAAUGCUCCAGGGCUUAAACUGCCGCAUUUAUAAAAGAUCACCAUACGAGAGAAAUCUUAAAUUAAAAAAAAUAUCGGAAACCUAAACGCCAAUCAAACACAUUACAUAUAGCAAUUUCUCUUUUUAAAGUUCAAUUAUCGCUUGAUAGAGUAUUAAGCUUAAUGCAAUACCCCAAUAAUUUUUCAGCUUCUGAGACAGAUCCCUCGACUGCGAAAAUUAGAUCAAGCAGAUCUUGCAUUCCCUGUAGUUAACCAAAAAAAAAAAAAAAAACGAAGCAAGAGUGAAUAGAGUAAUACCAAAGCAAAUUUAGGAUUGUUAGGUCCGAUUUGUGGACCAACUUCUGAACUGCUAAUAGUAGACUUAGGAGGAAGGAUUUGAAGAAGCUGUGGCGGCGGAGAAUACGCAUCAAGAUUCACACUGCUCCUCACUUUGAGGGCCAAAAGAGUGCGACAAAGCUGACGCGCGAUUCUUGUGCUGCGAUCGGUCUUCGGCAGCAUGCGCUAUGACGCCGAUCGGUACGUGCUUGAGACGUACGGCUGAUUCGCGCUUGUUGCGGUGCCGACCGCCUGGUCCCGACGAUUUGUACGCGUCCAUUUCGCAUUCGCGAAACAGCUCAUCGUCCGUCAAUUCUAAGUAAUUCCUCGAAGAAGAAGAAGAAGAAGAAGAAGUUGAAGAACAAUUGUCAUUGGUGCUGUAAUUGCAAGACAAGAACAAUGGCUGAUAAUUCCCGCGAUGCUUGUACGAUGGAAAGUUUAUAUUUUUCCUUCCGAGUUGGGGAAUCCGAAGCAGGAAUUGAGCGGCCAACGCCACAUCAAUUUCAAUUUCCCUCUGUGUAUGUGAUAAUCAAAGCAAAGCUUCGUACUGGUAACACAUUCUUAUAGCAGGCCCAGCCCAAUCAGCCCAAUCCAAAUAAAAGAGUACAUAAUUAUCAAUAAAUAGAAGUCAAGACCUUUCUGUGAUCUAUCUAGUCUUCCUAUCGUACUCUUUUUUUCACUAGAAAAACUACAUUUGUAAUGUGUCUCGAAGCACCAUCAAUUCUUACCUAUAUUUCAAUUAAAAUAAGAGUGAAACUAUCAGCACCCCUUCAUUAUUCUUAUAAAACCCUAUUUCAAAUAAAAUUACAGUUAAGAGCAAAGAAGAAAUAAACACAUGUAGGAUUUUUUUUCCCCAACAAAUUACUUACAUUAAUAAUCAAUCCUUUUUUUUUAUUUCCUACCUAUUAUUUCUUAUCUAAGAUAAAUUGUAUAAAUUUAGAAUAAUCUAUUUUUCUUUUCCUAUUUCUUAUCGAUUAAAUAUUUUUGUACUCAAGAUUACUUUCAAACUACAAUCUAAAAUAUGUGUUAUUUAAGCUACUGAUUAGCAUUCAAACUUUAUCACCUAAAAAACUUUUUAAUUUGUAUGUAGGAUAACAAUAAGAUUGCAAAAGAGAUGAAAAAUAGCACAAUACUACUUUGAGUUUUAACAAUAAAAGAAGAUUAAAUGAAAAACUAAAAGAGUGUCUUUGAAAAUAAAAGGAAUUUUUUUGGAAAUAAAAUAAAUAUAACUAAAAAAAGGGUUUGAUGGGGAGACUAGAGGGGUGCCAAUAGUCCAACUUUUAAAAUAAAAGUUUUAUCAAUUAUUGCUCCCUUUUUCUGCAAUUAUUAUUCCCCACAGAUAUUUCUCCAACAUUUUAUUUCAUAUAUUUACUCCUACUACACUCUAACAAAGGACGCCUUUUGGACGACAUCCGUUUCUAGAUGCAUUUUAUUAAUAAAUUAAAUAAAGGCACCAUCCAUUGUUCAAUUUCUCUAAAUAACCACUUUCUGUCAACUCUCUUAAAAUUUAUUAAGGAAUCUAUGUUGAAGACCAUUUCAUCCUUAGUAUUGUGUAAAUGUAUAAAAAUAGAUUUUACACUUUGAAAUUUAAAAUGACCUUCUUUUAGCAUAAAAUUUUAAAACAAAUGCCGCUAACUAAGGGACAAAUUUUAGAAUACAUGAUCAGUACCAUGUCAGCUAUAUAAAAAGUAAAUCAUAUUAUAAUAUAUGUGCACUUAUUUUGAAAAGCUAUCAGGUAAAUGAUGGUUAUAUUGAAUCUAAGUACGUGCAUAUCAUACAUGACACAACCCGUGUUAACAUAUAUGUUUCCAUAAUGUUGAUUUUGAUGAUAACAAACAAAAUUAAGAAUGAUUAAGCUUUUAAGCUCAAAUUACUUUUUAUACAUUUUAAAUAAAUCAUUAUUUUCACAUUAUAAAGGUUUUAUAUUUAAUGGAAAAAUGAUUUUAUGAAAUUAGUUGUUUUUCAAGUUUAUGAUUUAAUUGAAAGAGUUUUGAAAACUUUGAAAUUAACAAGUAUUGCUUGAAAUUUUGGAGGACUUAUUUGAAACGUUUCAUAGCAUUUUGGGUCGUAUCAUAAUUUCAAAAAGUUUUGGGAAUAGCAAGAUUUAUUUAGAGAUUCUGAAAUUGGACCUAUUUGUAAAAUAAUAUAACGUUUUGGGCCAUAAUAUAGUUUUAUAAAGUUUUGGGGUCAAACUAUAAUUUUAGAAAAUAGUGCACGGUACCGGUUACUGUAACAAGCUGCUAACCGGAUGUGACAAACGACUAGCCAGAUUUUGGGCUGUAAGCUUCUGGAAUGAAAGCGGCUAUCCGGAUUUCGACAGCGGCUAAACGGAUUUCAAAAGCAGCUAACCGGAUAUGAAAAGCAGCAUGCCGGAUAUUCUGAAAUUGAAAUUUUUUCUGUAACGGUAACAUAAAAGUGGCUAACCAGAUUCCAUAAACGGUAAGCCGGUUAUCACCAAAAUGUGCAUAACGACUAGUUUUUGAGUUCAAACUAUAUAAACUCAAAUCCAAUUCAUUUUUGGUAAUCUUGGCAAGCAUAAACAAGUGCACACAACAUAUUUUGAGCUUCAAUUUCCUAAAUCAUCAUUUAUUAAAAUAUCUUUGUUCUUCAAUUUGUAUAUCUACUCUUUGAGAGAGUUUUGUUGUAAUUUUCAAUUCCUCAUCAAAUUUGUGAGUGUUUAAGUGUGUGAGACACUUGAGUGAAGAUAUUGGGAGAUAAUCUCUUUUUUGUAAAGGUUCAUUGACACCUUGGAAGUCAAUUGUAAGCUUUUGAAGCCUUGGAAGGCUUAGAUAGUGAAAUCCUCAAGCUUGGGUUGCUUGGUGGUGUGGACGUAGGCGGUGAUUGCCGAACCACGUAAAAAUCCUUAAGUUUGCUUUCUCUUCCCUUACUCUUUUAUUAUUGUGCUUUCAUUGAAAUUAUUGUUUUCGAAUUUAUUAAGGCAUUAGAUUGGAUUGUUGUGUGGUUUGAUUAUGAUAAGUUUUAAAAACCCAAUUCACCCCCCCUCUUGGGUUGCAUAACUUGUAUUUCAACCCGACCCAACCUCUCUGCCAGAUUCGAGGUGAAUCUUGUGAUCUUAUAUCUAAAGCUUGUGACAUAAAUUUAAUUCAUGAAUACAUAACACUAGCCUCGGCCUUUGUUAUAAACAAGUAAUAACAUAUGUACCUCAUUCAAAAAUAUAUUCAAAACUUGCGCAGUUCACAUCUUACUGUACAUACUUACACUUUAGAUAUAUACAUAUAAACACAAACGUGUUUGAAAUAUAAGUCACGCAGUAAUGCGUGUUGUGGCCCAACCUCAACUGAUUAGAAACUGAAAUGCACGAAAUCCUAUGAAAAUCUUAAAGAAAUGGGAUAAGUAGGAAAAUAAUAUACUUGUAGCUAAAUGAAUGGAUAUAAUUGUGUGUGUGUGUGUGUAUAUAUAUAUAUAUAUAUAUAAAUUAGUGCUUUAGUGCUUGUACAUAAUUAUAUGACAUAACUUCGCACUGAACACAUUACACAAGCAAAUAUGAAAUUAUAUAUAUAUAUAUAUAUAUAUAUGAUAAAACAGCACCAAAUAAUAUGUAGGAGAAAUAACUCUCAAUAUUUAUUGGAAUCAUCAUUGCACAAGUAAAGUGGGGGGAAAAUCUCUCAAUACUCAGCGGAAUUAACUACAUCACAAGGGUCGAGUAAUCUAAGUCUCACUACACAUGCAUAGAGCCUAUGGGGAAGGGUACACAUAUGGUAGCUGGCAAUCACAUCUCAUAAUUGAAUUAAUCAUAUAAUAUGCGUACAUAUAAUCAUAACAUGAUACUAAAUCAUACUAUCAAACAUAAAUACUUUGUAGAAUACAUAUAAAUAAUAAUAGUAAUCCACACACAAAACAUGUUUCACUUCGGGGUUCGUUGGAGCUCCUAUAGAUUCCUUAAUGCUUGGAUUUCUCCUAAAAUAUAGGGUUCAAAAAUUAAUUGUUAGAACUGAUAUAAAAACUUAUACAUAUGACAUAAACUAAAUCAUAAUUGUUCAAAUUUCUUAAAUACGUUACCUACUGACUUAUUGGAUAUAGGUAUAACUAUCCAAUUCUCUUUCCUAUAAUAUUUCCUCUCAAUUGCUCUUUUCAAAAUCAUUUCUCACUCUCGGUUUUUCUUUUCUUUAUUUUUUCUUCUUCAUCUUUUGUUCUUCUGUUCUUUUCCUCUUCUUUCUUCAUCUUUUCUUCUUUUGUUCUUUUCCUCUUCUCUUUUCCUUUUGUUUUCUUCCCUUCUCACCUUUUCCUUUCUUUUUCUUUUCUCUUUGAAUUGCUUUGUUUUAGUUUGAUUCAUGAAAAUGGUGACAGCUGCUUCAAUUCUUUACUUUAUAUAUAUCCAUUGCUUCCGAUCACGCAUGACAAGCACAUAGGUGAAGCAUGCAUGUGCUUUGCUUUAAGCUGACAGCUUGCUAAUUAGCCACAUGUGCGUCACAAUACAUGCAUUAAUUGAUUGUAUUAUUUUUAAUAUAUUAUAUCAUUUCUUUUAAUGAAGGAUGUAGCCAACAAUUUUAUCCAGCUAAACAUGUUCUUUGACAUAUAAUACAGUUUAUGGUCCAAAAACUCAUAAGUAGUUGAAAUUAAAUUAUUUUUUAAUAUCAAUUUUACUUUUCUCUCAAUUUUAAAAUACUUUAAAAGAUUUUCAAACACAAGAUACAGUGGUAUACAAUUGAAGCCUAAUCCAACAUAGAAAGAUUAAAUAAAAUUAAUUUUCAUCACUACGCAAGAGACUUGAAAGGACAUUAAGGUAGCGUUUAUUUUUAAUUUAAAGUAUGAAUAGGUUAGAAUUUGAUUAAAAUUUGAAUGGUUUUGAAUAUAAAUGUUUCAAUAACAUGUUUAUUUUUUUAAUAUAUAAAAAUUAAGUGGCAUCUUGUUUGCUUUUAUAAAGAAAACACAUUAAAUGUAGUUAUUUAACAUUUAUGUCCUUAUAAGUCAAAACGAAUAAAAGGGAUUAGGUUUCGUAGUUUAUGAAAUAACUAUAUUGAAUUGAAAUAUUUUUAGGAUAUAGUAUUUAUUUUCCGGGUAAAAGCUCAUUUAGUCCCUGUAUUUUAAUAUUAGUGUCCAUUUAGUCCCUGUAUUUUUAAAAAUGUCUCGAAACAUCCCUGUCGUCAAAGUAUUGAUACCCCUACCGUUACUUUUUAUUUAUUUUGGUUUACUUUUACAAUAUUACCCUUUUAUAAUAAUUUUUUUGUUUGGACAUUAAUAAAAAGAAAAUAAUUAAAUUACCAAUUUAACCCUAAAAAAAUUAUAUUAAUUUUUAAUUGUCAAAAUUAAAUUGUCAAAAAUUGUAUGCAAACUACCAAGGGUGCAAAUGGUGCUUGCAAAAAAAUUAAUAUAAUUUUUUUAUUUUCUAGGGUUAAAUUGUAAUUUAAUUAUUUUCUUUUUAUUAAUGUCCAAAAAAAAUUAUUAUAAAAGGGUAAUAUUGUAAAAGUAAGCCAAAAUAAAUAAAAAGUAACGGUAGGGGUAUCAUACUUUAACGACAGAGAUGUUUUGAAAUAUUUUUAAAAAUACAGGGAUUAAAUAGAGACACUAAUCUUAAAAUAUAAGGAUUAAAUGAGUUUUUACCCAUAAAUAAUUAAUCAAACAUGGAAAAGUAAUCGAAAUUGAAAAAUCUAUACAGAUAGGGAAAUUCUCCUUUUGGCAUCAAUGGGUCUACAUAAUUUAUUUUGCAUCAAUUAUGCACCAUCACAUUCUUCAACUGCUUUCAAUUAUUUAUGCUCCAAUAAUUGCGAAUUGUUCUUUUCAGUGCAAUCAACUUGCAACUCCCCUAAUCGCAAAAAAACUUACAACUUCCCUUUCAUAAAUAGUAGUGCCCAUUUCCCCAGUAGUCUCGCAUUAACAUUUAAACAUGAUUAUCAAACACUUGGUUUAGUGGUGACCCUUUAUUUUUAAGGUCAGAAGUUACCUAAUCUUUUCAUAUAGAUAUGGGAGUAGAUUUUUUUGUUUUUCUCCCAAUUUCACAGUAAUUAGCUAGUAAACCCCUCUAACCUUAGAGAAGAGUUGAGAAGUUAUGGAUCGAAUUUCUAAUUGAUUACAUUAAAAAUGGUUCCGUUAAUUUCCAUCAAACUUAUUUUUAUAAUAUCAAUACACUAAGGGCGUGUUUGGCGCCCCGCAUAACACUGUAUUAGAACACCAUAUUGUAUUAAGAUAUUACAAUAAAAUGUUUGGCUGCUAUGUGGUAUUGCAUAAAAAAUAAUUAAUGCAGCAAAACCCAUAUAAUGGAAUCUAGCGUGAGUGUCGAGUUGAUUUGAUUUAAUUUUUAUUUUACAGAUUAUAUAUUUAAAAUAUACUGAAAAAAUAAAUGUUAUGCUACUAAAAAUUUAAGGUCAUAAACUCAAAUCUUUAUGAAGAAUGAUGAUAUAUUUUUUAACAUUUAUAUUACAACAAUAAUGUUAAAUUUUCAAAAUUUAAGACUUUUAUAUUCAAUAUUUGUCUAAGUAUUAAAUAUUAAUAAAUAUUAUUUUCUAAAUAUGUAAUUUAAAUUAAUCAGCAAAUGAAUUAAUACAGUACAAUGCAACACCAAACAUAGUGUAACUAAAAAUUAAUACAGUAGAGCACCAAAUAUUGUACAAUAUUAUUAUAAUAUAGUGUUAAUAUAAUACAACAUAAUACAAUACACCUGCAUUAAAAUAAUAUAAUACAAUGUGUCAAACGCACCCUAAUUGUAUUGCAGUAUCUAAAAAAAAAAGAUAAUUAGACCAUUUUAACCAUGAUUAUCUAACAUUAGAUUGAAUUAAAAGAGUCAAAAUUUAUGUUAAAAUUUUAAAAUAAAAAAUUGAAGUUACAAUAUUCCGAUCCAUUAAAAAAAAAUGUAUUUAACCAUGACCAUUGACUAGUCAACACUCACCAGCUUAAAGUAGUGUACAUAUUCGGACACUCACAAAUUCUUUAAUGGAAAAGUGCCACUUACUAAUUCUUAUGUUCAAGUACAGUAGACAAAUAAGUUAAGCAUUCAUUUCUCUACAAUAAAAGUACCAGUCUUCACUCUUCACUCCAUAAUUAGAAGAGUGGGUCUGCCUACAAUGGACCCAUGCAUCUAAAUCUUCAAUUAGAUUUGAUAGGCAGCCAUAAAUCAAUUGACAUGUGUUUUGAUCUAACCGGUUACCCCGUUGAAGCCACAAUUCUCCCGCCAAGUUAAUGAUUCUAAUUGCACUCAAAAAAAAAAAAAUUUCACAAAUUUGUAAAAGAUUCCAUUUUUUCUAAGUACGCUUACUUUUGUUGGAACACAAAGGGUAAAAGUACAUUUAAUCUCUGUAUUUUUAUUCCAGUAAAAAUUGUAAAAAUUUAUUUUUUUAAUUUAAAUGUAAAUAUCUAAAAAUCAAACAUAUGUUACAAAAAAAAACUAAUUUUUUUAAAAUAAGUUAAACUUCAUAUGUUUAAAAUAAACGCUAAGGAACAUGAAUAAGAGCUAUUAAAACAAAAAAAGAAUAAUUUUGAAACUAAAUACAAUUAAUUGAGAGAUGAGGACCGAUAAGAUAAAUUCAUAGAUAAAAAUUAAAAUAUCAACCUUACUUAUUGCCGGCAGUUAUGAGCAUUAAAGCACAGAAGCACGUGUGUUGAAAAGUAUGGUGUUCGUGUGGAAUUUUCAGCUAGAAGUGGACGGUGGCUGGACAAUGAGAUGAAAUUGAAAGAUUAUCACGGAACUUGAAGGAAGGUUCAUGGCAUCGAUUUAUUCUAAAGAGUCACUACAUUUGGUUCAAUAAUUGUUUUCAUUCGAAUCAAAAUCUCUCUCUAAUCAAUUCAACUGUUUCUGUUGAUUAUGGCUUCUUCUUCUCGAAACGACAAGAAGUAUGAUGUUUUUGUUAGUUUCAAAGGAGAGGACACCCGCGACAACUUUACUAGCCAUCUCUGUUCUGCUCUGUGUCGACAAAAUAUCCAAACUUUCAUUGAUGACCAACUUAACAGAGGAGAUGAAAUUUCGGAGUCACUUGUGAAUGCAAUUGAAGCAUCAGCCAUUUCAGUUAUUGUCUUCUCAGAAGGGUAUGCAUCUUCCAGAUGGUGUCUCGAUGAACUUGUCAAGAUCCUCGAGUGCAAGAAACAGUAUGCACAGAUUGUGAUUCCGGUUUUCUAUCGGGUUGAUCCAUCAGACGCGAGAAACCAAACAGGGCCUUUUGGGAUUUCAUUUUCGAAGCUUGAAGAAAGAUUUAAGGAGAAUUCAGAGAAGCUUCAGACUUGGAGGAAAGCUUUGAAGGAAGCAGCCAGUUUGUCUGGCUUUCAUUCUUUUAACAUCAGGUGAAAAGUUACCUUUAAUUUCUCAUUCUAAUAUUUAACAAUAAAUAAAAUUCACUCAGCACUCUUAGUUAAAUUUCCGGCUGCUAAACUACAAUUUUAAAAAUUUUUAAGCAUCAAAUUCUAGACUUCCUGACUUCCCCACUUUUGUGCUCUCAUAAUUAUAAAAUAAUUGUGACAGAAUUAAUAAUAAAAGCUCGAGAAUUUUACAAUAUAUAUGUAACAAAAUUAGUGGUGGUCUGUCGUUUUUUAAGCAAUUUCAACCCCUCACUCAGAUACCACCAUUACCAAAAAGAAAAGAGAAAUUAUCAUUGCACCACCUCUCUUUUACCUUAUGUUCAUCCAACCAUCAUAAAAUUUUAACAUGUUCUUUGCACCACAUUUCUUUUUAAAUUUGUAUUAAUUAGUUACUUUUGAACUAAUAUCGUUAAAUAANNNNNNNNNNNNNNNNNNNNNNNNNNNNNNNNNNNNNNNNNNNNNNNNNNNNNNNNNNNNNNNNNNNNNNNNNNNNNNNNNNNNNNNNNNNNNNNNNNNNGUAUUUUCUAGGUGUGAGUCGCAACUUACAAAUGAAGUUGUUAAUAACAUUUUGAAGAGAUUGGAUGAAGUGUUUCAGCCGCGCGAUAACAAAAACCAGCUGGUUGGAGUGGAAUCAACAGUUGAGGAAAUUGAAUCUCUAUUAGUUGUUGAGUCGAAAGAUGUUUACGCUUUAGGGAUUUGGGGCAUUGGUGGUAUAGGCAAAACAGCAAUUGCUAGAGCUAUUUUCGACAAAAUCUCAGGUGAUUUUGAAGGUUCUUGCUUCCUCGAAAAUGUUAGAGAAGAGUCACAAAGACCAGGAGGAUUACCUUGCUUACGACAGAAACUUCUUUCAAAUUUAUUGAAGGAUAAAAAUGUGAUGCCUUAUAUUGACCUCAAUUUUAGAAGGUUAAGCCGCAUGAAGGUUCUGAUUGUUUUUGAUGAUGUGACUUGCUUCAGCCAAUUAGAAUCUUUAAUUGGAAGUCUUGAUUGGUUUACGCCUGUGAGUCGAAUCAUAAUAACCACCAGAAAUAAACAAGUGCUUAGAAAUUGGGGGGUGAGGAAAAUCUAUGAGAUGAAGGCAUUAGAAUAUCAUCACGCUAUUGAGCUUUUUAGUCGACAUGCCUUCAAACAAAACCAUCCUGAUGUUGGUUAUGAGGAACUUUCAAGCAAAGUAAUGAAAUAUGCUCAAGGUGUUCCUUUAGCUCUUAAAGUUUUGGGUUGCUUUCUAUAUAAAAGGGAAAAAGAAGUUUGGGAAAGCGCAACAGAUAAAUUGCAAAGAAUCCUCCAUCCAAGUAUUCUAGAGGUAUUAAAAAUAAGUUAUGAUGGUUUGGACGAUAAAGAGAAAAGUAUUUUCCUUGAUGUUGCUUGUUUCUUUCAAGGUGAGGAUGUAAAUCCUAUAAUGAAAUUCUUUAAUGCAAGCGGCUUCUACCCAGAAAUAGGUAUAAGUGUUCUUGUUGAUAAGUCUCUCAUUGCUAUUGAUUCACACAAAAAGAUAACAAUGCAUGAUUUAUUACAAGAAUUGGGUAGGGAAAUUGUUCGACAGGAAUCAAUUAAUCCUGAAAACCGCAGUAGAUUGUGGCAUCAUGAGGAUAUUUAUGAAGUUCUUACAUAUAAUAAGGUAAGCAGUUUGUUGUGGAUUAUUAUUUUGGAAUAAUGUAGUGUUUAAAAACUUGAUGCCAAUAUAUUUACAUACGGUCGAACUUAUGAGUCUUAGAAUUAAUAGAAGAGUGGCACUGAUUAGAAAAAACAAUAGUGGUUAGAUGAUGUAGUAAUAAAUUAUAAAUGCGAGACAACUUGCAUAACCAUUUGUAAGCAUAAUUGAUAUGUAAAUUUGUGUAGUACCUGUGUUCUUAUGUUUCUUGUGCAUUUGCAAUUAAGUGUUUAACUGCCUAGCAAUAACUAUAAACAUGAAUUAUUGAAAUUUGAUACGAGUAAUGACAGAGAGCCCCACUCCAAUCCCACAUAAACUCCAUACAAGAAUAAAUAAAAAUUAAUAACUAAGCUACCUCUAAUUGUGAAUUAGUGACAAAAUUGCCCCAAAAAUUUGUCUCGGUGGGGUUGAAGUUUGAUUCAUUAGUGGAAUAUACAUAUCUUUCAUUUGAUUUUAACUUUAUUUAUUUUUAUUUAUUUUUAGGGGACAGAAAAAAUUGAGGGCAUCUGCUUGGAUAUGUCAAAAGUAAAAGAGAUCCGUUUAAAUCCCAGUACUUUCACAAAGAUGCCUAAAUUGAGAUUUUUAAAGUUCUAUAGUUUAUCAUUCAAUAGAGAGAACAAAUGUAAGGUGCCUUAUUUGCAAGACCCUGGAUUUGCUGAAGUGAAAUAUUUUCACUGGCAUGGAUAUCCGUUGAAGUCAUUGCCUUCAAACCUUAGUGGAGAGAAGCUUGUGUUACUUGAAGUGCCUGAUAAUGACAUUGAACAACUUUGGGAUUGUGUGAAGGUAUGCAUAUCUUAUUAUAUAUGUGCAAUCUUUCAAUAACAAUAUUAAAUUAUUAUAGUAAGUAACGAUUUUGUCUUGGCCUCUUUUUUGACCGAGCAGCGUUAUAGUAAGUUAAACCAGAUAAUCCAUGCUGCCUACAAUAAGCUAAUUGCCAAAACUCCAAAUCCCACGUUGAUGCCACGUCUGACCAAGCUAGUUAUCUUGAAUCUAAGAGGUAGCAAAAGCCUGAAAAGUCUUCCAUCUGGAAUAUUUAACUUGGAAUUUCUUACCAAACUUGAUCUUGCGGGCUGCCCAAAACUGAAAAGGCUUCCAGAGAUCUCAUCAGGUAAUCUAAGCUGGUUUUUUUUAAGGGGGACUGCUAUUGAAGAACUGCCCUCAUCAAUUGAGCGUCUACUUAGGCUUGGGUUCUUGGACCUUUCAAAUUGUAAAAGGCUUAAGAGUCUCCCAAGCAGCCUAUGGAAGUUGAAAUCUCUUGGAGUUCUUAAUCUCUGUGGUUGCUCAAAUCUUCAGAGAUUGCCCGAAUGUCUUGGCCAAUUAUCCUCGCCAAUAAUAUUGAAUCUAGCGAAAACCAAUAUUGAGAGAAUACCAGAAAGCAUUAUCCAACCUUUCAUGUCGCGAUACCUCCUCUUAAGUUAUAGUGAGAGACUUCAAUCCUUACCAAAGCCUCCAUUCCUUGCACGAGGUUGCCUGGCACUGCAACCAUUCUUAGGUUUGUUCUCUAAGUUAUGAAUCUUAUAGGCAAUGUUUUUUGACCGGAGCAAUAAUUUUAAAUUGGAAGGUAAUUCUACUGCAGGAAUUGUUGAAGAUAGCCAGAGAAUUCCGCAUAUGGACCAUAAGCUAGCUGUCCGUUGGCAAGAAAUACAGGAAAAUGUGUGUCUUUAACUCUCUCUGUUUAAAAUUUCUACAAUUUUUUUUUGGGUUUAAAAUUAUAAUUUUUUGGUACAGAGAGGUUUUUCCAUGGGCAAAGUUCAUAUCGUAAUGCCUGGGAAUGAAAUUCCAAAGUGGUUUCAGUUUCAAACUGUGGGAUCUUUUAUAACCUUGGAGAUGCCACCAGAUUUCUUCCGUAAUAACAUAGUGCAGGGCAUUGCAUUUUGUGCUAUUUUAGCAUUUUCAGACCGUCAUGUAGAUUGUGGCAGAAGGUUUUCAUUUUCUUUUGAGCUCAAAGUGAAAACCACCAAAGAUUGUGGUCCCCAUGACACACAGUUAUUUCAGAGCAGAGUUAAUUAUAUAGAAUCAGAUCAUUUACAUUUGGGGUACUAUCUGUUCCGCGAAGAGGAUUUUAAUGGUUUUUGGAAAUGCAAUUGCAUUCCUGAGGCAGUCCACUUUAAUGUUUUUCCACCUUUGGAGUGCCAGUGCUGCGGGGUGAAAAAAUGUGGGAUCCAUUUACUUCACACCUCAGACUCUACGAAUUGAAUAGAAAAUCCAAGCACGUGUUUCAACUAUAACGAAGAAGACUGAGAUUUUCAUGAAUGUAGUUUCACUGUUUUCCUUUUUCUAAUGACAAUUAAUAAUAGGAGAAAAUGCCAAAAUCAGUUCUUAGAACAAGACAUCCAUGUAAUAACUUUCGAGGGAUCUGGUUCAUGUAACACAAAUUCACACUAGAGAACUUUACCUUAUUAGGCGAAGAGUAUAAUGUAUGAAAAGCACGUGAUGUGCAUUGUAAAAUUAAAAUUAUUGGCCUUCUUUUUCUUGCUUUGUGCACACAACACAUCACGAUUUUGUUAUUGAACCUUACAACUCAAAACACAUCCACGUAGUUAGGAGAGCACAUGACUUAUACACCAGUAAUAAAACUCACAAGCUAGGCGAUGUCGGAUAUUACAGGACACACAACAGUUCUUAUUGGCGGAGCUAUGUUGUGGGCCCAUAUCUCUAUCAAUGAAAGCAUGACACUCACCCCAUUGCGCACCAUAUAAACUCUCAUCUUUAUAAUGCAAUCACAUUUGAAAACUCUCUACUUUCUCAAAUCUAAAUUGUUGUAUAUGGGAAAGUUUCAUCAUGUGGAAACAAAAGCCAUAAAGAGGGAACAGUUAAAACACCAUAAAAUCUUAUAUAUUUAAAAAAAGGUUAAUGCUAAGUUACAUGCAUGUAACUUACAACCCUCUCACAUGAAUAGCGAAUGAUGUGAGCCCACUCACUAUUCAUGUGAGAGGAUUGUAAGUUACAUGCAUGUAACUUAGGGGGAUCCUUAAAAAAAUAUAUUUGUAUACUGAUUAAAAAAAAAAAGGAUAGGUGUCAUUUUCACUCAAUUUAUUUGUGUUGUGAAUCCAUAUGCUUAAACAUAUGUGCACUUUUUCAAGUAUAUGUACCAAUUCCAUAUUCGGAAUGGUGCAUUUGAUUCCAUAGUUGACGUGGUAUCAUCUAUGGCUGGAAUUUAUAUUUAUAAAACUGACUUGUAAGGAAAGGAUUGAAGAUGCCUGUGAACUUAUAUUUCGAUUUAGAUUGUUGUAUCUUUUUCAUGUAUAAAAUUGGAUCCUAUCGUUCACAUAUCGUUAACAUGAGCAAUAUAGAUUGCUAAAUCAUUGUUCUUUAUUAUUGUGCUGAAUUUGACUUUUCAUUGAAUAAUUUGAUACAUGCCUUGAAUCAAUUUGGACUUUUACAACUUGUCGGGGAUCAGUUUCUCCUACAUUCUUUUCGGCGCCAAAAGAUAUUCAAGCGGUUGAAUAAGAUUUGAUAUAUACAAUAUAAAUGCGAGAGUUGUUUGUCUUUUUACAAUAGGAAUAAUAUAUAAUGCUCAUAAAAAAAUUUCGUUGACCAACUCGGGUCUGUCGUCAUGGGGACUGAUGGGUGUCGAAGCCAACAAAAAUAAAUUCCUACUCUAAAUAAAUUGUGUAUAGUGAUUGAGCAGGGUCGUGUCCACAGAGAUCGGUAAUUAUUUAAAUCCUUUUGAAACGUAAAACGUAAAAUGGGGGAAUUGUUGACAAUAAUAAAAAUCAAAUUAAAAAUAACAAGAAUGCAAAUUAAAGUUGUAAUUCAAAUUGGAGAAAGCUCUGGUUGAAGGAAUUAACUCAGCUUGAUUCAACUACUGAUCAUUGAUUCAAAUAUAGAUUAUUAUUACUCAUGAAUAGACCGGUUAUAGCUACUGAGACCCUCUAAUAGCCAAUCUCUCCUUAACUAGUCGAUAACCAAGGUACGACCGUUGGUUAUUUCCCUAAUCAAUAGACAACCCUAGAUACGAUCAUAGGAUUUAAUCAAUUGAUAGCCUGAAAAACCAGAGAGACCCAAAUCAUAAUCAACACAUAUGAUGAUUCAUUUAAAUUAGAUUGUUUAUUCUCACAACACAACUCUCUGAUAUGUUAUUUGUCACAAACAUUAAAUUCUUCAUACGAUGAAUCCUUUAAUUGACAAUAGAUUAAGUUGAUAAUUAAAUAGUGGCCAAUUACCUAAUUAACAAACAUAAUCAUGAAAAUAAUUCAGAGAAUAAACAAAUACUCAAAAAGCAAUAAAACAAUUAAAGCACAAGAAAGAUCUCACAGUAGUGAUGAAUCAAAGCUUCAUUAUCCUUCAACCAGAAAAAUAGGUUUAGUUCUUCAUAGAGAGAAGAGAAAAAUUAAGAUCUAGGGUUUAUUUCUUUUUCUCCAAUCCAAAAAAUCCCCCAUUUUCACAAUAGAUUCCUCCCUUAAAUACUCUCUCUCUCUUCUCUUUUAGAAUUCUAUUUAAAAUAAAAUCCUAAUAUCUGAAAUAUUAAAUUCGUAAUUACAAAAAUAGCCAAAAAUAUAAAACAUGUUAAACUAAAAACUGCAGGUCCGCAGUUGACAGCACGCGCCCACGCCUUAUCAACAAAGUUCUUCUGCUGCUCAUAAUUUCUCCAAGGGAACAAUCAUCCCUAAACAUCAUCUUGUAGCUUAAUUUUAUCACCAAUCAAUAGAAUUGCACCUACAAAAGUAAAUCACAAGUAAAUCACUAUUAUUAAGUGCAAAACAUCGAUAUUAAGGGAAGUAAACAAUGCAAAACUAGUGCAUAAAUUGCACUCUAACAAAUUCCCCCACACCAAGAUGAUGCUUGUCCUCAAGCAUAUAACUCAAGAUUAAUCUCAAAUCUCCACUAAAUUCUCAUCUCAACUCAUCCAAAAACAAUUUUAAGCAAGCAUACCUCAAGAAAUUAAGUCGUUCAAUGUUCGAGAGACAAGGAUUUUAAAGCAUAGAAUUUCGUAAGAUAGAAUAAGAACAUUCAACCACCAAGAAGAUCCAUUCAAAAUUCAAGUGCAACAAGAUUUAAUAGCCCUCUCAAUAACUUCACUCCAUGCACUCAAAGUGUUUAGGGUGUCAUUUAUCCACUCAAAUCAAAUCAAAGAAUGCUAUUACCAUAAGCUUGCUCAUAUAUCACAUCUCAAUCCACACAACAUGAAUAAAAUGCAAAAAUCUAAGGGUCUUAAAAGGGUUGUAAUGGGGUUAAAUAGGUGAAAUGAAAAAGAAAGGUCUAUGAAAGAAAAAUAGAUAAAAUGAGAAGAAUGAACUCAUUGAAUGAACUUAUGAUAUCAAAAUGCUUAUUUCUACUCAAGUCACCAAGAAUGUAAACUUUUUUUUUCGAUUUUUCUUUUUCUUUUUCUUUCUUUUUUUUUUCUUUUUUUUUCGUUUUUGUUUUGUUUUUUUGAUUGAUUUUUUUUUAAUCAAACAAAAGAAACGAACCUUGCACAAUUUAAUUCAAGCAUAAUGCUUGUUGAUCUAAUUGAGAAACUUUAAUACAAGGUAGAAAAAGCAACAAAAUAUAACCACACAAUGAGUUCAAAAAUCUCCUUAAAUUGAGGCUCAAAAAGAAGAAAAAUGGUUAAGUCAACGGAGAGAAUUAGAUGGGUAAUGGUUAAGGCUCAAACAAAGGUAGCAAAUAAAGGUCUUCGGGUAGAGAAAAAAAAUGCGAGAAUAGAAAAAUGGAAUAUGGUUUGCCCUUAUCAUUUUAAUGCAUAAAAUCCCGUAAUGUGGCUUCAACAUGCAUAACAAAGCAAGUUCUAGAAUAAACAAACUAAGAUUGAUAUUCACAUAACAAAAUAUUAGAGCAAAGUGGUUGCUUAUAGGCUCAAAUCCUCACAAAGUUGGUAAAUUUGCCAUCAAAUCAUGUACACUCUUCAAAUGAAUCAACCAUCAAUAAUGGUGUAGAAUGAGAAGAAGGUAUGAGUGAUAUAUAAAAGAAAAGGUAAAAAUGAUAAGAAGUGAGAAAGACGUAUGUAGUAAUAUGAAAAGUGAAAGAUAAAAUGUGAGUGAUGAAAGAGUAUGAUAGAAUAAAAAUAGAUGUAAAUAAUUUGAGAUAGAUGGGAAAAGAGUAGUGAGAAAGAAAAGAAAAGAAAAAAAUAAUAAUAUAUGAAGCAUACUAACUCCAAAAUCAUUUAAGGAUGAGUAGAGUGAAAAUAGAUGAGUAGAGUGAAAAUACUACUUCUAGACAUCAAUAAUGCAAAAAUCCCUCCCCCACACCAAGAACUUACAUUGUCCCCAAUGUAAGAUAAUCAAAGCUCACAUUAAAAUUAAAGCGUAAGAAUAAAAGAUUAAAGGCAAAAAGAAACUUCCCUGAAUUGUGAGCUUUGAUCCAUAUAACGUCUAUGGGCUUGGCGGAAAUGGUGGGGUAAAUCCCACACUCUCGAAGUAUGCGGCCAAAUUAUGCUCCAUCUUGUUCAGCUUGUGCUCCAUUUUCUCUAACUGAAUGCUCAAAGGUGGUGCGGAUGUAGAAGGAGUAAUUGGCGGGGCAGCAGUGUCGUCGUCAAACUCGUCAUCAGAGGUAGCACCACUCCUAGCAUAAAGUUUCUUCGGAAGUUGAGUGGGUCUUGGUUCAGUAAACUGAAAUCUCCCCUCCUUGAAUUCGACCACACCUAUUCUUUCAAACACAGACAUAUCCAAAAAUUCCUUUUUACAAGCAGGAUGCAAAUCAUUAUUGUCGGGAUCAAGCACACAUAGGUUUAUAGCUAACAUAGUAAUGUAUGGACCAAGAAAUAAAGUCCUAUACCGUUUAAGCACACUUUGAAAUUGAUCCGCUAACCAAAAACCUAAAUUAGGCCUCACAUCAUUUAACAUGCACCAGAUAAAAUAAAAUUCAGUUUUAGAGAAAACUCCUGAGUGAUCUUUCUUGCCUAAAAAAUUAUAUGCUAAGAAUCGAUGCACACAUUUCAAAACAGGAUCACGUAAGAAAGAACUCUUUGAUUUACUCGGGUCAUAGGCAUUGUGAUCAACAGAUAAAUUAAGCCAAAGACCAUAAGGCUCAAAAUUUUCACUAAAGUCACAAGUUUUUCCUAAAUAUGCAUCACUAGAAGAAUAAUCAUCAUUAAUGAAUCCUAAAGCUAGGUUAAAAUCCGUGAUAGAGUGUGAAAAAUUUCGUCCCAUUAACCUAAACUUAAUGACAUCCGAGGUAUGCAAAGUAAAAUCAUUCGGCAUAUGAAAUUGAAAAGUAGCAUAAAACUCCCUAAUCAACUCAACAUAACCCAAACAAUCAACAUCAACAAAUUUACGCAACCCAAUCUUAUCUAUCAAAGAAUCAAAAUUAUCCUUAACAUUCAAUUUUUCAAGAGUCGGGUAAUGAAUAUACUUAGCUGGAAGUAUUUUGCGCAUGGAAAUAUCUUUGUACCUCUCUUUCUCUUGUUGAGUCGCGAAUGCGAGGCACCCUCCGAGAUUGGAUUCCGCAAGUGGCAAAACACUCAUGCCUUUUCCAUGCUUCAAUCUUUGUCUCACGGCUUGGCGUGAAUCUGAAAUUGUGUUCCAUGGAACCGUAGUGGGAGCGGCAAUCUUAGAUUUCUUGGCGACGGGUUUUUUUUUCGAUGACUUGGAAGUAGAUGCUUUCCUCUUCGGCAUUGUUACAAUAAUUGCACUCACGGAUUUCGAUUUACCCGGCUGGAAUACAGGGCGUAGGCUGGUUGCGUUGCGUUGCUGCGUUGUGGGCUUGCGUUGCGCGCUGCUGAGGCUUGCUUUGCGGGUGCUGCGCUGUGUUGCGCGCUAGUGAUUCGCGUUGCGUUGCUGGGCUGGAUCUACGCACUGCUGCGUUCGCGUUGUGUUGCGCGCGAGAGCUGGUUCGCGCUGCUGAUCCGUUGUGCGCUGGUGGGGCUUCGUUGCGCACGGCUGGAGCUAAGAAUCUGCGUUGCUGGGGCUUGCGUUGCGCGCGACUGAUGCUGCAUUCUCCGGCUGGCUGGUUUGCUGCUGGCGUGCUGCAAACGGCUGGAGAAGAAAACAAUUUCUGGAAAAUUAGGGAUUUUGUGAACAGUAAAAUUUUUUUUUUUUGAACAAUGAUUUUUUUUUGAUUUUUUUAAAUAAAUAAAAUAUAUAUAUAUAUAAAAGAAAGAACAAAAGAAAUAAAUCAAUAAAAAAAUAAAAUAAAUUAAAAUUAAAAAAAAAUUUAUUUUUAUUUUUAUUUAUUUAUUUAUUUUUUUAGUGAUGAAUCACUUUGAGACACUAAAAAUUUCAGAAGUACUUUUCUAAUAAGCACGUGGGCACGCCUUAAAACUAUUUUACUUUAAAAAUUACAGAAGUACUUAUUAGUUAAGACGUGGGCACGCCUUAUCAAAAAUUUUCUUCUGACCAAAAUAAGCAAACACAUUAUUUAAAAAAAAAAUCUGAAUCAAAAUUAAAAGAAGAUAUAACAAAAACCAAAAUAAAUAAAUCACUUGGGUUGCCUCCCAAAAAGCGCCUUUGUUUUAUGUCUUUGGCUAGACACAUUUAUGCAUCAAUCUCCAUAAUUUGGACUCUCGAGAGCCACAUCCUCCACAAUAUUCACCGAAAAACCUUCAUAAAAAGGUUUUAAGCGAUGACCAUUAACCUUAAGAACUCUGUCAGAGGUCGGACUCCGAAUCUCAACUGCACCAUGAGGAAAAACAUUAGUAACAAUAAAAGGUCCAACCCAGCAAGAACGUAAUUUACCCGGAAAAAGUUUAAGUUUAGAAUGAAAAAGAAGAACUUUUUGACCAACAGAGAACUCCUUUCUCAAAAUCAUUCUAUCAUGAAAUGUCUUCGUCUUUUCCUUGUAAAAAACUUCCUUCACUAUAGGGUUAAUAACAUCCACAGAAAAUACCGAAUGUUCCUCACUAGGAUAUUUCAUGGCAUCAUUCAUAUUGAAUUCUAUAACCUCUCCAUCAAACUCCAUAGUGAGAGUCCCUUUAUGUAUAUCCAUUUUAGUCCUAGCAGUCUUAAGAAAAGGUCUUCCUAGCAAAAUUGGGACAGAAUUAGAGGAGUUAUCAUCUUCCAUAUCAAGUACAUAAAAAUCAGCAAGAAAAACCAACUCAUUAACUUGUACUAAGACAUCUUCUAAUACCCCAUCAGGAUAUGCAUUAGACCUAUCAGCUAGUUGAAUUAUCACACCAGUUUCUUUUAAUGGUCCAAUAUUCAAAGAUGAAUAAAUGGAACGAGGCAUGACAUUAAUAGAAGCUCCUAGAUCUAACAAAGCCUUUUCAACUCUAACACUACCAAUUUUACAAGGGAUAGUAAACAUACCUGGAUCCUUGCACUUAGGAGGUAGUUUCUUUUGGAGAACUACUGAAACAUUCUCCCCCAUGUGAACUUUUUCAUCUCCUCUUAAUUUUCUCUUGGAGGUGCACAGUUCCUUAAGGACUUUAGCAUAUCGAGGUAUUUGUUUUAUAGCAUCUAAUAAAGGAAUAUUUACCUCAACCUUGCGAAAUGUCUCAAGGAUGUCUUUCUCUUGUUCCUCCUUCUUGGAUUUUGCAAAUCGGCUUGGAAAAGGAGGAGGUAUCACAAUAGGUAGGGGUUUCGCUUUGGUGGGUUGUGCAUCUUGAGAUUGAGGCAUCAAUUCAUUCUUCUCAAGCUCAUCUUCUACAUGCUUUGUCACUUUCUUACUAGGCUCUUGCAACUCCGUCCCACUUCUAAGGAUGACAGCACUAACGUUUUGCUUUGGAUUCACCUCAGAUUGUGAAGGCAAUCUCCCUAAUACUUGAGACUCCAGACAGCUCACUGUAGUCGCCAAUUGACUCAUUUGGUUCUCCAAGUUCUGAAUGCUUACUGUAGUUGCCUGCUGAAAUUGUUGAGUGUUAGUCGCAAGCGAUUUAACAAUUUCUUCAAGAGAUAUACCUGACUUGGAGUUUGACUGUGGAGGUGCUGGUUGUCUUGGUGGAUACUGUUGUGGGAAUCCUGACGGCCUAACUCCAUAGCUGAAGUUGGGAUGAUCCUUCCAUCCCGGAUUGUAUGUUUGUGCAUAAGGAUCAUACCUCCUCUGAGGCAUGCCUGGAAAUCCUCCAACUACAUUGGCUUGUUCAACGGGUUCUUCUUGAAGUGUAGGACACAUAUCGGUUGAAUGACCCAUAUUGUAACAAAUGCCACAAGUCUUCACCUGUUGCACAUUACCUACAACAAACUUUUCCACAAGAGAAGUAAGUUUAUCUAAACGUUGUUCAACAGAAGAAAUAUUUACCUCAUUCACCUUCUUUGAAAUGGGAUCUUGCCUGCUGCCAAAUUGUUGUGCGUUGGCAGCCAUAUUUGAUAUCAACUCCCUUGCUUGCGUAGGGGUCUUGUUCACCAACACGCCUCCACUAGCAGCAUCUAUCAUACUCCUAUCCAUCAAUGAUAGUCCUUCGUAAAAAUAUUGAAUAAGAAGUUGAUAAAAAAUUUGAUGCUGAGGACAACUGGCACACAAUUGUUUGAAUCGCUCCCAAUACUCAUACAAAGUCUCUCCAGGAAGUUGUCUGAUCCCACAAAUAUCUUUUCUGAUGUUGGCAGCUCUUGAAGCAGGAAAGUACUUCUCAAGGAAUUGCUUCUUCAAAACCAUUCCACGUUGUAAUUGAUCCAGGAGGCAAGUAGUACAACCAAUCUUUAGCUAGCCCAUCUACAGAGAACGGAAAAGCACGCAGCUUAAUCUGCUCUUCAGUCACACCUUGUGGUCUCAUACUUGAGCACACAACAUGAAACUCCUUAAGAUGUUUAUGAGGAUCUUCACCUGCAAAACCAUGAAACUUGGGUAAUAAAUGAAUAAGACCAGACUUUAAUUCAAAAUUUACCUCCAAAUCUACAUAUUGAAUGUAGAGUGGUUGUUGAUUCAAGUCUGGUUCAGCUAACUCUCUAAGAGUUCUUUCUAUAGGUGCAGGUCUAUCCAUCACUUGUUCUUCUAAAUCGCUAGAUGAUUCAACUGAAUUAGGCACUAUAUCUGUUUCAGAAAGCAAAGGCGACGAGGAUCGUUGCUUAGCUCGCUUCGUCUGCUGUCUCAGCUGGCGAUCUGUCUUCUCAAUUUCAGGAUCAAAUGAAAGUGUACCUGUACGAGAAGAACGAACCAUACACCAAGUAAAACGUAAAAAGGAUUAAAUAAAUGACACCAAUCCCCGGCAACGGCGCCAAAAUUUGAUGGUUGUCGAAGCCAACAAAAAUAAAUUCCUACUCUAAAUAAAUUGUGUAUAGUGAUUGAGCAGGGUCGUGUCCACAGAGAUCGGUAAUUAUUUAAAUCCUUUUGAAACGUAAAACGUAAAAUGGGGGAAUUGUUGACAAUAAUAAAAAUCAAAUUAAAAAUAACAAGAAUGCAAAUUAAAGUUGUAAUUCAAAUUGGAGAAAGCUCUGGUUGAAGGAAUUAACUCAGCUUGAUUCGACUACUGAUCAUUGAUUCAAAUAUAGAUUAUUAUUACUCAUGAAUAGACCGGUUAUAGCUACUGAGACCCUCUAAUAGCCAAUCUCUCCUUAACUAGUCGAUAACCAAGGUACGACCGUUGGUUAUUUCCCUAAUCAAUAGACAACCCUAGAUACGAUCAUAGGAUUUAAUCAAUUGACAGCCUGAAAAACCAGAGAGACCCAAAUCAUAAUCAACACAUAUGAUGAUUCAUUUAAAUUAGAUUGUUUAUUCUCACAACACAACUCUCUGCUAUGUUAUUUGUCACAAACAUUAAAUUCUUCAUACGAUGAAUCCUUUAAUUGACAAUAGAUUAAGUUGAUAAUUAAAUAGUGGCCAAUUACCUAAUUAACAAACAUAAUCAUGAAAAUAAUUCAGAGAAUAAACAAAUACUCAAAAAGCAAUAAAACAAUUAAAGCACAAGAAAGAUCUCACAGUAGUGAUGAAUCAAAGCUUCAUUAUCCUUCAACCAGAAAAAUAGGUUUAGUUCUUCAUAGAGAGAAGAGAAAAAUUAAGAUCUAGGGUUUAUUUCUUUUUCUCCAAUCCAAAAAAUCCCCCAUUUUCACAAUAGAUUCCUCCCUUAAAUACUCUCUCUCUCUUCUCUUUUAGAAUUCUAUUUAAAAUAAAAUCCUAAUAUCUGAAAUAUUAAAUUCGUAAUUACAAAAAUAGCCAAAAAUAUAAAACAUGUUAAACUAAAAACUGCAGGUCUGCAGUUGACAGCACGCGCCCACGCCUUAUCAACAAAGUUCUUCUGCUGCUCAUAAUUUCUCCAAGGGAACAAUCAUCCCUAAACAUCAUCUUGUAGCUCAAUUUUAUCACCAAUCAAUAGAAUUGCACCUACAAAAGUAAAUCACAAGUAAAUCACUAUUAUUAAGUGCAAAACAUCGAUAUUAAGGGAAGUAAACAAUGCAAAACUAGUGCAUAAAUUGCACUCUAACAGGGACAAUGUCCUACUCCUUCCAAUACAAUUAACUUCACAUUUGAAAGUUGAGAAGGCAGAGAUUAGAAGUAUCUACCAACAGGUACAUCGAAGGGGGUGAAUGGAUCCUCAUCCCCCCAUAAAACUAGUACAGGUAUAGAGAUCGAUGGCAUCAAUUGCACGGGGUUCGGCCCUGAUGGGCCAGUCACAAUCGAAACAAAUGCAUCAAGUGCCCCUUCAUCAUUGGCGGGUUCUCGUAUGAUCCGCAGUUUUGAGGUUAAUUCAUGAAUUUUGGGUAGCCAAUUUUGUAAGAGGGUAAAAUGGCACAUAAGUGGAGAAUAUUAAUACCUCUACCAGUGUUUCAUCCACAGAUUCCUUAUUUGUAUAGAUGGACAGUAAAAUGGUCGUCCCUGCAGCACCAAUAUAUACACAUCAUAGAGUUUUUUUAUUUUUGACUCUAGUGUUUUAGGAUAACGAAAAAUGGACUGAAUAGAGAGAAGAGAAAAUACCUUUGUUUCACAUCUUCAAAGAUUGCAUCUGCAAUUGGCCUUUGCUUCAACAAAAAAUCUAUGAACCAAAGCAAUGGAAACAAUAGCUUGAUUCUCCAGUCGUCACCAAUGCCUUGUUGUUCAUGCCGCCACCAUAAUUCAACAGAACAAGCCCUCGAACAAGUGUUUGACUGGAUCCUUAUUGUAGAAAAUAUACCAGGUUUAUCGCAAACCUUAGUUACAAGAAGGCUAAUUAGGUGGUGCAAGUGUUUCUUUCCAAGCAAAUUGAAGAAUAUCUAAUGUCCAAGAGGAAGUUAAAAUAAAUAUACCUGAGGCGACAAUAACACAAGCUAGGCUUCCAACAUAAUUACCUAUAAGCACAGUUGGCUUUCGAACCACUUCAUCCAAGAAAUCCAGUAUUAGUUCUAUCAAUGAGUCUUACUCAAGUUAGCAAGGACAAUAACUAAAGGUCAAGCUAUUGAUAAUAUAAGUAAAGGAGUUGUGAUAUUUGACCAGUAAUAUAUCUCAUCAGCCCUAUUAAUCACUUUAUGUAAAUAUCUAUUUUAUCCUUGUAUGAAAUGAAUUAAAAAGGUAAAUAAUUAAUGAUUUUUAACAUUUGCGGAUGCCCACAAUUAUAUGUACACAAAAAUAAAUAGUAUAAAAAAUAAUACAUUAUCAAUAAAAAAAUUCACUAAAAAGAUAAAAAAUAUUCUUUAUCUUUUGUACUAAAUUUUGUUUACUUUUUUUUUUUUAUCAAUAAUGGGCUCUAAAAGAGCUAAAUCACCACUAAACGGGAUUGGGCAACCCCAGCUAUGUCGUUAUUAAGAAUGCUCUGUAAACUAGGAGGAGCAUCAGUAAGUAAUUGCAAGCCUAAAGGAAAGGACAAACUAAAUGAGGCCAGAAAAUCUGCCGCUAUGUUCGCUUCUCUAUAGAUGUGGUUCACUCUCACGAUCCAGUCCCUGCUAAGCAGCUCCCGAAUGGCAAGGAUGAGAGAGUGAUGCUCAUUAACAGGAGUGGUCGGAUUCUCCAAAAUUUGAGUAACAGAUUUGCUAUCAACUUCCACCCAAAUCCUUCGAAACCUUCUUUGCCAAGCCAUGCAAAGCCCGUGGUACAAGCCCCAUAUUUCCGCAGUAAGAACAGAACAAGCACCAAGGUUGAUGCAGAGCCCAAAUUGCCAAACUCCCCUGUAAUCCCUAACAAGACCUCCCACUCCUGCAACACCCGAUUCCUUCCUAGCACCAUCAGUAUUCAAUUUCACCCACGGCCAGGUUGGAGAGCUCCGACGGAUCCACUUCUCAACAUGUCUCUUCCCAACACCGAUAGAACUGUUGAAGCAUCUUUGAAUUUCAGCAACCCGCGAAUAAAUAUCCAGCAUGAUACGAUCACUUUCCCACUUCUCAUGAUUAAACAUGAGCUUAUUUCUCCAGAACCACAGCCUCCAAAUUACAACCCCAAAAGUUAACGACCACCCUUGUGAAUCACCAUGAGAGCUAGCCAUAUGAAGGUUAGUAACCAACCAAUCUGUGAGGCCAUCCAAAAAGAAACUUUGGUGAGUUCCAUUAAUCAAAAGACGCUUCCAAAUUACCAUUGAAUAGGGGCAGUCACGCAACACAUGUAGCAUAUCCGCCCGGACAAAUCCACAACGCUCACAAGCUGCAUCCAUGGCUAUUCCCUGAGAUGCAAGCUCGCAAUUAGUCUUCAGUCUGGAAUGAAGGGCUUGCCAAAUAAAAACUCUGAACCUCUGCGGUCCUUUCCAAGACCAAGCUAGCUUCCAAACCGAACUCUCCUCAGAUAGCCACGGCUUAGCAAGGAGCAUAUAAGCUGAACGAACAGUGAAGUGACCCGAAGGGGAUGCAGCCCAAUAAAAAAUGUCAGUCCCAUUGCUCGAAGACGGAGGCAUGAUGGACGCAAUCCGUAACAAAACGUGAUGGGGCAAGAGAUGACUAAAUUUGUUCCAGUUCCAGGAGCCAUUCAAAAGCGUAAACUGAGCAAUCGGUUGAAGACUUAUAUCACUGGGAAUGCUAGAGAGAGCUAAGUUCGCCAAAGGUUUAUCAUCGAUCACCCAACAGUCCCACCAAAAUCUGACAGUCAUUCCAUCACCAAUAGACCAGCACAGACCCCGUCUGGUAGGCUCCCAAGCUCUCCCCACAGCCUUCCAGAGAGGGGAACUUGCACUUGUACAGAAGUUAUGGUGGGUAUCAGUUGGGGAAAGACCAUAUUUAGACAACAAAACUCUAACCACAAGCUUUUCAGGUUCGGUCCUAAUAAGCCAUGCAAUUUUCAUUAUAAAAGCUUUAUUCAUGAGAGCAAGCUUCUUAAAGCCAAGACCACCAGCAGAUUUUGGUUGACAUACUCUAUCCCAACCAAUAAGGCUCAUUUUCCUAUGCUCCCCAUUACCACUCCAAAGAAAUCUUCUACACAUUUGUUCAAGCUUAGAAGUAAUACUUGUCGGCAGGUAAGUUGAUUGCAUUGCAUAGAUGGGAGCAACCUGUAGAACAGUCUGAGAUAGGGUGAUUCUACCUGCCAGAGAUAAAUGAGAGGCACUCCAACCCGAAAGCCUCUGAUCGACUUUAUCCAAAAUCUCCUGAUACGUGGAUUUUGUGAUACGCCCAUGGAGAAGAGGCAUUCCCAAGUACUUACCCAAAUCAGAGGUGGCAGUAAAUCCAAGCUCAUUACUAAGGGCAUGAACGGUAGGCCCUGGAACAUUAUGGGAGAAGAAAACUUGAGUUUUAGUUUUAUUCACCUUAGCACCAGAGCUAAGACAAAAAGAAUGCAACACUUUCGUGAUAAAUUGAGUUUGAUCUUUGGAAGCUUCAGCAAGAAGAAGCAAGUCAUCCGCAAAGAACAAGUGACUCAAAGGGGGACCCGAGCGAGACAACCGAAUUGGCCUCCACCUAUUCUGAUGAAUAGACUCAUAAAUCCCAUGACUGAGACGCUCUAUGCAGAGAACAAAAAUGUAGGGGGAUAAUGGAUCACCUUGACGAACACCCCGGCUAUGUGAAAUGUCCUCAGUAAACUCCCCCUCCCAUAAAACGUUCAUUCGAGCAGUUGUGAGACAACUCAUAAUUAGCUGAACUAAAGAUGUUGGUAAUCUCAACUCCAUAAGAGUAUCCGAAAUAAAGCUCCAGUUUAGCUUAUCAUAAGCUUUUUCCAAGUCAACCUUAAUAGCCAUUCAACCUUUCUUACCUUUUUUACGUUUCAUAGAAUAAUCUCCUAAGCAACGAUUAUAUUCUCAGUGAUAUGUCUUCCUAGUACAAAACUAGUUUGGUGAGGUCCAAUCAAAUCCGGUAAGAGGUGUUGCAGUCUAUUCACAAUGAGUUUAGUGAUUGUUUUGUAUGUCACAGUACAAAGACUUAUGGGACGAUAGAACUUGAAGGAACUUGGAUGAUCAGUUUUCGGGAUUAAAACAAGGAGAGUCUUGUAUACCAUCUCUGACACCACUCCAUCUUUGAACAUAGAUUUUAUUGUCUCACAAAGCGAAUCUCCAACAAUACUCCAUUGUGUUUGAUAGAAGCAAGCUGGCAAACCAUCAAUCCCCUGAGCUUUAAACGGGGUCAUCUGAAAUAUAGUACUACGAAUCUCCUCAUUAUCAACCGGCACACCAAGGCUAGCCAACCUAGUCUCUUCAAUCUCUGGGAACCGAUCACGCAAUGGAUACAAUUGAUGCAGCACCUGAUCAGGGGCAUACAACUUCGAAAAGAAUUCCACAGCUUCUCUUUUAAUCUCUUGAGGGUCAUAUAACCAAGCUCCACAGCUAUCCUUGAUUACUUUAAUCCGAUUACGGGCUCUCCUAGUGAUUGUCUUUUGGUGAAAAAAUUUAGUAUUUCUAUCCCCAAAAGCAAUCCAGUCUCGUCGGGAUUUUUGGAACCAAAAAAAUUUCUUCCUGUGCCAAUACCGUCUCCAACUCCUUCCUCAACUUCAACUGUAGCCGAAUAAGACUCUUGUAAGGUCUAUUCUCCACUGCUUUUUACACUCCCCCAAUCCUGGCUAAUAAAGACUUUUUUCGUUUAAAGAUGUUGCCAAAAACGUUUCUGUUCCAAUCUGAAACAUUCCUAACAAAAUCGGUGGUAGCUUGCCCAUAAGACUUAGAACGAUCCUAGCUUGUCUUUAUGAACUCGUUAAACCGAGAAUCCUUUAGCCAUGCAGCUUGAAAUCUAAAAGGUUUUUGAUCCACAUUCCGAUGAAUAUAUCGCUCAAACCGAACAAGCACGGGUCUAUGAUCAGAGGCAACAUGGGGAAGAUGCAGGACCAAAUAAUUCGUAAAUUUUACCAACCAAUCCUGGUUACACAUGGCACGGUCAAGCCUUUUGGAUAGACCUCCACGUGACCACGUGAACUGGGGACUGCUAAACUGCAAGUCAACAAUACUGUUUGAGUGAAACCAAGAAUUAAAAAGAUGGCAAAUACUCGUGUUGGACUGAGACCCCCCACGUUUCUCAUUAGCAUACAAAAUAGAGUUGAAGUCACCCCCCACAAUCCAAGGGCCCCUCAUGUGACGUGCAAUCUCUCCUAGCUGAGACCAGAGUUCUCGACGGGUUGUUGACACAGAACUAGCGUAAACUGCUGUCACCCAUGACUACAUUACAUUCUGAUUCAUGACUCUAAAAUGAAUGAAUUGUUUGUAAGUAAGCACCAUCUCGAUGUCUAAAUAAUUUUUCCAUAAUAUCCAGAUCCCUCCAGUAAAACCCACGGCUUCAACCCGAUGAGAUCUAUCAAAACCACUCCCCUUUAUGAAAAGAUCAGCUUUCUUGCCACUAAUACGCGGUUCAGACAACACCACCACUGAAGGCUUAUAGCUUGAGAUUAAAGAAUUAAAAGAGAGCUUAAAGCUCGCCGAGCCCGCUCCCUGUACAUUCCAAAACAUUACAGAUAUCAUAAAAAAAUAACCAGAGAGAGAAAUGCCUUACUGGCGGGUACCCCUGGGCGAUGUCUCCUGCAAACCAAGAGUCUCAUUGACAAAAGAAGUAUCAACAUCAGAUGUGGUGUCAUCAACAUUAUUCAUAAUAUCAUCCUCUUCCCCCACCCCACCACUAUUAGGGGGAUCAUUUAAAUGUUCAAAAGGAGGUUGGUGCCCUGGGUUCACUUCAUGAACGAUCUCCCUUUGGGCCCCGCUAGUUUCCCCAACAAAGAUGUUAUGUAGGUAAGCGAAGGAAACUACUGUGUGAUAUUUUGGGUUAAGGGUUGUAUGCACUGUGGAGGGACCACGGGAACUAGCAGAUGGGGGGUUGGCUUGCUUUGAACUGGGGGUUGUUUGGGGGCAUGGAAGAAAGUUUGCAUGUAUGACUUUAGAGGUUCCAGUUAUUGUCUAUUUAGGUUUGGGCGGUUGGGGCUUGGCAAUUUGUUUGCCCUUCAUAUUAGGUCAUAGGGUCUGUGAUUUAGGGUUAGCAAUGGGAUUAAGAACAGGUUUAGGCUUACUCAUAGUACGGGAGUAGAUGGAUGGGUUGGGCAAUUGAUGUAGCUCCUUCGGGGAUUCAUGGAAGGCCACUCCCACAGUCUCAACAUAAUCAACAGCAUCAGCAAGAACAGUGAAGCGUGACAUGCCAGCAUUAUGAUUUUGGUUUUGCAUGCUGCUACUCACAUUCUCCUUACCAAGAAUUGGCGCAGCCCUUCUUCUCCUUGGAGCAAUCAUCCAGGGGCCAAAAAUAUAUUCUCUAUUUCGAUCCUCCUUUCCGGCAUUAGUGUGAAUGGUUGUGGGAGGUAUGAAUGCGACCUCAGUUCCAAUAGGUGCCUCCAAUGCAACCUCCUGUGUAGCUCCAUCUGUACACCCAUUGCUAGAAUGACCAUAGCACCCACAUUUGAAGCAUAUUAUUGGCAAUCCCUCAUAUUCAACUUUUUGAACACUGCCAUUAAUUUUAAACUGAGAAACCAUAGGCUUAUUGAGCGAUAUUCACACCGCCAACCUUGCGAAUUUUCCUCUUUCAUUGGAUGCAGUGUUCACAUCAAUUUUGAGGACAAACCCUACAAGCUGGCCAACUUUCUUCAGGAUACGCUUAUCGUAAAGAUGCAUGGGCAAUCUAGGUAACCGGAUCCACGCAUUAACUGUAUCUAAUUUAGUCACCAUGCUGUCAAAUUGUGGAGACCAUGGUUGCACAGUUAAAUAAUGCCCCAUAAUGACCCAUGGCCCCUCCGUUAAAGCAUAUUCAACAUCCUCAUAAGACUGUAGCCGAAUCAGGAAAAAGUUAUUCUCCAAGUCCACCACCGAAAACUCCCCAAUCUUUUUCCACAUCAAUUUCAAUCUAUUGUACAGCACUCGGUACCCAAUAUCUCUACCCAGAAGUUUAACCACGACUGAGUUUUUCCAUGGUUUGAUUAGCUUCUCUUGAAUGCGUUCCGAAAAGUCUAUUGCUGGCAUAGCUCCAUCAGAACUUACCAUGACAUCUCCUGGCUCAAAAUCCCAAUCAUCGUCGUGAAAUUCCUCUCCCUCAGUCAUCCCAUGGACACUAUUCUUCCCUUGGCCAAAAUCUCGAAGUGCAUCUCUAUAAGAUGCUGGAAGCGGAUUAUUGGCAUCGUCCAUUCGCCCUCCAGCGGGCCUUUUUACUUGAUCGAUUGUCGACAAAUGGCAGCGGAAAAGUCCCAAAAAAAACUAGAGUUAUCGUUUGUUCCAAUGUUCUCAUAGGGUUCCGACAUACUCGGAGAACUUUUAAAGUUUAAAUUUUGUUUACUUUUUAGUACAUAUAGAAUUAUGCUACGGAUGCGAGGAGAAAAAAUGUGGAGUCCAUUUAUUGGAAGCCCCAAAUUCUAACUUACGAUCCAAGCGUGAGUUUCAAACUAAACCAACCCAAAGUUUGUACAAAGUCCAACUCAAUGCAACUAAAAUCAUUCUAAUUUGCCUUCUCAAAAAACAAAAUCAUUCUAAUUUGCUUUUGGUUUUGGCUGACUUAGCCUUUAAUAAAUUCACAUGUUAUAUAACAUAAUUGAAAAAAAAGGAAAAUGAUAUUCUCACAACACUUAAGCACAACACUGAGCACACAAUAUAAAAUCUAAAUUUUGGGAGAAAAAUUGCCACGCACGCGCAUGCAACAAACUCUCUCACGCGUAUCGCUCUAUUCAACAGCCAGCGUUGCUCGAAUUUUCCCAAGUUUCCCAUCGCACAGUGUCGGCUCUGAUCUCCCACACCACUUAGUAGCCAGCAAGUCUCAGCUCUCCUCACGCAGUGUCGGCUCUGAUCUCCUUUACGCACCAAUAGUCUUGUCCCCAACAGCUCCCGUAAUCGUCUUGUUAAGGUAACUUGUGUAGGACAUUGUGCUGUUUAUGAGUUGACUGUUAGGGAGUUAAAGCUCAUUGUCCUGUAAUUGCAGUCUUCGUGAUAUUGAGGAAAGCUUAUCCUGUAAUUCCAGCCUCCAUGUUUAUUUCUUUCAAAGAAAGAGUGGCUUUAUAUCACUCAAAUCUUUAUGCUCUGUUAAUAAAUUAUAUUCCCCAUUGUUUCUAUAGAAUUAAAACGGCAACUCAGAUUUAAGUUCCCUCGAUUUGUAAUUAACUUCAAUUAAUUGUAUGUGUUACUCAAUGUGUGUUGAGCAUGUACUUGUUCUGAGAUUCCUUUUGUUUCUUUCUUGGUUUAUAAAUACCUUGUUGAGGAUUGCAAAUAAGAGAAGCUGAUAUAUUAAGCCCAAUUGACACUAUUAUUGCAAAUAAGGGAAGCUGAUAUAUUAAACUCAACUGACAUUAUUAUUGCAAAUAAAAAAGCUGAUAUGAUUAUAAAUAAGAGAAGCUAAUACAACUUAAAUAUAAUGCAUAUCAACAAAUGUUCAACCACCACAAUCUUGCAUCUGCAUUUGUCUACCCACUCUGCAGACUGUCAACAAAUGUUCAACCACCAAAAUGAACAAAUGAAACUUGAUUCUUGUCUAACCAAUUACAGGCCAAACAGGAUUUUGCACAAAUAUCCUACCAGCAAAUUCUAAUUCCUCUCUAACAUAAUCCAUCUCAGAAUAAUUGCUCCUUAUUUCAUCUCUGAAUCCAAAACUUUUAGCUCUUGCUUUUCUAAUAGUUUGUAGGCCUUUUUAGUAGAUUCCCCAUGGAAGGAUCGGCUAGAGUGUAAACAAGCAUUGCCCCUUCCUUGGCUGCUGGCUUUAUUAUCUCCAUCAACUGCUCUAGAUCAUUAAAUUAACAAAAUUGUAGCAACAACAAUAUGUCAGUGCUCACAUUUUAGCUGAUUAAAUUAAAUGAGAUUUCAACAUUAAGCAAACAAUCCAGAUUAUAAUAAAAAUGCAUUUCCUCUAGUACACCAGCAGCAAUUAUUGUUUCUGUGAUCAAAUCACAUGCAGAAAAAUAACUAAUUUGACAAGAGUUUUUUUUUUUUUUAAUCUAGGAUCAAGAAUAAUAGCUUCUCAAGCUCCAAUUACUUGGUGCACGAAAGUAAUGAAUUGAUUUGCAUUCUUACCUCCAAAAUCAUUUCAGGGGAUAAAGUAGCAAGUUGAAAUAUGUCAAUACUUUCACCAGACUCGGCUCCUGAAGAGGAAGAAAAACACAUAACCAAAUUAAUUACAAAAAAUUCGUAAUAUUUUUUAAAAAAUACAAAUUAAUAAUGGUUUUGUAUAAUUAAUCAAUUAAAUCCUUCUAUUAAUUUUUUCUUAGAUUUCUUUGACCAUAUUUGAUCAUAAAAUUUAAUAUAAGUUUUAUUUUACUAUUUUAUUAGUAUAAUAUAAAAUGACCAAAUUAUCCAAUAAACAUGAGUUAUUGUAUCUAAUAAUUUUGGUAUUUAAUUAUGUGAACUAAAGUUUUUAAAUGAAAUUUAAUUAUUGUUUUCUCUACCUUACGUGUAAAUGAUAUAAAUUUGACAACCUAAUAAUUUACAUGUAUUCCGCCAUAGAGAUGUUAUAUUAGUUUAAUUAAAGUUUUAUAAUCAUACUAAUAAGUAGUAUUAGAAACAAUGAAUUUGAUAUAAAAUUAGAAACAUAUUGAAGUUAAAGUAAAUUCAUGGUACUUUUACCUUAUAAGGAUAAAAUAAUCAAUUUAGAAUUAUGCCAAAGCAAUCUUUAUAAUCAAAUAUAAUAAAAACAAUUAUGUCACAAAAAAAUAAAUUAGGAUAGAUUUGUUAAUUUGUUUUCCAAAGUUCUUUUUUAUUUCAAUUUUUUUUUAAAAAAUAAUGUAUACUUUUUGUAAUUAUUUUUUUAAAAAUGGGGCAGGCUUACAAGAAAUAUGGGGUGAAGAUAUCAUCACCCAACAAAAAAUUAAGUAAGAAUUAAUUUGAUAACUGCCCAUAAAAAGAAAGCAUAUUGUCACGGGAUCAGUGUUUUGCGCAGCAAACCCGUGCGGCACUUAGACAACCUUUGCCGAAUAUUGCUAAGUAAGCCUUGAACUUCUCGACUAGCUAAACCUAGAGGUUUUGGAAGAGCUAGAGAGAAGAGAGCAAUGGAGCCGAAUAAGGAAACUUGUAUUGCUAACAAGAGAGAUUACAAGAGAGCUUACAAGUGUUUGAUUUGCUUGUGCUAAGCUUGUUGUUGUGCAAAUGCUAAAUGCCAUCCCAUAUUUAUAGGGGAGGCUUGCCAAGCUCUAGAGAUUCUAGAGAAAUCUACCAACUAUUUAGAAUUUACAUGUGCUGGAAAUGUAUAGAGAAUUCUAGAGUAUUUACAAGCUCAAAUGUGCUAGAGUUGCCUAGAAAUUUCUGGAAUUGGGCCAAGCUAGCACUCUUGGCCUUGUCUUGGGCUCUUGGUGGGCAAAUUGGGCUAACAAAAUGGGCAGUCCGCAACAUCCUCCCCACCUAAUCUCGCGGCGUCCUUGUCGCGCUCUCGUGCCUGAAAUUCUGGAUGUGCUCAACGAAUUGCCACAAAUUAUCUUCACAUUCCCAAGUGGCUUCGCUUUCGGGGAGGUUUUUCCACUUCACCAAGUACUCGUUGUGUGCUAGCACGCCUCUCCUCGAGACCACAUGAUCCGCAAGGAUGUAGUCCACAUCUUUGUCGAAUGCAGUGACAACGGCGGUUGGCGCGCGCCUUGAUUCUCCGUGACUUGGGUGUUCCACAUCUCCAUGAUAUGGCUUGAGAAGGCUCACAUGGAAGAUUGGAUGGAUCUUGAGUCUUGGCGGAAGUUGAAGUUCAUACGAGAUGUUGCGCACUCGUCGUACAACUCAGAAGGGUCCCUCAUAGUGGCUCACUAACCCCUUGUGGACUUUCCGCAACGUCUUGCAUUGUUCGGAUAGGAGCUUGAUCAUGACUUGAUCACCUUCCUUGUACUCAACAUGCCGUCUCCUUGUAUUCGCCAACUUUUUCAUUUUCCUCGCGGCCUUGUCGGCUCGUGUGAUGUCCCGCUUCCUCGUUGACACGACUUAAAAGUGUUUGAUUUACUCUCAAGUAUAAGAGUGCCUAGUUAUAAUAUAUCUCGGUGAGUCCGAGGUCGAUCCACAGAGAAAAGAUUUAAUUUGUUUAUUUUAUUUUAUCUAAAAUUUGAAAAUAAAACUUAAAUAUAGACAACUUAAUUUAAAUAAAACUAUGAAAUUGAAUUAGUUAGGGUUGUGGAUUCACUCUUAGUAGUAAAUAAAACUUAAUAAAUUCUUUUUGCCAUUUUUUUAGAUUUAUUGCCCAAAAGAUUAAUUAUAUAAAUUAUUAUUAUUUUCCCUUUAAUUUUAUGAUGGAUUAAGUAUUCAUUGUGCCAAAAUUUAAUUUGUCUACAAUAAGACAAAAUACCAUUUUACCAUACCUUAUAUUUAGAUAAAAAGAAUUUAUUGUGCCAAACUCCCUUGUUUGUCUACAAUAAAUCAAAAUCUCAUAAUAUAAAAUAUGUAUAAAAUUAAAUAGAAAAUAAUUUAAUUUAUAAAAUUAAAAAUAGAAUUUGAUUAAAUCAUAUUUAUUUUCUAAGAGUUUCACCUUCCCCUAACUAUUAAUAUUUAGCUAAACAUUUUUUUAAUAAAGGAAAUUACUAAAAUUGAAAAACACGACUGAUAUUUUCAUCAAAUCGAUAAAAUUAUAAGUUUUAAAAGGCAAAUCACUUCUUUUACUCAAAAACAAUGGAGAAACAUUACACCAAUGUUGGGAUAGGUUUAAAGAAUUGCUUAACAUAUGUCCACACCAUGGUUUUGAAACUUGGCGAUUGGUCACUUAUUUCUACGAGGGCUUAAUACCACAAACUAGACAAGUUGUAGAAAUGAUGUGUAAUGGUGAAUUUAAAGAUAAAAGUCUUGAAGAUGCACUAGAUUACCUUGACCAAUUAGCUGAAAAUGCACAACCCUUCGAAUGUAGUACAAGAGGGUGUUGUUGGUGUGGAUGUUCCGCCGGAACCAAGCCGCGGCCGUGAGGGAGAGCGCGCCCAAGGCAAGACUCGCGGCAAGUCCAAGGUCCCAUCCGUGGAUGCGUUGGAGCCUCACAUAGCCACUCUCGAAGUCGCAUUGUCCGCCACUCAAGAUAGCCUCGAUAGUUUAGAGGAAAGAGUGGACGGUCUCAAGGGAGAAUACGCCGAGUUCACGGUGGCAACAAAAGCCCUCAUCCAAGAGCAAGUGAACACUCUCCGAGGUGAGUUUCGUUCAAUCCAUGAUGAGUUGCUAAAAUUUCGUAGCUUUGUUCAGGAUGAACUACGCGCUGUCCGUGCGGAAGUGGAUGAAGUCCGCUCAGAUUGGGCAUGGCACAAGCGCACACUCUCUGCUAGUCUAGCUUCCGCAAGCACGAGUGAUGCGCAGCGCAUUGACGUGUCAAAUCCCGACACCUACGAUGGCACACGCAACGCCACAAUCGUGGACAACUUCCUAUUUGGGCUUGAUCAAUACUUCAAUGCCAUGGGUGUUCGAGAUGAGGCAUCGAAAGUGGGCACAUCACCCACCUAUCUUCGAGGCGCUGCACAACUAUGGUGGCGUCGCAAGCAUGGCGAGAUGGGAGAGGGCAUUUGCACCCUCGACACUUGGGCCGACUUCAAGCAAGAACUCUGAAAGCAGUUCGCCCCAAGCAAUGUGGAGAAGGAAGUGCGAGCACGCCUACGUCACCUCAAGCAAUCGGGUAGCAUUCGGAACUACAUCAACGAGUUCACUACCCUUAUGUUGGAGAUAAGCGACAUGUCCGACAAAGAUUCGCUCUUCUACUUCCAAGAUGGCCUCAAGGAUUGGGCCAAGACCGAGCUUGAUAGGCGUGGCGUUCAAACACUUGACGACGCCAUCGCCAUUGCGGAGUCGCUCACCGAAUACUCUACCCAAUCCAAGGAUAAAAAGGCCAACCAAGGCAAAGGUGGGGGAGAGAGUCGCAAGGACAAGGGCAACAACCGCAAAGAUUGGGGGCAGAAAAAGUCGUCUAGCAACAAAAGCGGGCAAGGAAAAUCAGAGGGCAAGAAGGAGGUGCCAAAGCCACAAAGCCCAUGCUUCAUAUGCAACGGUCCUCAUUGGGUACGCGACUUUCUGGAGAAGAAGUCGCUCAACACUCUCGCAGCCCAACUCAAGAGCAACCCCACAAUAUCCUCGGAGGAACCCCAACUCAGCAUGGGUUCUCUCCAACUCCUCGGCGCACUCAAUCGCCAACAGCCCACACUUGUCAAGAAAGGGCUUGUGUAUGUAAGAGUGAAGAUAAACGACCAGUCCGUCCGCGUGCUGCUGGACACGGGAGCAACGCACAACUUUGUGUUCGUAGACGAGGCCAACCGCUUAGACCUCAAGGCAACCAAGGAAGGAGGCACAAUGAAAGUGGUAAACUCACCCGCCAAGCCAAUUGCGGGUAUCGCACAAGGCGUGCACAUAACGCUUGGAACAUGGAGCGGAAAGCUUGAUUUCUCCAUCGUUCCCAUGGAUGACUUUAAGAUGUACAUUAUUUUGGAAUAAUGUAGUGUUUAAAAACUUGAUGUGAAUAUAUUUACAUACGCUCGCACUCGUGAGUCUUAGAAUUAAUGGAAGAGUGGCAAUGAUUAGAAAAAACAAUAGUGGUUAGAUGACGUAGCAAUAAAUUAUAAAUGCGAUGACAAUUUGCAUAACCGUUUGCAAGCAUAGUUGAUAUGUAAAUUUGUCUAUGACACAUGCAGAAUUUUUAUGUUAAUUAUUACUUGUGUUAUUAUGUUUCUUUGUGCAUUUGCAAGUAAGAGUUUAACUGCAUAGCAAUAACUAUAAACAUGAAUUAUUGAAAUUUGAUUCCAGUAAUGACAGAGAGCCCCACUCCAAUCCCACAUAAACUCCAUGCAAGAAUAAAUAAAAAUUGAAUUAAUAACUAAGCUACCUCUAAUUGUAAAUUAGUGACAAAAUUGCCCCAAAAAUUUUUUCUUGGUGGGGUUGAAGUGCAAUUCAUUAGUGGAAUAUACAUAUCAUCUUUCAUUUGAUUUUAAGUUUAUUUAUUUUAUUUAUUUUUAGGGGACAAAAAAAAUUGAGGGCAUCUGUUUGGAUAUAUCAAAGGUAAAAGAGAUUCGUCUAAAUCCUAAUACUUUCACAAAGAUGCCUAAAUUGAGAUUUUUAAAGUUCUAUAGUUCAUCAGUCAAUGGAGAGAACAAAUGUAAGAUAUCUUAUUUGCAAGAUCCCAGAUUUGCUGAAGUGAAAUAUCUUCACUGGUAUGGAUAUCCGUUGAAGUCAUUGCCUUCAAACCUUAGUGCAGAGAAACUUGUGUUACUUGAAGUGCCUGAUAGUGACAUUGAACGACUUUGGGAUUGUGUGAAGGUAUGCAUAUCUUAUUAUACAUGUGCAAUCUUUCAAAUUACAACAUUAAAUUAUUAUACGUGGUAACGAUUUUGUCUUGGCCUCUUUUUUGACCGAGCAGCAUUAUAGUAAGUUAAACCAGAUAAUCCAUGCUGCCUGCAAUAAGCUAAUUGCCAAAACUCCAAAUCCCACGUUGAUGCCAAGUCUGAACAAGCUAGUUAUCUUGAAUCUAAGAGGUAGCAAAAGCCUAAAAAGUCUUCCAGCUAGAAUACUAAAUUUGGAAUUUCUUAUCAAACUUGAUCUUUCGGGCUGUGCGGAAGCUAAACUAGCAGAGAGUGUGCGCUUGUGCCAUGCCCAAUCUGAGCGGACUUCAUCCACUUCCGCACGGACAGUGCGUAGUUCAUCCUAAACAAAGCUACGAAGUUUUAGCAACUCAUCAUGGAUUGAACGAAACUCACCUCGGAGAGUGUUCGCUUGCUCGUGGAUGAGGGCUUUUGUUGCCACCGUGAACUCGGCGUAUUCUCCCUUGAGACCGGCCACUCUUUCCUCUAAACUAUCGAGGCUAUCUUGAGUGGCGGACAAUGCGACUUCGAGAGUGGCUAUGUGAGGCUCCAACGCAUCCACGGAUGGGGCCUUGGACUUACCGCGAGUCUUGCCUUGGGUGCGCUCUCCCUCACGGCCGCGGCUUGGUUCCGGCGGAACAUCCACACCAACAACACCCUCUUGUGCUACAUUCGAAGGGUUGGCCAUUGCUCGUGAGCUAACUUGCGUGCGUGCAAACCUUAGCUCUGAUACCAUUUUUCAUGGGAUGAGUGUUUUGCACAGCAAACCCGUGCGGCACUUAGACAACCUUUGCCGAAUGUUGCUAAGUAAGCCUUGCACUUCUCAACUAGCUAAGCCUAGAGGUUUUGGAAGAGCUAGAGAGAAGAGAGCAAUGGAGCUGAAUAAGGAAACUUGUAUUGCUAACAAAAGAGAUUACAAGAGAGCUUACAAGUGUUUGAGUUGCUUAUGUUAAGCUUGUUGUUGUGCAAAUGCUAAAUGCCAUCCCAUAUUUAUAGGGGAGGCUUGCCAAGCUCUAGAGAUUCUAGAGAAAUCUAUCAACUAUCUAGAAUUUACAUGUGCUAGAAAUGUAUAGAGAAUUCUAGAGUAUUUACAAACUCAAAUGUGCUAGAGUUGCCUAGAACUUUCUGGAAUUAGGCCAAGCUAGCACUCUUGGCCUUGUCUUGGGCUCUUGGUGGGCAAAUUGGGCUAGCAAUUGGGCGGUUCGCAACAAUAUGCAUGGUGGUGGUGGGGAAGCCUUUUCCCAUUUCCCAUUUCCUUUAAAAUUUGACCGUUAUUUUUCACCUAAUUCUCUAAGAAAUUUUAGUAGAGUGAGGAUGAAAAAUCCUCACGUGAAGAUCAAUUUUUCUAUCUACAUCCUGUUACACAUUUAUCUAUUUUAUAAUAGAUUCUCACAUAUAAUUUUAGUGAAACAAAAAUUAAAAUGACUCAAAUAAAAUCAUCACUAACAUAUCAUAAAAAUAUUUAAAUUAUUAACAAUAAUAAAUAAAAAAUAUACAUACCCACAAAUAAUUUUGGAAUCAUUUUUGGGUAAAAGCCCAUUUAGUCCCUAUAUUUUAAGAUUACUGUCCGUUUAGUCCCUGUAUUUUUAAAAAUGCCUGAAAACACCCUCGGCAUCACCUCCGUUACUGUUAAUUCUAGAUUCAUGAGGGUAAAAAUGUAUUUUUCUUGGUAAAAUUUAAAAUUUUAAAAAAUUAUUACGAUAACCUAGAUCCAUAAUGGUAAAAAUGUAUUUUAACCCUAAUAUUCUUUAAAACCCUCACUUUAAGAACUUAAGUGACUUGCUUUUUUAAAACUCAUAACAAUUUUCUUACUAUAAAAUUUUUUCUAUUGGAAACGUAGUCUUGCAGUAAAUGUCAAAACCGACAACGAAGGAAAUUGGCCUAUUCUGGUACGUCUCACGUUGGUCUUGUUUAUUUAUUUAUUUUUUUAAUCUUCCAUUUGUUCAGUGAAAAGAAAUUAUUUUUCUUUUCACUUGAAUGGGUAUUCCAUUUGAAGUAGACUAAAAGUUGAACGGUUUUUGUUUUGCAGUAGACUAAAAGUUGAAUGGUUUUUAUUUUCUUUCUUUUUUUUAACCCUUUCAUGGUUGUUUCGUAGCUUAAUAUUGGUAGUGGAAUGGAUUUGUAAUUGAAAAGAAAUUAUUUUAACUUCACUUGAUUGAGUAUUUUUUUGUAAAAAAAAAUCAUAAUCAUAUAAAGUUCUAUAAUGUCGAUUUUGUAUUUUAUGAAUUCGUAUGUAAUAGUUUUAAGUUUCUGAUAUUUUUUGUUCAUCUUUAUGUUGGCAGAUUCAAAUGAGUCAAAUCAGCAUUUCAGUUCGAUUUUUAGGCAAAGAUGUAGAGGAUGCUUAUGAUCCUGAUUGCUUGAGUCUUGUAUCCCUCAUCAACGAUGUCUUGAAUAAUGUCUUUGGAAGGCACAAGCAUUAUGAUGAGAGCUUUAAGCUUACUGGCAUUGUCCCAUGGUCCAAUGAAGGGAUUGAAUUGAACAAUGAUAAAAACUUCCAGAAUUUGGUUAACUUAAUUCAAGCCAAGGGUCUUAAUUCUAUUAAUUUGGAGAUGGAUGCGUUAUCCUUGGCCAGCUUGUCACCCGUUUUAGCUCAAACUCGCCCUAAAGAUAAUCAUUUUGCCUCAAAUGCAGUUAAUGUUGAUAUUUUAGAUGGUGAAAGUGAUGAUGCAACCAGUGUUGAGUCUAUUGACUGGUCUGAUGAAGAUAUUGGUGAUACUGUUAAGUCUGAUAGUGAACCUAAAGUUGAUUUAGGGUUUGAUAUUAAUGAAUUUGAUGGAGAUGAUGGCAUGUCAGAUUGUGAGAGUGAUAAUGAAGAUGUAUCUAUUGCAAGUGAUGAAGAAGAUGAUGCUGUAAUAUUGAAGAUGACAAGGGAUUUAAGAAAAAAAAGGUUCAAGAAACCCGAUGGUGAUGAUGAUAUUGUUUUGGGAGUUGGGCAAACUUUUAGUUGUGCUCAAGAGUUUAAGAAUGUAUUGAAGGAUUAUGCUAUUCAAGAGUCAAGAGUUUUGAAAAGGAAAAAGAAUGACAAAUGUAGAGUUACAACCGUGUGUGCUGGGAAGGACAAAGAAGGAAAGGAAUGUCCAUGGAGAAUCCAUGCAUCUUUAUUGGUUGACAAAGUUACAUUCCAGAUUAAAACUUUAAAAGGUGGUGAACAUAAGUGCAAAGAGUUGUUUAAGAAUCCUGAAGUAACUAGUAGAUGGAUAACUCAGAAAUUGUAUGGUUUUAUUAGUUUUAAUCCUGAUAUCGGUUGUGAAUCCAUGUCAGAUGAAUUGAGGAAGAGGUUUUCUUGUUCAACUACAAAGAAAAGGUUGUAUAUGGCCAAAAAAAGGGUUCUAAAAAUUGCUGAUAGUGACUACACAAAAUCUUAUGCAAAGUUACAUGACUAUGCCAACGUUCUUCUUAUAAAGAAUAAAAGGGCAAUGGUGAAAAUUCAAUAUGAAAUGCAAGGUGUAGAGACGUACUUCAAGAGGAUAUUCAUAAGUUUUGACGCACUAAAAAAUGGAUUUAUACGUGGAUGUAGAAGGUUCAUUGGAGUUGAUGGCUGCCACCUUAAGACAUCAUUCGGUGGUAUCUUGCUGACAGCCGUUAUACUUGAUGCCAAUAAUGGCAUAUUCCCAUUGGCAGUUUGCAUUUGUGAGGUUGAGUGCAAGGACAGUUGGAAAUGGUUUCUUGAAUUGUUGAAGGAACAUCUUGGUAUAGUGAAUGAGAUGGCUCUUACUAUAAUGUCCGACAGACAAAAGGGUUUAAUUCAGGCAAUUGAUGAAGUUUUGCCUGGGUGUACCAUAAGACAUUGUGUAAAAGUAAGCCAAAAUAAAUGAAAGAUAACAGUAGGGUAUCAAUACUUUAACGGUAGGGAUGUUUUAAGGCAUUUUUAAAAAUAUAUGGACCAAAUGGAUACUAAGCUUAAACUAUAGGGACUAAAUGGGCUUUUACCCAUCAUUUUUUAUCGUUCUUCAAAAACUUAUCAAAAUUUGGUGCGUGGGACCUGUGAACCAUCUCUAGUCGGCCACAUUGGACUUCUUACUGUCGGUCUUCAAAGAACUUUUGAGAAAGGCAGUAGACAAUGAGUUGAAUGAAAUUACUACGAAACUUCCCUGAAGAUUCAAGGGAGUAGUGGAGGAUACAUAUCAAGCGCACAGACACAUUCAAUUCAGUUGAACUGUUUUUGUUAUGGCUUCUUCUUUUUCUUCUUCUUCUUCUUCUUCUUCUCAUUGAUCCACCAGUCUGAGGCUGAUUAGACCACGAAAGUAUGAUGUUUUUGUCAGUUUCAGUGGAGAGGACACCCAUGACAACUUUACUAGCCAUCUCUAUUCGGCUCUGUCUCGACAAAAUAUCCAAACUUUCAUUGAUGACCAGCUCAACAGGAGAUGAAAUUUCACAGUCUCUUGUAAAUGCAAUUGAAGCAUCAGCCAUUUCAGUUAUCAUUUUCUCUUAAUCAUAUGCUUCUUCCAGAUGGUGUGUCGAUGAACUUGUAAAGAUCCUCGUGUGCAAGAAAGAGCGUGCACAGAUUGUGAUUCUGGUUUUCUAUCGGGUUGAUCCAUCAGACAUGAGAAACCAAACUGGGAGUUUUGGGGAUUCAUUUUCGAAGCUUGAAGAAUUCAAAGAAGCUGCAGAGUUGGAGGAAUGCUUUGAAGGAAGCAGCCAGUUUGUCUGGCUUUCCUUCUCAGAACAUCAGGUGAAAAGUUACUUUUAAUUUCGUAUACUAAUAUUCAACACUAUAAAUAAUAUUCACGCAGCACUCUUAGUUAAAUUUUCCAGAUGCUAAACUACACUUUUAAAUUUUAUCAGGCAUCAAAUUCUAGACAUCUUGAACUUCCCCACUUUUGAACUCCUAUAAAAGAAUUUUUGCAGAAUUAAUAAUAAAAGCUCCAGAAGUUACAAUAUAUUUUAAAAUUAAUAGUGUUCUGUCGUUUUUUAAUCAAUUUCAAUCUCUCACUCAUAUACCAUAAGGGAAAAAAAAUCUCUUCCACCUAUAACAUAUUCGUGUAAUUAAAGAGUUAUUAAUUUAUAGGGAGAUUGUAAAUUCCCUUACUCAAAUCAAUAGAUAUCACUUAUUCUGACUAUUUUUACAAUAUUUAAUAACUCUCCUGGUACCAUUAUUUUACAAUAUUAUCCUUAUGAAAAAAAAUAAGUGGUAUAUAUUAAUUUCAAUUGAAAAACUAGCAAUCUCCCUUAUUUCAUAUUUGAUGCAAAUCCCUUCUAUUCGGAGUUACUGCUGCUAAUUUUAUGUGUUUGAUAGGCCUGAAUCGAAGCUUAUAAAUGAAGUUGUCAAUCACAUUUUAAAGAGACUGCUGGAUGAAGUGUUUCGGCCGAGUGAUAACAAAAACCAGCUGGCUAGAGUAGAAUCAAGAGUUGAGGAAAUUGAAUCUCUUCUAGGUGUUGAGUCGAAAGAUAUUUACGCUUUAGGGAUUUGGGGCAUUGUUGGUAUAGGCAAAACAAAAAUCGCUAGAGCUAUUUUCGACAAAAUCUCUAGUGAUUUUGAAGGUUCUUGCUUCCUUGAAAAUGUUAGGGAAGACGCACAAAGACCGGGAGGAUUAGCUUGCUUGGGACAAAAACUUCUUUCAAAUUUAUUGAAGGAUAAAAAUGUGAGCCUUGAUAUUGGUCUCAAUUUUAGAAGGCUCAGCCGCAUGAAGGUUCUGAUUUUUUUUUAUGAUGUAUCUUGCUUCAGCCAAUUAGAAUCCUCGGCCUUUGUUAUAAACAUCUAAUAACAUAUAUGCAUCAUUAAAAAAUAUAUUCAAAACUUGCAUAGUUCACAUCUCAUUGUACAUACAUACACUUCAGAUAUAUACAUAUAAACAUGGAUGUGCUCAAAAUGUAAGUCAUGCAGUAAUGCGUGUCAUAGCCCAACCUCAACUGAUCAGAAACUGAACUGCACGAAAUCCUACGGAAACCUUAGAGAAAUGGGAUAAAUAGGAAAAUAGUAAGCUUGCUGCUCAAUGAAUGGAUAUAAUUAUAUACAAAAAUAAAUUAGUGCUUUAGUGCUUGUAUAUAAUUGUAUGACAUAACUUCACACUGAAUGCAUUACAAAAGUAAACAUAAAGUCAUAUAUACAUACAUGACAAAACUGCAUUGAAUAAUAUCCAGGAGAAAUAACUCUCAAUACUCACUGGGAUCAUCAUCGCACGAGUGAAAGUGGGGGAAAAACCUCUCAAUACUCAGUGGAAUUAACUGCAUCACAAGGGCCGAGUAAUCUAACUCUCAAUAUGCAUGCGUAGAGCCUAUGGGGAAGGGUACACAUAUGGUGCUUGGCAAUCACAUCUGAUGAUUCAAUCAAUCAUAUAUUGUACGUACAUAUAAUCAUAACAUUAUACUAAAUCAUACUAUUGAACAUAAAUGCUUUGUAGGAUACAUAAUAGUAAUAAUAAUAAUCCAUCACAUAUCUUGUUUCACUUUAGGGUUCGUUGGGGAUCUUGUGGAUUCCUUAAUUCUUGGAUUUCUCCUAACAUAAAGGGUUAAAAAAUUAAAUGUUAGAACCAACUGAUAUAAAAGCUUUUAUGUAUGAUGUAAACUAAAUCAUAAUUGUUCAAAUUUCUUAAAUAUGUUACCCACUGACUCAUUGCAAAUAGAUCUAACUACCCAAUUCUCUUUCUGUAACAUUUCCUCUCAAUUCCUAUUUUCAAACUUAAUUUUCACUCUCGGUUUUUCUUUUCUUUAUUUUUUCUUCUGUUCUUUUCCUCUUCUCUUUUCCUUUUGUUUUCUUCCUUUCUCUCCUUUUCCUUUCUUUUUCUUCUCUCUUUGAAUUGCUCUUUUUCGGUUUGAUUCAUGAAAAUGGUGAGAGCUACUUCAAUUCUUUACUUUAUAUAUAUCCACUACCUCCAAUUAUGCUUGACAAGCACAUAGGUGAAGCAUGCAUGUGCUUUGCUUUAAGCUAACAACUUGUUAUUGCUUGUGAAAUAAAAUACAACAAUACUUGUAACUCUAUACAAUUAGUAAAAUACUUCCUAUCAUUUUCUCUCAUGGACGUAGGCCAAAAAGCUGAACCACAUAAAUCCUCGUGUCUCUUGUGUGAUAUUACUCUCAANNNNNNNNNNNNNNNNNNNNNNNNNNNNNNNNNNNNNNNNNNNNNNNNNNNNNNNNNNNNNNNNNNNNNNNNNNNNNNNNNNNNNNNNNNNNNNNNNNNNNNNNNNNNNNNNNNNNNNNNNNNNNNNNNNNNNNNNNNNNNNNNNNNNNNNNNNNNNNNNNNNNNNNNNNNNNNNNNNNNNNNNNNNNNNNNNNNNNNNNNNNNNNNNNNNNNNNNNNNNNNNNNNNNNNNNNNNNNNNNNNNNNNNNNNNNNNNNNNNNNNNNNNNNNNNNNNNNNNNNNNNNNNNNNNNNNNNNNNNNNNNNNNNNNNNNNNNNNNNNNNNNNNNNNNNNNNNNNNNNNNNNNNNNNNNNNNNNNNNNNNNNNNNNNNNNNNNNNNNNNNNNNNNNNNNNNNNNNNNNNNNNNNNNNNNNNNNNNNNNNNNNNNNNNNNNNNNNNNNNNNNNNNNNNNNNNNNNNNNNNNNNNNNNNNNNNNNNNNNNNNNNNNNNNNNNNNNNNNNNNNNNNNNNNNNNNNNNNNNNNNNNNNNNNNNNNNNNNNNNNNNNNNNNNNNNNNNNNNNNNNNNNNNNNNNNNNNNNNNNNNNNNNNNNNNNNNNNNNNNNNNNNNNNNNNNNNNNNNNNNNNNNNNNNNNNNNNNNNNNNNNNNNNNNNNNNNNNNNNNNNNNNNNNNNNNNNNNNNNNNNNNNNNNNNNNNNNNNNNNNNNNNNNNNNNNNNNNNNNNNNNNNNNNNNNNNNNNNNNNNNNNNNNNNNNNNNNNNNNNNNNNNNNNNNNNNNNNNNNNNNNNNNNNNNNNNNNNNNNNNNNNNNNNNNNNNNNNNNNNNNNNNNNNNNNNNNNNNNNNNNNNNNNNNNNNNNNNNNNNNNNNNNNNNNNNNNNNNNNNNNNNNNNNNNNNNNNNNNNNNNNNNNNNNNNNNNNNNNNNNNNNNNNNNNNNNNNNNNNNNNNNNNNNNNNNNNNNNNNNNNNNNNNNNNNNNNNNNNNNNNNNNNNNNNNNNNNNNNNNNNNNNNNNNNNNNNNNNNNNNNNNNNNNNNNNNNNNNNNNNNNNNNNNNNNNNNNNNNNNNNNNNNNNNNNNNACAUGAACUUAUCAUUAAUUCAUUUGCUAGCCCAUUUUUCAAAUCUAUUUUUAAUUUAAGAUUUACUAUACAAAUAUAAUCAACUUUGUUAUAAUAUGGUGUAAUGUCUAUAUUGCUACAUAGUGUGAUAGGCCAUUAAUGUAAUAUAUAUGGUAUUUAUUUUCACUUGACCAAUUUGCCCAAAUUUAUAUUUUAUAAGCAGUUUUAAUCCUAGAUUCAUCAGGUCGUGAUUUUUAAUUUGUGGGUCGAACCAAACUUGUUACAAACUGACUCAAAUCGAGUCGAUACGGUCAAGUUGGUUCGAUCUAACUGGUUUCGUUUUGAAAUGCCCACCCCAACGAACAACUUUUGAGUUUUCCAUUAUUGGCCUAUUGCAGUUUUUUCCAACAUUCCUUGUUUAAUUGAUAUAUACAUUUGUCACUUUAUUUAUCAAAAAAAAAAAUUAAUAUCCAAGGAACAUAGGAAUUAAAUAUGGGAAUAUAGGAAGCACAAAACAACUAAAAUCCCUAGAUAAAAAGUAAGUUGUCUAUAAGUAUCUUAAUGUUCUUUUCAUUCCUUUUGUCAAAAUUUUAUAAUCUAUUUUUUUAUUUUUGUCAAAGUAUCAUUGUUCUUUUAAAAAAUAUAUAUAUAUAUAUACAAAGUAUAAAUUUAUUUUUUAGUCUAUUAAUUUCUCUAAAAUUUAAAUAUAAAUGAUCAACUAAAUGUUAGUUUGUUGAAAACACUCCUACCGUCGAUGCUGACCGUUACUCGAAAUGUUAUCAAUAAUAUGUGAUUUAUGCAACUGAACAUAUAGCAUUAGUUAGGAAUGAACUUUGCAAUAAAAACAGAAAUUGAGCUAGAAAAGACAACCGAGUGAGAUCAACAAAUGUAGAUCCAAGACAAAUAGUUUUGUAUAUAUUAUUAAUUUGAUUUCCCGUUUGAAGAAGUUUUCAACCGUAACGGAAUGUGACACGUGGCGCGUGCAUCUGACCUCAUACUACCGGUGACCAAUAACCAAUAGCCAACACUCGAUCAUUUUUUAAAAAUUUACCCGCACAGAGAAAACGACGUCGUGAGCGACCCUCGCACGUACCAUUUGAAAAAAGAAAAAAAUGCAGUUGUAUGUAUCAUCAUCAUUAUUGCUCUCCUUAAUCAUGUACAAGAACGUGUCCGUGUCUAUCGUCUCACUUUGAUUCAUUUUCUCACCAGACACCCACUUUAUUGCUCCUCUUCAUCUUUUAAUUUAAAAACCAAAUAUUAUUUUUUCUUUUUCUUAUGAUUAAGAAAUGGCUGCGAAAAUUGGAUCAUUUAGACACAGUUUUGCAGAAAGGAGCAAAGAAAGAUUGCUAUCUAGGAAGGGCUAUUCAGACUUUGGCCUGAACAGCACGGAUGACGAUGGCAGCGAAGAUGGAAUCAAAUGCAGAUGUUUCCGUUGGAUAUCAGACGGAGUCACCAAUUUUUGGACCAAUUUGCAAAACAUUUUUAUUCAAUUCUAUGACAUGGGUCGUAAGGAUCCUCGUAAAGCCGUUUUUGCUGCCAAGAUGGGCUUGUCGUUGGCACUUGUGUCAUUGGUUGUCUUUUUCAAAGAGCCACUCAGUAAUGUUAGCCAAUAAUCGAUCUGGGCAAUUCCUACUGUUGUUGUAGUUUUUGAAUUCAGCGUAGGUACUAGUUUACAAUCAUGCGAUGCGACUAAAACAAGCAAAAUCGUAUUGAGAUUUGGAUAUGGAAGUGAUUUUGUAAUGUUAUUGAAUUUCAUGUAGGUGCAACGCUUAACAAAGGAUUCAAUCGCGCUUUAGGGACGUUUUCUGCUGGUGGCCUUUCUCUGGGCAUUGCAGAGCUCUCUCUGUAUGCAGGGGCUUACCAGGAAGUUAUUUGUCAUCAGUAUUUUUAUAGCAGGUUGGCAUCUUGUUAGCAAUUAAUAUCUAUCAAUCAUUGCCUUGGAGCCCAUUUCUUGAAUUGUUGCUCUUAUAUUUUUAUUUUGUCCUUUUCAAGAUUCUGUGCAAGUUGUGCUAAAUUGUACCCCAAAUUGAAACCAUACGAAUAUUUCGAGUCUUCUUGUUGACAUAUUGCAUUGUACUUGUGUCUGGAACUUCAACAACAUUUUUCCGCACAGCAUUUUAUCGGUUAGUGCUUAUUGCAGUUGGUGCUGGGAUAUGUUUGGUUGUAAAUGUGUGCAUAUAUCCCAUCUGGGCAGGGGAGGAUCUGCACAAGUUGGUGGUCAAAUUUUCAAAGGCCUCGCUACUUCCUUGGAAUGUUAGACAUUUGCUUCUUAGAUAUUCGGUUCUCUUUGAUUUGAGCUGAAUUCUGAUGAGUAGUUGAUUGAUUUAUCAUAUUGGACUUGGAUUUAGGAUGUGUUAGUAACUACUUGCAGUGUGUUGAAUAUGAGAGAGUCCCUUCGAAAAUUCUUACAUAUCAGGCUUCUGAUGACCCAGUGUAUAAUGGUUAUGGAUCGGCUGUACAGUCUACGAGCCAAGAGGAAUCUCUGGUAUAAUCAGUAUAACUUUGCUGGUUCUUUCCUCAACUCCAUCAUCUUUGAUUUCUUUUUCUUUCCUGCAAGGCCUGUCCUUUUGACAGACCAGAAAGUUUGGAUCGCUUGUACUCUUGUACUCUGCAGAUGGAUUUCGCAGUAUGGGAGCCACCUCACGGCCCUUACAGGUCAUUCAAUUAUCCCUGGAAAAAUUAUGUUAAAGUAAGUGGUGCAUUGAGGCACUGUGCAUUCAUGGUCAUGGCUAUGCACCGAUGUGUACUUUCUGAAAUACAGGUAAGUGGCUUUUUUCCUAUUGCUUUAGCUGCUGUUUUAGCAACUUAGGCUUAUGGUCAAAUCUGUACUUGGAGAAUGAAAGUGUCAUUCAAGGAUCCUUUUAUUAUCUCAAAUAUGUCUAGUGAACCAUAUUUCUCUUGGAGUAAUGGUAGCCCAUCUAGGUAAGUCGUUUCAGUCAUUAAUAGUGAGUUUCUGAGCUUCAAUGUACUAAUGAAGUUUAGCUCUAGUCCCAUCUUUCCAAUCUUUUGCUGGUCCUUCUUCUUGAUAAUUGGUACAAUCCAGCUCUUAAUCGGCAUAUAUCCCCACCAGAUUUUUCUCAAUCAGAAGCACUUGAAUUGCGAUCCUUGAACUCCUUUCACAAACUAAUAGUUUCAGCUUUGUGGGCACAGCUUUGAUGGUCUCAAAUGCCAAAACUCCCCUUUUCUUCUCCCCAUUCACUCUGCAAAUUGCCAUCAAAUUUGGUUAAUUGGCAUUUUAUUUAUUUAUUUGUUCCCGUAUUGCAAUUCAAAAGAAUAGUAUAUAUUCAUGCAUGCUGGUUUGGUAGCAUUAUUUUGUUCUUCUUAAUCUUAAUUAAAUUUUUUAUAUAUACGCUAUCACUUUCCAAAUAAAUGAGAAUUACAUGGUAUGUGAAGAAAUAAAUUGAAAAAAAAAAGAAAAUUUCAGAUGCAAGGCACUUAAUUAAAGAGUGCAGUUAAUGAAUCAAAUUUCCUUGAAACUUUAUACUUCAGGAAACAUUAGCAAUAAAGCUGAAGAAGUCUGGAUCAAGUCGAAGUUUGUAGAAUUUAUGAGUAUUAUAUUUAAUUUAGGUUUAUUAAAAUUUACUUUCUUUCAUAGUGGUUUAUUUAAUUUAAGUUUAUAAAAAAAAUGAGUGAGAGGUAGGAAGGGUAUGAAAAAGCACAGAGAACAAACAACAAAUUGUGAUUGCCUUGUCACGGACCUCUUUCUAUUAUAUGGCCCUCAUUCCAUGUCUAAUUUCUGUGAGAAACAAAGGUCUAGAUUCUAGAAAUAAGAGAUGAAAAGAGAAGAUAAAACAUCCUUAUAAUCUACUGAAUGUAUAAAUCUGCAUCUGCAUAUUAUAUAGCAAACAAAAUUAAAUAGUUUCCGUCUUACGAAGUUUUGAAAUUGAUUUACCUUUCUUUAGCUGUUGCCAAGUCAUUUCCAUGUGAUUUUGUUGUUCUUAACCAGUAAUUUUUCUCUCCACUCUUGUGUAUUAGCAGCAGAUGUCUUGUGGUGAUUCCUUUUUGUAAGCUCCAUUUCUUUGUUUCAUUCUUGAGUGAGUUAAUAAAAUAUGUAGCAAAAACAUUCAGGAUUCUAAAUUUUGUGUUAGGCUGCAAGUAUUUGGAGUCUGGAUUUAGAUAUAUGUUUGGUUUGCAAAUUUUAAUGUGCAGGCACCACCAGAGAAGAGACAAGUUUUUGCUAGUGAGCUCCAAAAUGUUGGCAAUGAAGGAGCUAAAGUAUUACGCAAGCGUGGAGACAAAGUUGAGAAGAUGGAAAGGUUAAGCCCUGAAGGCAUACUAUUUGAAGUUCAUGAGGCGGCAGAAGAGUUGCAAAUGAAGAUAGACCAAAAAUCAUAUCUUCUGGUCAAUUCAGAAAGCUGGGCAGCCAUAGCGCAGCGCAAGGAACUGCAAGAUUCUGAGAACUUUAAUGAAGUCAAAGAUGAUGAAAACAAAGUGAUUAACUUGAGCGAAGUGUGUGUAAGAAAAUUAACAGUGAGAUAACAAUUUAAUACAGUAGCUAAUUUAAACAACAACGAAAAACAGCAACUGGAAAUCACGAAUGAACAACUGGAAAAACAGCAGGGAAAAGAAAACCGAAAUAGAAAAUAAACCCGAGGCUUGCAGCACGGUUUCCUUAAAACAGAUUUACCACCUACUGUAGUGCUUUAGGCUUGCUGGUAAUUGUUUCCCAGGAUACAACAGGCACGAAUUAUCCGUCAAGUACAGAUUGAUAAUUCUGGCGAACCACAACAGUGUUCAAAGCUCGAUAAAAAACAUAACGUUAGGAGGAAAGAAAUUUUGAAGUGCUCUCUGUGUGCUGGUUGUUCUUGUGUGUGUAAAAACAAAAGAGGAAUGUGUCUUUUUAUACUCAUGUGGGUACGUAACAGCAGCAUAAAAAUUGAAUUUCAAAAUUCAAUAUAUGCUAUUUAAUUGCUGUAACAACCAUUGAAUUUAAACAAUUCAAUUCAAAAAUUGAAUUGCAUAACAGCCCAAAAAUAAUUGCAAAGUUGUUACAAAUCUUUUGAAUUCAAAAGGUGUGAAACUGUUAACAAAAAAAAUUAAAAGGAAAAUAAAAACGUACCAUGCAAGCUUGGGUGAUUUUGGGCUGACAUUCGCGUACGCACAUGAGUUCAACCAAAUCGGUCAUGAAUUAUUUUGGGUUGACAUUCACGUACGCACAUGAGUUCAACCAAAUCGGUCAUGGGAUUCACACCCCCUGUGAACACACGUGUGGAGAGAGCCUCUAUUAUUAAAAUUCUUGUUCAUGCAUGGUUAAGUGUUUAUAUAUAAACACUAAUCCCUUGGCUUCUUUUUCCCAUGUGGGAUAAGCUUCAUUUCCAUUCAAAUUUCCAACUUCAAAGGUGAACUUUGAGAGACAAUUUCUCAUUCACCCAAACACCAUUUUGAGAAAAUAAAAAUACACUUUUGAAGUAUUAACGGAGUAGAAUCCGAACCUCACAAGAUUUUCCACUUUCAGUAAGUGGGACCUACUCAAAAUGUGCCCUCAAAAUAGCAUAUUGAUAUACUAUUUUUUCAACAGUGUGGGAUGCUCAGAACCCAAACAUGGGCAUGAACUAUCCUAUGCAAGAACGGAUUUCCUCAGAAAAUAUGUCGAGAAAUCCAAUCUCGUGGCCACGGAUGUCGUUUCAUAAUAUUGAGUCCACGCUUGGCUUACAGGAAUCAAAAGUAUUGCUUCACUCUUGAUUGAAUUUGUUGCGAGGCUCCAAAAUCUUGUUGAUGCCUUUGAAGAACUAUGUGAAAAAGAAAAUGUCAAGGAACCUGUUGAGCCGCCAAUUGGGAAAGGGGAGGUAGGAUUUUGGAGCAGGCUUAGCAGAUGCUUUCAGUUGAAGCGCUGAGAUAGCUUUAAAGAUCAUUUUUUCCGAUCCAUAAGUUGAAUACAUGUCGUUGUCAACUGAGACAGUUUGAUAAGCUGAUGCUUUGUGACUUGUGAAUAUGAUGGCUUUAGCUUGCUCUGCCCCCCAUAUACAUAAAAAAUGUAGUAAUGCAGUGGAGAGGUUUUGUCAUAGAAAUUCUUAAUAGCAUAUGGGGUUUAGAAAUCAAUGCAUAUAAAAUCCAUUUUCAAAAAAAAAUUAUUGAGACAUUAGUCUACAGUUUUUUUUUAAAAAAAUUAUUUUUUUAUUUUUAUAAUUUUUAACCAAAUAUUUAUAUUUUAAGUGUAAAAAUAAUUUUUUCUUAGUAGUUACAGUAGCUGCAACAUAAAAUCCACAACACUUCAUUAUCAAAUAAGCCGUACGUUUGAAUCAUCUAAACAACUUACUAGGAUGCCAUGAUUCACAUAAAAUUAUCAGCACUUAACAACACAAAAGUCAAAAAGCAAAUACUCUUACUCAAGUCUUAUAUUUGUUGCACGAAGAAGAAAGAAGAUAACAAUUUUAAAUUAACCAACAGGUUGAAUCUUAUCCUAAUACACACUAUCAGCUUUGAAUUAGCAUACCUUAGAAGUCCUGAACUCAUUCACGGCCACUCGAAGAGAAUCAUCCGAUAGAAUCAACCGUGACAACGCUCCAGUGCUUAACCUGCCACAUUUUUUCCUUCCGAGUUGGGGAAUCCGAAGCAGGGAUUGAGCGGCCAGCGCCAUCAUCAAUUUCAAUUUCCCUCACUGUGAAUGUGAUAAUCCAAGCAAAGCUUCGUUCUAGUAACACAUUCUUAUAGCAGGCCCAGCCCAAUCCAGCCCAGUCGAGCAAGUGAGCAAUGUUAUUAUUUUAUUAUUUUUGAACUUGCGGUGGCUCUGUAUUAUUUGCAAAAUACUCAUGUAAGGCAGAGAAUAUAUUUUAUAUUGGAAUAUUUUCAAAAUAAAUGGUGCUUUAAACAGGUUUUCGAUUGUAAAGAUAUGUCAUAUGCCUAAUUAAACAGUGUCGGGUAUAAUAAAAAUAUAUCUUUUUAUUUAAAGAUGUAUCCAUUCACGGUUUUAUACUUCAAUUUAAAAUGGUAAUGAUUUAUUUUGGACCGGUGAUGAUCUAAUUCAAAUUUUGAUUUAAUAACCAUAAAUGAAAAACUACAUUUGUAAUGUGUCUCGAAGCACCAUCAAUUCCUACCUAUAUUUCAAUUAAAAUAAGAGUGAAACUAUUGGCACCCAUUUAUUAUUCUUAUAAAACUUAUUUCAAAUAAAAUUACAGUUAAGGGUAAAGAAGAAAUAAACACAUGUAGGAUUUUUUCUUCCCAACAAAUUACUUACAUUAAUAAUCAAUCUUUUUUUUUAAUUUCCUACCAUUAUUUCUUAUCUAACUAAGAUAAAUUGUAUAAAUCUAGCAUAAUCUAUUUUUCUUUUCCUAUUUCUUAUUGAUUAAAUAUUUUCGUACUCAAGAUUACUUUCAAACUACAAUCUAAAAUAUGUGUUAUUUAAGCUAAUGAUUAGCAUUCAAACUUUAUCACCUAGAAAACUUUUUAAUUUGUAUUUAGGAUAACAAUAAGAUUGCAAAAGAGAUGAAAAAUAGCACAAUACUACUUUGAGUUUUAAGAAUAAAAGAAUAUUAAAUGAAAAACUAAAAGAGUGUCUUUGAAAAUAAAAGGAAAUGUUUGGAAAUAAAAUAAAUAUAACUGAAAAAAGGAUUUGAUGAGGAGACUAGAGGGGUGCCAAUAGUCCAACUUUUAAAAUAAAGUUUUAUCAAUUAUUGCUCCCCUUUUCUGCAAUUAUUAUUCCCCACCCAUAUUUCUCCAACAUUUUAUUUCAUAUAUUUACUCCUACUACACUCUAACAAAGGACGCCUUUUGGACUACAUCAGUUUCUAGAUGCAUUUUAUUAAUAAAUUAAAUAAAGGCACCAUCCCUUGUUCAAUUUCUCUAAAUGACCACUUUCUGUCAGCUCUCUUAAAAUUUAUUAAGGAAUCUAUGUUGAAGACCAUUUCAUCAUUAGUAUUGUGUAAAUGUAUAAAAAUACAUUUUACACUUUGAAAUUUAAAAUGACCUUCUUUUAGCACAAAAUUUUUAAACAAAUGCCUCUAACUAAGCGACAAAUUUAAAAAUACAUGAUAAGUACCAUAUCAGCCAUAUAAAAAGUGAAUCAUACUAUGAUAUAAGUGCAUUUAUUUUGAAAAACCAUCUCGUAAAUAAUGGUUAUAUUGAAUCUAAGUAAGUGCAUAUCAUACAAGACACAACCUGGCCCAGCCUCUCUGACGGAUUCAAGGUGAAUCAUGUGAUCUUAUAUCUAAAGCUUGUGAAAUAAAUUUAAUUCAUGAAUGCAUAACACUAGUCUCGGCCUUUGUUAUAAACAUAUAAUAACAUAUGUGACUCAUUCAAAAAUAUAUUCAAAACUUUCACAGUUUACAUCUUACUGUACAUACAUACACUUUAUAUAUAUACAUAUAAACAUAAACAUGCUCAAAAUAUAAGUUAUGCAGUAAUGCGUGUCGUGGCCAACAUUAACUGAUUAGAAACUAAACUGCACAAAAUCCUAUGAAAAUCUUAAAGAAAUGGGGGUAAAUAGGAAAAUAGUAUACUUGUGGCUAAAUGAAUGGAUAUAUAUAUAUAUAUAUAUAUAUAUAUAUAUAUAUAUAUAUAUAUAUAUAUAUAUUAGCGCUCUAGUGCUCGUACAUAAUUGUAUGACAUAACUUCGCACUGAACGCAUUAUACAAGCAAACAUAAAAUCAUAUAUUUAUACAUGAUAAAACUGCACCAAAUAAUAUCUAGAAGAAAUAACUCUCAAUACUCGAUGGAAUCAUCAUUGCACAAGUAAAGUAGGGGAAACACCUCGCAAUACUCAGCGGAAUUAACUACAUCACAAGCGCCGAGUAAUCUAACUCUCAAUACACAUACAUAGAGCCUAUGGUGAAGGGUACACAUAUGGUAUCUGGCAAUCACAUCUCAUUAGUCAAUCAAUCAUAUAAUAUGAGUACAAAUAAUCAUGACAUGAUACUAAAUCAUACUAUCAAGCAUAAAUACUUUGUAGAAUACAUAUAAGUAAUAAUAGUAAUCCACUCACAAAACAUUUUUCACUCCGGGGCUUGUUGGAGCUCUUAUAGAUUCCUUAAUUCUUGGAUUUCUCCUAAAAUAUAGGGUUCAAAAAUUAACUGUUAGAACUGAUAUAAAAACUUUUACAUAUGACAUAAACUAAAUCAUAAUUGUUCAAAUUUCUUAAAUACGUUACCUACUGACUUACUGGAUAUAUAUAGAUAUAACUAUCCAACUCUCUUUCCUAUAAUUUUUCCUCUCAAUUCCUCUUUUCAAAAUUAUUUUUCACUCUCGGUUUUUCUUUUCUUCAUCCAGUUAAACAUGUUCUUUGACAUAUAAUACAGUUUAUGGUCAAAAAACUCAUACGUAAUUGAAAUUAAAUUAUUUUUUAAUCUCAAUUUUAAAAUAUUUUAAAAUAUUUUAAAAGAUUUUCAAACAUAAGAUACAAUGGUAUACAAUUGAAGCCUAAUCCAACAUUGAAAGAUUAAAUAAAAUUAAUUUUCAUCACUACUCAAGAGACUUGAAAGGACGUUAAGGUAGCGUUUAUUUUUUAUUUAAAAUCUGAAUAGGUUAGAAUUUGAUUAAAGCCGAAUGGCUUUGAAUAUAAAUGUUUCAAUAACAUGUUAAUUUUUUUAAUAUCUAAAAAUUAAAUGGCAUCUUGUUUGUUUUUAUAAUAAGAAAACACAUCAAAUGUGGUUAUUUAACAUUUAUGUCUUUAUAAGUCAAAACGAAUAAAAGGGAUUAGGCUUCGUAGUUUAUGAAAUAACUAUAUUGAAUUGAAAUAUUUUUAGGAUAUAGUAUUUAUUUUCUAUUCAAUCAUUUUUUUCAUUUCGGCAAAGGUCACAAAAAUUUACUUUUUUAAUUCAAAUGUAAAUAUCUAAAAAUCAGACAUAUGUUACAAAAAAAAAUAAAUAAUUAACUUUUUUAAAAAAAGUUAAACUUUAUAUGUUUAAAAUAAACGCUAAGGAACAUGAAUAAGAGCUAUUAAAACAAAAACAAAAAGAAUAAUUUGGAAACUAAAUACAAUUAAUUGAGAGAUGAGGACCGAUAAGAUAAAUUCUAGAUAAAAAUUAAAAUAUCAACCCUACUUAUUGCUGGUAGUUAUGAGCAUUAAAGCACAGAAGCCGUGUCUUGAUAAGUAUGGAGUUCGUGCGGAAUUUUCAGCUAGAAGUCUACAAAGCAGUGGAAUUAAUCAAUCAUCGUGGAGUGCACGGUGGUUGGACAAUGAGAUGAAAUUGAAAAAUUAUCACGGAACGUGAACGAAGGUUCAUGGCAUCCAUUUAUUGUACAGAGUCACGCACAUUUGGUUCAAUAAUUGUUUUCAUCCGAAUCAAAAUCUCUCUCUAAUCAAUUCAACCGUUCCUGUUGAUUAUGGCUUCUUCUUAUCGAAACAACAAGAAGUAUGAUGUUUUUGUUAGUUUCAGAGGAGAGGACACCCGAGACAACUUUACAUUGAGAUGNNNNNNNNNNNNNNNNNNNNNNNNNNNNNNNNNNNNNNNNNNNNNNNNNNNNNNNNNNNNNNNNNNNNNNNNNNNNNNNNNNNNNNNNNNNNNNNNNNNNNNNNNNNNNNNNNNNNNNNNNNNNNNNNNNNNNNNNNNNNNNNNNNNNNNNNNNNNNNNNNNNNNNNNNNNNNNNNNNNNNNNNNNNNNNNNNNNNNNNNNNNNNNNNNNNNNNNNNNNNNNNNNNNNNNNNNNNNNNNNNNNNNNNNNNNNNNNNNNNNNNNNNNNNNNNNNNNNNNNNNNNNNNNNNNNNNNNNNNNNNNNNNNNNNNNNNNNNNNNNNNNNAGCAUCAGCCAUUUCAGUUAUCGUCUUCUCAGAAGGGUAUGCAUCUUCCAGAUGGUGUCUCGAUGAACUUGUAAGGAUCCUUGAGUGCAAGAAAGAGUAUGCACAGAUUGUGAUUCCGGUUUUCUAUCAGGUUGAUCCAUCAGACGUGAGAAACCAAACUGGGAGUUUUGGGGAUUCAUUUUCGAAGCUUGAAGAAAGAUUAAAGGAGAAUACUGAGAAGCUGCGGAGUUGGAGGAAAGCUUUGAAGGAAGCAGCCAGUUUGUCUGGCUUUCAUUCUCUUAACAUCAGGUGAAAAGUUACUUUUAAUUUCGCAUACUAAUAUUCAACACUGUAAAUAAAAUUCACGCACCACUCUUAGUUAAAUUUCCAGAUGCUAAACUACAUUUUUAAAUUUGUUUAUGCAUCAAAUUCUAGACUUCUUGAACUUCCCCACUUUUGAACUCCUAUAAAAGAAAUUUUGCAGAAUUAAUUUUUUUUGUCUUAACCACGAGGUAUCCUGGGAAGGGCCCCAACUUGGGAGGCACAACAAAGGCGAGUUCUCUGCGACUUGAACUGGGGAGCAAACCCAGUCAAGCCACUUAAGGGGACUCCAUUGUCAGUAGAGCCAAUACUUUGUUGGUUAUUUUUACAGAAUUAAUAAUAAAAGCUCCAGAAGUUUACAAUAUAUUUUAACAAAAUUAAUGGUCUUCUGUCGUUUUUUAAUCAAUUUCAAUCUCUUACUCAUAUACCAUUAGGAAAAAAAAAAAAUCUCUUCCACAUGUAACAUAUUCCUGUAAUUAAAAAGUUAUUAAUUUAUAGGGAGAUUGUAAAUUCCCUUAUUCAAAUCAAUAUAUACCACUUAUUCUGACUAAUUUUACAAUAUUUAAUAACUUUCGCGGUACCAUCACUUUGCAAUAUUAUCCUUCUGAAAAAAAAAUAAGUGGUAUAUAUUAAUUUCAAUUGGAAAACUAGCAAUCUCCCUUAUUUCAUAUUUCAUGCAAAUCCCUCCUAUUUGAAGUUACUGCUGCUAAUUUUAUGUAUUUGGUAGGCCUGAAUCGGAACUUAUAAACGAAGUUGUUAAUCACAUUUCAAAGAGACUGCUGGAUCAAGUUUUUCGGCGGAAUGAUAACAAAAACCAGCUGGUUGGAGUAGAAUCAAGAGUUGAGGAAAUUGAAUCUCUACUAGGUGUUCAGUCGAAAGAUGUUUACGCUUUAGGGAUUUGGGGCAUUGGUGGUAUAGGCAAAACAACAAUCGCUAGAGCUACUUUCGACAAAAUCUCUAGCGAUUUUGAAGGUUCUUGCUUCCUUGAAAAUGUUAGAGAAGAGUCACAAAAACCGGGAGGAUUAGCUUGCUUGCGACAAAAACUUCUUUCAAAUUUAUUGAAAGAUAAAAAUGUGAGUCUUGCUAUUGGUCUUAAUUUUAGAAGGCUCAGCCGCAUGAAGGUUCUGAUUGUUUUUGAUGAUGUGACUUGCUUCAGCCAAUUAGAAUCUAUAAUUGGAAGUCUUGAUUGUUUGACGCCUGUGAGUCGAAUCAUAAUAACCACCAGAAAUAAACAAGUGCUUAGAAAUUGGGGGGUGAGGAAAAUAUAUGAGAUGGAGGCAUUAGAAUAUCAUCACGCUCUUGAGCUUUUCAGUCGACAUGCCUUCAAACAAAACCAUCCUGACGUUGGUUACGAGAAAUUUUCAAGCAAGGUAAUGAAAUAUGCUCAAGGUGUUCCUUUAGCUCUUAAAGUUUUGGGUUGCUUUCUAUAUGAAAGAGAAAAGGAAGUCUGGGAAAGUGCAAUAAAUAAAUUGCAAAGAAUCCUCCAUCCAAGUAUCCUAGAGGUAUUAAAAAUAAGUUACGAUAGUUUGGAUGAUAAGGAGAAAAAUAUUUUCCUUGAUGUUGCUUGUUUCUUUCAAGGCGAGGAUGUAAAUCUAGUAAUGAAAUUCCAUAAUGCAAGCGGUUUCUACCCAGAAAUAGGAAUAAGUGUUCUUGUUGAUAAAUCUCUCAUUGCUAUUGGUUCAUACAACCAGAUAAGAAUGCAUGAUUUACUACAAGAGUUGGGUAGGGAAAUUGUUCGACAAGAAUCAAUUAAUCCUGGAAACCGCAGUAGGUUGUGGCAUCAUGAGGAUAUCUAUGAAAUUCUUACAUAUAACACGGUAAGCAGUUUGUUGUGGAUAAUUAUUUUGAAAUAUUCUAGCAUUUACAAACUUGAUAUGAAUAUAUUUAUAUAUGCUCGAACUGAUGAGUCUUAGAAUUAAUAGAAGAGCAACAAUGAUUAGAAAAAACCAUAUCCGUUAGAUGACGUAGCAAUAAAUUAUAAAUGCCAUGACAACUUGCAUAAUCGUUUGCAAGCAUAAUUGAUAUGCCAAUUUGUAUAGUACACAGACGGAAUUUUUAUAUUAAGUAUUACUUGUGUUAUUAUGUUUCUUUGUGCAUUUGCAAUUAAAAGUUUAACUGCCUAGCAAUAACUAUAAGCUACCUCUAAUUGUGAAUUAGUGAGAAACUUGCCCCAAAAAUUUGACUUGGUGGGGUUGAAGUGCGAUUCAUUGGUGGAAUACACAUAUCUUUCAUUUGAUUUUAACUUUAUUGCUUUUUCACUUCCUUUUAGGGGACAGAAAAAAUUGAGGGCAUAUGUUUGGAUAUGUCAAAAGUAAAAGAGCUCCGUCUAAAUCCCAAUACUUUCACAAAGAUGACUAAAUUGAGAUUUUUAAAGUUCUAUAGUUCAUUAUUCAAUGGAGAGAACAAAUGUAAGAUGUCUUAUUUGCAAGACCCUGGAUUUGCUGAAGUGAAAUAUCUUCACUGGCAUGGAUAUCCGUUGAAGUCAUUUCCCUCAAACCUCAGUGCAGAGAAGCUUAUGUUACUUGAAGUGCCUGAUAGUGACAUUGAACGACUUUGGGAUUGUGUGAAGGUAUGCAUAUCUUAUUAUAUAUGUGCAAUCUCUCAAUAACAACAUUAAAUUAUUAUACGUGGUAACGAUUUUGUCUUGGCCUCUUUUUUGACCGAGCAGCAUUAUAGUAAGUUAAACCAGAUAAUCCAUGCUGCCUGCCAUAAGCUAAUUGCCAAAAUUCCAAAUCCCACGUUGAUGCCACGUCUGAACAAGCUGGUUAUCUUGAAUCUAAGAGGUAGCAAAAGCCUGAAAAGUCUUCCAUCUGGAAUAUUUAACUUGGAAUUUCUUACCAAACUUGAUCUUUCGGGCUGCCCAAAACUGAAAAGGCUUCCAGAGAUCUCAUCAGGUAAUAUAAGCUGGUUAUUUUUAAGGGGGACUGCAAUUGAAGAACUGCCCUCAUCAAUUGAGCGUCAACUUAGGCUUUCGUGGUUGGACCUUUCAAAUUGUAAAAGGCUUAAGAGUCUCCCAAGCAGCCUCUAUAAAUUGAAAUCUCUUGGAAUUCUUGAUCUCCAAGGUUGCUCAAAUCUUCAGAGAUUGCCCGAAUGUCUUGGCCAAUUAUCCUCGCCAACAACAUUUAAUCUAGCGAAAACCAAUAUUGAGAGAAUACCAGAAAGCAUUAUCCAACUUUUCGUGUCGGGAUACCUCCUCUUAAGUUAUGGUGAGAGGUUCGAAUUCGUGCAAAAGCCUCCAUUCCUUGAACGAGGUUGCUUGGCACUGCAACCACUUUUAGGUUUGUUCUCUAAGUUAUGAAUCUUAUAGGCAAUUUUUUUUUACCGGAGCAAUAAUUUUAAAUUGGCAGGUAAUUCUACUGCAGGAAUUCUUGAAGAUACCCUGAGAAUUCAGCAUACGAACUUUAUGCCAGCCGUACGUUGGGAAGAAAUAUGGCAAGAAGUAUGGGUAAAUGUGUGUCUUUAACUCUCUCUACUUACAAUUUCUACAAUCUUUUUUUUGGGUUUAAAAUUAUGUUUUUUUGGUACAGAGAGGUUUUUCCAUGGGCAAACUUCAUAUCGUACUGUCUGGGAAUGAAAUUCCAAAGUGGUUUGAGUUUCAAAGUGUGGGAUCUUUUAUAACCUUGGAGAUGCCGCCAGAUUUCUUCAAUAAUAGCAGAGUGCAGGGCAUUGCAUUUAGUGCUAUUUUAGCAUUUUCAGACCGUCAUGUAGAUUGUGGCACAUGGUUUUCAUUUUCUUGUGAGCUCAAAGUAAAAACCACCAAAGAUUGUGGUCCGCAUGACACACGAUUAUUUCAGAGCAGAGUUAAUUAUGUAGAAUCAUAUCACUUACAUUUGGGGUACUAUCUGUUCUGUGAAGAGGAUUUUAAUGGUUUUUGGAAAUGCAAUUGCAUUCCUGAGGCAGUCCAGCGGGGUGAAAAAAUGUGGGAUCCAUUUACUUCACACCCCAGAUUCUACGAAUUCAAUGUAAGAUCCAAGCAGAUGUUUCAACUGUAACGUAGAAGACUGAGAUAGGUGUCAUUUUCACUCAACUCACCUGAGUUGUGAAUCCAUUUGCUUAAACAUGUAUGCACUUUUUCAAGUAUCUCUACCAAUUCCAUAUUUGGAAUGGUGCAUUUGAUUCCAUAGUUGAUGUGGUAUCGUCUAUGGUUAGAAUUUAUAUUUACAAAAAUGACUUGUAAGGGAAGGAUUGAAGAUGCCCGUGAACUUAUAUUUCGAUUUAGAUUAUUGUAUCUUUUUCAUGUAUAAAAUUGGAUCCUAUCAUUCACAUAUCAUUGACAUGAGCAAUAUGGAUUACUAAAUCAUUAUUCUUUAUUAUUGUGCUGAAUUUGAUUUUUUAUUGAAUAAUUUGAUAUAUUUCUUGAAUCAAUUUGGAGCUUCUACAACAUGUCAGAGAUCAGUUUCUCCAACAUUCCUUUCGGCGCCAAAAGAUAACCAAGCGGUUGAAUAAGAAUUGAUAUAUACAACAUAAAUACAAGAGUUGUUUUGUCUUUUUACAAUAGGAAUAAUAUAUAAUGCUCGUUAAAACUUGCUGAUGAGAAAGUAAAUUCCUCAGAAAUUAAAUGUUUCAGCCAACCAAGGAAGCAGCUUUUCGUGGACCAACUCAGGCCUGUCGUCAUGGGGGCAAUGUCCUACUCCUUUCAAUACAAUUAACUUCACAUUUGAGAGUUUAGAAGGCAGAGAUGAGAUGUAUUUACCAACAGGUCCAUCGAGGGGUGUGAAUGGAUCCUCAUCAGCCCAUAAAACUAGUGCAGGUAUAGAGAUUGAUGGCAUCAAUUGAACUGGGUUCGGCCCUGGUGGGCCUGUUACAAUCGAAACAAAUGCGUCAAGUGCCCCUUCCUCAUUGGCGGGCUCUCGUAUGAUCUGCAGUUUUGAGGUCGAUUCAUGAAUUAUGAGACGCCAUUUUUGUAACAGGUUAAAAUGGCAUAUAAGUGGAGAAUAUUAAUACCUCAACCAGUGUUUCAUCCACAGAUUCCUUAUUUGCAUAAAUGGACAGUAAAAUAUUCCUCGUUGUUUCCCUGAAGCACCAAUGUAUACACAUCAUAGAUUUUUUUAAUUUUGACUCUAGUGUUUUAGGAUAAUGAACAAUGGACUGAAUAAAGAGAAGAGAAAAUACCUUUGUUUCACACGCUCAAAUAUAGCAGAAGCAAUUGGCCUUUGCUUCAACAAAAAAUCAAUGAACCAAAGCAAUGGGAACAAUAGCUUGAUUCUCCAAUCAUCAACAAUUGCCUUGUUGUUCAUGCCACCAGCACAAUUCAACAGAACAAGCCCUCGAACAAGGGUUUGACUGGAUUCUUAUGGUAGAAAAUAUAGCAGGUUUAUCGUAAACCAUAGAUACCAAAAAGGAUAAUUAGGGACAAGUGUUUCUUUGCAAGCAAGUUGAAGAAUAUCUGAUGUCCAAGGGGAAGUUAAAAUAAAUAUACCUGAGGCAGCGAUAACACAAGCUAGGCUUCCAACAGAAUUACCUAUAAGCACAGUUGGCUUCUGAACAACUUCAUCCAAGAAAUCCAAUAUUAGCUGUAUCAGUGAAUCUCACUCAAGUUAGCAAGGAAAAUAACUAAAGGUCAAGUGAUUGAUGACGUAAGUACAUAGAAAGAUCCAACUUCUGGGUAGGGAACAUUGCACACCUGAGCCCAUGCCUCCAUGGUAUAUGAAUAACCAGCUGGCUUAUCUGAAGCACCAAAUCCAAGGUGGUCAAUUGCAUAAACCGUGUAGCUCUUCGCCAGGGUGCCGAUAUUCCUGAAAUUACCUCAGAGAUAACAAGAAAAAUAUCAAUUCCUCACAUUAUUUAAUAGGAUAAAGGAGUAGUGAACACACAAAUUUUCAUUCCCCUCUUCUACGGAGCGGUAAAAUGAAUACUUUUUCACUAGAUUAAGAAUUGGAAAAUGGAAGAAGCCUAUACCCAUAAAAGGGUAAUAUUAAAUGGAACCCUGAAAUUCAGAUCACUGGUUUGUCAUCAUCUAGGUGCAAGGAAUAGAACUAAGUGUUAAUGCCAAUGCACCAUGAAAUAAUGAAUAGACUUUACUUUCAUUAUUCUUUUGCUUCAUUGAUCUUAAUUAAUUAUUAGAAGUAUAACACAUAUAAAUGCAUCCCUGGAGUUCAUAAUACAUAACAGAGUCAGAGAUAUUACAUACAUAAGGUAAAGACAUGCUCCAUACAAAAAAAAAAUAUUACAGUCGAAAAUACCCAGAACAUAAUUUGAAUUGAAUUCACAAUAAAGGAGCUACAUUUUUGUGCACCCAAUAAUCAACCCGCUAGACAAUUCACAACAAGAAAGAGCAAUCUUAUCUCGCUAACCUGCGCCAGUGAGGAAUGGAGACACCAAAGCCAUGGACAAGGAGUAGAGGAGGAGAAUCGGGAUGUGAAUUUGGAGUUGAAGAAACCAAGUAAUUGAUGGAGUACUGACCCUUCCAUUUCCACAUUUUGCAACUCUCCCUUAUCUCAUUAACCUCCAGUUCCAGUGCAGCAGAAGCAGAAUCCCCUCCACUGCUACUGUUAGUAUAACUGAUGGUAACAUUUUGUCUCUUCUUCUUCUCCUUAUUCCUCUGCUGCAACUCCAACUGCAACUGAAACUGCCAACUCUUAUUGCUCAAUAGGGGCAAGCGCAGGCCUUUUACAUCUCCAUUUCCAUUUCCAAUCCUGAGCGUUGUUAUUGGAAUAAUGAAAGAGGGAGCCCGAGCCCUUACCAUCCACACGCUCAUUCUUUUCUUGCUUUUUCGAUUGAAUAUUUUCUGUGGCCUGGCUUGGCCUGCUCCUCCCCUGCUUCCACCUCUAUGAGACUGUGGCUAUGACAAAAACUUUUUAUGUACUUAUUUAUUUAUUGGGCUUAUUCCACUAUUUUAUGAAAAUUUUACUGAUAUUCCUCAAAAAUCAAAAUGAUAAUACUUCGUCUAAAAAAUAAUUAUAAAACAUACAUGCUAUGUUUUAAAAUUUUCAAACAAAGAAGAACUUUGUAGAGUUAAUUAACUCGAUUUAUUUUAGUUUACUUUCAUGUGAUUUAGAUUAUUUUAUUAUAUUUAGCUACAAAGAUUGUUUUGUCAUAAGUUUAAAUUGAUUAUUUUACCCUUAUAAGGUAAAACUAUUGAGAAUUUACUUUAAUUUCAAUAUUUUUCUAAUUUUAUACCAAACUCAUUGUUUCUAAUACUAUUUUACUAGUAUGAGUUUUAAUCUUUAAUUAAACUAAAAUAGUAUCUUUAGGGCAUGAUACUCAUGUAACUUAUUGGGAUGUCAAUUUUAUGUUAUUUACACAUAAAAGUAGAGAAAAUAACAAUUAGAUUUUAUUUUAAAAUAUUAUAUUAUAAGCCACAAAAUUAGAUACAUAAAUUAUUAGAUACAAUAACUCAUGUUUAUUAUGGUAAUUUAGUCGCUAUAUAUCAUAAUAAUAAAAUACUAAAAUAAAUCUUGUAUUAAACUUUAUGAUUAAAGAUGGUCAAAUAACCGAAGAAGAAAAUCAAUAGAAGGAUUUUACUGAUUAACUAUACAAAAUUUUUAUUAAUUUGUAUUUUUAAAAAAAUAUUGUGAAUUCAUUACAAUUAAUUUCUAGAAGUAGGGUGGAUUUAUAAAAUAGUGGGGUGCAAAUACCCUUACCCAAAUAUUCCAUAAAAAGUGAAAACUAUUACCUUUUUCGAUGUACUUCUCUUGAAUUUUUUAUUCCUACGGAUAAACUUUAAUUCAUCCCCAAAUAAAAUGAUAAUCUCUAAUUUGCUCUCAAUGUAAAUCUCAAUUUAUUCUUCAUUUCCGUCCAAAAGAUGAGGGGCAAAUAAGGAAUGUGUUGAUGGGUUUUUUUUUUUUAAUCUUCUUAACAAUAAAUGGGGUAAAUUGAUAUUUUUAUACUUUUAGGUGAUAAAUUAAAGAUUUUCAUUCUGAAUUGGGGGCAAAUUAAAAUCUAUCUUAUUUCUAAAGGCACCACGUGAUUUGGCAAAAUAACUAAAAAGACAUUUUAUUUUUAGAAAAGGUCACACAUGUCUCUUUUGAGAUACACAAAUUCUCUUUUAGAUAAAACAUUAGGAUUUGUGUGAUUAUUUCUUAACCAAAAGGGUUUGUGUUUCAAAAAAAUGAUUAUGUAAUUAUUUUGCCUGACCGAGAGAGUCAUUAUUCAAACACCAAUCACAUUUUUGUUUUAACAAACACCCUUUCAUUUAUUCUUUAAGCUUUUUUUGUUUUUUCCCAAAAAAUGAUGAAUACAUAUUGAAAAUUUUGUUUUCAUUUUUUUAUUGAAAAAAUGAAAAACAACAAAGAUUACUGCUUCCUUGUCCAUACUUUUUCGUCCUAUAUUACCUUAAUUUUAUAUCGUUUUCUCUAUUUUUACUUUUAUAGUCCAAUUCUGAAAAUACACUAUUAGACACAUUUUUAAAUUCAAAAACACAAAACAUAGUGCAUCAUUUUCAUUAUAGGCAUUAACACCUGACGUACACAUUCUCCAAAUGGGAUUAAUGGAAAAAUAUAUAUAUAAAAAGGUGAGUCCUUCGGCCAAUCUUAUAGGUUCUAACGUUUUGAAGGUAAGUUUUAUCUUGUAACAUUCUCACAAAAUUUAAAAUCAACUGGGACGAAAAUUUUGAAAAUACUAUGAUUAGCACAGGCAUUUCAACAAUAGAGGAUGUAAUAAAAGCUCAUUGAGUUGAAACUUGAAAGCAAAAUUAGGAUCAAGGUCAUUUCUUUAAAAGAAUAAGGCAAGAUGCACGACAUGAAAUACCUGUGACCAAGCCUCAAAAGAUUCACCAAGCCCAGUAUUUUGCUUGCCCACGGCAUAAUUACACUUGGCUUCCCAAACAAAUAAUUGCUGGAGCUCGGACAAUGCAAGUAUUCAAUUUAACUUCAUAAAUAUCAGCAGGAGCAUAAUUACACUUGGCUCCCUAACAAAUAAUGCUGGAGCUCGGACAAUACGAGUAUUCAAUUUAACUGUACAUAGAUGUGCGGGGUUUUGGUGGUAAGUAAAAAGACGUGCCACUAUCAGUUGAGGAGUGCAUAAGAGGAUUACAUCUAUCAAAUACUAUCCGCCCCCCUCGGCCAAUUCUUCCACGAAAUUUGUGAGUUCGUGCUAUAGUGCCAUUCCUCGUAGAAGAAUCUGACGGCGGAACAAUACCUGCAGCGUCCAAUUUUUCUGGCACAAGGGGUUUUGUGAACAACAAAACUGGCUCGAGAGGAUCCUGAAACCCCACAGUUACAUUUUCAAAAUGAUGCACUGCUGAUAUUCAGAAAUAAAACAAGGAUAAAACAUUUUCUAAAGUUUACUUAAAUCAUUUUUCUUUCCAACCACAGAUAGGUCAAUAAGUCAAAUACUGGAGCUGACAGAGCGCUGGCAGAAUUAACUACAAACCCACCAGAUUUAUCUUGUUAAUUGAUUGUUUUCAAUUACCACGGUAACCCGGCUCGGGUGUUACCUCUGUUUCUGUCAGUGCUCUGUUGAAUAUUUCCGUUUAAAAAUCAGCAUCAUAUAUGUAAGUAGUAUGGCAGCAGCGAAAUAUCAUGUGUAAUAAUUAGGCUAUUAGGAGCAAAAGCUAUACGUACCAAUUUAUGUAGCCAUGCAUAAUAUAUUCAUUUUUGACUUGCAAAUUCUUCCUUUUCACAACAUUAGGUACAACUUUUCCUUUCCUUUUGAAGGCCCACUCCAGUAGGGGUGGGCAUUUGGUUCGGUUCAAUCUGAACCGAAUCGAACCGAACCGUAUUAUGAUAAUUUAAUUCGAUUUUGGUUCGCAGCAAAAAAAAUUAAAUGGUUCAGAAGCAUACAGAGUAGGGGUGGGCAUUUGGUUCGGUUCAGUCUGAACCGAACCGUAUUAUAAUAAUUUGGUUCGGUUUGGUUCGGAGCAAAAAACUAAAUGGUUCAGAAAUUCUGAACCAUUUGAUUUUUUAUUUGGUUCGGUUCAAAACCGAACCAAAUGGUUCAAGAAAAAAUUAAAAUUAAAAUUAAAAAAUAGUUCAGAAUUUAUCUUCUUUUUUUUAUUUCUGUUUGUUAGUUAAUACAUGAUAUUAUAUAUGUCAUUGCAUACACUUUAUUUUAUUGUUGAACUUUAUUAUUUUAAUUUAUUAUUGUUAAAUUUUAUUACAUUGGUUAUUAUUUAUGAAUUUCUAGAUUACUUUUGGAAUUUAUUAUGUUAAUUUACUAUUGUUAGAUUUUAUUAUGUUGUUUAUUGUUUGCUAAUUUAUAGACUCAAGAUUAUUGUUGUAUUAAUAGCGUAUUAUUAUAUUAUUAUUUUUAUUAAAUAAUGAAUAUAUAAGAUAAAAUCAAAUCAAACCGAACGGUUCUAUAAUUUGGCUCAUAAAUUCAUGAACCAUUUGAUUUCAGUUUGGUUCGGUUCAAGGGCUGAACCGAACCAAACUAAAUAGUUCCCACCCCUAAUAGAGAGUAAAAAGAGUUUCUUAUAAAUAAUUUGAGGAGGAUGGUUCUGCCACGACAGGUAAUACCAUAAACAAAUGAUUUCACCACAUUUCAAGAAAGCAUUUAACUUAUGCCUCAUUUUCAUUCUAGCAAUUUGCUUGCCAUUGGCUGAUUGGAAAAAGUGCAUUUAAGUGAUAGAAUACUGUCAACCUAUAGCACGAAUAGGGGUUAAACAAAGUAAAUCUCUACCUUUACAUGUCAAAUAAAAGACUUUCAUAAUAUCAAAUAUCAAAACUCAUGUCUAGUAAAGGAUUCCCCAAUGCUGGCUCUCAAAAUUGCUUUUGUUUCAUGGAUGAGAUGAUGGUUUUUGUGGAUAUUCUGCUCAACUUGGAUUAUGACUUGGGUCAGAUCCCAACUUGCUGCAAAGCUCACCUGACUAAAUCUUAGUUGAUUUGCUUUUCCAAACUAAAUCCAAGCAAGUAAGUACAAGAGAUAAAAGCAAAAGUUCAAGCAUCUCAUUUGAGCCUGUCACUAACAAAUGGUCAAUGAGCAAUGUCUAGCUAUGACUGAGCAACAGAAUCAAUAAACAGACAGACAAAAAAUAAUAAUCAAGUCAUCUGUCAAAUGCUAGUCCAAGAAAAUCAUAUAUAUAUGUAUGUAUGUAUGUAUGUAUGUAUGUAUGUAUGUAUGUAUAUGUAUAUGUAUAUGUAUAUGUAUAUGUAUGAUCAUUCAUUUCUCAAUCAACCACCAAAUUGAUGUCAACAAAGCCAUGAGGAUUGUCACACAAGUCUUUCAAUUCCCCUCUCUUUAGGCCAGAGACCAGUAAACCAUUUGAAAUAUAGAUGUGCAAACCAGUAAAUAAAUCAUGAAGUUACACACUAGUCUGCUUUCGCACUCAUUCAGAACUAUCAAUGAUACUUACUGCAAGUACGGUGUAUACAUUAUACUAAAGUGAAGGCUGGAUCAAUAAGAAAUUCAAAAUGUUUCAUCACAUUUGGGGCUUGAUGAUGCCAAAAAAAGACCAUACCAAUUAUGAUGAACAGUAAAAUGUGAACAAGAACAAGCAUACAUUUAAGAAAGCAGAGAAGCAUCAUUAAAAUAAAGUAUUCUUCUUACUAUUCUUGGAAAAUGGACCAAAAUAAAAAAGAAACCAUAUAUGGUUAACGUCACAACAAGAGUAUUUGUGCAUUUGUACAUCAUAGGAUAUUGGGAAGACAUCAGUAGAGAAGUGCAAAUUUUUUUUUGGGGAAAGGAACAGAGAAGUGCAAGUCAAAAAGGAGAAAAAAUGAAAAAAGAGAGAUCAAAAGGAAUGCAAUCUAAUUAAUUGUCUAAGGAGACUUCUAUGCUACAUUUAGCCAUUGGUUGAAUAGGCAGCUUGUUUUCUAGUACAACUUUAAAUUUUCCAAGAUUUAGAAUUUUCCUACUGAAGAAAACUAAUUUCUAAAGCAGCUAUUACCAUCUUCAUCCCAACGGUAAGCAGCUCCAUACUAAGGAAAGAAUGAAAUAAGUGUGUUUUACUUAUAGAAGCCCAUUCCUGUCCAGAGUGAUUAGUAAGUUGUUUCACCAUGACCCCCAUUAUGGUGACUGAAAAAAGAAAAAAAAAAAGAAGAAAAUAUUUGCCGAACACAAUAGUAGCACCUAAGAAGUCCUACUUAAGAGGCUUCAUACCCUGCACAAAUCGGAAAGUUUUUUAAAAUUUUCAUGUUUCAAAUGAAGAUUCUCCAUUAAAAAAUUACACACAUACUGUAUGUAAAGCAAUUAAAAAAAAAAAAAAAACAAGGAUAACCCAGAAACAAUCCAACCAUUAAUGAAAGUGAGCAAUGUUAUUGUUUUAUUAUUUUUGAACUCGUGGUGGCUCUGUAUUAUUUGCAAAUUAUUUACAAAAUACUCGUAUAAGGAGAGGGACAUAUUUUAUGCUGGAAUAUUGUCAAUAUAAAUGGUGCUCUAAAAAUGUGUCCGACUGUAAAGAUAUGUCUAAUUAAACAGUGUCAUAUAUAAUAAAAACGUAUCCUUUUAUUUAAAGAUGCUUUCAUUCAUGGUUUCAUGCUUCAAUUUGAAAUGACGAUAGUUUAUUUUGGACCAGUGAUGAUCUAAUUCAAAUUUUAAUUUAAUAACCAUGAAUGAAAUAACCACUUUCUGUUAGUUCUCUUAAAAUUUAUUAAGAAAUCUAUAUUGAAGGCCGUUUUAUCCUUUAGUGUUGUAGAAAAUACACUUUACAUUUUGAAAUUUAAAAUGACCUUCUUUUAAAUAAAAUUUUAAAACAAAUGCCUCUAACUAAGGAAGAAAUUUUAGAAUACAUCAGAAGUACCAUGUUAGCCAUACAACAAGUGAAUCAUGGUACGACACAUGUGCACUUAUUUUAAAAAACUAUUAUUCAAAUGGUGGUUAUAUUGAAUAUAAAUAUGUACAUAUCAUACAUGACACAAACCGCGUCAACCCUUCUAUUGGAUCUGGGGUGAAUCAUGCAAUUUUAUAUCUAAAGCUCAUGACAUAAACUUAAUUCAUGAAUAUAUAACACUAGCCUUGGCCUUUGCUAUAAACAUAUAAUAAUCUAUGUGCCUCAUUCAAAAAUUUAUUAAAAACUUACAUAGUUCAUAUCUCAUUGUACAUACAUUCACUUCGAAAAUAUACAUAUAAACAUAAACGUGGUCAAAAUGUAAGUCGUGCAGUAAUGCGUGUUGUGGUCCAACCUCAAUUGAUCAGAAAUUGAACUACACGAAAUCCUAUGGAAACCUUAGAGAAAUGGGGUAAAUAGGAAAAUAGUAAGUUUCUGACUCAAUGAAUGAAUAUAAUUAUAUAUAAAAAUAAAUUAGUGCUUUAGUGCUCGUCAUAAUUGUAUGACAUAACUUUACACUGAACGCUUUACAAAAGCAAACAUGAACUCAUAUAUACAUACAUGACAAAAUUGCACCAAAUAAUAUACAGGGGAAAUAACUCUCAAUACUCACUGUGAUCAUCAUCGCAUGAGUAAAAAGGGGGAAAAACCUCUCAAUACUCAGUAGAAUUAACAACAUCACAAGGGUCGAGUAAUUUAAUUCUCAAUAUGCAUGCGUAGAGCCUAUGGGAAAAGGUACACAUAUGGUGCCUGUCAAUUACAUCUCAUGACUCAGUCAAUCAUAUAAUGCACGUACAUAUAAUCAUAACAUUAUACAAAAUCGUACUAUUAAACAUAAAUGCUUUGUAAAAUACAUAAUAGUAAUAAUAAUAAUCCACUCACAGAUCCUAUUGAUGAAGCACGCACGUGCUUUGCUUUAAGCUAACAGCUUGCUAUUGCUUUGACAAUUAACCACAUGUGCCUCCUUUUAGCUUGCACGUGUGUCACAAUACAUGCAUUAGAAUUGGUUUUAUUCUCAUGGGUGAAGCAUGAAUGUGCUUUGCUUUAAGCUAACCGCUUGCUAUUGCUUUGACAAUUAGCCACAUGUGACCCGUUUAUAGUUUAGGAAAUAACAAUAUUGAAUCGAAAUAUUCACUACUAGAAAAAUGAGUUUUACUGACACUAAUUUAGCGUCAGUAAUUACUUUUAUUGACACUUGUUAAUUGUGUCAGUGUUGCUCAAGCCAGAACACACUGACACUAAUUUUUGGUGUCAGUAAUUUUUGUGUCAGUAAUUUGUUUCACUAUAGUAUCACUAAAAUAAUGACACGAUGAUGUUGGUAUUUAAUGAUACUAUUUACACGUCAGUGAUUUAUGUGACUAUAGUAUCAAUAAUAAGCUAGCUCGAUAAUAUAAAAAAUUAUUAAUGUCAAUUUAAAUAUUUAGUGUCAGUAUUUAAUAAUGUUAUGCAGGAUUGGUUAAUAAAUUUUUUUUAUUCUAAUUAUAUUUUUCCUGAAUGUUUUACAACCAAAAGAAAGCUCAAAAUAUAUUAAAUAUAUAAAAUGUCACAAUAUAAUUCACAUAAUAAACAUCCCAAAUACAUCACUCAAAUUCACAUGAUUCAACUACACCACUAUCUGGAAAAGAAAAAUAUAAAUACUAAAUUAAGUUUUCAACAACCACAAAGUACGAAUUUAGUUUCCACCAAAAAGAAGCACAAGAACAUCACUCAACAUCCAUCUGCAGCUUCAUUUUUUUCCCACCUACAACAACAUAAAAUCAAUUAGUAUGGAAAUAGAUUAUCGAAAACAAAUUGAUUGUGAGUAGUUAAACAGAGCAAUUGAAGGAUGUUUCAACAACUAAUAAAACAAUAAGAAAUAAGAUUACAAUAAUACUGAAAGUUAUAGAAAUAAAGAACCUUAGCUUAAGUUGUCUGAAGAAACCAUGUUGGAUAACCUGCUACAAGUCACAGAAAACAAAACAUCUAAGUCAAUCUAAUUAAAAACUUCCUAUUUUUUAUAAUCAAACAACAGAAAUCUGCAAUCAAAACAUCCAUUUGCCCACUCAAACUUUCAGCCUUAGCAUAAACUUCUUUCACUUUAAUCUCAUAAAACUUGUCAAAUUUAUGAAACUCUCAUCAAGCCUUCUAAAAAACUACCGCUCUCAUUCCCCUCCUUCCUCAACAAUCCUCAAAAGUAUUUUCAUUGCAAAAUAGCCCAAAAAAAUUAUAGGAGUUGUUUUGACUUUAGAAUAGCAACAAAACAGCCCCGGGAAAUCUGUAGGGGCUGUUGUGCAGUGAAAACAGUCACUAGAAAUUUACAGGGGCUGUCUUGUUGCUGUUCUAUAGUAGAAACAGCCCCUGCAAAUUAACACUUUCAAAUGAAUUAGAAAAGAAAAUAAUGUUACCUAUGAUAGUCAUCAUUGUUGAAGUCAUAGCAGAUAGCCUGCAAAUUAACAAUAAUAACAGCAUUUACAUCAGUUUAUGAAACUGCUUUUAUUGGUUUUUUUUUUGCAAGGAUAUGUAUAUAAAUAAUAGUGCAUUUAAACUUACAUAUAUAAUGCAUCUUAGACCAGCCAUUAAUGUGGUAUAGUUUUUGUAAAGUACCCUAUUUACCUCAGAAACUUCACUUUCCUCUAUGCCAAGAUUUUGAAUUAUCUAUUAUACACAAAGUAAAUUUGUAGAAACUAGUUAUACAUUUGUUAAACAAAUAAACAACUUAAAUGACAAAAGUUUACUAACUGAAUAGAAAUGCACCAAGGUCAUUAUAAAUUGGCACUACUUACUGAAAUGAUCAACAACAUUGACACUAACACCUCAUACAUAAAUUCAGAUUUUAAGCGUAUAAAGAGAGUUCAAAUGAAUGAUUGCUUAUACAUUUUAUAACAGAUUUUACAACAAUAAAGUAGAUAAAUGGCAACUCUACUAGAGGUAUGUUUCUAGUAUAAGGAAUCAAGCAUAAGUAAAGGAGCAAGGUAGUAUCUUAUCAUCCGCAUAAUCAACACACCAUGACAGAAAUCGAAUCAAAUAAAUACUACGAGUGCCGAAUGGAAGAAAGAAAUUAAAACAUUUUCUGUAAAAUAUUAUUAUUAAUCAAUAACAUGUCUUAAUAUAAAGCGAAAAGUUUCCGAUGAUAAUAUAAAUAUCCAAAACUAUAUAGUCAAAUACUCAAAAGCUGAAACCAAAAUAUCAGAAAAAAAUUUAUAAAAGCAAUAACAUAAACCUAAGCAGUAAACACAACAGACCCACCAGCUUUUUUAAUUUUCUUCUUGGCUGUUUUGGAAACGCUUCACCACAACGAGUUGGUUCUCAAGCAAAAGGCCCUUACCCAAAACCUUAAAGUAGCCAAACUGAGUCACAUCGAUCGUGGGAACAAUGUCUUUGGAAGCCUUGGCUUUGACCUCCUGAGGUACCAUUGGCCAAAGCCUUUUUUUUUUUUUUGAUCCAUGACAAUGAAAACUGAUCUUUUAUAUAUUCAAGCAAAUGAAGUGAAACCCCUGCUCAAAGAUACCAUAAAAACUAGAUGACAAUUUUGAACACUAGUGUCUAAAGCCCAGAGGCCUAUGUAUUUGAUAAAACAACUGACAGAACACUAAACACAUAAUGUUGAAAUUCAAAAGUUAAAAGGGUCAAACAGAGAAUUGAAACAUAAUAUGAUUCGCCCUUAAGAUAAAUUCUUGGCCCUCAAAUCACAUGCAGAAGCAAGCUACAUUGAAGAGAGAUUCGGAAGAAGCACUGAAAAUGCCAAAAGAUCGAAGUUGCCCUUCUUGAGAAAACCGACCUUAUGAUUACUAAGGCGAUUCAGGCAAGACAACUACUACACGAACCCUAAAAAUGGAGUUGCUUACCUUCUUCAGGGGAUGCGGGGCAAAUUAAAUUAUUACAGUAUUACUCACAACUCAAUUAAUUUGAGUAUUUGACUAAUCUAAUUUAGACAAAAAAUUAAUGAAAAAAUUAAAAAGUGGAAUCUCAACUCACUGUCUCAGGCGGCCGGCGCGAUGGCGACGGCUGAACGCGGCUGCAAAAGCAAUAAUUUAGACUGGAGGGUGAGAUGGUGACCAGAGACGGAGAAAGUGAGAGCGACUAAACGAGCGUGAAAGAGAGGGGUUGUUGCUGCUGUGUGUGCCUUCAGAGAGAGAGUGAAAGCGAGCGAGCUACUGCAGUGUGUGGUGCGACCUGCUGGGCUGCCGCCGCCGCCGCCGCCGCCGCGUGGGCUGCAUGUGCCGUUGUCAUCGUGUGUGCUACUAAGGCCUUAGAGAGGGGCUGCCGCUAGUUAGCGCUUAGGGAGAGUUAGGGAUUUAGGCACUUGGAAUUUUAGGGAUUUGGAUUUUAGUUUGUUUGAGAGGGAACAAAUUUUGGUGGAGGGAGAUCAAAAAUUUUGUGUUAAAUUAUAGCAAAGGGUUUGUAGUUAAUUAUAUACGGUUUAACCAAACAAAGAAAAUAUGCACACAAGUGGUUUGUAGUUUGAAAUUAAAAUUUUAACUUCGGAGAUAUUGAGUUCGAGUCCAAGUAAAAACAUAAUUAGAAUUAUAUUUGUUUUUAUCACUGAUACUAAAGUAUAAGUAAUUACUGAGUUUUAUGCUACUGACACCUUAGUACCAGUGAUUUAUGAUACAUAUUUGUUAAAUGGAAAAAAUGAUCCAAAUGUAUAACAUUACUGACACUUUUUACGAAGUGUCAGAAACGAAGUGUCAGUAAAAGUCAUUUUUGUAGUAGUGAUUCUUAGAAGAUAGUAUUUAUUUUCCAUUCAAACAUUUUCUCAUUUCGGCAAAGGUCACAAAAAAAAAUGCUUUUUUUAAUUUAAAUGUAAAUAUUUAAAAAUCAUAUAUAAGUUAUAAAAAAUAAAUAAUUAAUAUUUUUUUUAAAGUUAGACUUUAUAUGCUUAACAGUCAACCCUAAGGAACAUGAAUAAGAGCUACUAAAAAAAAAGAAUAAUUUUGAGCCUAAAUACAAUUAAUUGAGAGAUGAGGACGGAUAAGACAAAUUCAGAGAUAAAAAUUAAAAUAUCACCCUACUUAUUGCUGGCAGUUAUGAGCAUUAAAGCACAGAAGCACGUGUGUUGAAAAGUAUGGUGUUCGUGUGGAAUUUUCAGUUAACAGUCUACAAAGCAGUGGAAUUAAUCAAUCAUCGUGGAGUGCACGGUGGUUGGACAAUGAGAUGAAAUUGAAAAAUUAUCACGGAACGUGAAGGAAGGUUCAUGGCAUCGAUUUAUUGUACAGAGUCGCGCACAUUUGGUUCAAUAAUUGUUUUCAUCCGAAUCAAAAUCUCUUUCUAAUCAAUUCAACUGAUUUUGUUGAUUAUGGCUUCUUCUUAUCGAAACAACAAGAAGUAUGAUGUUUUUGUUAGUUUCAGAGGAGAGGACACCCGUGACAACUUUACCAGCCAUCUCUAUUCUGCUCUGUGUCGACAAAAUAUCCAAACUUUCAUUGAUGACCAACUUAACAGAGGAGAUGAAAUUUCGGAGUCACUUGUGAAUGCAAUUGAAGCAUCAGCCAUUUCAGUUAUCGUCUUCUCAGAAGGGUAUGCAUCUUCCAGAUGGUGUCUCGAUGAACUUGUCAAGAUCCUCGAGUGCAAGAAAGAGUAUGCACAGAUCGUGAUUCCGGUUUUCUAUCGGGUUGAUCCAUCAGACGUGAGAAACCAAACUGGGAGUUUUGGGGAUUCAUUUUCGAAGCUUCAAGAAAGAUUUAAGGAGAAUUCAAAGAAGCUGCUGACUUGGAGGAAUGCUUUGAAGGAGGCAGCCACUUUGUCUGGCUUUCAUUCUCGUAACAUCAGGUGAAAAGUUACUUUUAAUUUCGCAUACUAAUAUUCAACACUGUAAAUAAAAUUCACGCAGCACCCUUAGUUAAAUUUUCCAGAUGAUAAACUACACUUUUAAAUUUUUUCAUGCAUCAAAUUCUAGACUUCUUGAACUUCCCCACUUUUGAACUCCUAUAAAAGAAUUUUUGCAGAAUUAAUAAUAAAAGCUCCAGAGGUUUACAAUAUAUUUUAACAAAAUUAAUGGUGUUCUGUCGUUUUUUAAUCAAUUUCAAUCUCUUACUCAUAUACCACUAGGAAAAAAAAAAUCUCUUCCACAUAUAACAUAUUCCUGUAAUUAAAGAGUUAUUAAUUUAUAGGGAAAUUGGAAAUUUCCUUACUCAAAUCAAUAUAUACCACUUAUUUUGACUAUUUUUACAAUAUUUAAUAACUCUCCUGGUACCAUCACUUUACAAUAUUAUCCUUAUGAAAAAAAAUAAGUGGUAUAUAUUAAUUUCAAUAGGAAAACUAGCAAUCUCCUUUAUUUCACAUUUUAUGCAAAUCCCUUCUAUUUGAAGUUACUGCUGCUAAUUUUAUGUAUUUGGUAGGCCUGAAUCGGAACUUAUAAACGAAGUUGUUCAUCACAUUUUGAAGAGACUGCUGGAUCAAGUUUUUCGGCGGAAUGAUAACAAAAACCAGCUGGUUGGAGUAGAAUCAAGAGUUGAGGAAAUUGAGUCUCUACUAGGUGCUCAGUCGAAAGAUGUUUACGCUUUAGGGAUUUGGGGCAUUGGUGGUAUAGGCAAAACAACAAUCGCUAGAGCUAUUUUUUACAAAAUCUCUAGCGGUUUUGAAGGUUCUUGCUUCCUUGAAAAUGUUAGAGAAGAGUCACAAAAACCGGGAGGAUUAGCUUGCUUGCGACAAAAACUUCUUUCAAAUUUAUUGAAAGAUAAAAAUGUGAGUCUUGAUAUUGGUCUUAAUUUUAGAAGGCUCAGCCGCAUGAAGGUUCUGAUUGUUUUUGAUGAUGUGACUUGCUUCAGCCAAUUAGAAUCUAUAAUUGGAAGUCUUGAUUGUUUGACGCCUGUGAGUCGAAUCAUAAUAACCACCAGAAAUAAACAAGUGCUUAGAAAUUGGGGGGUGAGGAAAAUAUAUGAGAUGGAGGCAUUAGAAUAUCAUCACGCUCUUGAGCUUUUCAGUCGACAUGCCUUCAAACAAAACCAUCCUGACGUUGGUUACGAGAAAUUUUCAAGCAAGGUAAUGAAAUAUGCUCAAGGUGUUCCUUUAGCUAUUAAAGUUUUGGGUUGCUUUCUAUAUGAAAGAGAAAAGGAAGUCUGGGAAAGUGCAAUAAAUAAAUUGCAAAGAAUCCUCCAUCCAAGUAUCCUAGAGGUAUUAAAAAUAAGUUACGAUAGUUUGGAUGAUAAGGAGAAAAAUAUUUUCCUUGAUGUUGCUUGUUUCUUUCAAGGCGAGGAUGUAAAUCUAGUAAUGAAAUUCCAUAAUGCAAGCGGUUUCUACUCAGAAAUAGGAAUAAGUGUUCUUGUUGAUAAAUCUCUCAUUGCUAUUGAUUCAUACAACAAGAUAAGAAUGCAUGAUUUACUACAAGAGUUGGGUAGGGAAAUUGUUCGACAAGAAUCAAUUAAUCCUGGAAACCGCAGUAGGUUGUGGCAUCAUGAGGAUAUCUAUGAAGUUCUUACAUAUAACACGGUAAGCAGUUUGUUGUGCAUAAUUAUUUUGAAAUAUUCUAGCAUUUACAAACUUGAUAAGAAUAUAUUUAUAUCUGCUCGAACUGAUGAGUCUUAGAAUUAAUAGAAGAGCAACAAUGAUUGGAAAAAACCAUAGCGGUUAGAUGACGUAGCAAUAAAUUAUAAAUGCCAUGACAGCUUGCAUAAUCGUUUGCAAGCAUAAUUGAUAUGCCAAUUUGUAUAGUACACAGACGGAAUUUUUAUAUUAAGUAUUACUUGUGUUAUUAUGUUUCUUCGUGCAUUUGAAUUAAAGUUUAACUGCCUAGCAAUAACUAUAAGCUACCUCUAAUUGUGAAUUAGUGAGAAAAUUGCCCCAAAAAUUUGACUUGGUGGGGUUGAAGUGCAAUUCAUUGGUGGAAUACACAUAUCUUUCAUUUGAUUUUAACUUCAUUGCUUUUUUAUUUAUUUUUAGGGGACAGAAAAAAUUGAGGGCGUCUCUUUGGAUAUGUCAAAAGUAAAAGAGUUCCUUCUAAAUCCCAAUACUUUCACAAAGAUGCCUAAGUUGAGAUUUUUAAAGUUCUAUAGUUCAUCAUUCAAUGGAGAGAACAAAUGUAAGAUGUCCUAUUUGCAAGACCCUGGAUUUGCUGAAGUGAAAUAUCUUCACUGGCAUGGAUAUCCGUUGAAGUCAUUACCCUCAAACCUUAGUGCAGAGAAGCUUGUGUUACUUGAAGUGCCUGAUAAUGACAUUGAACAACUUUGGGAUUGUGUGAAGGUAUGCAUAUCUUAUCAUAUAUGUGCAAUCUUUCAAUAACAACCUUAAAUUAUUAUACGUGGUAACGAUUUUGUCUUGGCCUCUUUUUUGACCGAGCAGCAUUAUAGUAAGUUAAAUCAGAUAAUCCAUGCUGCCUGCCAUAAGCUAAUUGCCAAAAUUCCAAAUCCCACGUUGAUGGCCCGUUUGAACAAGCUAGUUAUCUUGAAUCUAAGAGGUAGCAAAAGCCUGAAAAGUCUUCCAUCUGGAAUAUUUAACUUGGAAUUUCUUACCAAGCUUGAUCUAUCGGGCUGCUCAAAACUGAAAAGGCUUCCAGAGAUCUCAUCGGGUAAUAUAAGCUGGUUAUUUUUAAGUGGAACUGCAAUUGAAAAACUACCCUCAUCAUUUGAGCUUCUACUUAGGCUUUCGUGGCUGGACCUUUCAGAUUGUAAAAGGCUUAAGAGUCUCCCAAGCAGCCUCUAUAGAUUGAAAUCUCUUGGAGUUCUUAGUCUCCUUGGUUGCUCAAAUCUUCAGAGAUUGCCCGAAUGUCUUGGCCAAUUAUCCUCGCCAAUAAUAUUUAAUCUAGCGAAAACCAAUAUUGAGAGAAUACCAGAAAGCAUUAUCCAACUUUUCGUGUCGGGAUACCUCCUCUUAGGUUAUGGUGAGAGGUUCCAAUCCGUACAAAAGCCUCCAUUCCUUGAACGAGGUUGCUUGGCAGUGCAACCACUUUUAGGUUUGUUCUCUAAGUUAUGAAUCUUAUAGGCAAUUUUUUUUUACCGGAGCAAUAAAUUUAAAUUGGAAGGUAAUUCUACUGCAGGAAUUGUUGAAGAUACCCUGAGAAUUCAGCAUACGAACCAUAUGCCAGCUGUACGUUGGCAAGAAAUAUGGCAAGAAGAUUGGCUAAAUGUGUGUCUUUAACUCUCUCUACUUACAAUGUCUACAAUCUUUUUUUUUUUGGGUUUAAAAUUAUGUUUUUUUGGUACAGAGAGGUUUUUCCAUGGGCAAAGGUCAUAUAGUACUACCGGGGAAUGAAAUUCCAAAGUGGUUUGAGUUUCAAAGUGUGGGAUCUUUUAUAACCUUGGAGAUGCCGGCAGAUUUCUUCAAUAAUAGCCGAGUGCAGGGCAUUGCAUUUACUGCUAUUUUAGCAGUUUCAGACCGUCAUGUAGAUUGUGGCAGAUGGUUUUCAUUUUCUUGUGAGCUCAAAGUGAAAACCACCAAAGAUUGUGGUACGCAUGACACACGAUUAUCUCAGAGAAGAGUUAAUUAUGUAGAAUCAGAUCACUUACAUUUGGGGCACUAUCUGUUCUGUGAAGAGGAUUUUAAUGGUUUUUGGAAAUGCAAUUGCAUUCUUGAGGCAGUCCAUUUAAUGUUUUUCCACCUUUGGAGUGCCAGUGCUGCGGGGUGAAAAAAUGUGGGAUCCAUUUACUUCACACCCCAGAUUCUACGAAUUCAAUGUAAGAUCCAAGCAAAUGUUUCAACUGUAAUGAAGAAGACUGAGAUAGGUGUCAUUUUCACUCAACUCACCUGAGUUGUGAAUCCAUUUGCUUAAACAUGUAUGCACUUUUUCAAGUAUCUCUACCAAUUCCAUAUUUGGAAUGGUGCAUUUGAUUCCAUAGUUGAUGUGGUAUCGUCUAUGGUUAGAAUUUAUAUUUACAAAAAUGACUUGUAAGGGAAGGAUUGAAGAUGCCCGUGAACUUAUAUUUCGAUUUAGAUUAUUGUAUCUUUUUCAUGUAUAAAAUUGGAUCCUAUCAUUCACAUAUCAUUGACAUGAGCAAUAUGGAUUACUAAAUCAUUAUUCUUUAUUAUUGUGCUGAAUUUGAUUUUUUAUUGAAUAAUUUGAUAUAUUUCUUGAAUCAAUUUGGAGCUUCUACAACUUGUCAGAGAUCAGUUUCUCCAACAUUCCUUUCCGCGCCAAAAGAUAACCAAGCGGUUGAAUAAGAAUUGAUAUAUACAACAUAAAUACAAGAGUUGUUUUGUCUUUUUACAAUAGGAAUAAUAUAUAAUGCUCGUUAACACUUGCUGAUGAGAAAGUAAAUUCCUCAGAAAUUAAAUGUUUCAGCCAACCAAGGAAGCAGCUUUUCAUGGACCAACUCAGGCCUNNNNNNNNNNNNNNNNNNNNNNNNNNNNNNNNNNNNNNNNNNNNNNNNNNNNNNNNNNNNNNNNNNNNNNNNNNNNNNNNNNNNNNNNNNNNNNNNNNNNNNNNNNNNNNNNNNNNNNNNNNNNNNNNNNNNNNNNNNNNNNNNNNNNNNNNNNNNNNNNNNNNNNNNNNNNNNNNNNNNNNNNNGUGGGCGUGGGUACUAAUCGAAACAAAUGCGUCAAGUGCCCCUUCCUCAUUGGCGGGCUCUCGUAUGAUCUGCAGUUUUGAGGUCGAUUCAUGAAUUAUGAGACGCCAUUUUUGUAACAGGUUAAAAUGGCAUAUAAGUGGAGAAUAUUAAUACCUCAACCAGUGUUUCAUCCACAGAUUCCUUAUUUGCAUAAAUGGACAGUAAAAUAUUCCUCAGUGUUUCCCUGAAGCACCAAUGUAUACACAUCAUAGAUUUUUUUAAUUUUGACUCUAGUGUUUUAGGAUAAUGAACAAUGGACUGAAUUAAGAGAAGAGAAAAUACCUUUGUUUCACACGCUCAAAUAUAGCGGAAGCAAUUGGCCUUUGCUUCAACAAAAAAUCAAUGAACCAAAGCAAUGGUAACAAUAGCUUGAUUCUCCAAUCAUCAACAAUUGCCUUGUUGUUCAUGCCACCAGCACAAUUCAACAGAACAAGCCCUCGAACAAGGGUUUGACUAGAUUCUUAUGGUAGAAAAUAUAGCAGGUUUAUCGUAAACCAUAGAUACCAAAAAGGAUAAUUAGGGACAAGUGUUUCUUUGCAAGCAAGUUGAAGAAUAUCUGAUGUCCAAGGGGAAGUUAAAAUAAAUAUACCUGAGGCAGCGAUAACACAAGCUAGGCUUCCAACAGAAUUACCUAUAAGCACAGUUGGCUUCUCAACAACUUCAUCCAAGAAAUCCAAUAUUAGCUGUAUCAGUGAAUCCCACUCAAGUUAGCAAGGAAAAUAACUAAAGGUCAAGUGAUUGACGACAUAAGUACAGAGAAAGAUCCAACUUCUGGCUAGGGAACAUUGCACACCUGAGCCCAUGCCUCCAUGGUAUAUGAAUAACCAGCUGGCUUAUCUGAAGCACCAAAUCCAAGAAGGUCAAUUGCAUAAACCGUGUAGCUCUUCGCCAGGGUGCCGAUAUUCCUGAAAUUACCUCAGAGAUGACAAGAAAAAUAUCAAUUCCUCACAUUAUUUAAUAGGAUAAAGGAGUAGUGAACACACAAAUUUUCAUUCCCCUCUUCUACGGAGCGGUAAAAUGAAUACUUUUUCACUAGAUUAAGAAUUGGAAAAUGGAAGAAGCCUAUACCCAUAAAAGGGUAAUAUGAAAUGGAACCCUGAAAUUCAGAUCACUGGUUUGUCAUCAUCUAGGUGCAAGGAAUAGAACUAAGUGUUAAUGCCAAUGCACCAUGAAAUAAUGAAUAGACUUUACUUUCAUUAUUCUUUUGCUUCAUUGAUCUUAAUUAAUUAUUAGAAGUAUAACACAUAUAAAUCCAUCCCUGGAGUUCAUAAUACAUAACAGAGUCAGAGAUAUUACAUACAUAAGGUAAAGACAUGCUCCAUACAAAAAAAAAAUAUUACAGUCGAAAAUACCCAGAACAUAAUUUGAAUUGAAUUCACAAUAAAGGAGCUACAUUUUUAUGCACCCAAUAAUCAACCCGCUACACAAUUCACAACAAGAAAGAGCAAUCUUAUCUCGCUAACCUGCGCCAGUGAGGAAUGGAGGCACCAAAGCCAUGGACAAGGAGUAGAGGAGGAGAAUCGGGAUGUGAAUUUGGAGUUGAAGAAACCAAGUAAUUGAUGGAGUACUGACCCUUCCAUUUCCACAUUUUGCAACUCUCCCUUAUCUCAUUAACCUCCAGUUCCAGUGCAGCAGAAGCAGAAUCCCCUCCACUGCUACUGUUAGUAUAACUGAUGGUAACAUUUUGUCUCUUCUUCUCCUUAUUCCUCUGCUGCAACUCCAACUGCAACUGAAACUGCCAAAUCUUAUUGCUCAAUAGGGGCAAGCGCAGGCCUUUUACAUCUCCAUUUCCAUUUCCAAUCCUGAGUGUUGUUAUUGGAAUAAUGAAAGAGGGAGCCCGAGCCCUUACCAUCCACACGCUCAUUCUUUUCUUGCUUUUUCAAUUGAAUAUUUUCUGUGGCCUGGCUUGGCCUGCUCCUCCCCUGCUUCCACCUCUAUGAGACUGUGGCUAUGACAAAAACUUUUUAUGUCCUUAUUUAUUUAUUGGGCUUAUUCCACUAUUUUAUGAAAAUUUUACUGAUAUUCCUCAAAAAUCAAAAUGAUAAUACUUCGUCUAAAAAAUAAUUAUAAAACAUACAUGCUAUGUUUUAAAAUUUUCAAACAAAGAAGAACUUUGUAGAGUUAAUUAACUAGAUUUAUUUUAGUUUACUUUCUUGUGAUUUAAAUUAUUUUAUUAUAUUUAGCUACAAAGAUUAUUUUGUCAUGAGUUUAAAUUGAUUAUUUUGCCCUUAUAAGGUAAAACUAUUAAGAAUUUACUUUAAUUUCAAUAUUUUUCUAAUUUUAUUCCAAACUCAUUGUUUCUAAUACUACUUUACUAGUAUGAGUUUUAAUCUUUAAUUAAACUAAAAUAGUAUCUUUAGGGCACGAUACUCAUGUAAAUUAUUGGGAUGUCAAUUUUAUGUUAUUUACACACUAAAGUAGAGAAAAUCACAAUUAGAUUUUAUUUUAAAAUAUUAUACUAUAAGCCACAAAAUUAGAUACAUAAAUUAUUAGAUACAAUAACUCGUGUUUAUUAUGGUAAUUUAGUCGCUAUAUAUCAUAAUAAUAAAAUACUAAAAUAAAACUUGUAUUAAAGUUUAUGAUUAAAUAUGGUCAAAGAACCCAAGAAGAAAAUCAAUAGAAGGAUCUAAUUUAUUAACUAUACGAAAUUUUUAUUAAUUUGUAUUUUUUAAAAAAUAUUGUGAAUUCAUUGCAAUUAAUAUCUAGAAAUAGGGUUGAUUUAUAAAAAUAGUGGGGUGUAAAAAACCUUAUCCAAAUACUCCAUAAAAAGUGAAAAUUAUCACCUUUUUCGAUGUACUCCUCUUGAAUUUUUUAUUCCUAAGGAUAAACUUCAAUUCAUUCCCAAAUAAAAUGAUAAUCUCUAAUUUGCUUUCAAUGAAACCUCAAUUUAUUCUUUAUUUUCAUACAAAAGAUGAGGGGCAAAUAAGGAAUGUAUUGAUGGAUUUUCUUUUUUUUAAUCUUCUUAACAAUAAAUGGGGUAAAUUGAUAUUUUUAUACUUUUAGGUGAUAAAUUAAAGAUUUUCAUUCUAAAUUGGGGGCAAAUUAAAAUCUAUCUUAUUUCUAAAGGCACCAUGUGACUAUUUUGCCUAACCGAGAGAGCCAUUAUUCAAACACCAAUCUCUUUUUUUUUUUUAACAAACACACUUUCAUUUAUUCUUUAAGCUUUUUUUUUCCCAAAAAAUGAUGAAUAGAUAUUGAAAAUUUUGUUUUCAUUUUUUUAUUGAAAAAAUGAAAAACAACAAAGAUUACUGCUUCCUUGUCCAUACUUUUUCGUCCUAUAUUACCUUAAUUUUAAUCGUUUUCUCUAUUAGACACUAUUAGACACAUUUUUAAAUUCAAAAACACAAAGCAUAGUGCAUCAUUUUCAUUAUAGGCAUUAACACCUGACGUACACAUUCUCCAAAUGGGAUUAAUGGAAAAAAAUAAAUAAAAAAAGGUGACUCCUUCGGCCAAUCUUAUAGGUUCUAACGUUUUGAAGGUAAGUUUUAUCUUGUAACAUUCCCACAAAAUUUAAAAUCAACUGGGACGAAAAUUUUGAAAAUACUAUGAUUAGCACAAGCAUUUCAACAAUACAGGAUGUAAUAAAAGCUCAUUGAGUUGAAACUUGAAAGCAAAAUUAGGGCAAGGUCAUUUCUUUAAAAGAAUAAGGCAAGAUGCACCACAUGAAAUACCUGUGACCAAGCCUCAAAAGAUUCACCAAGCCCAGUAUUUUGCUUGCCCACGGCAUAAUUACACUUGGCUUCCCAAACAAAUAAUUGCUGGAGCUCGGACAAUGCAAGGAUUCAAUUUAACUUCAUAAAUAUCAGCCGGAGCAUAAUUACACUUGGCUCCCUAACAAAUAAUGCUGGAGCUCGGACAAUACGAGUAUUCAAUUUAACCGUACAUAGAUGUGCGGGGUUUUGGUGGUAAGUAAAAAGACGUGCCACUAUCAGUUGAGGAGUGCAUAAGAGGAUUACAUCUAUCAAAUACUAUCCGCCCCCCUCGGCCAAUUCUUCCAUGAAAUUUGUGAGUUCGUGCUAUAGUGCCAUUCCUCGUAGAAGAAUCUGACGGCGGAACAAUACCUGCAGCGUCCAAUUUUUCUGGCACAAGGGGUUUUGUGAACAACAAAACUGGCUCGAGAGGAUCCUGAAACCCCACAGUUACAUUUUCAAAAUGAUGCACUGCUGAUAUUCAGAAAUAAAACAAGGAUAAAACAUUUUCUAAAGUUUACUUAAAUCAUUUUUCUUUCCAACCACAGAUAGGUCAAUAAGUCAAAUACUGGAGCUGACAGAGCGCUGGCAGAAUUAACUACAAACCCACCAGAUUUAUCGUGUUAAUCGAUUGUUUUCAAUUAACACGGUAACCCGGCUCGGGUGUUACCUCUGUUUCUGUCAGUGCUCUGUUGAAUAUUUCUGUUUCAAAAUCAGCAUUCAUAUAUGUAAGUAGUAUGGCAACAGCAAAAUAUCAUGUGUAAUAAUUAGGCUACUAGUUCUGGGUCCAGGAAUAGAGAUAAUCAGAUUAGGAGCAAAAGCUGUAUGUACCAAUUUAUGUAGCCAUGCAUGUGGCACAUGUCGCCGCCUGAACUCUUGCUUCAUGCUUGCUGUAGGAACUGGAACUAGGUUGGAUUCUGUGAAAGGCUGAUUCUCAAUUGCAGUAGAUUGCGAAUGUGGAUGGCUAGGCGCAAGAUCAUCUGAGUCCAUAAAUUCAUCCUCACUUAAACCGAACUUGCAAGAGACAGAUGGAAAUCCAGGAAGUGCCACAUCUUCAAGGAGCUCAAUUUCAUGCUGAUAAUUCAAAGGAGUCGGGCACAAUGUGAGCAGAAAUCAAUAGAUUGUACAUGCACCAUGGUCCAAAUGCAGAGACCAUUUGAAGUUCGGGCCAUGUAGGAAUUAAAUUUUAAUAUGCAAAAAUAAAUAAAUGAAAUUAAAAAAAAAAACAAAAGUUCUUGCAUAAUAUUCUUGGAAACUUCAUUGAGAUAUCAUUUUGCCCUUAGAAUAAGAAGGCCAUGGGCAAUCUGCCCCCAGCACAUUCACCAUAAAGAUCCAGUCUUUUUCAUCGUGACUAAUUGUUAAAAUCUCUUCCAUCCGUUAUUGUUAGCACAAGACAGUUAUUGCACAAGUUCCUAAAACUUCCUAAGAUAGAAGGCUAUUGACAACAUUUCCAACAGCGAUGCAAGAUGAUGCAAUGUAACAUCAUAGCAUACCUUGAAUUUCAUUUGGAUCCUUUGUAGGUUAACUUCCCCCUCCAUGACCUCUCUCUUUUUUUCUUCUCUCUGCAGACAUGACAUUCUAAGGUAAUCAGAACUCCACAUUCUGAAAUCUGAAGCAAUGAAAACGCCAAAUAAUUACAGAAAUUGGUAUUACCGGAAAAAUAAAAGAUCAGUGAACAUUUAUUUUGCUAUUUCAGUUAAAAAGAACACCUUUAUCAAGGCCUCAAGUAUACUCUUUGCUUGGUCAAGGUUGCGUCUGACCUGAGAAGAGUAAAUCCAAAAGAGAAUAUUUCAAUUUUUAAUGAGAAUUAUGAAAAGAUAGUGUACAUAAAAUUUGAACCCCCCCCCCCCCCCCAACCCCCCCAAACAAAAAGAAAAAAAGGUGUUACCAGCAUGUAAAGGUAGACCUUUGGAAAAUAAGAACAUAUUUUUGUUUCUUCAGCAUCAUCACAACAAUAAUUCACCACAAAAAUGAAGGACAAUCUUGUUAUCAAAAGCACCGGAAGACCAGGAAAUAAGCAAAGUAAAUUUCAGCUAAGGAAACUGCAGACAAUAUAUAGUCAUUGUCUUCACACUAUUGUUCGGGCCCUUACAUAUUAACUUAGUGGCAAAUUUAUUUGACAUCAGAGCUAGUUUAAACCAUGAGGCCUUGUGUCCGGCUUCUCCCACGAGAUUACAUCAGUAUCUAAUUCUUCUUCCCGUCUGUAUUUGGGUGAUUGCGCAUUAUUGCAAUUGUCUCUAUUUCUAUGUUCUGUCUCUGCUUAGCCUUGAUCCAUAUGACAGGUACUUUUGCUAGUAGUCACACAUUUGAGGGCCUGUUAGAGAUUUUAAUACUAUUGUUUGGGCUCUAACCUACUAGCUUAAGGUUUUAAAUCAAGCUAUAAAUAAAUAUUCAUAAAUAAAAUUGGAGAUUAAGGACUAUUACAGCAAAAAGGACAUAAAUAAAACAACAUUAAUUUUUAACAAGUUAAAGUCUUGAAUAAAAAAGAACUUGGUGGCAAGAUUAUCCAUUAUCUCAAUUUUCUUCCAGUCUUUCAUUAGAAUGCAAUAAGACAAGCGUUUACACAGAAAAAAGUCAUAGGCUCCUCCAAGGGAAUACAAUGUAUCAAGCUUGGGAAAAUGACUUCAUACAAAUGAAUUGAGUAUAUUGUUUUAAGUUACACAAAGUCCAUAGCGAGGAAUCAGGAUUGACAUUAAAAUAAAGAUAUAGUGCUUACCUGGCGAAGCUUUUCAAAUGAUUGCACGUUAUUCUCCCUCCUUUGCAUCUGAUCAAAAGAUUGGCCAGCGUUAGCAUAUUUGCCAAUUCAGUAGCUUACUUAAGGUCUACAAAAUAUGGGAAAUAUUACUUCCCUGCAUCCCCAUAACCCCCUUCUUUUUUGCGCCCCCCACCCCCUUUUUUCUCCUUUCGAAAAUAAAAGUUUCCAAAAUUACAUACAAACACAGCUAUCUCAGCCACAUACCCUUCGUGUGUGGAGUCUGUGAGCUUUCUCCCUCGGUCUGAAGACAUUAUAUGGGUUGGUAUCAUUAACUGGUGGCGGAGGCUGUACAAGUAGUAUUAAUUAUUAAAAAAAAAAAAAAACUGUCAUUGUCCACUCCAGAAUGCAAAACAAAAACAAAUUAUAUUAGAGAGAUACAUGCACAGAAAACACACACAAACUCAAAGGUACAAAAAGCUGAUUCUACAAUCACCAGCCCGCCCAAAACAAUAUUUGCAAGUACAAUAUUCAAGUUCUUUUAUUUUCAAUGGUUUUGAGGUAACAUUGUAAUGGCUGGUUCAGACCUAUAUAGGGGUGGAUAGGCAUGCUUUGUACAGAAUGGUCCUUAUCUGUUUUUGAAAAAUUAUGUAGAUUUUGUAUCCCUCCCUUUGGCAUUUACCACUUUGGAGGACAGCUGACCUACAUUUCUGAUGUACAAUCCUUCAUCUAAAUCAUCUCUAAAACAUUCUGGCUUUUUACAGGGGGGAAAAAUUCUAAAAAAGAUACAACUUUACACACUGAUAAUGAAAUUUACUAUUUUGAUAAAUGAAAACGAUGGAAAAGAAAUUUGAUGACACCGCAUGUGUCAAACUGCCAAGCAGUGAUCAACAUAAGCACUCUCCAUACAUAACUAAUUGAUAACACUAACCUGCAAACGCCGCAAUAUAGGUUUCUGCCAUCGUUCACGCUGGCCUCAAACAUGAAAUAGCACAAGUGAAAAGCACGUACAAGUACUCACAGUACAGAAAAAACUACUUAACUUGGUUUGCACCAAUAUUUAUGAAUUGAUACAUCAAGUUCAAUGAAACAUUUAAAAUUUUAAACCAUACCUUUUCUUUCCAAUAGUGAUAAACAGACUGGAAGACUGCAUAUCCAACAGUGGUCUGAUCUUUUAAGGCCUGACAUCAAAAAGGGGAUAGGGAAUAGCAAUUGUCACAACUUCUUGAAUCCUUAAUAAAUCAAUCAACAAAGCUACAUAGUGAAAAUAAAACAAAAUGCAGAGACAACCAAAUAUUUUAAACAUGACUCUUUUUCUUUUUCUAGCACUAAAAACUAACAGUUCUAGGCUUAAACGAUAAAUUUUAAAAUGUCAUGCAAAGGAAGGCGUAUACCCACUAAAUCGUAUGAAUCACUAAACAGACAGUAAAAUCACCAGAGACAGACAUUAGUAUUGACUCUUAAGCCAUCUGCAUUCGCAGGUGAUUGAAAAAAGACUAAAUUGCAUGAGUCCAUACAAUUUCACAAACAGCAAAUAGUUAGCAAAUGAUCUGGACAAAUUAGUUUCAUAUAACUAACUAUGUCUUUGGUUAAUCCACAGACACAAAACAACCUUUAAAAUGGAAAUACACAAAAAGUAACUGAGUAGGCUGCUGUGUGACACAACAAAAGAAACAGUUGUGGAAUGUCUAUUGUUAAGUGUCAAAUAGCAGAAGCAAGAAAGGCACUAAUUUACUAAAAGUUCCACAGCCAAGGUCCUUAAUCCUUACCUGCUAGUUCUCAGAAUCUGUAGAGGUCACGGUCUGUUUCAUUACAGUGCGCAGAAAGUAUCUUAUAGUUUUUGUUGUUCUUGUUUAGUGCCUAAUACUCCUAUGAGGUUUGAAUAUUAAUAUAUAUAACUUCCUAUUUCUUAACAAAAAGGCAGGUCAAUCUAAUUGAAUCCAUCUCUUUUGACAGAGACAAGUUUCUGAUCACAGGUAACUCAAGUAACUGGAAUUUAGGAACAAACAAUUUCAUAUGAUAUAGCUAGUCAAGGAACAAUGUGAGGUUGAGCCAUAACCAGCACUGAAAUUAGAGAGCAUUCAAACAGUCAAAACAAAGUAUCACCUCAAUAGCAACACCUAGUUGCAGUAGUAUGGGAAUGGGCGAACCAAGAGUGGGUGUUAUAAGUCCUGCUCUUUCCCGAGCUUUAUGAUCCAACACCUCCAACUUAAACAUAAGAGUCUCAAAUCUGUGGUUCAUGCAUGUAAUCGAAUGAAUGAAUUGGAGAUGAAUAAGAUUUACUGUAUCAUCUUUUAACCCAAAUUAAAUUACAUAAGUUGAAAUUGCAUCCACAUAAAAAUCAUUAGAAAAAAAUUAUAUUAGAUAGAUAUGGUGAACUACUUUUCAGGGGGAAGAAGUUUUUGAUCUCUAUUGAAUUCGUCAAGCCAAUCCUCGUCUUCAUUGUCUAAGUCAUACUCAACAAAAUCCCCAAGCUCAGCCCGAGCUGCCAAUGCCAAUAAUUGAAAUUUGACAAGCAAAGUUAAGUUAAACAAACGUUAUAAUUAUCAAAAUAAUCUGGAUAGAAAAUUUUACAUCAACAACAACAGACCUCCUCUCGCACGUAAAUAGGAAGUUGGCUGAUCAAAUGUCUGAGAAUAGUCCCGUUCAUACGUGUCAACAACCACAAACUGAGGUGUGGGUAUUUCAGAAGCUGACUUCUUGCUAGGGACUUGAUGCACCUGAUGUAUAUACAGUAAGUUCACGGUGAAAUCAACAAAAUGAAACAGUUUUAAGUAUUUUGUAAAUGCUGAAACGUACCUCUUGACUGUCAUGGUCAAACGAAGAGGAAUUGAGACGGAGGAGGUGUGAGUUGCGUGUGGUGGUUGCAGAGGGAGUAGUAUUAGCGGCAGUAGAACUAGUAGGAGGAUUCGUGUCAUUGUUGUCGUCUUCAAAGUCCUUAAAUGACUUAACUAUGGGCAGUUUCUUGUGUAUGUCUAGCGGCCGUGGCCGAAUUGAUAGCCUACUCAUUUCCCUUUACUACUUGAUCUCAUUCAAAUACAAUCCUAAAACAUGCAUUAAAACCACAAAAUGAUGAUUACGACAAUGACAACAACAUUAAUAAUAGCCCAUUUAUAAUUGAAAAGAAAAGAAUAGCAGCACAAAUUAAAUUAUACAACAAAAGUUUUGUAUAUUGAGGUUAGGACAAGAUCUCUGAUAUUAAAGUUAUCUGGCGUUUCUGUUUUCUUUUUCUGUUGGUCUAUUGGCGAUGCUGAUUCUUUGAACCAGAACCAUGCUUUACAGGUUUUCAAUGGACCACAAAUGACCUAGAUAAUCUUAUAUAAAAGAAAAAUAUAAAACAAUUCCACCUCUAAACCUAAAUCUACUUUGUAAUCAUAUCAAUUCACAUCAAUAUAAGCUGGAAAAAAGAAUCAGAACAAGCAAUGAGCACAAAGAUCAAAGACUAAAGCUUCUGCCCUAGUAAUAUUAUAAUAUAGAACAAACUAACCGAAGUAUAUCGAAAAGAAGAUCAAAACAGAAGAAAGGAAAAUAAAAAGUAAAAAAACAAUAUUACUUCUGCGAUGAAGAGCCGUUUCAAAUCACACUUACAGAGCAUAAAUUAACAUGCAUUAACAUAGAGAAAUUAGCAGCUGAAAGGGGAAAAAGAAAAAUCAUCUUUAUCGCAAUAUAAAUCUCGGGUCAAGGGCCAUCGACCCGGCAGUGCUUCGUUGGUCCAUUUAUUUUGGAUCCUUGUGCGAUAUUUCACUUCAUUCGCAGAAAACCCGUUUUCGAAAAUGCGAAGAAGAAGCUUUGAAAGAAAGCUUAAGAUACUCACCUUACAGCGUAAUCCAAGGGCUUUGAGCCAGUAUCAGUGAAGCGAAAAAAGACACCAAAUGUUAGCUCUAUUUACUGGAUUGUAGGGUUUCUCCCGCGAGAAUAGCUCAGUGAAUCGCCCAUUCGUUUACCCUGGCAUAUCUUUUUUGAGAAAAAAAAAAAAAUUGUUUACCCUGGUAUUAAAAUGUUUUAACGGUCAGCACUCAGCAGGACGGCUUUAGAGUUUUUGGGUGCUGACCGCUUUAGAGUUUUGGGGACCUUAUUGGGUUUUAUGAGAUGUUUUUUAUUCUUCAACUUUAAUACCUAAAAGAAAACUAAAAUUUGUCAAAGUCUGUUUAAUAUUUAGUUAUUAAAUUUUAACAUAAUUAAGAAAAUCUUUAAAAAAUUUUAAAAACAAAACCUAAAAAACUGUGAAGAAGAUAUUAUUUUACGUCUAUUAUAAUUAUUAUAAAAAUAAAUAAAUAAGAAAAAUAUUAUUUUAAAAUAUAAUAUCUAGAGUUGUAACACAUAAAAAGUUAAAGAAGAUGAAUUGAUGAUCAGAUAAUGGAUAUGUACAUUAUAUUUCAAGAGACUAAUUUUUUUUAAAAUGACCUAAUUAAUGUAAUAAUUUUCUUUGUAUUGAUUUUUGAGAUUACAAGAUUUUUAAUUGAAAAUAAAAAGGAAUACUAAAAGUCUAAGAUUCUAAUGUUAAAUAAUUAAGAUUUCUUAGAAAAUUGAAAAUUUAAAGAAUUUAUAUUUUUUCCUUGGAAAAACUAAUAGUGAAUGAAUAAAAGAUUAGACAGUAUUAUUAAUUAUAUUUAUGUAACACUAAGAUUAACAAAUAUGGAUAGGCUUUUUCACAAUACAUAAUUUAAAAAAAAAAUUCAUUAAUUAGAGAAUUAUUAAGGCCUUUUUAAAAUAUAGAGUCUUAGGCGAUUGUCUUAUUUGCUUAUACUUAAAGCCACCAAACUUGGUUGAUGGACUUGUUUGAUACAUUUGAAAAAAAAAAAGAAAAGAAACUUCUAGUUUAUUUGAUAAAGUAUCAAAUAUCGAUGACAAAAUUAUAUGUUCACGGUGAUCUAAGUAGUAGUUCAAAAUAGCAAAAUCCAAAUCCGGAUUCGGAUGUAAGUGCGUCCAAUCUGGAUCCAAAUUUAUAUUUUAAAAUCCACAUCCGCAUCUAGAUCCACAAAAAAACAUGCAAAUCUAGAUGUGGAUAAUAGUCUUGUAGAUUAUGGAUGGAUUUUCAAGAUAUCUAGAUCUGCAUUAUGUAUUCAAAUAUAAUUUAAAAUUCAACAAAUUUAUCUACGAAAAUCAAAUAAAAUCGAAUCAUAUUUCAACAAUCAAUAAUUCAACUCCUAUAAUAACAUACAAUACCACCAUAAUUCCACAAAUAAAAAUACCGCAAGAUAAAUCAAAUAUAAAAAAUGAUAUAAAUCCAAGCUUAGCACCACCACAAAUAAAUAAAAACAACACAAAUCCACAUAGAUUACAUUUUAAACCAUCGCAAAUAAAAACAUCACCAUAAAUCCACAUAGGUCUGAUUUUCUUCAUUUAACUUAUAAAAUUUUUUAAUUUAAUUUUAAUUUAAUAUUUAAUUAAAAAAUAAUACAAAUCUUGACAUCUGAUUUUUCGAAUGCAAGUGAUCUGAAUCCGCAUGGAUUUUGAAUUUUAACAUGUAGAUCCGCAUUUUUUAUUGUACCGAUCCAAAUUUUUCCAAAUUUGAAUUUUGCAAAUCUUUGCAGAUCUAGACUGAACCCAAAUCCUUUUGCCAUCUGCAAUAGUGAAGGCAUAAAGAUUUGUGGCAAAGACAGCCAAUCGGCACAUCAAUCAGUUUCCUCAUCAACCAUUUCACUGUCUGUCUUAUUGUCCUGUCCUUUAAUGUUGAUGCCGUUUUUGCUCUUAUUCUGUUCUUCAAAUUUUCUUCUUUCACUUCCAUAACUAAAGGGAGAAAAUUUUUAGGAAAAAAAAAACAAGACCGAGAGCCAGACAUGGAGCUCACGGCAGCCGUGCCGUCCGUGGCUAACCUUGGAUCUCGUGCUAGUAUUGUUCACAACCACGUGUGUACCUCAGACUCGCAGCUCUGAGUGGAUCAGUGCAACAUAAUACUAACGUAAUUGGCUGUCAAGAUUUGUAAACACCGAGACAGUUAUGAGGUAUCUCUUCAUACUUCAUGCAGUGACCUUGUAGUAAUCUCAAAAAGUGAUAUAAGAAACCAAAUUCGGCCAGCACAUAAGGACAGCUGAGUGGAUCAGUACAACAUAAUACUUCUAACAGAUGCAAAAUUUAUCACAUUAACAUUAUUAGAUUGAUGUGAAAUAGAAUAAUAUAAAAUAAACAAAGCAGACUAAUUCCACAUUAAUCAAUCCCAGUGAUCUAGAGUUGUCAGUUGUGUGCCAUCUUCACGUCGACCAAUGUAGUAGAACCAAGCCAAGCAAAUUAGGAUGUCAGUGAGAAUAAGACCAACCACAUCAAAAACAAACUUUGGAGCAAAUAAGCCCCAUACCUGCAAGAAAAGGAUGAUGAAUGGUUGUCAAAAAGUCACCAAAAUUAUGAAGUUCGAAAAUCUACGUGACCAUGAAAGAAAUUCAUUACCAUUAGAUGCCGUCUUUGUAUGAUGACACAAAUGAUGGUGGCUAUGACUGAGGCGGCAGUAAUAAGUCCAUACAUCAAAUACAUCUAAACCAUCAUUUGUAAAAAGAAUGGAAAAAAAGAAAAAAAAAACUCAAUAAGCCUUGCUGCCAAUUAGACAAGUCAAGCACAGGAUAAUCCAACAUAGAUGGCCAUAAUACCAAAGAAGAGCAAAAAAUGAUACAUUUAUGACACAACAUUCGGCUGAUAACCUUACUUGAGACAACUGCAAGUGAAGGAGUCUUCUAUCCUGGUCAGUACGACCCAGCAAUUUUUGGCGUGCAACUAGAAAUGGAAGUCCAAAGACUGGAAUGAUGUGAGAAAACCCAAAGGUAUCAAUUGUAAGAAGGAUUGCUUGUCUAACGAGGACGAACUCAUCAUACCUGAAAGUACGUGCCCUCCCAAAAUUAUUAUCUACAGAACCAUGGAAAUGAGCCCCAAAAUGGGAACAGCAAUAAUGAUGGUGAAAUCAUCAGAAAGAUAAAAUUUAACACAUCAUUCACAUUUGCUACUUUUCCAUUGAGAUUUAAUAUUGGGCCAGCUAGUUCACCUAUUUAUGAUGCAAAAGAUGCAAAUAUCCAAGACUCACCCAAUAAACGCAGCACCAUACCGGAGUCCAUCGAAAGCACACCUGAAGAGAAAGUUGUUACAGGUUAUGGAUCAUACAAACACAUAGAUGACUUGAGCUUUCCUGAACCAAUUACGAUAUUAUAAGAUCUCCUUGUACUAGAAUAAUAAAGCUAUUGAGAAAUAGGAUAAACCGGUUAUAUAAGUUUGUUGGAGCUAAGUUCUGAAACCAAACAAAGAGUAGAAGAGAUAAAUCCAUUAGUAUUAAUAGACCUAAAAUAACAAGCAUUUACUAGUGUCCGGUGACGAAGAAGAGACAAUUACAAUAUAAUAAGAUCUCCUUGUACUAGAAUAAUAAAGCUAUUGAGAAAUAGGAUAAACCGGUUAUCUAAGUUGGUUGGAGCUAAGUUCUGAAACCAAACAGAGUAGAAGAGAUAAAUCCAUUAUUAAUAGACUUAAAAUAACAAGCAUUUACCAGUGUCCGGUGACGAAGAAGAGACAAGUGGCUAACAGACUCCAUUGUGUCACAGAAAGAGGGUCAAAAGUUAGGAUUCCAGCCACUUUAUCAGUAGAACCCCGUUCUAUGUUUCCCAAUCUCAUAAUACAAUAACCUGUCGAGGGAAACAUGAUCAAAUCCUUUUGGAAAAAGUGCAAAACAGUGAUGCUCGUGAAAUCUAUAAAGGAAAAUGAACAUUCUUUAACCUGAUUAAGAAAACAUAAAAUCGAAGGCAAGAGCUAAAGGAGCACAGAAGAGUGGAAGACAAUGUCUCGUAAAGAUGUGAUAAAUAUCAAGUUAAAAGCACCAAUACAUAGAGAUAGCAAAAGUCACCUCCAGUUAUGGUUACUAAAGCAACCAAGGGCCCUUGCUUUCCGGAUAGAACAAUGAUUGUAGAACUGCAGGAAGAUAACAUGGCCAGUGUCUUAAUAAGCAAAUGCAUUUUGCUUUCUAGAUCUCUGUCCUUAUGAAAAAGAGGACUAAAUGCCAGCAAUAAAAGUUGUCCAAGUCCAAUAGCAUAUAUUAUCCUUGGGAUACAAUUUCUUCCAAUCCCUUGAAGCAUCAGCAUUGAACUCAAUACAUCACUUUCUGAUGCCCAAUGUACAGCUAUGAGGAUAUAACAUAAUAUAGUACCCAAUACAACAUACUUCCAGAUGCUGCGACAAGAACUCCUAGCCAUUAUAAUAUACAGCAAGUAAGCCAAAAAAAUGAGAGCUAAAAUUGGUAUAAUUUCAGCCAUGUAUGUCCACACAGGAUGGCCUGGGUCAAUUUCAACCAGCCAUGAAGAAUGGGUACUCAUAAAUAGAGAAGUCGCAGCCUGCUUUGACAACCCAACUUCAAUGGUAAAUCGUAGAAUGGUAAUCAACAAAAGAAAGAUGAUAGCCUGCAAAUAUAUAACUCAACAUCACAAUAACUUUCAAUGGAUUAUCUCAUUAAACCCCAAAAUCAAUACAUAUAUCAAGAAAUUAAAACUAAGUUUGUUUGUAACUUAUUAAAAGCAAGUACAAAGCUUACUGAUACCUACUUCCAUUAGCAUUUUCUCUCUCUUGACUGAAUUACGUAAUUUGAACAUGGCAGUUGUGGCUAACAGAAAACUUGCCACUUUCCCUUCUUCCACUGAACUCAAAGUUUAAAAUAAUACAUAUUAAAGGAAAAAGAAUCAGUCGUCAGAAUAGAAGGUGCAAUCAUGGAACCAGAAGUCAGACAACUUACAAAUAUAACUAUUUGACAGGAAGCUGCAUGCACGGAUCACCACCAUAAACAAAGCAAAAACUAACUUCACAAAUAUCUCAGAAUCUCCAAACAAAAGAGAAAAGCCGUUUACACUUUUAGUCAUCAUAGCAAGGAAAUAGAUUGGUAAUGAGAUCAAAAUAAUCGCAAAACCAAUUCCCAUCAUCUUCAAGUCAAACUCAGUCCAUUUUGAUCGUGCCAGCUCAGCAACAUUCAGUAGGAAUUUAAAAUAAGCAUCAAUUUUCCUUUUAAGAGGUAAGGAUGAAUAACAGCUCUCAUCUUUAAAUGACAACAAAUUCUCAGAGCUACAAGACCAAUUCUCCUCUGCUUGAGCAUACAUAUCUGAUAUGUGUAACAAGUCUUCAGAGGAAAAACCAAUGACAGAUGAAGCUGAAUAGACAUCAAUGUAUCUUUUCACCUACAUUAGCAAUGCAUAACUGGUGAGAAAGAAGAAAAGAACCAAAAAAUAAAUCAAAUCAAAAGCUGCUGUCUGCUAAUAAUACAAAACCUCAAGGACGCCUAAAAUCACCUGCCAAGAAUUGAUGCAGAGUACAUUGCAAUAGUUCUGCAUCCAUUCUUCCUCUUUUUGAUUUGGGCAAUUUCCCUCGAUGUUGUUCUCCAGAUUCCAUGUACCAGCACCCAAAGCAUAUAGCUCAGGGCUGACACGCCCAAUACUGAAAAGAAGAUAACCUUAAAAGAAUAUCAUUUCUGAUAUAAAAAAUAAAAAAUAAAAUUAAGAACGAACAUGAAAGCAAAUUAAUGACACAUCGGGAUAGCAACAAGCUAAAUAACUACUAUGUUUAUGUUUUCUCUCUUACCAGAGGAAAAAUCAACACAUAUCUUAAGAAAAUGGAAGUUAAAAUAAAAAAUCUACGUUUUAUUAUUAUAUUUUGAUACCCAGGAAUCCCUCAACAUUUGUAUGUUCACUGAGUUUAAGUUGGGCAUUACUGCUAGAAAUACCUACAUAAAGGGUAGGUGCUAUUGUUCAUAAGCUCACUCAAGAUAACGAAAUUAUAUUGAACUUCAUGAUGAAAAACAGAUCAAGUGCACUCUGUGGGCAUGUUGUUGACAGAAAUCUUAGGGCUACAAGCAACAGUUUUGUACCAACAUCACUAGCCUGGCCAAAACAAAUUAUGGCGGACUUUAAAGGAAAAUUAAGUCAAGAUGUCAGGUCGUUAUAAAUUUUUGUAGUAGUUAAUAAAAAAUAAUGACUACAAUAACAGUAAUGGGAUGCUUACACGGCACCUUCCAAAAGGAAAGGGGACGCCAAGCAAGGCUGACACUGUUGCUGCAAAAUCAAGCUGUAGCAGAUUUUACUCAAUACAUCGUUUUAAGAAGGGAAAAAAAAAAAAACAAUUCCAAUUAGGUGACGAGAGAAACCCAAAUGAGCCACCCCAGGAAAUAUAAAAUAAAAUAAAACAACUAUUCUAACCUGUUGGAAGGAGCUGAUGCAUGUCUUUUUCUGAUCCUGAAAUUGGAUGAUGAAAAAUGAAAUUGAUGUAAACAAUUAGCAUCCUAAAGGGGUCUCUAAGACAAAAAUGAUGCUAGCAAAUAUGUAGUCAUCAGAAAGCAGAGAGAAUACCAAAUCUAUUUCACAAGAUGAAGAAUCGAAUUCAGAUGGCAUGGUGGAUGGAGGUUUUUUAAAACUCAUGGCAAAAACAGAUGUUUCAACCUGCAACAUGCAAGUCAAGUUAGCAUGACUGAGGAAUUAGAUAAUUAACUCAAUUUCCCAUUCUACAAACAAGAUUGACAUUACACCUCUUCGGCACUUCCUCCACCAUGAUCACCAUUAAUAGUUUGCCCAUGGUCACCCAUCACAAGAAGGAAAGUAUUCUCGUGCAAACCACCCGGUCCAGACUGGUUAUCCAGCACUUCAAUUACUUUCUGAACAAAAAUAAAAGUUGGUCCAAAAACAUAAACAGAAAAUGUAACAAGAGAUAUAAACUCAAAAUAAAUUCCUAUGCAACAAGAAAGGAAACAGAAAAGGUGAACGGAUAUGUCAUUUUAUGUGCCUAAAGAAAAUGUUUUCAAUAAAUCCCUUAUCAUGGAGAAACCAACAGAAAAUUAUUCAUUAAUAAUGAAAAAGACCAACCACUUCUUUAGGCAACAGGUGUUGCACCUCAAGAACCAUUGAUCAAUUUACCAACAAACAUAGACGAAAAUUUCCUGGAAGGAAAAUGCAAGUUCAAGACUAUUUUAAGUGUAACCAAAAAGAAAAUGUAUGUCGCCAACAAACUCACAUCUAAAAUUUCAUUGUACUGCUCCAACUUUUCUAUCAUUGGAACAGAAUCUACACCAAGAAUAUGUCCAGCAUGAUCCUGAACCAAGUAGAACAUAAAAAUUAGUUUAUCUAAAAGAGCCUGCAGAAUUACACAACGGUAAAUUGUGUGAAUGUAAAACCUUGGUAACUUGAUGCAUGUUGUCAAAAAUAUAGAAGAGGAAUAAACUCAUAAUUUGUUGAGAGAAAUAGACAAUUAGGAGAAUGAGAAAAAGGGCAGAAAAAAAAAAACAGUAUUUGACCAUAUUUGCUUCAAAUAAGAACAACCUAGAUCUAUACUAUUCUUUUGGAUACCAACUCCCCAAUUCCUUUUCAAUGCCUUUGAUAACGAUAAAUUCCUUAACCCAAUUCUUCAAUCCAAAAUUCUAUACAAUAAAAAAUUACUCUCAAUACAAUGGAGAAAAGGUUGCAAAAAAACUAAAUAAGAGCUAUUUAUUCAGGUCCUUGAAUCUUCAUCUGUAGAAAUGCUUCCCUGGAAUUUUACGGUGUAUAAUUUUUAUGGGCAUAGCUUGUGUCAAUAAGCUUCAAAAUGUUCCAGGUUUAUACCUAAAAGUGACCAAAUAUGUUUUACAGAGAAAGCGUGUUUACCACACCAAGAAAAUGAGCUAUAAGAACAUCCCAAUCUUCUUCGUACAAAGAUGGAAGUAGAUGCUCAAUGCAUCCGUUGUCUACAUGAAAUAGAAAUACCAUCAAAAUCUCCAUAAUGGAAAGAGAAGAUUAAAGUCGAAUGCACAUAAGAACAUUAAAUAGCCUACCGUAUGAAGAUCUUUAACAUUGAAAGACGGGUAGGGAUAAGAUUUUUUGAAAUGAUGAGGAAAUAACUGCACCCAUGUGUCAUCUCCCAUCAUCACUACUCGCUUUCCAUUUGAAGCCAACUGAAGGUGAGUCAUAGAUUAGAAUAAUUUAUACAAAAUAAGAAGUGCUCCAGGUUGCAUAAACAACAUGUAAUCAAAUAUUUUCAUAAGGAAUACCAAUAUACCAAAAAUAAAAAUAAGUAAAUACGACUUCCACGAAGAGAGAUCAGGAAACAGACCUGGUGUAUCAAGUUAUCUUCAAGAAUAGCUGGAGCACCAAAACUAUUUCCAACAUCAAUAAAAGUUGGCAGACCACCAGUUGUCAAACCCUAUAAAAAAAGGGGGGUAAAAAAAGAGAGACGAAGACAUAACUAAAGUCAAAGAAACUGUAUAUAUGAAACAUGUACAUCAUGCCUUGGGAACUGGAUUUUAAAGAACCUAAUAACUUAGCAGAGAAAGAGCAGAAAUGACCUUCAAUCUUUGCAAACUAGUAGUAGGUGGAUCAGCAAUUGCUUUGAAGAUAUGGGCAGAUGUUUUAGUAGAUGCCAGCUUCUGAAGCACUCGCAAUUUAUCCAUCCAAGGUUUUGAUUCUACAUAAUUUACUUGGGGUUUUAAGCUUGAGCAACAAAUAAAUCAAUUAAAACACUGAGUUGGGAAUAUGUAAAGGGGAAAAUCUGGGUUAUAAAAUUCCACAUAUUGAGAGACAGGGUUGUUUUUAAUGAGAACGGAAAAGUAGCGACAAAGGAGAGUAAAAGGAAUACUGACCUUUGAAGAAGGUACUGGGAGCAACGAAAUCAAAUCUGAAUAGCAAAGCAUGAAACAGGAACACAUAUCAGAUUGAACCAAUUUCAUAAGUAUUAGUUUUUAUUAGAGGUGUUCCGGAUCGGAAUGAGUACCUGAGGGCAUCAAGAACAAUAAUGACAAGACGAUCAACAGCAGGCCUUGUCCAACAGUGUGAAUUAGAUUGGUUUUGAUAGGGAUUUGAUUGACCAGUGAAGCAAGGGGAUUCAGAAACAUCAGAGCAAUUGCUGUAAUACGGGAGCUCAGUUCGAGUUAACAGAAACCCUCGUGUGAAUAUGAGUAUGCCUACUAUGUGUAACAUGGUCAGCAUCACCAUUAUCCUCCAUUUCCCUCUCCUCCACCAAUCCCCCACCUCCAUCAUUUAACUUUUUCUUAUCUUCUGUUAUACUCUACCAAGCGCGAAAUAAUCAUCUCAAAAAAUUCAGUGAGUGAACAUAGAAUGGGAGCUUCAGGGACAGAGAAAUCUGUCAAUUGAGCAAGGCAACUUAAGUUAAAUGUCACUGUCAAGCAAUUUGUAGUAUAUAUGCCUAGAAAGCUGGAUAUUGUCAAGAGUAUCCUGCAAUCUACAAACUUAACCAUUAAAUUCUCUUGAAGAAACAACAAAAGUUGACAAGUUCCUUGCUUUCUUUAUUUAUUUUGCCGCCAUGCCGAGACUGAGACUAAACCCAGAAACAUAAACAACAAAUUAAAUAAAAAUCAGACAAACAAUUAAACGGAAAUAAAGGCAAACUCAAAUUAAAUUCAAAAACACAGGAUAAACUGUCUCUAUCUUUCUCAAAUCCUCUAACUUUUGAUUCUCUCUGAUUCACUCUCCAUGUGAUCACAUCAAAAUCAAAAGCUAUAUUAAAUUCAAGAUCAAAACAGUAAAACAGCUGGAAGCAGUACGUUGUACAAAAAUCCAAACACCUCAAUUCUGAAUCAUUUAGCAAUCCUGGGAGAAUAGACCAAACACAAUAGUAUAAGACUACAGUAGACUAAGCAUUUAGAGUGUUUUAUUAUAUUGCCAUUUUUUUAAGGGAAGCCGAAAUAUAAAAAUAGCAUUUUAACAAAAUGAAUACAUUAGUUUAGUGUUGCUAAACUAAAAUAAACAGUCUACUGUCCUGGAUAAAUACAGAUUCAAGCACAAAUCAUAAAUCACAUUGACACGAAGCCUGAGAGGUUGUAAUAGCAUACAUUAUGGACAAACACAAUGCCAAGAAACCAACAAUUUUAUAUUGAGAAACAAGACGCUGUGUUUGCAUGAAAUAAAUCGGCGCGGCUACCUUGAUCAAAAUUCGGCAACUGAAGAAAUUAUUAAUUAAGACUACGAAACUUGAAAAAUGAGAAAUGAAAAUACCAUGAGAUGAUGAGAUAAACCGCCGGCGGCGUGGCUGGCAGUCCUUGCGGCAGUCGUCGCUAGUCAGAGAGUCCGGGAUGGGUGGCUGUUUGAAGUCUGAAGUGGGAUCACCGUUUCGGUCUUCGACAAAGAGAUGAGAGAGGCUGACAAGCGGCACGGCAGCCAGCUGUCGUCCGCCUCCGGCCGUGGCGGGUGGCGGGUGGAGUGUUAUCGGCGGCGGAUGGGGUUAUGUCUGAGAGAGUGAGAGACGAGAGUGAUGGUUUGUUUGUCUAAACUAUUUAGAACUUCAGGGCUUCUGCGUUUUGAAUCAAAACUCUUGAUUGAAUUUUUGUUUUUCCCUUAAAAUGAAAUUAUUAGUCGCCCAGAGAUUAGAUUAUCAGUUAAUCAUCGAUUACAAAAACAAAAAAAAAUUAAAAACUUUUAUUUUGCAUUCGUCCACUUUUGUGUGUCAUUUCUAUUAUAUAUUUAUUUUUUAUUUAAUAUCUAUGAAGAGGUCAUUGGGCCCUCGGCCAGGUAGUUGGAGUUGUGAGGACAGCGGUUUAAACUUCCACAAAAGUACAGUGAGGGUUAAAUAUUUAUAAGUUAUUUUUAUUUGUAAAAUAUGAGUGAAGAAAAAAUAUUCUUCGUAUGUGAUGGUUAUUUAUUUGUUGGGCAUGUACUUUAUAGAAUUUAAUAUAAUAAUAUAAGUUUUAGUUAUAUAUAUCUGAUUGUGUGUAAUAUCUAUUAUAUAGCCGUUGUAAAUAUUUGUGCAAUAUAGUAAUUUGGUGCGUAACCAAUAUUCAAAAAAAAAAAAUCUACGAAGAGUAGUAAUUUUUCAUCUGAUAAAUAUAAAUUGAAUUAAUUUUUCCUUCCUGAUUAAAUAUGAUCCUUUUUUUUUCUUUCUUUAAUUUUUGUGCUUUAAAUUACAGGUACGAGUGCUUAAAAACAAAGUGCACAAUUAUUUCACUCACAACAUAUAUUGAGUAUUUUUAUUUUCUAUGAAUAAAUGUAUCUUUUAGUGAACAUAAAAUAAAAGCCAUAGUAAAACUCAUGCCAUGCUCAAAGAUAAUAUCUUAUUGUUAAUAAUAAGAAGAGGCAAAUUUAAGUUAUUUUUAAAUAAUGAAAUUAUACUCACUGAAGUAAAAAUGAAAAUAAAGGUUUCGAAUGUACAGGAUGCGUUUGGCGCGCGCGGGUCAAUCAAGAUGUGUUCUGCGCAAAUGGUUCGGACAAAGGCGGCCGAAUUUGACCACUCCUGAAGCCAAGAAAAGACCCGCCCUCGUCGUGGGUCUAAGCGAGUCUGUAAUUUUCUUUUUUGAAAACAAAUUUUAAUUUAUUUAUUUAACGUAGUUUAAUUAUUUGAAAUUAUUUUAUUUAAUAUUUAAUAUAUAAUUACCUCCCAACGACCAGCAUCACCGCCUGGCGCCUGCCAUUGUAUUUUGCAGCCAUCUGCCAAUCUUAGAAAUCAAUUGCUUAGUAUCAUUGCUUAGAGAUUGAGAAAAAAUAAAAUAAAAAAUCAGACACUAGAUAUGACUUAAACAAAAUACUGUAUUUAUAAGCUUCGAUGGUUGUUUCGUUUUAAAAUAAGAGUAAUGAUAUUUAGCCACAUCAGCAUAUAAGAAAGCUAAGCUAGAAACGUCAGGUUUCUUGUGCCAUUUUGAAUUUUUAGAUUUGAAAAUUAAAAAUGGUCUUUAUCAUUAAAAAAUGGUCUUGGCCAUUUCCAUCGCCGACCAGCCUUACAACUCUCCUCUACAGUAUACUUGAUGAUUUUGGACUUUUUUUUCAUCUGCUCAGAUAAUUAAAUUUAGUAUGUUGAGGAAAGUUUUGAUUUUUACUGGGUCGGGAUAGAGGUAAGUGGAUUUGAUAUUGUUGGUGUUCAGUCUUUUGCAAUUUUUUUUUUUUACUACUGGUGUUUUGAUUUUUUUGGUAUGUAUAUUUAAAAAUGAGAAAUUAUCACCGGUAUACACUAAAAUAUCACCGGUAUCCCCUAAAAUGUCACCGGUAUCAAACGUACUACAACACUUUUCACUUGUAUCACUCGUAUACCCUAAAUUGACAAAAGAAUUCUGGCGUCCACCUUUCCGUUUACUACCGUUAAGACAUGCUGACGUCAUAGGGGUAAUAUAGUCUUUUAAUAAAGAAGAGGCUGCAAAGAAAGACGGCGUCGUUUUAAUACCCCGAAAACGCUGCCGUUUCACUGUAACAAAAAAGACAAAACAACGUCGUUUUUUAUUUUGGUUAAAAAAAAAAGUUACAGAGAAACGACAUCGUUUCACUGUAACUCAAAGACAAACAAACAGAAGUGGUCCAUCCUCCCCAUUCUUUAUUCACAUCGAGAGAAGUUUGCAUGCAUAUGAACAACCGGUGCAAGACUGUAUGCAUGGCAGCCAUUUUUUUACUAAAAACCCUCAAUAUUUGACCAUCAAACAAGUUUAAGUGAUAGCUGUGGAGAUUGAUUUGGAACUUGACAGAAGAGUAAGUUGAUUUCAAUCGAAUCCAGCGAGCGAAGCAUCGAGUUGUUAGGUAUGUUCAUAUAUAUAUAUAUAUAUUCAUGCAAUAUAUCUCUUAUCUCUUAUUUAGUCAAUAGAUGUAAGAAAUAAUUUGAAAUUAUCCGAAUUUAUGAGAAUUUAAUUUUUGUUACAAACCCUAGAAUGUUAACAACGAAGAAAUAAGCAGUGGUUAUUUUUUGGGUUAUUUAUAUUCUUAUGUGAUCAAUGUUUUAGGUUUAUAGAAGUGCAUUUAGAUGGUAAAUGAUAUCGGUUCUGGUUUUUGCAUAUUGAGGGUCUAUUGGCUAUUACAUGUAUUUCGUUAAAACUAAUUGGGGCUUUUUUCAACUUGCAUAUUAAGGGUUUGGUUUUUUGCAUAUUGUAUGAUAUUUAUUUCCUACGCUGUGUGUGUAAAGCUUAAAGAAUCCAUAUUUAAGCACAUUCCGUUAUUUUUGGGAUACAGUAGACAUGUUAACAAUGGAGCUAGUGAUUUCUUUCAAAGGAGAAAAACAUCAUGUCGGUAUGAUUAACCCUAAAGAUUGGACUGUUGAUAGAAUAAAGGCUGAGGCAUUGAAGAUAACUACUGUACAUGAGUUAGAUACAGUUGGUAAAAUCUUAUUGACUGUUAUGAACCCAAAUAGUAAAGUCAAGGUUGUUUUAGAUUCUGAAUAUGGGAUGAAAUGUUUAUUUGGGUUUCAUAAUUUGAUGGGUGUUACUACAUUUGAAGUUGAAGUCGUGCCUGUUUUAUGCCCUCAAAAUCCAGAUGCUCCGUUAAUACAAUCAUUGCUGUUUAACUUAGAAGUACACAUGUCUUCAGAAGUUAUAGAUAUCUUGAAUGAUGGAGGUACACCAGAAGUUAGGCAUACAGAUCAAGAAGGGGGGAGUAACAGAGAUGAAUUCAAUGAUAUGCAAAGGGGUUAUGGACACGAAGCUACUGCAACUAUUCAUGAGGGUGAAAUUGAUGAAGACAAACUAUUAUCAGAUUGGUCAGACAAAAGAAGUGACAGUGAUGGUGAGGAACUUGUUGUGCAACCAAUACCUACUAUGCCUGUUGAUGAUAUUGUGUCUAUUGAUGACAUUGACGAUAGUGAGGGCAGUGAGGACAGCCAAUGCGAGAGUGAUAGCGAUGGAGGUGGAGAUGGUUUACUAGAUGAUGACACUAGGGCAGUCAAAAUGGUUGUGAACUCUUCUGAUGAUGACAUCAAUCUUGGCAGUGUGAAGUUUACAAAAUAUUUAGAGAAAUAUGAGUAUAAAUUAGAUGCUGAUGGGAUACAUAGGCUGAGAUUAGGUGAUGUGUUUAGGGAUGUGAAUCACUUUAGACAAGUGUUACAUGAGGUUAUGAUUAGGAAAGGGUUUAAAAUUAGCAUAAAAUAUAGUGAACCGCAGAGAUAUUUUGCAACUUGUAAGGAGGCUGGCUGUCCAUGGUUUGUUAAAGGUGCAAGACUGAAUGAUAGGAAUGGUUUUUGGCUGCGGGGAUAUCAGAAGAAGCAUGAGUGCAAGCUUACCAAGAAAUCUGUGAAAGUUACUUCAACAUGGGUUGCUGAAAUGAUAAAGGGACAUGUUGCUAUUGAUGCAAAUGUCAAGAUAUCUCUUCUCAAGAAUUAUAUGCAAGAAAAAUUCAGGUUGAAGAUUGAGAAGCUCACAAUGUAUAGGGCUAGAGAAAAAGCAAGGAUUCUAGUAUAUGGUGACCAUUCGAAGGGCUAUGAGAAGCUGUUUCAGUACGCUGCAACUAUUCAUCGGGCUGAGCCAGGAGCCAUUUGUAAAGUGUUAUGUGAUGCAGUCACUGUUCCUGAGAAAUGUCUAUUUCAAAGAUUUUUUGUUGCAUUUCCAGCACAAAAAAAUGCUUUUCUGAAUGGCUGCAGACCGUUCAUUGGAAUCGAUGGGUGUCACCUAAAGGGAAAAUAUGGUAGAGUUUUGUUGGCUGCUGUUGCUUCAGAUGCUAAUAAAUGGAUAGUUCCAUUGGCAUUGUGUGUAUGCGAGAUUGAGAACACAGAAACAUGGACUUGGUUUCUUGAUCAUUUGCAUAGCUAUUUAGAUGAUGGAAGGCGGGUAACAUUUAUUAGUGAUAGGCAAAAGGGGCUGUUGAAUGCAAUUCCGAACACAUGGCCUACUCAUAGGGCAUAUUGUAGGCAUGUGUAUGCUAAUUUUGCGAAAGAACAUGCUGGUGCCAACUUGCAGACUCUUUUUUGGAAGGCAGCAAAAAGUAGUAAUAAGCAUGAUUAUGAGGAGGCAAUGGCACAUAUCAAAGAGGAAAAGUUAGCAGCAUAUAAUUGGUUAGAAAGAGAGCUGCAGGGAUACACUUGGUCUAUGCAUACAUACGACAGAAACUGCAAGGUAGAAAAGACUGAUAACAAUGCCUCUGAGUGCUUCAACAGUUGGAUUCUGCCUUAUAGAGACAGGCCUGCUUUGUCAAUGCUUGAGGAAAUUAGAUGCAGACUGAUGAAAAGAUUUACAAAGAGAAGAAAUGAGGGAAAUACUUGGCAAAAAACUAUUGCUCCUAGGAUUUACAAAGAGUUGGAUCAAACUUUCAAGAAAGGAGAAAAAAUGAUUGUGCAACCCUCGAGAGACUUGAAUUUUCAAGUCAUGGAUAAAUCUUAUUAUCCAGCUAGGAGGUUUAUAGUGAAAUUGGAGGACAAGACGUGCGAUUGUGGUUAUUGGGAAAUUGCCGGCUUACCUUGCUGUCAUGCUAUGGCUGCCAUAGGCUAUGCAAGGCAUGAAAUUGAAGAGUAUAUUCCAUUUUGCUUUACCAAGCAAGCCUACAUUAAUACAUAUUCAGUUAUGUUUAGUCCAAUUCCUGAUGAGCGGACAUGGGAGCGUGGCGAUAGGCCCUUAAUUGAUCCCCCAAUUGUGUGGAAAAAGAUGGGGAGGCCAAAGAAAUGUAGGAAGAGAGCAGCCACUAAACCUAAAAAACGCAGCAUGAGAUUCUUUGUCAAUUGCUCGGUUUGUGGUGGCUCGAACCACAAUGUAAGAUCUUGUCCAUUGAGACCAUUGGUUGCAAGGCCAAGCAAAGCUACAAGCACUAAUUCUCAGGUAUCUAUUUAGUCCAUUAGUUUUAUUCAUUUAUGUUUAUUGUUUAUAUUGUCAUCUAACACAGAAGUUGCGUUUUUUCAGCUGUCAAUUGGAAAUUCUUCAGGCCAGUCAGCAGAUCCUUUAAGCCAGCCAUCAAAGCCAACCAGAAUGAGAAAUACAGCGAGGAGAGACCAUGUACCAAGUGAUCGAAGUAAAAGCUCCAGUGCUGGAUCGAUGAAAAGAAAAAGUGCAAAUGCUGUUGGAGUUGCUGGAACAAGCAAAAAAAGAGGUUGAAUUUCGUUUCUUUUUGUUCAUAUUUCAUAAUUGCAUAUAAGGAGCUUAAUUUAUUUUCUUUUCUGUAAUAUAGGAAAGACUUCACAUGUCAACCUAUCCCAAGUCAGCCAAUCACAGAAUCCAUCACAAGCGUCCACUGUCACAGGUGCUUUGUAAUGAGUCCACUGUCACAGGUGCUUUGUAAUGAGUUUGAUGCUCAUUUUGCAAUGUUUUGUUGGAAACAAUCUAUCAACUUCAAUUUCCUUAACUGUUAUGCUAGUUAUGUGAUAUCAACUGAACUUAAUUAUGCUCUUGCAUGAGCUAAGCUAUCGAAUUGGUUUUUGGAAUAUGUAUUUGAAGGAGAUAUGUUGCUAUCUGCAUAUUUUGGAUAUGUUAUGAUUAGAUUAAUAUUUUAGUUGAUAAUUAUGACUGUUGAAUAUUUCUUGAAUACAAACUUUGUGUGUUACAUUACUUUCUCAUAAGGACAAUUACAAAGACACACACUAGCACAAUUAGGAUCCAUUUAAGCUUUCCUUCGAUGCUUUUUAGCCUUUUCUUUAUCUUAACCAAAUCAUCAUUCAGCUUCAAGUUUUGCCCUGGCAUUGCGCCAUUAGUAUUAGGAUAUAUGAGAGAUUCCACAGUGAACCAUUCCCAAAAUCCACAAUGCCUCGCUCCACAAUGCUUCCACCUACAUGACCAAAACAUUGCAUUAGGGUUUUGCAAUGUAGUUGACACCAGAGCCACUGCUUGCACGCCACACUUGCAGUAUUUUGGUUGGCAUUUUACUUUAUCAUAUCUGGUAUGUCCACUAUCAGCAGAACUCGAUGCUUCACUGGAGGCCAUUUUCAUAUGAAUUGCUUGGCAUGUGAUUGCUUGGCAUGUGAUGGAUCAAUGAUUUGUUAAUGUGCUUCUGGUUUUUAGUUGGAAAAGAGUAGCAAAUUGGUUAAAUUUAAAGAGAUUAUCAGGUGUGUGGUGGCUAAUUUCUUGUUGCAAAUUGGUUGAAUGUUGCAAACUAUUUUUUUUGUUGUGUUUUAGGUCAUUAUAUAGCCAAAAAUGUAACCGUUAUUGGCUCCCAACGAUUACAUUUUCAAUUGCUUCACUUUCAGGGCAAAAUUGUCUUUUUAAAUUAAAAGGGUAAAAUAGUCAUUUUGCUCAAAUUCCGUUAAGUUCUUAACAGUAGUAAACGGAAAGGUGGACGCUAGAAUUCUUUUGUCAAUUUAGGGUAUACGAGUGAUACAAGUGAAAAAUGUUGUAGUACGUUUGAUACCGGUGACAUUUUAGGGUAUACCGGUGAUAAUUUCCCUUUAAAAAUUACUAGAAAUUAGUUAUUUGAAAUGUAGAUUUUGUUUGUUUUUCUAUUUAUUAAAUCUAUAGGAUUUGAUGAAGUAUGUCUAUGUGGGGUUUUGAUUCUUUUAGGAUAUUAUUAGAUUUCACAGCUGAUUUUGAGUCCAAUUGACAUAUAUUGUUUCUGUGUUUAUAUAUAUAUAUUAUUUCGGCUGCUUAAUACUAGCGACUUUUGGAGGCCUGUAUGUAUGUUUAAUUGCUGGACAUAUCUAGGAAUUAUUAUUUGGUAGCUGAGAAAUGAAAUAGAAAAAUGAAAUAUUAAAGUUGUUUUUUCUUUUGAUAUAUAAUUUUAUCUGAGUUAACUAGAACGUUUUGUUUUUAGAUCUUUGUUAAACUUUUUAGUGGUUUUAAAGUCAUUUAAGCAAUUGGCCUUUGCUUCAACAAGAAAUCAAUGAACCAAAGCAAUGGCAACCGUGGCUUGAUUCUCCAAUCAUCAACAAUUGCCUUGUUGUUCAUGCUGCCACCAGCACAAUUCAACAAAACAAGCCCUCGAACAAGUGUUUGACUGGAUUUUUAUGGUAGAAAAUAUAGCAGGUUUUCGCAAACCAUAUUAACCGAAAAGGCUAAUCAGGUGCAAGUGUUUCUUUGCAAGCAUGAUGACGAAUAUCUGAUUCCCAAGAGGAAGUUAAAUUAAUAUACCUGAGGCAGCAAAAACACAAGGUAGGCUUCGAAUAGAAUUACGUACAAGCACUAUUGGCUUCUGAGCAGCUUCAUCCAAGAAAUCCAAUAUUAGUUGUAUCGGUGAGUCUCACUCAAGUUAGCAAGGAAAAUAACUAAAGGUCAAGCAAUUGAUGAUAUAAGUACAGGAGUUGUGAAAUAACUUUAAAGGAAAAUAAUUGCUUAUCCUUAACAUUUGUGGAUGCCUACAAUUAUAUGUUCACAGAAGUAAAUAGAAUAAAAAAAAUAGUACAUUAUCAAUAAGAAAAGUUCACUACAAGAUGAAAAUUAUUUUUUGUCAUUUGUGCCUUGUGUACUAAAUUUUGUGUUAUUUUAUUACAUAUAAUAUUAUUCUACGGAAUGCGGGAAGAAAAAAAGUGGGGUCGAUUUAUUGUAAGCCCCAAAUUCAACCGAAGAUCCAAGCGCAAGUUUCAAACUAAACCAACCCAAAGUUUGGGCAACAGUCCAACGCAACCCAACUAAAAUCAUUUUAAUUUGAUUUUAGUUUGGGUUGACUUAGGCUUUGAUAAAUUCACAUGUUGUAUACCAUAAUUAAAAUAAAGUAUCAUUUGUCAUACAUUUUGUUGAUGCGAGAUUCUGGUUCUCCUCGUUCUACGACCAGGCUCUCUGCUCGAUCAACUUCACCACGACCAGGAGGUCUCCUCGUAAGGCUUCUUCUCCAGAGCCUCCUGCGCACACAGACAAGUCAGAGUACGCCGGUUGUUUUCCUGGCGCAAACCCUCCGACGCUCAAGUCAGAUAUGAAGGUUCGGAGAACGCUUGCCACAGAUCUUAUGGCUUUUUCGUAGUUUUCUCUUCUUUAGAAUUUCUUUAGCUCUCUUCUAAUCUCAAAAUUGCUAACCCUUUUACCUUCGUUGGCUACCUUUUUAUAGGCUUCCUCUGAAUCCCAGUUUUCCGCAGUCUACGUCCGUUAUCUUCCCACCUCUCGAACGUGGAUUCCCCAUUUCCGUAGUCGUGGGUGGUUGCGUGGCCUUCGUGCCUAGAUUCUCGGGCUGGAGAGCAUGCCUCGCCAACUGUCGUUGACCGGGUCUCCUCGAAUCAACCCUCAGCGAGAAUACAGCAGGAAUGGCUUUAUGCCUCUUACAGGAAAUUGACCUCGCAGAUGACGUGCUCGUGGAUGAGCAGGAUAUUCCUGCCCCUGUUCCCCUGCUACCUGGCUCUUACAGGACAUACCUGCUCGCAGAAUUCUGCCACUAAACAUCUGCUCAUCACGUCUGGUCUCGUCGGAGUAUUUCCCUCAAACAUUGGUCCCCUAGUUUCUGGUGUUGGGUAAUGUAGUGCACCAGCAGUAGAAACUUGACAGUACUUGCUCGCGUGGGAUUGGAAAAGGCUGCCAAGAGUCAUAUCGCAUUUAAUUGCGGACGAGGUGAUGUGGCAGAAAUCUGCCCCUCUAUUCGAAUUUCAAACCAACGGUUACCAGGCCCUUAGGAUUUGGUGCCGUUAAAUGCUGGCAACCCAAGAGUCCGUCCCCAUUAGGAAACCUAAAUCCUUUCAAACAACAAAUUCAUCAUUCCCUCCGUCUCCGUCUCUGUCUCUCCAGCAAAGAAGCUCCGGUAUACAGGCCUCCAUCUCUGUCUUUCACCGACUGAUCCAUUACUUCAUGUAUUUCUUCUAUCUCCUUGGUCUUGGAUAGUUGUAGAUAAUUUCUCUUCUCUUUGCUUUGCUUGGGGUAGUAGUUGGCGGUGGCGUUUUGGUUAUUAUUUAGGGAAUGUCGAAGGGUAAGGAGAAAGUCGUCGAGAUUGAUGACGACGAAAUAGGUUUCUUGCCUAAUCUAGUCACUGAUCCUGCUUUUGACCCCGGGAUCCCCUUAGAACCCAUUAGGUCUAGUGUCGGGACUAGUGCUAGGAGAUUGUCCCCCUAAACAACCUCUACGAGCGGAAGUAAUGAUGAGGAGAGGUCUUCUGGCUCUGAAGGCACCUUGAGUGAGAAUGGGGAAGGUGAUUCUGGUGAGGUGUCUCCAUCUGGAACAUCACGACCAGAAGAACGGGGUACAGUAGGGGGUAGAGCCUUGUCGCGUGAUUAUGCCAUUGAUUACAUGUCGUGCACGACCACGUUUGACGAGCUCAAUGACCUCCGACUUAGGUAUAGUAUUCCUGGUGAGAUACCUCUUAAGAUCCCAGGAAAGAAGGAUACACCUAGCCGGCCUCCUAGGGGAUACGUUACCCUGUUUCUGGAGAGCUUUAAGUAUGGGCUGAGGUGUCCCUUGCAACCUUACUUUGCCCGAAUACUUAACGGGCUAAAUCUGGCUCCUGGUCAGCUGAACCCCAAUGGGUGGAGAGUGCUCUCUGGUCUGUUCAUAUUGUAGGACAGAUGUUGCCAAAGCGAGCCCACGGUUGAUGAGGUGAAGCACCUGUACCAGCUGAAGAGCAGCCCUAAAGAUGCCGGCUGGUACUACUUCCAAUCUAGUACCAAGAGCAGGAAACCCAUAACUGAUCUUCCAACUGGUGGUGGUGGGACUUGGAAGAGGAAAUUCUUUUUUGCUGGGGGUCCUUGGGGUCAAGUUGCACAAAUAGACGGGAAGGAUUGUCGCGUCCCACCCCGUUUCACGGUCCCAGGUUGCCUGCUCGCUUUAGAUGUCUUGUAUCCAUAAUUGUUCUUGCUGUAUUGGUUUGUCUCUAACCAAGUGUCUGUUUGUGCUGUAGUUUCUUGGGGUGUUCAUUUCCCGCUCAAGCCUGGUCAGCUUAAACGGGUCGAGGCUGUACUGGCCAAUUCCUGCCCAAGCCGAGAACUGCUAACUACGUACAACUUCCUCGAGUCUCACUUAAUACUUCCUGGCCAUAAGAUGGAGGACGCUGUGAUUGGGGCUCUAACCAGGAAACGUUCUCGUCCUCCAGCCACGAAGAGCGACCAGAGUAAGGACGCUCCUGCUGCAAAGCGGGCCAACAUCGUGCAGCAGGUCUCUCCCUUGAAGACUUUACCUCCUCCUCCUGCCAAAACCGGAGAAAUUAGUGGAGCAGCCACUGAUCCUGCUUCCUCUUCUCCUCCUGUUGGGCCUCGGUCUCGUCUACCUGCCAACCGAGCAGAGCACUUGGCCCCCUAUCUCAACGAGCUUUCCAAACUCGUGAGCAAGAAAGACCUCGAGGAUUUUGAUGGUUGUACCCUGGGCGAGCUGGUGGGAGCCAUGCAGUAUAGCGCUUUCCAUCUCAGCUGCAUGACCACCUACUAUAAGGCCAAGGUUGGCCGUUACGACAGGAAGAUGAAGGAGGACAUUCAAUCGGCGACGACCAGAGCUGACGUUGCCGAGAAGAAAGCGGGGGAGCUAAACGUUGAGAACCUCAAGCUGAUAGAGCAAGAAUCUCUUGCUCAAGCAAAAGCCAUUACCCUCGAGGAAGAGCUGACCAAGGUCAAGGAGGAUCUGCAAAGGCAGAGGGCUAUGUAUGAGGCUCAGCUCGAAUCUCUCCGCGAUUCCCACCGAGCUCAGGUCGAGAACUUGGAGAGGGAGGCCGACAACCAAUACGACCAGGGACUUCGGCAUUCCUAUCGUUGCAUUAUGGCCGUCCUCGGGAAGCAGCAUCCUGAUAUGAAGAUGGAUGAUCUUGCAGCUGGUGUUGCUCAACAUAUGGACGAGGAAGUAGCCAAGGAAGAUGCCGAAGGGAUAGAGCAGAUCGUGAUUGAGGAGGAAAGUUCUCCUCCUCGUUCAGUCCCUGCUGACGUUGGCGAGGUGAGCACCCCUGCUGUCGUUGCCGAGGCGAGCACCCCCCCGGACGCAACUGGUGAUACCCCCCCCGCACCUGAGGAGGUUCAGCCAUCCGAUGCUGCUCGGCCUACUGAUCCGCCAUCUUCUUGAACAUUUUUCUCGCGUUGUAAUGAACUACUUUGUUGGUUAUUAAUAGAUUAAUGAAAAACUGCUUUUGAUUACUUUCUUGAGUUGUAAUCAUGAAUUAUUUUUCCGUUUGAGAAUCUCCUCGUCCUUGUCUGGUCGAGCAGGAUCGGGCUUGGCAUAUGGCUUUGCCACCUGCCUUAGAAAAUUUUUCGAUGUUUGGGAUUCUGCUCGCCUCCGCGCGGUCGAGCAGAUCCCGCCAUGUUUGGCUUCUGUCUCGCCAUAAACUGGCUGUGAGACUUGACGAGCCUUUGCAUGCCUCAGAAAUUUUUUCGAAUGCUUUGGAGUCUGCUCGCCUUCACGUGGUUGAGCAGAUCCUGGCAUGCUUGGCUUCUGUCUCGCCAUAAAACAAGCUUUGAGACUUGACGAGCCUUUGCAUGCCUCAGAAAUUUUUUCGAAUGCUUUGGAGUCUGCUCGCCUUCACGUGGUCGAGCAGAUUCUGGCAUGCUUGGCUUCUGUCUCGCCAUAAAACAGGCUUUGAGACUUGACGAGCCUUUGCAUGCCUCAGAAAUUUUUUCGAAUGCUUUGGAGUCUGCUCGCCUUCACGUGGUCGAGCAGAUCCUGGCAUGCUUGGCUUCUGUCUGGCCAUAAAACAGGCUUUGAGACUUGACGAGCCUUUGCACGCCUUAGCAAUUUUUUCGAAUGCUUUGGAGUCUGCUCGCCUUCACGUGGUCGAGCAGAUCCUGGCAUGCUUGGCUUCUGUCUCGCCAUAAAACAGGCUUUGAGACUUGACGAGCCUUUGCAUGCCUCAGAAAUUUUUUCGAAGCUUGGGAUUCUGCAAGCCUUCUCGUGGCCGAGCAGAUCCUGGCAUGCUUGGCUUCUGUCUCGCCAUAAACAGGCUUUGAGACUUGACGAGCCUUUGCAUGCCUUAGAUGAUUUCUUCAAAGCUUGGGAUUCUGCUAGCCUUCUCGUGGCCGAGCAGAUCCUGGCAUGCUUGACUUUUGUCUCGCCAUAAACAGGCUUUGAGACUUGACGAGCCUUUGCAUGCCUUAGAUGAUUUCUUCAAAGCUUGGGAUUCUGCAAGCCUUCUCGUGGCCGAGCAGAUCCUGGCAUGCUUGACUUUUGUCUCGCCAUAAACAGGCUUUGAGACUUGACGAGCCUUUGCAUGCCUUUGAUUCUUCAAGGAUUGGGAUUCUGCUCGCCUUCUCGUGGUCGAGCAGAUCCUGGCACGCUUGGCUUCUGUCUCGCCAUAAAACAGGCUUUGAGACUUUGAUGAGCCUUUGCAUGCCUUUGAUUCUUCAAGGAUUGGGAUUCUGCUCGCCUUCUCGUGGUCGAGCAGAUCCUGGCACGCUUGGCUUCUGUCUCGGUAUAAAACAGGCUUUGAGACUUUGAUGAGCCUUUGCAUGCCUUUGAUUCUUCCAGGAUUGGGAUUCUGCUCGCCUUCUCGUGGUCGAGCAGAUCCUGGCACGCUUGGCUUCUGUCUCGCCAUAAAACAGGCUUUGAGACUUUGGUGAGCCUUUGCAUGCCUUAGGAAAUUUUCACAGUUUCAAGCGAAUGAAAUUCCUCAUUGAUUCAUUUAUUACUGAGAUCGGCUUACAUGAGGUUGCUUUGAAAUAAGAAAUCAAAAAUAGAAAACGGACCCGAACAGAAAAAAAUUUUAAAACAUGAAUGAGUCUUACUAGAAAUAUUUCCUGAGGUGUGCCGCGCUCUAGGGGCGUUUCACCUCGUGGCCCUCCGUGCGAACCAACUUGUAGACUCCGGGUCCGACUAACUGCCAUUCCCGGCUUCCACUCGGGUACCAAGGUAUGUUAUCUGCAUUGCUUCCCUUGCUGCCGAGGAGUAACAGCUUCGUGCGAUUCUCUGGUCUCCUCGUACCACUCCAACAACCCCAUUCACCCGGUACUUGAGAGCCAGAUAAUGGUUGGACAGCACCGCUUUGCUCAUCCUCAGAAAUGGCCGGCCUAGGAUCAUCUGAUAAGGACCUUCCUCAUCCACUACCACAAAGUCCAGUAUCAUUGUCCUUUCUGUCGGGGAGCUCCCAAUCGUGAUAGGCAGCUCGACCACGCCCAGAGGGACCAGCUUUCCUCCUCCAAACCCCUUCAAGGAGGUAUUGGUGUAUUCCAACUUCCGGUCUGCUAUUCCCAUCUCCUCCAAGGUUGACUUAAAUAACACAUCAACUGAACUCCCUGUAUCAACCAGUAUCCGGUCACACUUCUUGCUAGCGACAGUAGCCUUGAUGACUAAAGCAUCCUCGUGGGGGUAUAGAAUUCCUUCCUCAUCUUCAUCCGUCCACAUGAUUGGCACUUGCCUGACCCUUGCUCGUUUGGCUGCUGGGGUGUUGAAGAAUACCUCUUUACUAGUCAUGGCGUAUCUAGCAUAGUUCUUCCUAGAUCUGUUGGAAUCUCCAGCCAAUGUCGGGCCCCCAGCAAUCACCCUUACUGUAGGCUGCUCGUGCCUCAAAUUUCUGCCACUCUGCUCCCCUUCACAUGUCGAGGCCACCAUCGGGAAAGUCCCAUCUACAAACUCGUCCAGGUACCGAUUUCUCACCAAAUUUUCAACCUGGGUCUUGAGAUCUUUGCAUUCUGCGGUGGUAUGGCCAUGAGUGCCAUGGAACUUACAAUGGCGUCCCCUAUCCCUCCUGCCCGGUAGCUUUGUUAUUGGGGCAGGGAGGUACAGCAAUCCUCGGUCCUUUAUGGCCUCGUAUACUUCGUCCAGGGACAUCUUCAAGGAGGUGUAUCGCCCAUACUUCUGGUUCUGGUCAAUCAGGUGCACAGCCCUUUCUCUAUUUGAUCCGUUCUGAGUUGGAGGCGAUGGCAGCAUUUCUGGUCUGCUCCCUCUACUACUGUGGGAGUGUUGAUGAAGACUACCAUAUGCCGAAUCAUGCCUUCUCCAAGGCUCCUUAGCUGGGGAACGAGGAGGGUGCGCCCUGUUGCGCUGAUACUGUGGUGGCCUCUGAUGAGGCUGGUGAGCUGUUAUCCGACCUCCUGUUCCACUACCUGAGGCCUGGAGGUCCCUCCUCCUGAUCGGCCCAUUUCUCGGUAAUGCCCUCUUCUCUUUCUUUUCCAGCCCCUCCAGCUGGUCUGUCUUAAUCCGAGCUGCCUUUUCUUCCUCGAUCUCUAUGUCUCUUUUAGCCUGCUCGUAUGCGGCUGCAUACGUCUGAAUAGCUGGGCUUCUCAAGUUGUACCACAACCUUUCUAUCUUCACUCCCUCUUUCAAUCCCCUUAGUGCCUGAGGAUGGUCGAAGGCUCCCAAAUCGAGGACAGCACGAUGAAACCUCUUGAUGAAUUCCCGAAGGGUUUCUUGCUCCCCUUGCUUCAUGCUUUUCAGCUCCAUCAUGUCAUCUUCUGGUGCCAUUGCCCCACGAAACUGCUCUGCAAACUCCUGGCACAUCUGCUCGAAGGUUUUAAUGCUCCCCCGAGGAAGUUUCCUGUACCAUUCUCGUGCACGUCCCUCAAGGGAUAGUGGGAACACCCUGCACCUUUGGGAUUGAGAUAAUCCUUGUACUCCAGUUAUGUCGUUGAAACGCUCUAUGUGCACCAGCGGAUCCGUUCGUCCCGAAUACCUAAGGUCUGGGAGGCGGAAAUCUCUCGGAAUAACUGCCCUCAUGAUCUCUGUUGCGAGCGGUGAUUCUCCGUCCAGCAUUAUCCUCCAACCAGGAGGUCUGCUCCUUCCUUGCAUGUCGUCAAUUAUCUGCGCUAGUCUGCGCACUUCCUCCUUCAGCUGCACUGCGCGACCAGGGUCACGUGCUGCAGCUUGAUCCCGCUCUUGCUCUACAUCAAGCAAGUGUUGCCUCAACUCCGUUUCCUCUGCAUUUGCCACCCCGUCGUCCUCGUCAAAAAUCUGUCUUGCCGGGGAUUGCUCUUCCUCUCUACGGAAUUCUCCCUGCAGAGGUAUGUUACCUCUCUCACCACCAACUCUCUCGGUGGUUUGACUUCUCCUCGUACUAUCGGGACUUGGAGCCACUCCCCCAACUCUCAUCCUUUCCUCCUGGGUUACCCUUCAUUCACUCCGCAACUCAUGCAGGAUGUUUGUCAGGGUCUCCAUCUGCUUUUCCAUCCGUUCCACCCGGUCGAACAUGGCUUUUUCCCGUGCUUCACUGGCUAUCUCCCUCAGAGUCACGGAAUCGUUAAGCCUCAUAUCACUCCCUUGUGCACUACUUCCUCCUGUCUCCAUUGCUUUUCACUUGCUUCACUCCUCUUCUUGCUAUCAACAGAAGCUUUUUGAUCAGCUCCCCACAGACGGCGCCAAAAUGUUGAUGCGAGAUUCUGGUUCUACUCGUUCUACGACCAGGCUCUCUGCUCGAUCAACUUCACCACGACCAGGAGGUCUCCUCGUAAGGCUUCUUCUCCAGAGGCUCCUGCGCACACAGACAAGUCAGAGUACGCCGGUUGUUUUCCCGGCGCAAACCCUCCGACGCUCAAGUCAGAUAUGAAGGUUCGGGGAACGCUUGCCACAGAUCUUAUGGCUUUUUCGUAGUUUUCUCUUCUUUAGAAUUUCUUUAGCUCUCUUCUAAUCUCAAAAUUGCUAACCCUUUUACCUUUGUUGGCUACCUUUUUAUAGGCUUCCUCUGAAUCCCAGUUUUCCGCAGUCUACGUCUGUUAUCUUCCCACCUCUCGAACGUGGAUUCCCCAUUUCCGUAGUCGUGGGUGGUUGCGUGGCCUUCGUGCCUAGAUUCUCGGGCUGGAGAGCAUGCCUCGCCAACUGUCGUUGACCGGGUCUCCUCGAAUCAACCCUCAGCGAGAAUACAGCAGGAAUGACUUUAUGCCUCUUACAGGAAAUUGGCCUCGCAGAUGACGUGCUCGUGGAUGAGCAGGAUAUUCCUGCCCCUGUUCCCCUGCUACCUGGCUCUUACAGGACAUACAUGCUCGCAGAAUUCUGCCACUAAACAUCUGCUCAUCACGUCUGGUCUCGUCGGAGUAUUUCCCUCAAACACAUUUUAUACAUUAAACACAUAAACGUCCUCUCUGGAAUCUUUGUGGGCAACGCAUACGUGGUAUCUUCACUAAUAAGUGUUGAAUCUUUAGCUUCAAAGGAAAGAAACUAAAAAGGUUUGUAAAUUUACCCCACUUCUACAAAAUAAUUAUAAUGAAUUCACAAUAUUUUUUAAAAAAUUCAAAUUAAUAAAAAUUUUGUCUAGUUAAUCAAUUAAAUCCUUCUAUUAUUUUUUUAUUAGAUUUCUUUGAGUAUAUUUGAUCAUAAACUUGAUAUAAAUUUUACUUUACUAUUUUAGUAUUAUGAUAUAAAAUGGCCAAAUUGUACAAUAAACACGGGUUAUUGUAUCUAAUAAUUUAGGUAUUUAAUUAUGUGAACUAACAUUUUUAAAUGAAAUUUAACUAUUAUUUUCACUAUCUUACGUGUAAAUGAUGUAAAUUUGACAAGCUAAUAAUUUAUAUGAGUAUUGUGCCAUAAAGCCAUUAUGUUUGUUUAAUUAAUGUUUUAUAAUCAUACUAAUAAAGUAGUAUUAGAAAUAAUGAAUUGCUAUAAAAUUAGAAAAUAUUGAAGUUAAAGAAUUAGUUUGACCUUAUAAGGAUAAAAUAAUCAAUUUAGACUUAUGUCAAAUCAAUCUUUAUGAUCAAAUAUAAUAAAAAAAUUUAAGUCACAAAAAGUAAAUUAAGAUAGAUUUGUUAAUUUGUUCUCCAAAGUUCUUAUUUAUUUAUUUUUUUAAAAUAAUGUGUACUUUUUGUAAUUGUUUUUUAAAAAUGGGGUGGAUUUGGAGAUAUCAUUAGCCAACAAAAAAUUUAGUAAGGAUUAAUUUGAUAAUUGCCCAUAAAAAGAAGGCAUGUAGGUGGUGGUAGGGAAGCCUUUUUCCAUUCUAAAAUUACAUGUAAGAAUCUAAUAUAAAAAAGAUAAAUGUGUUACAGGAUGUGGAUAGAAAAAUUGAUCUUCAUUUGGGGAUUCUUGAUCUUCAUUCUUCACUCCACUAAAAUUUAUUAGAGAAUGAGGUGAAAAUUAUGGGCCAAAUAAAAUUAUUAACAUAUAAAAAAAUUUAAAUUAUUAAAAAUAAUAACUAAAAAAAUACAUAUUUGUUAAGAAUUUUGGAAUUAUUUUUCUUCGAGUAAUAAUAUAGCUACAAACUCUUGUACAAACUUAUCUUGUACCAACUAAUGUGGCAUGAUAAAAUUGGUUAAAUUAAAUAUCUCUUAACUCACGUGAUUUAUUUUCAUUAUUUUGUAUUUUUAUUCAACUAAUGAAUUAAUGUCACAUCAAUUUGUACAAAAUAAAUUUGUACAAGAAUUUGUGAUUGUAUCAUCACUCUCUUUUUUUUAAUCUCCAUAAACACAUCAAAAUUAGGGGUGGGAACUGUGGAGUCCACAACCCGCCAAAAAUCUCUAGUCGGCCAAAUUGGACUUUUUAUAGUCAGUCCUCAAAGAAAUUUUGAGAAAGGCAGCAGACAAUGAGUUGAAUGAAAUUACUACGAAACUUCCUUGAAGAUUCAAGGUAGUAGUGGAGGAUUCGAGCGCACAGACACAUUCAAUUCAGUUGAACUGUUUCUAUUAUGGUUUCUUCAUCUUCUUCUCAUCCAUCCACCAGUCUGUGUUUGAUGAGACCCCUAAACAUCAAUUAUGGUGUUUUUGUCAGAUUCAGAGGAGAAGACACCCGUGACAAUUUUACUGGCCAUCAAGUAUGGGUCUUUUGGGAUUUCAAUUUCGAAGCUUGAAGAAAGAUUUAAAGAGAAGUCAGAGAAGCUGCAGACUUGGAGGAAUGCUUUGAAGGAAGCAGCCAGUUAGUCUGGCUUUAAUUCUUAUAACAUCAGGUGAAAAGUUACUUUUAAUUUCGCAUACUAAUAUUUAACACUGUAAAUAAAAUUCACGCAGCACUCUUAGUUAAAUUUUCCAGAUGUUAAACUACACUUUUAAAUUUUUUUCAGGAAUCAAAUUCUAGACUUCUUGAACGUCCCCACUUUUGAACUCCUAUAAAAGAAUUUUUACAGAAUUAAUAAUAAAAGCUCCAAAAGUUUGCAAUAUACUUUAACAAAAUUAAUGGUGUUCUGUCGUUUUUUCCAAUCUCUCAGUCAUUUACCAUGACCAAAAAUAAUAAAUAAAAAAAUAAAAAUAAAAGUAAAAAUAAAAAUCUCUCCCACAUAUAACAUAUCCCUAUAAUUUAAGAGUUAUUAAUUUAUAGGGAGAUUGUAAAGUUCGUUACUUAAAUUAAUAUAUACCACUUAUACAGACUAUUUUCACAAUAUUUAAUAAGUCUCUUGGUACCAUCAUUUUACAAUAUUAUCCUUAUGAAAAAAAAUCAAAACUAUCAGACCUGAGCUUCCGGUCUCCGUUAACUGAAUUUUGGUUGUCGUUGACCAGUACGGGCAAUUCAGUAAUUUCACAAACUUUUGGGAUAAUGUUGUAAUUUCUGAAAUUGGUGGAUAAUUUAGUAAUUUUGGACUAGGGCGGUUAGGUAAUUUGAGAUUUCAAGGGUAAUUCAGUAAUUUAAGUUAUUAAGGGCAUUUUGGUAAUUUCAAAAUUCAAGGGUAAAUUCGUGAUUUCGUACCUUAUGGUUAUUUUUGUAGUAUGAAUUAAGGAUAGUUUAGUAAUUUAGAAUUCUGAGGACAAUUUGGUAAAUUAUGGUGUCGACGGCAUUUUGGUAAUUUUUGGCAUGCAGGGGUAUUUUGGUAAUUUCAUUCAUACGGGAAUAGUUGAUUUUGGGAAAAUGUUUGUUUCGAGCUUUAUUGCGUAAAUUUAGUUGUAUUUCAUGUUACAGAUAACGAUGUCGUUUCCUUAAUUUAGGAGGAACCGCGAACGAGAAUCAAUCCGCAAACGUAACCGAUACUUGAGUUUGAGUGUAAUCAUUGUGAGUGGAAUAUACAAAACCUAUUUUUAUAGUUAAUUAUGAUAGUAAAGCCUAUUUGUGAAAUGAGUAUCUUAAAUAUUUUGAUUUAAUGAUUUUCUUGAAAUGGAUUUUAUUCACGCAAUGAUAUUUUAUUAAAAUGUUUGGUUAAUAGUUUUCCAUAUUGAUUUGAAUAAAGCAUGAUAGUAUUCUUAAGACAAGAAAAAUUCAAAUGUGUUAAUGAAAAGAACAGUAUGAUUUUCAAUAUGAUUAAAAAGUAUAUGGUUAUGAGUAUAAAGAUUGUUUUUGAAAUCAUUAGACAGUACCAUUCCCCUUCAGAUAAUGUGAUACAGAUGAGAUGAGAGUCCUUUAGGGCUCGUCUGAGUACAUAUAGAGGCUUUGGGCUGUGUACUUGGACGCUUUAUCCUUUGGGGACCAGAUUAUGCAGAUACGAGAUAUGAGAUAUGAGACAUAUGAGACGACAUUUUCCUAUCUACCCGUUGCAACUCCGGGGCAUGACGAUUUCCUGAUUGCCCGUCCAUCGAGGUCUGGGUAUGACAAGAUUAUUUGCUUGGGUAAUUGUUUGGUGACAGUUUUCAGAAUUACAGUGUUUGAGAUUACAAUAUGUUAUGAUUUCAUUGAUUUUAUGCAAUAUUAUGUAUUAUUGUUAUAUUAGUACUUGAUUUAAAUUACAUGAGUUUAUUUAAGUUCUUAUGAUAUUUUGAUGAAAUUGAUUUGAGACAGAUUAAAUUAUUUUAAAGUAAAUUUAUUUUCAAAAAUUAUUAUCCACUCACUGAGCUCAUUGAGUUUUAUACUCACCCCGUUUUUAUUAUAUUUCCCCCCAGGAGAUUUGCAGGUACAUUAGUCGACCCAACAACAAUAACUAUUUUUGAAAUUGUGGCCACAUGAUGGUGCUAGGAAUCAUAGAUGUAUUGUUGGGAUAUUUUGGAUUGUAUAAAUUAUUACAUAUUUGUGACUAAGGAUACUCUAUUGUAGUUGACAUUAAAAUAUUUGGGUGAUAUUUGGUAUGUUGAUUAAGGAAGUUGGUCGUGGAGGUUGGUUGAAUAUUGAAUUAUUUUUAGAGUGCUAAUUUUAUAAAUUGUAGGUUUGGGAAUGUCAUCAUUGUAGAGGAGACUCUACCGAAUAAUCUUUAGUAAAACCCUUAAAUAUUAGAUUUAUUAUCGGUUCAAUUAGAUGGGAUUAGAUGACUCGUCCUGAGGUUUCGGGGCAGGUCGUUUUAUCUAUACAUUAAAGGCUCAUAGACUAUUAGAUACAUUGAAGCCCAUAAUACUAAAAAUCUUAAUAGAUAUCUUUUAAUUGGGCUUAAUUUUAUAUGACAGUUUGCAACACAUAAUUAUUCACAUAUAAUCCCAGCGUUGGGUUAAGGAUUUAACAAUCCUAGAUUAAAAAAUCCAACAAAACUAUUACUUAUUUAUUUUAUUUUUUUACAAUAGUUUACAUAUAAUUCAAAGUCCUGUACAAUUGUCUCUCUAUCUUCACAUUAAACAUAAUUAAAAAGGAGAAUUUAUUUCAACAUUUUUUAAUAUGAACCUUUGAGACUUGUUAUCUCAAUUGUCGUAUAAGAAUUGAUUUGAUGUUGGGUUCCAGCAGUACCAGCUUACUUUUACGUAUCUUGGAUGCUAAGUGUAUUGCACAUGGAUCUGGUACUUUGAUGAUAUGAUCAAAAUUGGAGAUUGGAUUUUAGGGUGAGAUAACUGGCUUUUCUCUUUUGAGGGUAAGCUUGUACUUUUAUGGCAUGUGCUUCUUCCAUACCGUUACAUAUCUUCCAAGUCCUCUGAUUGCCUACGGUAGUCAUUAAUCAUCUCGAGCAAUAGUUCACCAAUUUCUUAUUAGGAGAUACAAAUUCAAGACGGCGCAUCUACUGGUGCAAAUUACCAUAUGUUUAAUUCCUUGUGGAUGAAAGUGGUUUGGGAAUUCAUUUUCUUUUUCAAAUCUGGCAGAUGCAUUUGAGUUAAAAAUGUGGUAGAGAUUUCGGGACCAGCAAUCUCUUUGGGCUUCACUCAUGAAGUCCAAGUAUUGCAAAACCUUACAUCCCAAAAUGGUUCGAUUUCACUAUUCUAUUUCCCUAUUUUGUCGACAUUUUUGCUCCAUUUGUUAUGUUGCUAAGCCUCAUAUACACUGGCUAAUUAGAUCUAGUGAUAAUAAUUUCUUGUAUGAUUGUUGUUUGUGGUUUAUACUUCUCUUUCUUUUUAAAAUUGGUACUGCUUCUAUGGUUCCUGUGUCAUUCUUUUGGCGAGGAGCAGUUUAGGAUAGGAGCAGGCUAUUGUCUGUUCUACUUCAAUUGUUGAGUAGAUUUUGUUGAUCACUAUUUUUGCUGUUAGACCGAAUAUUCUUCAUUGGACUCUAUCUAGGGAUGGGAAUUUUUCUAUAAAGACUAUUUGGGAGCUUGUUCGUGGGUCUCGGAUCUGGAAUGAGAUUUUUACUUAUAUUUGGCAGCAACAUAUUCCUAAUGAGGUAUUUUUUGUUAUUGUGGUUGUUGUAUGGUUUCUUAGCUGCGAAUGAUGCCUUGGGCUUGCACCAUUAAGAUAUUCAGGCAGUUAUUUUGUGAAUUGCUCAUUAGUUGCGCAAAUCUGACAACGAUUUUACUCGAUGAUUGGUCUUUGAUACCUUCCUUUCUAUCUCCUCAUACGUUGCUUGUUCACUGGCGGCAUUGUGCCCAUUCUUCGAGACAUUUUCGAGUCCUUCUCUCAUGCUUCAUCCUGUGGCAUGUCUUGAAGCCUUGAAAUGCUUUUAGAUUCGAUUCUAGUUGUCAUUGCUUUUUGAGUGGUUUCGGGCCUUAGACUCGCUAGCUCUGUUUUUGGUUUUAAGUUAUCCCAAUUGAGGGGUGUUUUGGAUACCCAUAUUAGAGAGGGUUUGUAGAUAUUUUGCCUCCUCUUUGACCGGUCGCUUGGUUUCCUAGUUGAGGCUACCGCCUGGCGUGAUGAAGUUAAAUGCGGAUGGUUACUCUAGGGGCACCUCUGGUAUGUCUGCUGCUGAAAGUGUUCUACAUGAUCAUUCGGGAGUAGUAUUAGUUGCUUUUGGUUCUUUCUUAGGGCACCAAUCAAUACUGUUUGCUGAGCUGUUGGCUAUGCUUGAAGGAUUAGAUCUUGUGCUCAGCUUGGGUUUACUGUUCUAGAGUUGGAAUCUAACUUGGCCACUGUGGUUUCUUUAGCUACUUCGCUUAUCUCCUGGGUUGGAUUCAUGCUUUAUUUUCUAGUCCUUUUAUUACUAUCAAACAUGUCUUUUGAGAGGCCACUUCAGCCACUGACUUCAUGGUUGAUUAAGCAUGUACUCAUAAGACUCAUCAGCGAUUCUUCAGCUCUGGGGAUCUUAUAUCUGGUCUAUUUGGCAUUCUUCAUUUAGAUGCUCUCGAGUUCCUUUAUGUUCAACAUUGAUUUCCCUUUGUUGGUUUCUUUUAUAGUUUGUUUUCCUUUUUUUUUUAAAGAAGUUUUGGUUUAUGUCCCCCUCUUCAUAUUCUUUUCAUCAUCUAAUUUUUCUUUCAUUGUAGGUAGAGGUUUGGCCUAAUCCCCCACCUUCAUGAUGGUUUAGAUUAAAAAAGAAAAAACCAAUUUGACGUUAGGUUUGAAUAUCCUAACUAGAGAGGGGCGAGGAUUGCUAAGGAUCCUUUGGUAAUGAGAUUCACAAGAUUUACACAUAAAUCAACUGGAAUAAUAUCGAUUUGUCAUCCUCACAAAUGGUGGAAAUCAGAGAAUCCACUUUUCGUAUGCUUAAAGUUCUUGGGAUUGAAAAAUUGCAACAAGCUAAAAAUGUGUCAUAAAGAUUUUUUCUUGGAAAAUGUUAUAAGAUUCUUCUACAGUUUUACCCUUUUCACCUAUUCCUCUUUCAAUGUGAAAAAAAAUGCAAAUUAGUUUAAACUUUAGAGAAUUUCAGAUGAAAUUAUUUCUGCAUCCAAUUAGAUUGUAUCUACUUGUUUGUCCAUUAUCAUAAUCUUAAUUUAGUAUAUAAUUGUAAUUAUCCAAAUAGGGCUUUUAAGGGGUAAAUAGAAGGGGUGCUAAUAGUCCCACUCUUUCCGCAAUUAUUAUUGUCCUCGAAUAUUUCUCCAACAUUUUAUUUCAUAUUUGACUUCUGCUACUAAUACUAUAACAAAAGACGCUUUUUGACCAACAAAGUGUUGGCUCCACUGGAAAUGAAGUCCCCUUAAGUGGCUUGACUGGGUUUGCUCCCCAGUUCGAGUCGCAGGGAAGUCCCCUUUGUUGGGAGAACAUGUGCCUCUCGAUUCGAGCGGGGACUUCUACUCUGGAUUGUGGUACGGGCUUAAAGGUGCCUCCCACAGUUAGGGCCCUCCCCAGGAUACCUCGUGGUCAAAACCAAAAAAAAAAAAAAGACGCUUUUUGAAUUACAUCAGUUUCUAGUUGCAUUUUAUUGAUAAAUUAGCCGAACGCAGAUUUUUUAUUUCAUAUUUGACUUCAGCUACUAAUAACAUUGUUUGAUGCAACAUUUUAUUUCAUAAUUGACUUCUGCUACUAAAACUAUAAUUCAAAAGAUGCUUUUUGAAUUACAUUAGAUUUUUUAUUGAAAACGAACAAAGGGAUUAUAUUUUACAAUUUAGGAAAUAACUAUAUUUAAUAGAGAUAAUUUUGGGAUAUAGCAUUUACUUUCUAUUGAGAUAUUUUCAUAUAUUAGAUAAAAGUUUACUUAAAAAACAAAAAUUAGACUUCACACGUUUAACAAAUAACUCGAAGGAAUAUGAAUAAGAAUUAUUAAAACAAAAAUGAUAAAUAAGGAUAAUUUUAAAAUUAAAUGCAAUUAAUUGAGAGUUGAUGACUAAUGAGAAAAAUUGGGGGAAAAUAUUAAAAAAUCAACCAACUACUCAUGGUUGAUAGUCAUGACCCACUCAAUUUGAGAAUUAAAAGGACAAAAGCCAUGUGUUGAAAACUAUGGUGUUCAUGGGGAAAUUUCAGGUAAAAGUCUAAAAAGCAGUGAAAUUAUCGUGCAGCGCACGGUGCCUGGACAAUGAGAUGAAGUUGAAAAAUUAUCACGAAACUUCAAGGAAGAGUGCCAAUAGUCUUACUCAUAACGCCGUGUCUAACUCAUAACAUAGAGUAAGAGUUCUACGAAAGUAACGGCAGAGUGCCAAUAGUCUUGACUCAUAACGCCGUGCCUAUAAUUUCAACUGAAAAAAUCUGCCAAGUCGAAAAAUUAGGUGGGCGUUUCAAUAACCCUUGAAUAUUCCAUGAAUCAUUGUCCAGGAAGCUUGGAAAAUGAGAUAUCAGGUCAAUAUAUGCUGCAGAGUCACGCUCAUUUUGGCUUAGUAAUUGUUUUCAUCUGAUCACAAUCUCUCUCUAAUCAAUUCAACUGCUUCUGUUGAUUAUGGCUUCUUUUUCUCGAAACAACAAGAAGUAUGAUGUUUUUGUAAUAUAAGCUGCCUUUUUUUAAGUGGAACUGCAAUUGAAGAACUGCCUUCAUCAAUUGAGCUUCUACUUAGGCUGGAGUACUUGGACCUUUCAGACUGUAAAAGGCUUAAGAGUCUCCCAAGCAGCCUAUGUAAGUUGAAAUCUCUUGAAAUUCUUGAUCUCAGUGGUUGCUCAAAUCUUCAGAGAUUGCCCGAAUGUCUUGGCCAGUUGUCCUCUCUAGGAACAUUGCUUCUAGAGAAAACCAAUAUUGAGAGAAUACCAGAAAGCAUCAUCCAAAUUUCUGUGUUGACUUACCUCCGCUUAAGCUAUUGUGAGAGGCUUCAAUCCGUACCAAAGCUUCCAUUCCUUAUACGAUGUUUAGAUGCCGAUAAUUGCACAUCGCUGCAAUCAUUAUCAGGUUUAUUCCCAAGUUCUGAAUUUUAUAUAUAAGCAGUGUUUUUUUACUAGAGCAAUAAUUUGUAUUCCCAAGUUCUGCAAUCAUUUAGUGCUAUUGUAGCAUUUUCAGACCGUCAUGUAGAUGAUGACAGAUGGUUUUCAUUUUCUUGUGAGUUCAAAAUGAAAACCGAAGAUUGUGAUCCGCAUGUCACGCGGAGAUUUCUGAAGCGCCUUGCUUACGUAGAAUCAGCUCACUUACUUUUGGGGUGCUAUUUUUUCAGUGAGGAGGAUUUCCAUGGUUUUUGGAAAUAUAAUUGCGUUCCUGAGGCAGUCCGCUUCUUUUUUGAUGAUUUUGAUCGUUUUCCAUCUUUGGAGUGCGAGUGCUGCGGGGUGAAAAAAUGUGGAGUCCAUUUACUUUACAUCCCAGAUUCUACGGAUUCAAUGGAAGUUCCAAGCAGAUGUUUCAACUGUUACGAAGAAGGCUUAAGAUUUUCAUGAAUGUAAUUUUAUUUUUUUCUCUUUUGCUAAUCACUAUUAAUAAUUAAAAAAAAAAAGCCAAGAUUAGUCUUGGAACAAAACAUGCAUGUAAUAAUUUUCGAGGGACGUGGUGCAUGUAAUAUUAGAUGAAGGGUAUAGUGAAAGCACGUAUUUAGCAUUGUAAAAUUACUGGCCUUCUUUUCCUGCAGAUUUAAUCUACUUGGCGUGUUAUUUUUUUCCCUAUUUUUUUUUUAAAUGCAGGUGUUUCAUUCAUGAUAUUUUAGGAUAACGAAAAAUGGACUGAAUAGAGAGAAGAGACUUCGUUUCACAUCUUCAAAGAUUGCAUCUGCAAUUGGCCUUUGCUUCAACAAAGGAUCAAUUAGCCAAAGCAAUGGAAACAAUAGCUUGAUUCUCCAAUCGUCAACAAUGCCUUGUAGUUUAUGCCGCCAGCAUAAUUCAACAGAACAAGCCCUCUAACAAGUAUUUGUAUGUAUGUAUGAUCAUUCAUUCUCAAUCAACCACCAAACUGAUGUCUACAAAGCCAUGAGGAUUGUCUCACAAGUCCCUUAUUUUCCCUCUCUUUUGGCCGGAGACCAGUAAACCAUUUGAAAUACGGAUGUGUAAACCAGAAAAUAAAUCACGAAGUUACACACUAGUCUGCUUUCGCACUCAUUCGGAACUAUAAUUGAUACUUGUUGAUGCGAGAUUCUGGUUACGCUCUUCCUACGACCAGGAUAUUUGCUCGAUCAACCUCACCUCGAUCAGGAUCUCUCCUCGUAUGCUUUCUUCUCCAAGUAUUCCUGCGUCCACAGAAACAAGUCAGAGCACGCCGGUUGUGUUCCCGGCGUAAACCCUCCGACGCUCAAGUCAGAUAUGAAGGCUUUUGGAACGCUUGCCACAGAUCUUAUGGCUUUUUGAUAGUUUUUCCUUCUUUUAGAAUUUCCCUUUUCUCUGUUAUAAUCUCAAAAUUGCUAACCCUUUUACCUUCGUUGGCUACCUUUUUAUAGGUUACUUCUGAGCUCGGGCCUCCCCUCCAUUCGCGCUCGUUAUCUUCCCACCUCUCGAACGUGGACUCCCCAUUUCCGUAAUUGUGGGUGGUUGCGUGGCCUUCGUGCCUAGAUUCUCGGAUUGGAGAGCAUGCCCCGCCAACCGUCAUUGACUGGGUCUCCUCGAAUCAACACUUAGCAGGAAUACAACAGAAAUGGCUUUAUGCUUCUUACAGGAAAUUGGCCUCGCGGAUGACGUGCUCGUGGAUGAGCAGGAUAUUCCUGCUCCUGCUCCCCCGGAUACCAGGCUCUUACGGGACACACCGGUUCGCAGAACUCUGCUAUCAGAUAUCUGCUCAUCAUGCCUGGUCUCGUCGAUAUGGUAUGGUGUAUAAAUUAUACUAAAGUGAAGGCUGGAUCAAUAAGAAAUUCAAAAUGUUUCAUCACAUUUGGGGCUUGAUGAUGCCAUAGAAAGACCAUACCAAUUAUGACGAACAGUAAAAUGUGAACAAGAACAAGCAUACAUUUAAGAAAGCAGAGAAGCAUGAUUAAAAUAAAUGAUUCUUCUCACUAUUCUAUGUUGUUGGAAAUGGACCAAAAUAAAAAAGAAACCAUAUAUGGAACGUCACAACAAGAAUAUUUGUGCAUUUGUACAUCAUAGGAUAUUGGGAAGACAUCAGCAGAAAAGUGCAAUUUUUUUUUUUUUGGGGGAAAGGAACAGAGAAGUGCAAGUCAAAAAGGAGAAAAAAUAAAAACAGAGAGAUUAAAAGGAAUGCAAUCUAAUUAAUCGUCUAAGGAGGCUACUAUGCUACAUUUAGCCAUUCGUUGAAUAGGCAACUUGUCUUCUAGUACAACUUUAAAUUUACCAAGAUUGAGAAUUUUCCUUCGGAAGAAAAGUAAUUUGUAUAGUGGCCAUUACCAUCUUCAUCCCAACGGUAAGCAGCUCCAUACUAAGGAAAGAGUGAAAUAGGUGUGCUUUACUUGUAGAAGCUCGUUCCUGUCCAGAGUGAUUAGUAAGUUGUUUCACCAUGACCCCCAUUAUGGUGACUGGAAAAAGAAAAAAAAAAAAUUUGCCCAACACAGAAGUGGCACCCAAGAAGUCCUACUUAAGAGGCUUCAUACCCUGCACAAAUCAGAAAGUUUUUAAAAAUUUUCAUGUUCCAGGUUCCAAAUGAAGAUUGCCCAUUAAAAAAUUACACACAUAAUGUAUGUAAAGCAAUUAAAACAGAAAAACAAGGAUAACCCAGAAACAAUCCAACCAUCAAUAACAUAAAACUUUUGUAAUUCUGGUAAAGUGAAUGAGAAGCAAAACAUACAUUUCACGUAAUAAUGAAGAUACAUCUUUUAAUCAGUUUUUGCUCUUAUUUUAUUCUCGUACUUCCUUCCAAUAACAAUUCAUAAUGCAGGUUGGUAUCUUGAAAAAUUAUAUCAUACAUUUCUCUUAUCAAUGGGGCAGGUUGCUAUUGAACAUUAUUCAUAAACAAAGAGCCAAAUAUGCUUUAAAGCUACUUAAAAAUAUGCCAUCAGGCAUUGACGCAGACACUCAACAACAAAAAAACAGAGUUAUCAGCACUUAACAACACAAAAGUAAAAAAGAAAAUACUCUCACUCAAGUAUUAUAUUUGUUGCACAAAUAAGAAAGACGAUAACAAUUUUAAAUUAACCAACAGGUUGAAUCUUAUCGUAAUACACACUAUCAGCUAUGAAUCAUCCGAUAGAAUCAUCCGUGACAAUGCUCCAGUGCUUAACCUGCCACAUUUAUAAAACCUUAUUUCAAAUAAAAUUACAGUUAAGGGCAAAGAAGAAAUAAACACAUGUAGGAUUUUUUUCCCAACAAAUUACUUACAUUAAUAAUCAAUCCCUUUUUUUUUUAAUUUCCUACCAUUUUAAUUCUUAUCUAACUAAGAUAAAUUGUAUAAAUAUAGAAUAAUCUAUUUUUCUUUUCGUAUUUCUUAUUGAUUAAAUAUUUCGUACUCAAGAUUACUUUCAAAUUACAAUCUAAAAUAUGUGUUAUUUAAGCUAAUGAUUAGCAUUCAAACUUUAUCACCUAGAAAACUUUUUAAUUUGUAUGUAGGAUAACAAUAAGAUUGUAAAAGGGAUGAAAAAUAGCACAAUACUACUUUGAGUUUUAACAAUAAAAAAAGAUUAAAUGAAAAACUAAAAGAGCGUCUUGGAAAAUAAAAUAAAUAUAACUGAAAAAAAAGGUUUCAUUAAGAGACUAGAGGGGUGCCAAUAGUCCAACUUUUAAAAUAAAGUUUUAUCAAUUAUUGAUCCCUUUUUCUGCAAUUAUUAUUCCCAACAAAUAUUUCUCCAACAUUUUAUUUCAUAUAUUUACUUCUACUAUACUCUAACAAAAGACGCCUUUUUGGACUACAUCAGUUUCUACUUUCUAGAUGCAUUUCAUCCAUUGUUCAAUUUCUCUAUUUUUUUUUCUCUAAACAACCACUUUCUGUCAGCUCUCUUAAAAUUUAUUAAGGAAUCUAUGUUGAAGACCAUUUCAUCCUUAGUAUUGUGUAAAUGUAUAAAAAUACAUUUUACACUUUCAAAUUUAAAAUGACCUUCUUUUAGCACAAAAUUUUAAAACAAAUACCUCUAACUAAGCAACAAAAUGUAGAACACAUGAUAAGUACCAUAUCAGCCAUAUAAAAAGUGAAUCACACUAUGAUAUAUGUGCAUUUAUUUUGAAAAAUCAUCACGUAAAUAAUGGUUAUAUUGAAUCUAAGUAAGUGAAUAUCAUACAUGACACAACCCGGCCCAGCCUCUCUGCCGGAUUCGAGGUGAAUCAUGUGAUCUUAUAUCUAAAGCUUGUGAAAUAAAUUUAAUUCAUGAAUGCAUAACACUAGUCUCGGCCUUUGUUAUAAACAUAUAAUAACAUAUGUGACUCAUUCAAAAAUAUAUUCAAAACUUGCACAAUUUACAUCUUACUGUACAUACAUACACUUUAGAUAUAUACAUAUAAACAUAAACAUGCUCAAAAUAUAAGUUAUGCAGUAAUGCGUGUUGUAGCCCAACAUCAACUGAUUAGAAACUGAACUGCACAAAAUCCUAUGAAAAUCUUAAAGAAAUGGGGUAAAUAUGAAAAUAGUAUACUUGUGGCUAAAUGAGUGGAUAUAAUUAUAUAUAUAUAAAUAAAUUAGCGCUCUAGUGCUUGUACAUAAUUGUAUGACAUAACUUCGCACUGAACGCAUUACACAAGCAAACAUGAAAUCAUAUAUUUAUACAUGAUAAAACUGCACCAAAUAAUAUCUAGGAGAAAUAACUCUUCAAUACUCACUGGAAUCAUCGUUGCACAAGUAAAGUAGGGGAAACACCUCUCAAUACUCAGCCGAAUUAACUACAUCACAAGGGCCGAGUAAUCUAACUCUCAAUACACAUACAUAGAGCCUAUGGGGAAGGGUACACAUAUGAUAUCUGGCAAUUACAUCUCAUUAUUCAAUUAAUCAUAUAAUAUCAGUAUAUAUAAUCAUGACAUGAUACUAAAUCAUACUAUCAAGCAUCAAUACUUUGUAGAAUACAUAUAAGUAAUAAUAGUAAUCCACUCACAAAACAUUUUUCACUAUGGGGUUUGUUGGAGCUCCUAUAGAUUCCUUAAUUCUUGAAUUUCUCCUAAAAUAUAGGGUUAAAAAAUUAACUAUUAGAACUGAUAUAAAAACUUUUACAUAUGACAUUAACUAAAUCAUAAUUGUUCAAAUUUCUUAAAUACGUUACCUACUGACUUACUGGAUAUAGAUAUAACUAUCCAACUCUCUUUCCUAUAAUAUUUCCUCUCAAUUCCUCUUUUCAAAAUUAUUUUUCGCUCUCGGUUUUUCUUUUCUUUAUUUUUUCUUCUUCAUCUUUUAUUCUUCUGUUCUUUUCCACUUCUUCUUCAUCUUUUCUUCUUUUGUUCUUUUCCUCUUCUCUUUUCCUUUUGUUUUCUUCCCUUCUCACCUUUUCCUUUCUUUUUCUUUUCUCUUUGAAUUGCUUUGUUUUAGUUUGAUUCUUGAAAAUGGUGACAGUUGCUUCAAUUCUUUACUUUAUACAUAUCCAUUACCUCCAAUCAUGCACGACAAGCACAUAGCAUGCAUGUGCUUUGCUUUAAGCCGAUAGCUUGCUAAUUAGCCACAUGUGCUCCCUUUUGGCUUGCAUGUGCGUCACAAUAAAUGCAUUAAUUGGUUGUAUUAUUUUUAAUGUAUUAUAGAAUUUCUUUUAAUGAAGGACGUAGCCAACAAUUUUAUCCAGUUAAACAUGUUCUUUGACAUAUAAUAUAGUUUAUGGUCAAACAACUCAUAAGUAGUUGAAAUUAAAUUAUUUUCUAAUCUCAAUUUUCCUUUCCUCUCAAUUUUAAAAUACUUUAAAAGAUUUUCAAACAUAAGAUACAAUGGUAUACAAUUGAAGCCUAAUCCAACAUUGAAAGAUUAAAUAAAAUUAAUUUUCAUCACUACUCAAGAGACUUGAAAGGACAUUAAGGUAGCAUUUAUUUUUUAUUUAAAAUCUGAAUAGGUCAGAAUUUGAUUAAAAUCUGAAUGGCCUUGAAUAUAAAGGUUUCAAUAACAUGUUAUUUUUUUAAUAUCUAAAAAUUAAGUGGCAUCUUGUUUGAUUUAUAAUAAGAAGGGAAAUUAUCAUUCGUAUACCCUAAAUUUGUGCUUCUAUAAAAAAAUAUUACAACACUUUAAGGGUGUAUCAAUCAUCCACCCUAAAUUGACAAAAGUUAUCUGCCGACCACUAAACUGUUAGCUACCAUUUGAAAGUUAACGGAACUGUAGCUAAUUAACAAUUUUACCCUUGAAAAUUAUCACUUGUAUACCCUUAAAAUAACUUAUUAUCACUUCUAUACCCUAAAAUUAUCACUUGUAUCAUAUAAAAAGACCAUAUUACCCCCCUGACGUCAUCAUAUUUAAAUGGCAAUUAACGGUUUGGUGGACGGCAGAUACAUUUUGUCAACUUAGGGUGGACGACUGAUAUACCCUGAAAGUAUUGUACUAAAUUUGAUAAUGGAGUAAACUAAGGGUAUACGAUUGAUAAUUUCCCUAAUAAGAAAACACAUUAAAUGUGGUUAUUUAGCGGUUAUGUCUUUAUAGGUCAAAACGAAUAAAAGGGAUUAGGCUUCGUAGUUUAUGAAAUAACUAUAUUGAAUUGAAAUAUUUUUAGGAUAUAGUAUUUAUUUUCCAUUCAAACAUUUUUUUUCAUUUCGGCAAAGGUCACAAAAAUUUACUUUUUAAAUUCAAAUGUAAAUAUCUAAAAAUCAGACAUAUGUUACAAAAAAAACAAAUAGCUAAUUUUUUAAAAAAAAUUAAACUUCAUAUGUUUAAAAUCAACGCUACGAAACAUGAAUAAGAGCUAUUAAAACAAAACAAAAAAGAAUAAUUUUGAAACUAAAUACAAUUAAUUGAGAGAUGAGGACCGAUAAGAUAAAUUCAGAGAUAAAAAGUAACAUAUCACCCUACUUAUUGCUGGCAGUUAUGAGCAUUAAAGCACAGAAGCCGUACCAACAAAGUGGUGGCUCCACUGGCAAUGGGGUCCCCUUAAGUGGCUUGACUGGGUUUGCUCCCCAAUUCGAGUCGUAGGGAAGUCGCCUUUGUUGGGAGAACAUGUGCCUCUCGGUUCGAGCGGGGACUUCUAGUCUGGGUUGUGGUACGGGCUUAAAGGUGUCUCCCACAGUUGAGGCCCUCCCCAGGAUAUCUCGUGGUUAAAACAAAAAAAAAAAAAGCGCAGAACUCGUGUGUUGAAAAGUAUGGUGUUCGUGUGGACUUUUCAGCUAAAAGUCUACAAAGCAGUUGAAUUAAUCAAUCGUCGUGGAGUGCACGGUGCUUGGACAUUGAGAUGAAAUUGAAAAAUUAUCACGGAACUUGAAGGAAGGUUCAUGGCAUCGAUUUAUUCUACAGAGUCACGCACAUUUGGUUCAAUAAUUGUUUUCAUCCGAAUCAAAAUCUCUCUCUAAUCAAUUCAACUGUUUCUGUUGAUUAUGGCUUCUUCUUCUCGAAACAACAAGAAGUAUGAUGUUUUUGUUAGUUUCAGAGGAGAGGACACCCGAGACAACUUUAGUAGCCAUCUCUAUUCUGCUCUGAGUCGACAAAAUAUCCAAACUUUCAUUGAUGACCAACUUAACAGAGGAGAUGAAUUUUCGGAGUCACUUGUGAAUGCAAUUGAAGCAUCAGCCAUUUCAGUUAUCGUCUUCUCAGAAGGGUAUGCAUCUUCCAGAUGGUGUCUCGAUGAACUUGUAAAGAUCCUCGAGUGCAAGAAAGAGUAUGCACAGAUUGUGAUUCCGGUUUUCUAUCGGGUUGAUCCAUCAGACGUGAGAAACCAAACUGGGAGUUUUGGCAAUUCAUUUUCGAAGCUUGAAGAAAGGUUUAAGGAGAAUUCAAAGAAGCUGCAGACAUGGAGGAAUGCUUUGAAGGAAGCAGCCACUUUGUCUGGCUUUCCUUCUCAGAACAUCAGGUGAAAAGUUACUUUUAAUUUCGCAUACUAAUAUUCAACACUGUAAAUAAAAUUCACACAGCACUCUUAGUUAAAUUUUCCAGAUGAUAAACUACACUUUUAAAUUUUUUUCAUGCAUCAAAUUCUAGACUUCUUGAACUUCCCCACUUUUGAACUCCUAUAAAAGAAGUUUUGCAGAAUUAAUAAUAAAAGCUCCAGAAGUUUACAAUAUAUUUUAACAAAAUUAAUGGUGUUCUGUCGUUUUUUAAUCAAUUUCAAUCUCUUACUCAUAUACCACUAGGAAAAAAAAAAUCUCUUCCACAUAUAACAUAUUCUUGUAAUUAAAGAGUUAAUAAUUUAUAGGGAGAUUGGAAAUUUCCUUACUCAAAUCAAUAUAUACCACUUAUUUUGACUAUUUUUACAAUAUUUAAUAACUCUCCUGGUACCAUCACUUUACAAUUGGACAACGAGCAAUCUCCCUUAUUUCAAUUUUAUGCAAAUCCCUUCUAUUUGAAGUUACUGCUGCUAAUUUUAUGUAUUUGGUAGGCUUGAAUCGAAACUUAUAAACGAAAUUGCUAAUCACAUUUUAAAGAGACUGCUGGAUCAAGUUUUUCGGCGGAAUGAUAACAAAAACCAGCUGGUUGGAGUAGAAUCAAGAGUUGAGGAAAUUCAAUCUCUACUAGGUGUUCAGUCGAAAGAUGUUUACGCUUUAGGGAUUUGGGGCAUUGGUGGUAUAGGCAAAACAACAAUCGCUAGAGCUACUUUCGACAAAAUCUCUAGCGAUUUUGAAGGUUCUUGCUUCCUUGAAAAUGUUAGAAAAGAGUCACAAAAACCGGGAGGAUUAGCUUGCUUGCGACAAAAACUUCUUUCAAAUUUAUUGAAAGAUAAAAAUGUGAGUCUUGUUAUUGGUCUUAAUUUUAGAAGGCUCAGCCGCAUGAAGGUUCUGAUUGUUUUUGAUGAUGUGACUGGCUUCAGCCAAUUAGAAUCUAUAAUUGGAAGUCUUGAUUGUUUGACGCCUGUGAGUCGAAUCAUAAUAACCACCAGAAAUAAACAAGUGCUUAGAAAUUGGGGGGUGAGUAAAAUAUAUGAGAUGGAGGCAUUAGAAUAUCAUCACGCUCUUGAGCUUUUCAGUCGACAUGCCUUCAAACAAAACCAUCCUGACGUUGGUUACGAGAAAUUUUCAAGCAAGGUAAUGAAAUAUGCUCAAGGUGUUCCUUUAGCUCUUAAAGUGUUGGGUUGCUUUCUAUAUGAAAGAGAAAAGGAAUUCUGGGAAAGUGCAAUAAAUAAAUUGCAAAGAAUCCUCCAUCCAAGUAUCCUAGAGGUAUUAAAAAUAAGUUACGAUAGUUUGGAUGAUAAGGAGAAAAAUAUUUUCCUUGAUGUUGCUUGUUUCUUUAAAGGCGAGGAUGUAAAUCUAGUAAUGAAAUUCCAUAAUGCAAGCGGUUUCUACCCAGAAAUAGGAAUAAGUGUUCUUGUUGAUAAAUCUCUCAUUGCUAUUGGUUCAUACAGCAAGAUAAGAAUGCAUGAUUUACUACAAGAGCUGGGUAGGGAAAUUGUUCGACAAGAAUCAAUUAAUCUUGGAAACCGCAGUAGGUUGUGGCAUCAUGAGGAUAUCUAUGAAGUUCUUACAUAUAACACGGUAAGCAGUUUGUUGUGGAUAAUUAUUUUGAAAUAUUCUAGCAUUUACAAACUUGAUAUGAAUAUAUUUAUAUAUGCUCGAACUGAUGAGUCUUAGAAUUAAUAGAAGAGCAACAAUGAUUAGAAAAAAACCAUAUCCGUUAGAUGACGUAGCAAUAAAUUAUAAAUGCCAUGACAACUUGCAUAAUCAUUUGCAAGCAUAAUUGAUAUGCCAAUUUGUAUAGUACACAGACGGAAUUUUUAUAUUAAGUAUUACUUGUGUUAUUAUGUUUCUUUGUGCAUUUGCAAUUAAAAGUUUAACUGCCUAGCAAUAACUAAAAACAUGAAUUAUUGAUUUGAGAAAUGAUAAAGAGUCCACUCCAAUCCCACAUAAACUCGACUAAAUAAUAAAUAAAAAGUUGAAUUAUUAACUAAGCUACCUCUAAUUGUGAAUUAGUGAGAAACUUGCCCCAAAAAUUUGACUUGGAGGGGUUGAAGUGCGAUUCAUUGGUGGAAUACACAUAUAUUUCAUUUGAUUUUAACUUUAUUGCUUUUUCAUUUAUUUUUAGGGAACAGAAAAAAUUGAGGGCAUAUGUUUGGAUAUGUCAAAAGUAAAAGAGCUCUGUCUUAAUCCCAAUACUUUCACACAGAUGCCUAAAUUGAGAUUUUUAAAGUUCUAUAGUUCAUCAGUCAAUGGAGAGAACAAAUGUAAGAUAUCUUAUUUGCAAGAUUCCGGAUUUGCUGAAGUGAAAUAUCUUCACUGGUAUGGAUAUCCGUUGAAGUCAUUGCCGUCAAACCUUGGUGCAGAGAAACUUGUGUUACUUGAAGUGCCUGAUAGUGACAUUGAACGACUUUGGGAUUGUGUGAAGGUAUGCAUAUCUUAUUAUAUAUGUGCAAUCUUUCAAUAACAACCUUAAAUUAUUAUACGUGGUAACGAUUUUGUCUUGGCCUCUUUUUUGACCGAGCAGCAUUAUAGUAAGUUAAACCAGAUAAUCCAUGCUGCCUGCCAUAAGCUAAUUGCCAAAAUUCCAAAUCCCACGUUGAUGCCACGUCUGAACAAGCUAGUUACGUUGAAUCUAAGAGGUAGCAAAAGCCUGAAAAGUCUUCCAUCUGGACUUGGAAUUUCUUACCAAACUUGAUCUUUCGGGCUGCUCAAAACUGAAAAGGCUUCCAGAGAUCUCAUCAGGUAAUAUAAGCUGGUUAUUUUUAAGUGGAACCGCAAUUGAAGAACUACCCUCAUCAAUUGAGCUUCUACAUAGGCUCGGGUACUUGGACCUUUCAGAUUGUAAAAGGCUUAAGAGUCUCCCAAGCAGCCUCUAUAAGUUGAAGUCUCUUGGACUUCUUAGUCUCCGUGGUUGCUCAAAUCUUCAGAGAUUGCCCGAAUGUCUUGGCCAAUUAUCCUACCCAAUAAUAUUGAAUCUAGCGAAAACCAAUAUUGAGAGAAUACCAGAAAGCAUUAUCCAACUUUUCGUGUUGGGGUACCUCCUCUUAAGUUAUGGUGGGAGGUUGGAAUCCGGACAAAAGCCUUCAUUCCUUGAACGAGGUUGCUUGGCACUGCAACCAUUUUUAGGUUUGUUCUCUAAGUUAUGAAUCUUACAGGCAAUUUUUUUUGACCGGAGCAGUAAUUUUAAAUUGGAAGGUAAUUCUACUGCAGGAAUUAUUGAAGAUACCCUGAGAAUUCAGCAUACGAACCAUAUGCCCGAUGUACGUUUGCAAGAAAUAUGGCAAGAAGAUUGGCUAAAUGUGUGUCUUUAACUCUCUCUACUUACAAUUUCUACAAUCUUUUUUUUUUUGGGUUUAAAAUUAUGUUUUUUUGGUACAGAGAGGUUUUUCCAUGGGCAAAGGUCAUAUAGUACUACCUGGGAAUGAAAUUCCAAAGUGGUUUGAGUUUCAAAGUGUGGGAUCUUUUAUAACCUUGGAGAUGCCGCCAGAUUCCUUCAAUAAUAGCAGAGUGCAGGGCAUUGCAUUUAGUGCUAUUUUAGCAUUUUCAGACCGUCACGUAGAUUGUGGCAGAUGGUUUUCAUUUUCUUUUGAGCUCAAAGUGAAAACCACCAAAGAUUGUGGUACGCAUGACACACGAUUACUUCAUAGCAGAGUUAAUUAUGUAGAAUCAUAUCACUUACAUUUGGGGCACUAUCUGUUCUGUGAAGAGAAUUUUAAUGGUUUUUGGAAAUGCAAUUGCAUUCUUGAGGCAGUCCACUUUAAUGUUUUUCCCCCUUUGGAGUGCCAGUGCUGCGGGGUGAAAAAAUGUGGGAUCCAUUUACUUCACACCCCAGAUCCUACGUCAAUGGAAGACCCAAGCACAUGUUUCAACUGUAACGAAGAAGACUGAGAUAGGUGUCAUUUUCACUCAACUCACCUGAGUUGUGAAUCCAUUUGCUUAAACAUGUAUGCACUUUUUCAAGUAUCUCUACCAAUUCCAUAUUUGGAAUGGUGCAUUUGAUUCCAUAGUUGAUUUGGUAUCGUCUAUGGUUAGAAUUUAUAUUUACAAAAAUGACUUGUAAGGAAAGGAUUGAAGAUGCCUGUGAACUUAUAUUUCGAUUUAGAUUAUUGUAUCUUUUUCAUGUAUAAAAUUGGAUCCUAUCAUUCACAUAUCAUUGACAUGAGCAAUAUGGAUUACUAAAUCAUUAUUCUUUAUUAUUGUGCUGAAUUUGAUUUUUUAUUGAAUAAUUUGAUAUAUUUCUUGAAUCAAUUUGGAGCUUCUACAACUUGUCAGAGAUCAGUUUCUCCAACAUUCCUUUCGGCGCCAAAAGAUAACCAAGCGGUUGAAUAAGAAUUGAUAUAUACAACAUAAAUACAAGAGUUGUUUUGUCUUUUUACAAUAGGAAGAAUACAUAAUGCUCGUUAAAACUUGCUGAUGAGAAAGUAAAUUCCUCAGAAAUUAAAUGUUUCAGCCAACCAAGGAAGCAGCUUUUCAUGGACCAACUCAGACUUGUCGUCAUGGGGGCAAUGUCCUACUCCUUCCAAUACAAUUAGCUUCACAUUUGAGAGUUUAGAAGGCAGAGAUGAGAAGUAUUUACCAACAGGUCCAUCGAGGGGUGUGAAUGGAUCCUUAUCACCCCAUAAAACUAGUACAGGUAUAGAGAUUGAUGGCAUCAAUUGAACUGGGUUCGGCCCUGGUGGGCCUGUUACAAUCGAAACAAAUGCAUCAAGUGCCCCUUCCUCAUUGGCAGGCUCUCGUAUGAUCUGCAGUUUUGAG